rnacentral:lncRNA from 1 species
GGUCGAGCAAUCUGAUCUAACAAAUGUUUUAAAUGCUACACUCAUGAUUUUAUUAUCCAUCAACUUUGUCUUGCUCACUAUGCUUAAGGUUAGAGAAGAACAAAUAAACUUUUGGUUCUGUUGGUGUUUUUCACCAACAGAGCCCACGCACUUGAUCUCUACCUUGUCUCUAUGAACAGGUACACUUCAAGCAAAACAUGGAGGAGUUUUACAACUCCCAGACAACAUCAAGUGAAGGACCUGGAUCUAUGAGCACAAACACAAGAUAUUGCCAACAACGCACUUCGAACUGUUGAGCAAACAAAGAACAUGGGUGACUCCGUAUCAAGACGUGCAGACGCCAAGGUCCACACCUAAUCAAAUGAUGCACCUAAACGAUGAAGACGGUGAGAAGUCUUGUCCAGAAGACUUAAAACACUGGAUCCUUGUCGGAGGAGGUCAAGAUCGUCGACUCAAGUCGCCUUUCCUGAUCAAGAAGGACGACUCUGGUGUUCCAAGCAUCGAAUGCACAAUCAACGGAUACUCUUUUCGGAAGACACUCUACGACACCGGAUCUGACAUCAACAUAAUGGCUGCAGUCACUUAUCAGCUCCUGCAUGGAACCAUGCCCCUACAACCAACAUACAUUCAGCUCCAGAUGAUUUUCAGGUCGUUGACAUGGGAGAAGACGAGUACGAUCCACCCGUCAUCCUUGGAAGACCGUUCCUCAACACUGUCAAAGUUAUCAUCUAUAUUGGAACCGGAGAAGUCCACAUGCACUUCCCCUCUGAGAAGGUACGCCACUACUUUAAUGAUUCUAACUAUAUAGUUGAAGAUUCUAAGCAGAUCAGGAUGAGAAGAAGGCGACGCAACCGAAACCAGAGGAGGCAAAUCAUCAAGGACAGAUGGGCAGACUACGAAGGAGAAGUGGUAAGCUCUGAAGACAUACAGCUUGAACAGAACCGUCCUGAGGAGACCGUAGUACCGAGUCAGAUGUGGAAAGAGAAGAUAGUUAUAGCCGCCGGAAUCACCGACUACGCCAUCCAGCGAAUCCCAAGACGACUGAGAAAACGGAGAGUCCCGUUUGGAGGACUUAAAAACACCGAACGCCUUGCCAAGAGGAAAACUUAGUAGUUAUCCAUUUCCUUUUAAUUAUUUAAAAUAGUUUGCUUAGUUAAUGAGGUUCAUACUAUCUUGAAAAGAAAAUAAAAAUGCUAAAAACAGUAAGCCCCAUGUGAGUAUACGAGUGGCAUAAAACCCAUGAGUACAUUCACUGUGGUGGCAUAAAAAUAAAAUAAAUAUUUUUUCUACUCUAUAAAAAUGAAAAUAUAAAAAUAAGAUUGUGAUCCUACCAAAGAGAGUAACAUUUAUUGAGGAGGCUCAACAUGAUAAAGGCAAGAUAUUUAUGCUAACACUUAACCAGAUCCACGAAGCUUUGUUGUCUAUUUGAGCUCCACAAAAUUCAAGGAUCAAAGAAGACUAGCCGGCGGAGGACAAAGUAAUCGCUGUCAGGGUGCUGCCGACAUUCAAAUACACCUCCGCCACCUGCUAGCUACAUCAGAAGAAAUUACGUCAAAAUCCAGCUUGGGGAGAGCACCCCCAUUUAUCCAGCUAAGCGUUUCUAUUCGCGUUUAUACUUUACUCAAAUAACAAAAAAGAUGCAUAAUCAUGAAAACCCAAAUAAAAAUUUUGUACUUAUAUCUUUGCUUAGUUUGCUAAAUAAAUAAAUAAAUAAAGUUUGCUAUGAACCCUCAUGAUAAACUCUCACAUGGAAAUGAUGAAUAGUUGCUCUGCCAUGACUAGUUCUUAAAAUUGAAAUCUCUCUCAAGUUUAGGCAUAACUGUUAUAAUUUAAACCUGCUCCAAACCUAAACUUGUGGGAAGAGUACUUGAUCUAAAGUCUGAGUCGUUAACGGAUAUGAUAUGGAAAGGUUGACCUGCUAUUUAUCUGAUCCUAGAGAUGCUAGAAUUCUAGAGAAUUUUAUCUUUGAAAAUCUUUAAAAUAACACAUGAUGAGCUCCUGUAUGAUGAGAGUUUAAAUUCCUACCAUAGCCAUAUAUACAUGCUUGCUAGACUUUGAGCCACACAUUUACUUUUUACUUCUUAUGAGCAUUGAGUGUGGUCAAGCUGUAUAGACCCUUAGGAGCUUGUCAUGCGGUUAAAAUCAAGAUUCACUUGCACGUUCACUCACACAUGCUACUUCUACUCCGGAAGUACGCAUCCACAUACAUCCACUCAUUUCCAUCUCCAGAGCCACCCAAAAGUAUUCUACUCCUAAUCCGGGAGAGAAUAGCCAAAAACAUUCUCCUAUUUCUGUUUUUCCCUGUGAAAUAAAUGCUCGAAUUAUCUUGGUUACUACCACUUGCUAUAUUAUUUAAGGAGAUGAGUGCUCUAAAAAAAGUAUACGAGGAAAUAAAAAGGGGCAAGUGCCCGGAACCUCAAAAGAAAAGAAAAAGUGAGACGAGAGGUAAAAAUGGACUAGUGUCCGACAGUAGAAUUAAGGGUAUAAGAUACCCACCUGAUAGGAAAGAAAAAGAAAAUAUAGAGCAUCUCAUUCUCCUCAAAAAGCUUCAAAGUGCAAGAAAGGUAUGUAUCCCAUCAAAAGAGCAAAAGUAGAAUUAGACUUUCACCAUUGUUAUCACCAUCAUCACCAUACACCAUUCAUUCGCCACACAUGCACAUCUUGAUUUGACUUAUUGACUUGUUUCUCUGGAUCCAUAGUUUGACUAUGCAAUAAAUGUCUUAUAAGUAUGUAUUAUCUGUCUCCCACCUAUGAGCUCCAGAUAUCAAAACCUUAUUAGAGUAGGGUGAGAGAGAAGGCAAUAUUACUAUGCCUCAUACCAAAAAAAUAUCACAUACUUUGAGAGAAGGCAUAUACCAUUACUGCCUUGGUAAGGAUCCAGAAAUACCACAAAAGAGAGAUUUGAGAGAGUCAUACAAGGAAUCUCUGAGUUUUAUUUAAAAAUCUGCAAAAACUCCAGAGCUAUAGCUGAUCAAGAAUAUGAGACAUGGCGCUUGACUAGACUGUUCUAUCUUUUAACUGCUCAAGACGCAAGUGAUAGUUGCAAGCCCCAUGGUGAAAGGUAAAAUAGUUUUAAGUCAUAACAGUUUACUCUAACUCAAAGAUGAGAUCUUACUUUUAAGGCAUGAAACCACUCCAAAAACUCUUGAGUCCAUCCUUGCUCAGGGACGAGCAAGAGGUAAGCUUGGGGGAGUUGUUGACGGUCCAUAAGUACCAAAUAUAAUCAUCAAAUAAAUAAAUAAAAGGAUCCAAAUGCAACCAACACCCAGACUUAGGGUUUUAUCUGACAGAAUUCCACGAGUUUUGGUGUUAGUCUAUUUCUGCAAGGGGUUAUCAGGAAAUACGGAAGAAAGUCCCACACGUCAGGUUUACAUAGAGAUAUUAACGUGCUGCGCAAUAUUCUAUCAUCUAGAAGACUCCAGAAGCCACGCGAACGAACGAGAAGGCGAACGGGCCCGGGGGCAGGGCACCCGCCCUGACCUGGAGUCCAAUCAGGACUCUCUUCGGGGAUUACGCUCCACCGACCUAAAGGAUCAAGGAUAACCGUUCAAUCAAUGUCGGUUUGAUCCGACGGCCCAAAUUCACUUGAGGGGACUAUAUAAACAGACACCCUGCCCCUGGACGAGAACAAGUUCAUCAUAGAGUUGAGAGAAGCCCUCAAAGGAAUACCUCUCCUCAAAAUAGACUUAGGGCUUAGCAUCCAAUGUAAGUAGAAUUAGAUCUUCUAGUUUCUACUAGAUUGAGAGAGAUAGAGUGGAGGUGUAGAUCGGAGGAAGCCCGGCCUGUCGGUGUCUACUCCGAGGUUGUACCUACGGGAUCAAGUUCUCCUAACCCGAGGCUUGCUCCUAGGAUUCUUCAGUAAUUCGACUUCUAAUUCUAGUAAGUUCUUGUUUUAUUGUUCUUUAGUUUAUGAGUUUACUUUAAUCUCUUUUGGUUGAGUUUAGAGUAAUCAUUGCUAGCGUAAACGUGGUGUUUGGGCUAGGGUACUCAUAGAUAUCCCCUGACUAGCUGGACCGUGGUAGUAGCGAGGAACGUGACAUUUCCGAGUUACCUUUGCAGACCAUAUCUCAUUAGCAGGAAGGGUAGGGUUUAUAGGUGCAGGUCGAACAUCCUCUGUGGUGUCUAGAUUCCGUAAGCUUCCCCAAUAGAACAGUAGAUCAUCCUUACCAAGGUUAGAAUGAGACUACGGUUGUAGUCUUCUCUAUACAUCACUCACAUCGAGAAACAUUCUUUGUAGCCUAAAGGGUAGUAUCAAUAGAUUUGGUUAGUCAGAUGCACCCUUUCUCCUAGUGGUAAAAAUAUAAAUACGAUACUCUGGAUAACCUUCCGGGUGAAAUGCUCACCGAUAUCCGUGCGCUUGCGGAUCAUUCCCUUAUUGCGUUACCAUAUAUCAACAGCACCCAUACAAUUUCACGCUAUAUGGACGACGAAACAAAAUAUUGCUUACCGUGGCGUAGAGGUAUAUGAUCUAUUCAUUACCACUUAAGUAAGUGGCAUCCAUACUAUUGCACGUCGUAUGGACGACAAAAGGAAAAACCCCCUGUUAGUAAUACUUAUGGCCACCUAGAAGUCCUUAUGCGGGCAUAAAGGGUAUGACCACUAGCAUGGUAUAUUUUGUUCAAACGUUUUUAAAACAGCCCUAUGCAUAGUCUAAGUUUGCCAAAUAGUUUGGAAAACAAAUUCAUUUGUUUUUAAAUACAUCUAUGAUGGUUAAAUGCUUAAUCUUGCUCCGAUGCCAGCUGUAACAGAACCGUCUAAUCUAUAAGAAUUCAAGUAAAUUAGCGACCACGAGAGCAGUCAAGCCAAUGGACUUGAACCCAUAUAAACCCGGUAGUCUGACGAAACCUCAAAAGAUCUCGAUUCAACCAACAUAAAACCAAGACCGUACAUGAUCAAGCAUCUCCAUCACAGAUUACAACCAUUCAACACAUAACAUAGUUUUACACACAUCAGAGUUCAAAUAAAGUUAUUACAACACAAUUCCGUAGCGGAAGCAAAGUAGUUUUUGAAACAAUACACACUUAGUUCUAUUACAUGCCAGUUUGAUGAUGAGCCCAAAAAAAGCAUAUGUGAAGAUACAAGAGGUGAUCUUGCCCGAGAUCUACUCAUCAUCCGUCACCGGAUGGUGACAGUUAGCACAGUACCCAUGGUACACGAUGUCAUCUGCAACAAGGGUAAAUAAAAUCUUGAGUACAAGAAUGUACUCAGCUAGACUUACCCGUCAUAAACCAGAAAUAAAGUGACACCAAGGAGCAAGCAAGGCUCAUUUUUGUGGGCUGGUUUGACUCACAUUUUUUCAUAAAAUGCUUUAGUUUUAAGUAACACAUUUAUCCUCUUAUUAGCAGCAAGUUAAUUACUUAAACAACUAUCCACUAGAUUAGCACCUAUUCUAAGCAUACACUUGAGUAUUAAGCAUCACAAUAAUAACCAUAUCUGGAUUAUCACAUAGCCAUCAUCAUCCUCAUCAUAACCAUUAUGUUUAUUUAGUGAGAUCUACGUUGCCGCUGCUCGAGUCAAGUUCUUACUAUUCGGGAGAGGGCGAUUCGAAUCGAUUCCUAUCCAGCUGGAGGGGUACUACUAGCACUCACCCAGACGUACUUAGCUAGAGCAGCCUUAGGUCACCUUUAGCACAACUCAGGACCAAUUCAUGGGUCCGAUCAGCGCCGCACCCCCAGGGACCACGAACCUGCCAGGGUCAGGACUCUAACCUGACACAUCGGUCUUACGACAUUGACUCCCCGUACAUCUUUGCUACCAACCGGGUGCACACUCAAACAGAACGCGGUAUCCAACCUGAGUUGCACUCAUAGGCUUCACGGUCGGAAUGACUUAUCCGGCCAGCUAAGUGUUAGGCAUGCGUUCAACAUGACAAGAGGACGUACAGCGUAUCGGUCCUUAACCGACACAGACGAAGAUAGAUCCACACCCAAGACCUCCAUGCCUUACUGCUUCACUAUCACAUUCCCGCCCGGUCUCCAUUCAUUAUUAUCACAUGGUUAUUCCACGAUAGCACAUAUAGCCAACCGUGAUUAAGUAUCCACCUAUCUCUUGCAGGUGACAGGAAAUCACCCGGCUUAUACCGAGCUAAGCAUGGCUAAGCAAUACUUCGAUCCUGGACCUACUUAGGGUGAGGUAUAAGGUGGACAAGGUAGUCAUUAUGCAGCAAGGUUGUCAUAUCAAUGCCUAACACUUAAUGCACCAAUACAUAACCAUAGUUAGUUGACAGGUGGACUUGAUAACAAAAAUAGUGUGAGUCUUAUAAUGCUCCGGGGUUUGCCUUCGAUGUAGGUAGAAGGACGGUGGUCAGGACACUCUGGUAGGUCCUCCUCCUCAGCUCCUUCUUCUUGAGGUGGCUCCCUCUGCUGCUCCUCUGGCUCGGGUGGUGCGAACUCUAGAACCGUCACGCCCUUGGGUACACCUAAGUAUGCAUGACAAGGUGAUAAACAUAGGGAUUGCACAUAGGAUGCGAUACGUCACGAUGAGGAGCCAAAGGAACAUGUAUCAAGGUGCAAACAUGAUCACAAGAUUCUAAUAUUAUGUAAACAACAGAUUAACAAGUAAGUGCAUGCUUCUUCUCUGGUAUAGAGGCUAUCUAUACAAGCAAAUCAACCUUAACUACUUAUACUCAGCAACUGGUUUGAUGGGCAGACUGGGUAGUCACAAGUUUCAGCUAUAACUUAGCAACCAGUUGGCCAAACUAAGUGAGUGAGCACUUUCUGCAAAGCCUAACAAAUUGUAUACAAUUUACUUUUAGACAUCACAGAAAGAUUCCCAACAAAAAUAGGUCAAAACAGAUAAAUUCUCAGGUCUGCUCUUGAAAAUAUACAGAGAACAAGCACUUCGCAGCAGCUACUUGCAACAGCUGUAACUUCUAAAUCACGCAGCCAAAUGUUAUGAAAUUUGGACACAAGGUAGAUAAGUAAGUUAGCUAUAAGUUUGUUAUAGACAAGUUUCCCAGAAAACUUCAUCUUCAAGCAGUUCUUAUGAAAUUGCUAUCAGCUACACAGGAUAUGCUCUAGACAAGGCAUAAAUGGCAAAAUAAUAUUUUAGCACAUAUUAAGAAAGUAACAUUGAUUGAAACCAAAAACAUCAGUAGCUAGAACAUGUCUAGAAACACCAUGAAACAUCAUGGUAAGGUUAAAACUCAUAUUUAUUAUCCCCUUUUCUAUUUAUUUGAUUAUUAAGGUGAAUUAAUGAGCAUAUAGUACAAGUGCUCCAAAAAUUCCAACAAAAUUACAGCAAGCUGUUCAGGCUACCACAAGGUCACUGUAAAAUUUUUAUGGCCCUUGGACAUGUAGAUUGGGGUGUACAAAAAUGACAAGCUACCAAUGGCAUUAAAGGCAUAAAUGUGAUACCCUAUCAAAAAGUGUCAAACAACAGAUUUCAGAUUUUUCUUAGCUUUCACUUCACAUGGUUACAUCACCCAGCAAGUUUUAUCACAAAAGGAGCCCUAAAUUAUUUAUUAAAAAUACUACAAGAAAAUCCUAUUUAAACAAGGGACAUUUAUGACUUCAUCAACAGGCAUCCAAAAAUCAUGAGAAAAUUAUCAGAGCCUACACAUAGCAUAGGUAACAAUCUCCUAAAUUUGCAUGGUCAUAGGACUCACAGAUCUCAAGAUAUAAUUACCCUCUUUUUAUUCGGAAUUAAAAGAGAUAAAUCAUAUCUAUUUAUUUCAGCAAAAAUAUGGCAUGUUUCAUAUUUUUAUUAAAAACCAGAUCUACUGAAGAGCAUGACAAAACUUGAAUCACUCUAAUUGGACUUGCCAAACUCAAGAUAUGAUUUUUACAAAAUAGCAUUGAAACCUGCCAAAAAUAGAAAUAGGGGGAGAGAGAGACAGUGGCUGACAGAGGGGUCCACUGGUCAGCAGGACCCGCUCAACAGUGACACAGAGACAGGGGAGAGCUCGUCGCCAAUGAAACUCGACGACGGCAAGGUCUCGGCUGAAUCCAAGGGCAUAGUCGUGACUCUCUCACCAAGGCGGACCUAACGAGGUGCCAAACUCUCACUCUACCGAGCUAAAGGGGGCUUGUCAGCGUGAAUGGCGGCUCGGCGGCAUUGCGGGCGGUACGUCGGCGUGCUCAGCCGAUGCUGACCCAGUUGAGGUUCCCGCCAAGCAUCAGUGAGUCAAGGGGAAGCUCUAGGAACAAAAAUGGAAGGAAAUGGUGGAGCAAAGAGUCCUGGCCACAUUGCCGAUGAGCAUGGUGAAACUCCAGCGAGGGAGAAGCCGCUCGGAGCUCGGCAUUGCCGCCUUACCCGUGCUCGACAGAGGAAAUGGAGGUGACGUCGAGGUGGAGAAAGCUCUGGCGAAGCUUUUGGUCGGCUGGCUUGGCCAGAGACGGGGGAGAGAGCUCGGGCGAGGUCACUGACUCACGGCGGAGCUCGUCAAGGAGGAAAGCGGAGGGAAGAGAGGGCGCUCGAGAGGGAAUGGAGGCCUGCUGUCGCUCAGGGGAGCGUCAUGGCGUCCAAGUGGACAUGUUGGGGCUGACAGGCGAGGUCGCCGUCGAUGUACGGCCACCAUGGGGCAUCCACGCGUUGAUCGGCAGGCGACUGACGAAACUAAAUAGGUUGAUUCAGUCACCGUUGACAGUGAUUGAAACCUGAUCUUCGUCGAUGUUUCACUCGCGAUUCACUCGGUGGUUUUGGCUUGGAUUUGUUCCAAUGGUUAGAGCUACAUGAGUUCUCCAAGCUUGCUUAAAGGAUCAAAGCCUGGUUUGGCCUAGAAUUCAAACUACAAGGCACCCAAGCACCCUACCUCGAAACUGCAAAACCCAGACCUAACCAAAUUCGCCUAAGUGUUGAAAACAGCACUAAUUUCUGUCUUGUGGGCCACUUUUGGUUAUGUUCCAACCAGUUUCAUGAAAUGGUACCAAAACAACUUUUGUAGCUUAUAAAAUGUACUACAACGUUGCUUUAGAGGUUAUUUACAUUCAAGGUCUCUAACACUGGUUUCAUAAAAGAUCUUUAAAAAGAGGUUUAGGGGGUCAACUAGGUCAACCUAGGGUUAGCCAUGACUUGGGGGCACUUUUGGAGGACACCUCCAACAUAGACUUUGUUCCAAAUGAUAUUCUAAACAUGAAUAAAGUAUUUUGGAGAAUAAUGUGUACUUGCAUACAUUGGUCCUACACUACUUACACACAUAGCAAGUAAAAUAAGCAAUCAAUUCACAUGGGAUAUACACAAAGUGACAUGUGAUCAUGGUAUGAUGCUUAUGAGUGAGUAUGAUGAUGCUCAUGUGGAUGCAAUGCUCAUGGUUAACAUGCAAGCUAACACUAGGAGUGUUACAGAUGGACCGGUUACACAUAGUCGUGCAAAGAAGCAACAACAAGAGGUCCACGCGGUACUUUAUGAGAUUCAUUUUAACAUUAAUGAGAAUUAUAUACUACCUAAGUGUUGUGCCUUGAUUGUACUCAGGUAUAUAGAAAAAGAGAAGGAUGAAUCAAACCCUAAAGAACAGACCAGUGCAAGUCCUAGAAGACAGACUAGCAAAAUGGACCAGAAGAGUCAAAAACGGACCAGUGAAGUCAAGAACGGACAGGUGCAAAGAAAUCUUCAUAACUUUUUACUGACAAAAGCUAUGAAGGCCCAUGAGCACUUGUUGGAAAGCUUGUCGAGUCUACUUUCCAAUGAAUCUAGUGGUGACUAGUUUAGUUACCCCAUAUUCCCUACAGACCAGAAUUAGUACAGACUACUUAGAAGGUCAAUAGUCUGUCGUGAUAGAAUGUUGGUAAAAGUUGCCGAGUAAAACUGUACCAAUAUACAAUGUUUUGUGCUGGAGGGCAUAAAUUGCUGGAAAGCCUGAGUCUAGUUUCACACCCAACAAACGGUUCAUCAUUUGGACUUCCCAAUAAGAAGUUAUGGUCAGUUUAUUGGAAACUGUUCUAAAGGCCAACAACAUGCGAAGCCAGUUUGGGAAUCCAUUCUGAGGGGACCUUUCACAUUGCCUUCCCUCAGAAAUUCUAUUUUGUUUUCAUACCUAUCUAGAAGGGUUGUUCCUAGUAUAAAUAUUCCCUACCUUUAAGCUAUUAGAGAUCUUUGAUUAUUAUAAUAAACUACAUGAUAUUGCAGCCGCGCUGCUGAGUGCCUUACUCAACCUUUGUUCUUCCUUGUUCUUCUUGGACUUGUGAAAUGAAUCCUCUAGGUUUCCCUACUUUGUGCUCUACGGCUUCCGUUCGGCUGCACCGUAUGGUGUGGAUUAGUUCUGGAUUGUGGUUCUGUGGUCAUUCGGAGAUCGAGUGAAGUCUUGCGGUUUNNNNNNNNNNNNNNNNNNNNNNNNNNNNNNNNNNNNNNNNNNNNNNNNNNNNNNNNNNNNNNNNNNNNNNNNNNNNNNNNNNNNNNNNNNNNNNNNNNNNACCUUUGUCAGGUAUAAAGCUAGUUACUCACUGUUCUUAGCAGGUAUCAAUGUUUCUUCUGAUCUACUGUUGUGAAGAUCGGGCCACCCUCGUACCGAUUCAUAUCAGUACCUAUCAACUGGUAUUGAAGCUUUCGUUGUCACGGUAGGUCUCGCAAUCAUCCACAUAUUUAUCUUUAGUAUAUCUAUCAUUUGUUACUGAUUUGUUCAUCACCUAUAGUCCACUGAAAAAGCCAAAAAAAAUCCUAAAGCCCUUUGAUGGUACCGUUAUCUUGUGUUUUUGUAUUCAUCAAGUUGCUAGUCACCCUCUUUAUAUAUAUUUUGUUGUGUUUCAUUUGUUAUCCAUACCCAUGUUAGUAUAAAAAGAAGAGUUAAAAAAAUCAGAGAAAAAAAUUUAGAUAAAAGAAAAGAGAAAGAACAGAAAAAGUAGAAGAAGUGGAAAGGGAAAGUAGAUGAAGUUGAAAGGGGUUGUGUUGCGGUUUGCUUACUGAAAAAUUCAGUUUACAUAUUCAGAUUCUUGGAGAUUUAUAUACCAGCAAAAGUAUAUCUUUUGAGCACAUCAAACCACUUGAUUUUUAGUACCAUAGCCUCCCUUGUUUAGCCACCUAUAGCUCCACCAAAAACUGAAACCAGGACAUUCGACUCAUAAUCCUUGCGACCUCGAAAUCACUUCUGUUGAGGUCCUACACUAGCACAAUUCACUGUCAUUGAGAACAGGAAAGAGCAUUGGUAAAUAAGAGGUCAGGUUGUGUGAUUCCACAAAUUUACCCAUUCCACUAUAUUUUGCUUUAGUGCUAACAUGAUAGGAUCCAACUCAAGUAUUCGUGGUGAUCGUCAUGGAGAAGAAGAACCCCCUAUUGCACGGGCUGAGUUGCGCCAAAUGGUAGACUCACUCUUGUAGGCCAUGGAGAGGAUGCUUGAUGCACGCAUACCUGUGGAUGGGUGGAGGGCUCCUCGGUAUCAAUCUGAUGAAUCUGGUGCUGAAAAUUCUGAUGCAGGACAUGACCGUUUCAGAGAUGGUCGUGGUGGUGGCAGGCAGGCUGGUCGUCAUGGCCAAGAUGGAGGAUGAGCUCAUGGGCAUGGUCAUGGCCAUCGUGUUCAUUUUGAUGAUGAAGAAUUUGAUAAAUUUCAUCAAGAAGAGAGGUCUGAUGAGAAUCCCUUUGCAUAUGAUGGACUGCACGGGUGGCGCCAUAAUCAUCAGCAGCGUGUUGAUCAUGGAGAUAGGGAGCAUCAUCAUGGUCGUCAUAAUAGGGAAGACCGGGACAGCAUUACUUGUGUCAAGUUGAGUAUCCCAAAAUUUACUAGAAGAGAGGAUGCAGAUGCAUAUCUUGAGUGGGCUAAGCAGUGUGAUCAAAUUUUUAGAGUGCAUAAUCUCUUUGAUCAGAGGCGUGUUAAUCUUGCUUCAGUGGAAUUCUCUGGUUAUGCUCUGACUUGGUGGAAUCAGAUACAGGAGAAUCAACUUAUGUUCGGCCGUGAAUAUAUCAACACAUGGGAAGAGAUGAAGCAAGUGAUGAGAAGGCAAUUUGUACCAGCAAACUAUUAGCGUACCUUCACAAUAGGUUGCAAAUGUUGAAGCAAGGAAAAAAGAUCAGUUGAUGAGUACUAUAAGGAGAUGGAGCUGCUGUUAGUGCGGACUGGAAUUAGAUAGGAUCCAGAGUUAAAAAUGGCAAGAUUUUUGGAUGCUCUCAAUGAAAAAAUUGCUGAUUUUGUUGAGAUGUUUCCAUACCAUACUUUGCAAGACCUUGUUGAUCAAGCCAUGCGUACUGAAAGAAAAAUUCAGCAAGAGACACGUGGAAAAUCUUAUGCAAGUCAUUCUAUUGUAGCCCCAUGGCGCAAGCAGCAGUACAACACUUCUUUUGGUGGGGGACGGUCCCAAGGUGCUGCAGCUAGGCCCUCUUCAUCUAAUGCUCCUUCGAAGAUGGUGGUUUCUAUAACAUCAUCUUCUGCAAAUCAGCAGCGACCUGCUACAAGUGUAGUAGCCCCAACUAUUGCUUCUUCAGCUACUUCUUCCUCUGCAUGUUGUAGAGAAAUUGUGUGCCACAAGUGCUAUGGCCGUGGACAUAUUGCUGCACAAUGUCCCAGUAGGAGGACCAUGAUUGUGAAUGAGAAUGGUGAAUGGGAAUCUAAAAGUGAUCGUGAGGAAUAAGGUCCAAGAUAUGAUGAGGAUCAUGAAAACAAUGAUAAUGAGAUCUAACCUGAUGAAGGUGAUAACAACUGCUUGAUUUCUCUUCGUGUGCUUAGUGUUACUGCUGCAAAGGAAGAGAAUGGGCAGCGACACAAUCUUUUCCCCACUCGAGGCAUGAUCAAAGAAAAGUUAUGUAGAGUUAUUGUUGACAAUGGCAGAUGCAACAAUAUUGCUAGCCAAGAAUUAGUUGAUAGAAUGGAGCUAAAACAAAGGCGUCAUCCAAAACCAUAGAAGAUGCAGUGGCUGAAUGAUUGUGGUGCGCUGCGUGUGAACCAUGUUGUGACAGUUCCUUUCUCUAUUGGGAGAUAUAAUGAUCAUGUGGAGUGUGAUGUGGUGCCUAUGCAAGCAUGCCAGCUACUGCUAGGAAGACCAUGGUUAUAUGAUCAUGAUGUUCAGAUCUUUAGAAGAACCAACAAGCUGGCUCUCAUGUACAAAGGAGAGCCAAUUUCUUUGCUCCCUUUGACACCGGAGGAGAUUUUGAAGGAUGAUCUAAAAAGAAAACAGCGAGAGAGCGAGAACCACUUGCGAGUGACCCACAAAAAUAGUGAGGGAGUGUUUCCAAAGCCAAAUAAAACCCCACAACUGCAAACAACCAAGACAAAAGGAAAAGAGGGAUUUGUUAUGAUGGCUACGAAGGGGGAUUUAAAAGAAUUGAGUGAACCCAAUGCCACAUUCUUUGUACUCCUAUACAAGGAAAAUAUUCUUUCCACUAACGACUUAUGCUCUACUUUGCCAAGUGUUAUUUUUAAUAUGUUACAGGAAUAUGAGGAUGUCUUUCUAGAGGAGGUACCACUGGGGCUGCCACCUAAGAGAGGAAUUGAACAUCAAAUUGACCUUGUUCCCGGUGCUUCACUUCCAAACCAAGCUGCAUACUGCACCAAUCGAGAGGAAACAAAAGAAAUUCAGCAACAAGUGGAAGAAUUGAUGAGAAAAGGGUAUGUGCAGUAAAGUCUUUCACCUUGUACAGUCCCUGUUCUUUUAGUUCCUAAGAAAGAUGGUUCAUGGAGAAUGUGUGUUGACUGUAGAGCUAUUAAUAACAUCACAGUAAGAUCUAGGCAUCCCAUUCCAAGACUUGAUGAUAUGAUUGAUGAAUGGUGCAAUAAUUUUCACUAAAGUUGACUUGGAAUUGGCUAUCGGAAAGGUCCAAAUGGCUAGAGGGGGGGUGAAUAGCCUAUUUAAAAUUUCUACAAACUUCACUAAGCAAGUGAGUUAGUAAAACAAAUGGCGAAGCAAUUCUAGCACUAGCUCAACUAAGCUAUGCAAGCCACCUAUACAAACUAGUACAAGGCUAAACACUAAAGCACAACAACAAGAGAACUAAGCUAAACAAGCUACACAACUAGCAAGGUAUGCACAAAAGUAAAGGAGAGGUGAGUGAUUGUUAUACCGACGUUGUAGAGUAGAAAUAUAGCCAAUCAAUCAAUCACAACUAUAAUAGAAUCCUCGGCAAGAGAUGACACAAGAUUUUUUACCGAGGUUCACUUGCUUCCCGGCAAGCUAGUCCUCGUUGUGGCGAUACACCCACUUGAUGGAUCACGAGCUAAUUGGAAAUCCAAAGUCAAACCCUCAGCGGGUGCCGCACAUCCACUCACAAGAUGGGGAUCCUCCAAGCCACAAGCAAUCCACUAGAGUAGCCAAUUGCGAUCUCCCGCGGGGAAGGCUCAAGAACCCCUCACAAAUCACUUGGUGAGGCUCGAAACAAUCUCCAAUCACGAGCUCAACACCACCGCUGCUCCAAGCCGUCUAGGGCAUCGGGAAACACCCAAGAGUAACAAGAAAUCCACAGCAAACUCAAAAAUCAAGUGCCACUAAAUGCAACCCUCAAAGCAAUGCACUUGAAUCUCACUCAAUCUCACUAGGAUGAGCAAUCAAGCAAGGAGAUGAGUGGUGGGAGUGUUCUCUAGCUCAAUGUAUGUCUCAAGUAAUCAAAAUGUGCAAGAGUUAGCCUCCCAAAGCCGGCCACCCUCAAUUUAUAAGCCCCUCAAAGAAAUUAGUUGUUGGCCAUUUUUACUGGGCUGAAAUCGGGGGCACCGGACGCAACUAAGUGGGCACCGGACGCUCGACUCCCUGCGUCCGGUGCACUGGAGAUAGCCACGUGUCCGUCCUGAAACUCACGUGUCAGAUCCUAACGGUCACCUACGGAUCACCGGACGCUCUGCAGGUCCACACCGGACGCGUUCGGUGCACACCGGACUCAUGCGUAGAGAGUUCUGCAAACCUGCGGGUCACCGGACGCUAAGCACCGGUAGCGUCCGGUGCUCACCGGACCCAUGCGCAGAGAGGGUCGCAAAACACUCGCACACCGGACGCUAACCACCGGACGCUCUCAGAGUGCGUCCGGUGCUCAACCCUAGCAGGGUCAAGCACACCGGACUCUGAGGCCAGCGUCCGGUGCCUCCGCACUCUGCGUCCGGUGAGUGUUUCUCAGUGAGAAAACACUCCCGCGACUUCUCCAAAUUUCCCACCGGCGCAAUAGAAAAUAUACACUUAUUUUUCUCAAAAGCGCCUCAGAGUCCGAGCUCGGCGGGAGGGAGAGAGGAACCCACACCCCUCUCAACCCUUGGAACUCCACCUCCUUUGCAAAUGUGCUAACACCACCAAGUGUUCUCCACCAAAGUGCAUGUGUUUUAGCUUUUCACAAACAUUUUCACCGAAGGAGUUAAGUUAGCACUUUACUAGAUCCUAAUGCAUAUGCUCAAGAUGUGGACCUAGUAGCACUUGAUUCGAGAGAUGACCGUGAUUUCCCCUCUUGAUAGUCGGCUAUCUAUCCUAAACCCGGUCAAUCACUUCUCUACUCAUCUUAGACCGGCAAAAGUAAAACCCUAUGUUUAUACCUUUGCCUUGAUAACUUUGCUCCUCGUCUAUCACCAUGAUCUUCACUUCAUGCUUCAUCUCUUUGUGAUCAUGUGGCCACCUCUCCAUGCCACCAUGCACCUUCAUCACAUGUGUUGAUAUGCCUAACUCAAAUCACUUAAACACAAAGCAUUAGCAACUUGGUGUCAUUAAUUACCAAAACCAAACUUGGGCUUUCAAUCUCCCCCUUUUUGGUAAUUGAUGACAACCAUCACAAAGAUAUGAAAUGAAAUCAUAAUGAACUUGAAUUGCUUGUCCAAAGCAUUUUAAUCAUGAGACAAGGUUGGACAAACAUUUCAAUUCGGUUUUGGUAGUACUAGCUCCCCGUACAUAUGUGCUUCCAUGAGUUUGGUUCAAGUUUGCACAUAUGCAUGAAUUUGAAUUUUGGGAGAUUUAUUACUACCAAAAUGAUGCUAAGGUAUAUAGAAUGGACCUUUGAAGCGUGAUACCAAUCGGAGUUGCCAAUAUACCAUCCUUAGCACCAAAGUAGCUAGACAAACAUCAAAAACUCAAGAUACCUCGUGAGAUCACAUUAUAUGUCUAGAUACCACAAGAAAAUAAAACUCUAUGCUAGAAUUCAAAGCAUCAUUCAAGUUCUAUUUCUAGCAAACACCAAACAAACAAGAGUGGUGAAUUUAACCUUGCAAUGCAACACAACAUUAUGUUAGUGCACAUUCAAAUGCAACAAAUGGUUCAUGAGCUUACUCCCCCUAUUUGUGUGCUCAAGUUUUAAUUUUUCAAAAGUUAUCUCUCCCCCUUAAGGACUUUUCUCCCCCUUUAUGACUAUAUCUUUGUUUCUCUCCCCCUUUGUCAUCAAUGACCACAAAGGUUCAAAUUUUAGUGAGAAUGAAGUCAAUCAAUGUGAGGGUCAAAUUAUGGUUCAAUCUAGAUCCCUUGCCUAGAACAUGUAAUUCGGUUUGAUCCAAGGAUAAACUUUUUCGCACCUCAUGAAGUAUAAGGGUUAUCUUGACCAUGUUGAAUUACACAUCAUAAGCUCAUAUUCUAGAUUCAACACUAGGCUUGCAAGCUCACAAACAUGUCAUAUGCUACCACUAGAUCAAUCAAACAUAGAAGCAAUAGUGGUACCAUAAAUACAUCUAACUCUUUUGAUUUUUAUGAAUGAGCCUAUUUGUCAUGCAAACAUGUCUAUAUGUUCUAAUCAUGUCCUUAGCAAAGUAUGAAUGCUAUGUCAACCAACUUUACCUUGCUUUGUUGGAGGAGAGGCAUGUCAUAUAUAGAUGUGGGGGUGCACUCAUCUCAAGUUGGAGAAGUCAAGUAUGUUCAAUUCAUUUCUCAACUUGCAAAAUCUCUUCUCAUCAAGUGGCUUUGUGAAGAUGUCGGCUAGUUGAUCUUCGGUGCCAAUGCUUUCAAUGCUAAUAUCUCCCUUUUGUUGAUGAUCUCUUAUGAAAUGGUGCCUUAUGUCAAUGUGCUUGGUUCUUGAAUGUUGAACCAGAUUUUGUGUCAUCUUGAUUGCACUUUCAUUGUCACAUAGCAAAGGCACAUUCUUGAAUUUGAUUCCAAAGUCAUUCAAGGUAGCUUUCAUCCAUAGCGAUUGUGCACAACAACUACCGACACUAAUGUAUUCGGUCUCGGCGGUUGAUAGUGCAACACUAUUUUGUUUCUUUGAUGACCAUGAAACUAGAGAUCUUCCUAGCAAUUGACAAGUGCCACUUGUGCUCAUUCUAUCAAUCUUGCAUCCACCAUAGUCGGUCCCAAUAUCCAAUCAAUUCAAAGUUAGACCCCUUGGGAUACCAUAAUCCAACAUCAUGAGUGCCCUUAAGAUACAUCAAUAUCCUCUUGGUUGCUUUCAAGUGACUUUCUCUAGGUGAAGCUUGGUAUCUUGCACACUUGCACACACUAAACAUCACAUCCGGCCUUGAUGCGGUGACAUAGAGCAAACUUCCAAUCAUGGACCGGUAUAGCUUUUGAUCUACCAUGUUGCCACUUGCAUCACUACCUAAUUGAUCAUUUGUGCCCAUAGGUGUGCUCAUUGGUUUAGCUUCUUGCAACCCAAACUUCUUGAUCAUGUCCUUGAUGUACUUGCCUUGACUUAUGUCGGUGUUUUCCCCACGAGGGGUCACACCAACGAGUGAAUUUGUAUGCGUGCUUCCCUUUCCCAGAUGGUGAUGCGAAAAGACACAAAGAUUUAUCCUGGUUCGGGCAAGAGAAGGCCCUACAUCCAGCGGGGGGAGAGAGUUUGUAUUAUUUUGCACCUAAAUGCUUGUACAGGGGUGAAUACAAGCGUGGUAUGGAGUGAGAUGGAGUAUGGAAGUUCUACUGCGUAUGGGUGUAGUGUUGCGUGAUGGUGUGUUCUCUCCCGGGCCUCCCCUUUUAUAGUUCCAAGGAGUAGCCCAGGGUACAAGUAUAGGUGUUAGAGUAGGGGUCGAUAGAGGUAUGGCGCGCGGACCUACUCGAGGCCUCCGUACCGGCGUGGUCUCGAGCCGUCCCGUCCUGAUAGCUUGAUGAUGAUUACGCGUGCCCUGGUAUCCUGCUCUGUGCGCCGUCUUGGACUGGUUCAUCAGUGGCAGGCCUGUACGAUAUAGCGGCGGAUCCGUCGGAGUGGUUGCUGUGUUGCCAUUCGACGCCCAACCCUUCCCCUGGAAGGAAACGGGUCUGGUCGAGGGUCGGCUGCCGUGUAGCGCCUCACUAUCCAGAGCGUUGACCUUAGGUGUCUCUAGGGGGUCUCGAUUAGACGUUCCAUCCCUGCUUCCCGCGUCCUGACAUGCUCUGGGUUGUUUGGUGGGGAAGGCUGCAAAAAGAAUGACGGGACGGGUGCUUGUUCCCUAUCACGCUUCCCGUGACUGGCGUGUUACGUGGGAACGCUACGGGCGCAUUAAAAGCCCUGAUCCCCGUGUCCGCGUCAGGCGGCGGGCGGCGUCCCUGCGCUCGACGCCUCCCGGUUCGCUCGGGCCUAUUUCCGUAUUCGACGGUAGCUGGCGCUCGAACCAUGAUCGAUUCGCUCGACGCCCUUUCCGUCUUCGAGGCUGCGGUCGUCGACGACUGUACGCGUGACUGGGUAAUACGUCGAAUAAGGGACCUCGACUUGCGUACGGGCGAUCUCGUUAUGUACAUCAGUUAGGAUACCCCUUACUGAUAUCCUCGACAGUAGCCCCCGAGCCUCCAUUUGAGCGCUGGCGCUCGAGUGGAGGCUGUAUUUUUGUGGUCGAAUUUCCGUGGGGGCGCGCGAGCGACCCCGCGGGGGUAGCCCCCGAGCCCUUGGAGGAGUUUUUUUACUCCUUCGAGGGUUAUAUUGCCUAAUUCACAGAAGCGCUGUCGACACCAGUGGUGGAAGAUUCUGUUUGGCUUGUUUUGCGCAGGGGUUUCGAUGUACUCUCGAUAGAGCGAGCGUCAUCCACCCUAGAUUGAGCUCCUAAUGGGUAGUCCGAGUGAUAACCUAUGCCCCUUUUGAGGGUGUCAGCUGUAGCCCGGAGGCGUUCUCAUAAAGCGGGGUUGACCUGGUCGGGGAUGCUGGGCUCGUUCGAUAGAGUCCAGUGGCUCGAUGCCUCCUGUCGGGGGAUUCCUCUCGACUAUCUCAACCCUACCUCGGACAUCCCCAGCGAGUUCUCGAGGCGGGCCUCGAUUUUCGACCACUCGCUAGGCAUCCCUGACUCUAGUGCUCGAGAUCGGCUGUCGAACCCUUUCGGUGGGUCAGCCUGCGACCUCUCGAGGCUUUCGUCGGUAUGUACCUUGGCUUACAAAGGAAGGAAAAGGUCAUGGUGGUUCUCCUUUCUGCCCGUUGGGCGCGUCUUUUCAGGCGGGAGCCGUCGCGACACUGUAUCGGCGCAGAAUUCGGAGCGCCCCGUCUGUGAGGAGGAAAAAGACCGUUAGGCGGCGCAUUUAUGGGGGGAGUUACCUCAUUUAUCGGAUCUAUCCGUUGGUGGGUUGUUGCCUAUAAAUAUCCCAUUGCCUUGCCGCCGUUCUCCCUUCCGCCUUCCGCCUCCAUUCUUGCCUUAGCAACCUUGCCAUCUCACGCACGCGCGCACCCCCUCGAGUAGUAGCGAGUCCGCCUUCCGUCCACCCAAGAUGCCUGUGAGACUCGUCGCCGCCGACGACUGGCGCCCGUCGUCGAUGACGGAUCGCCGGUUGCUGGAGCUUGAGAGGGAGGGACUCCUGCGCCACUGCACAUCGCUGUCGUCGCCGGAGUGGAUUGCACCGCCAGCAGACCAUAGGGAGCCCAAGCCGCCCAAGGGCUACGUGGUCUCGUUCGCCAAGUUCCACCGCCACGGCCUGGGCGAUCCUCCGAGCAGCUUCAUGCGGCCGCUCUGCCACCAUUACGGGGUGGAGCUCCAGCACUUCUCCCCAAACGCCAUCACCAUCGCGGCGGUCUUUGCUGCGAUGUGUGAGGGCUAUUUAGGGAUGAUGCCCCACUGGGAGCUGUGGCUCCACCUUUACAGGGCGAGCUCUUCAACGCCCCCACCGGGAGCACUGGCGUGAGGAAGCUUGUGCGGGCAGGGUGCCUCAACCUUGUGCUGAAGACAGGGAAGACGGAGAGGCCACGCGAGUACAUGCCGGUGGGAUUGUCGACGAACCACGCCGGAUGGGACUCCCAGUGGUUCUAUUUGAGGAACGACGAUGAUCUCCUACCCGCCUACACCGGUCGCCUGAUCACAGAGCGCCCGGAGAACUGGACAUACGGCGUCGUCUAAGUCCACCAGUCACGGCUCGACCCCCUCCUCGAUGCCUUGAAGAAGUUGCGCGUGGAAGGCCUGACUGCCGCUCUCGUCCUCUCGACCGUCCAUCAUCGGAGGCUUCUCCCGUUGAUGUCUCGGCCGCUGAGGAUGGACGAGAUGGGUCCUGGCUCCUCGUCCCAGGACCUCGAGCCGUGCCGGAUGUCCAACGAGGCUCCGGCGGAUGACGAGGUUGCGGCCCGGGUCCGGGCGGCCGUCGCCGGCGACUUUCAGCCGAAGCACGUCAAUGGCUUCCCUAUGAGGCCUGACGAGGGGUCAAUCAAUCUGGUAAGUUUUCUUCCUGCACAUGGUUUUGAUUCUGGGUUUCCCUCGAUCUCUUUUUAAGCUUGGCUUUGACCUGGCAGGGACUGAUCGACGUUCGGACCUCGAGGCCUCCAGUGAAGGAGGACGGGGUCGACCGUGACAAGCGGCACCAGUCUGCCGACAAACAGAAGUCCGCCAAGGACUCAGAGAAGAAGGAGAAGAAGAAGAAGAAUCUCGACCACCAAGCGUUAGAGGCGCGUCGAGCUAAGUCCAGGCAAAGGGGGAGCCUAAGGAAGAAUCCCCCAGUGAGGACGACGGCAGAGACGGCGAUGACGACAGCGACAACUCCGAGGGGAUGUCGUCUCGCCUUGACCGGAUCCUUGAGGAUCCGCCUCGAGGCGAUGUCGACGCCCCGCAGACGGGGGCGCCAAAGGAGGGGCCAAGCGGAUCUCACCACCCCUGCGCUGACACCCCUCCCGCGCCUGCGCCAAGUCGGGCCGUCCCGCACCAUCAACCUCCCCCUGCGCCCACGGCGGGUGGCCUGGCUAAGCCCCAGGCGACGGGGCCGUUGACCCGUGGUCGCGCCGCGGCCUCCGAAAAGGGAGACGCUAGCUGCAGGAGCGCUAGCCCCGGCGCUCGCUAGGUGGGAGAUGUUGGACCAAGGCCUGCGCCUGCCCGUGAGGUGCCUGGAGCCUCGACGUGGGGCGGCUCGAGGCCCACCGGUCGAGGUGCCGGCAGGCGAGCCGUUCUCCCUGUGGGGUAAGUUCUUCGACGCUGCGAUUCUCAUCCUCCUGUUUCUUUGCGUUUCUCGUAUAACGGUCUCCCCUAUGCCCAUUUCUCCUUCCUUAGGUUCAAGCGGAUGCUCGAGCGGGCCCAGCCUUCAAUGGCAAAAAGGCUCAAGGUGGGGGCAGCCUCCAAGGAGUCAGGUUAGUAGCUUAUUCCCAUUGUUAUCGGAAUUGUGUCAUUCUUACGUUGACCAUCAUGAUAACUGACCUUUGUUUGGCGUUUUUUAGGUUCCCCCGACCCUCGACCACCGACUGGCACCGAGAAAGCCCUGCCCCGUCCUCUGGCGGGCGAGUCCGCUCCCUUGUCGCCAAACCGGGUCGAGGCACCUCACCCCCAGGGUAGGAGGGAGCCCCCGAGCCCCCCGUUCUGGGGUCGUGGGGGACCCUAUCACCAUAAGUGAUGGGUCUGGCGGCGACGGGACUUCGAGGGAUGCCCGUCCUAUGGACGAGGAGGCCCAGACUUCUCACAUCGCGAGACGGACGUCUUGGCCCGCCGGGCUUCGCUCCAUCGAGGAGCAGAGGAAGAAAGAGGAGGAGGAGCGUGGGAAGAGGCGCGACAGCAGUCGCAGGAGGAAUAAUAGCUGCUGCCAACAGGUGGAGAGGUGGGGCAGCCGCCAGCAGGUCCCCAGCUCGAGGAGCCGUAGGAGCCCCAGCAGCAGCAGCAGCAGCAGAGGGGCCGGCCGUCGGAGGAGCCGCUCGAGCCUCCUCCUCACAGUCCGCCCCAACCGGUACUACCGGCGCCGCAAGAGCCCAAGAACCAGGAGGAGGGUCUGCCAGUUUUUGGCCCUCCGACCCCGGCGUGGCUCCGUCCAGGGGCGCCCGCCGCGAUCCCAGCAGAGUCGGGGCGGGCGGACGGCGUGGUGGCGCUCGCCUGCAUGAUGCGCACCCCCGUCGACCCCGAGUCCGAGAUCAGGAGGACGAUCUACGGUAUGGACGGAAUCGCCCCGGGAUUCCUCCGAGAGCGUCGAUCGUGGGAGGACCGUAUUCCCACCGAGGAGGACGAGGCUGGGACAUCGGGCGGUGGUGGAGGUAGUGAAACCGGCACCUGGAAGACGGUGGAUGACAACGGGCGGUUCCCCUCCCUCGUCGACUUGUUCCUGCACCACGGGGGGUCACUCGAGACCAUCGAGGAGCUCAUCCGCGGCGUCAAGGCGUGGGCCGACCAGCAGAUGGAGAACUGGUGCCCCGAUUGGAUUUGUAUCCGGGCUUCCACCGAUCCGCCUGAGCCCAACAUUUUUCAAGACGAUCGGAAGGAAGCCGAGAAGUGGGAGCACGUCGAGGAGCUCCGCCUUUGGAUGAAGCACACGGUGGGGUUCCUGUCGGACGUUGUUAACAAUGGACUCAGGCCGGCCAACUUUGUGAGUAUUUCCCAGUCCUUUAAUCUCUAUGGAAUGUUUGGUUUUGUGUUCUAACUGCUCGAUCGCCGGUUCGUAGGACCUGAAGGAGACCUCCCGCAUUAAGUCGAGCUUCAUCCACGCCACGAGAGGCGGCUAGGAGCAGCUCCCCCUCCUCAAGGACCAACUCCUGGAGUCACAGGAGAAACUCCUCAAGGCUUAUAAAGAGCUCUUGGCGCUCGAGGAGGAGAAGAAGGAGAGGGAGGCUGCUUUGGUCGAGGCUCGAGAGGCUUCAAGGAAAGCUGUGGAAGACGCUGCGCUACUAAGGGAGCGGGCCAUGAUGGUCGAGGAAGCCGCGUCCAAAGCCCGGGAGGAGGCCCUGUCCUACAAGAACGUCGUUGCUGACCUAGACAAGGAGAAGGGCCUCCUCAAGACCGACCUGGACUCCAUCCGAGAAUCCUUUCAAAGGAUGAAGGUGGAGUGUGUGAACAGCAAGAUCGCCAGGAGCGCCGCGGAGGAGGCAAAGAGGAAGGCCCUCGAAGACCUCGAGGAGGAGCGGGCUCGAUCUCGCAGCCUUUCUGAUGACGUUGAUCGUCUAAAGAGAGCGCUGCGGGAGAAAGACGGGGCCAUUCGCAAGCCGGCAAGGCGAUCGAAGAUCUACGUGUCGCCAACACCGAGCUGGCACACUCCAACAGAGAGGUCGAGAGGGCCAACACUAACUUGGUCGGCGAGAACACGGCUCUGGAGGAGAGCAUCCGCGGUAUGUUUUCUACUAUCGAAUUUCUUUUCUGAGGUGUGUUUGGUGUUAGCUAAUUUCCUCAUGUUGGUCUUUGCAGUUCUUAAAGAUGAGCUGCUGACCGCCCAAGUCGAGGCUCGCUCCGCCAAGGCCCAGCUCGAGGGGGAGGUCGCUCUGAACCGUCGGCUGCGGACGGCGAUAAACGAUCUCUCGACCUCUUGGGAGGUCGAGCCUAUGGACGAAUCGAGGGAGGAGGCUCGAGGCGACGCACUCAUCGACCAGCUAUGCUACCUUGGAGCUAUGCUGAGGGACCGAGUGCGGGACGCUCUUCACGUCGGAGUGAAGCGGGCGAUGGCGGUAGUCUGCUCGGGCUUUUCUUACGACAUGGAGGUGGUGUCCCACGGCUUCAUCACCGACAUCUCCAAGACUGACGCGGAGAACGAGGAGAGCCUCCAUGCCUUGAUCGAUGACGCGGAGGUUCCAAGGGAGAGGUUGGCUAAGUUGUUUGAGCCAGAAGUACUUCCUCCUGAGACUAGCUCAGGCGUGGGUGAGGAUGGUGAGGGUCGAGACGCGGACUGAGGCCUGCGAGCCUACUCUGGGUGCUAAGGCCCUUUGUAUAGUCUUUUGUUUAAAGCGGUCUCGAUCGCCUCAAGGGUGAGGAAGCGAGUAGAGUUUCCAUAGCUUGGGGGCAUAGGAGUUCUCAGGUUCGUUGUCACUCGGCCCUUAAGGGGCUCGAGGUGCCUCAACUACUCGUCCGUGCAAGGUUUACUAAGUAGGGACGAAAAAAUUGCUAAGUUUUUCGGUGCUUGGGGGGGAUCCCCUUGCUAGCCCCCGAGGAAGUGUCGACUAUGAUGUGUCAUAGUUGGUACUCCCUUUUGACGUCUAGGCUUUGACCCGUAGAAAAGUAAGUUACUCGUGGGAAAGAUCUUAUUUAUGCAUUCACUCAUAAGGCUUUGAUACAUAAUGUACAUGGUAACAUAAAGCCUUGGAAUUCUAGGGGUAGAAUCGACGUAGCUGUUCGAUGUUCCAUGCGUUGGUGAAGAUCGCGCCUUUUUCGUCCGCCAGCUUGUACAUUCCUGGCUUCAGGACCUCGACCACCAUGUAUGGGCCUUCCCAGGGCGGAGUCAGCUUGUGGCGUCCUUGAUUGCUCUUCCACCGACGUAGGACAAGGUCGCCCACGUUUAGAUCUCUUUUCCGCACGUGCUUGUCGUGGUAGCGUCGAAGUUCCUGCUGGUAUCUGGCAGAGUUGAGGAGGGCCAUGUCUCGAGCUUCCUCGAGUUGGUCGACCGCGUUCUCUUGAGUCUCUUUAUUUGAUUGCUCGUUGUAUGCUUUGAGUCGAGGGGAUCCAUACUCGAGGUCCGUUGGGAGCACAGCCUCAGAGCCAUAGACCAUGAAGAAUGGGGUGUAUUUUGUGGCCCUGCUCGGCGUCAUCCUUAAGCUCCAUAGGACCGAGGAAAGCUCCUCGACCCAUUUCUUGCCAAAUUUCUUCAAGCGAUUGUAGAUCCUUGGUUUGAGCCCCUGCAAAAUCAUGCCGUUGGCACGCUCGACUUGGCCGUUAGUUCGAGGGUGGGCCACCGCAGACCAGUUCACACGGAUGUGAUGCUGAUCGCAAAAGUCCAAGAAAUUUUUGCCGGUGAACUGAGUGCCGUUGUCGGUGAUGAUGACGUUGGGAAUCCCAAACCGGUGGAUGAUGUCGGUGAAGAAAAGGACGGCCUGCUCGGAGCGGAUGUUGGUGAUGGGUCGAGCCUCGAUCCAUUUGGAAAAUUUGUCGAUGGCCACCAGCAAGUGGGUGUUCCCCCCUUUUGCCUUCUGUAGAGGUCCUACUAAGUCGAGCCCCCACACCGCAAAUGGCCACAUGAUGGGGAUCAUUUGGAGAGCGUGCGCGGGCAGAUGUGUCUGCUUGGCGUAGAAUUGACACCCAUGGGAUGAGCGUACGAGCUUGAUGGCAUCAGCUACGGUCGUUGGCCAGUAGAAGCCUUGUCAGAAGGCGUUCCCUACGAGGGUCCGAGGAGCAGCAUGGUGGCCACAAGCCCUGGAGUGUAGAUCCUCAAGUAGUUUUCGGCCCUCUUCUACGGUGAUGCAACGCUGUAAGACCCCCGUCGGGCUACGUCGAUAUAGCUCAUUGUCCUCGCCAUAGAUUACAUAUGACUUGGCCCGUCGAGCAAUACAGCAGGCCUCGGAUCGAUCUUCUGGUAGUUCGCAGCGGAUUAGGCAGUCGAGGAACGGCGUGCGCCAAUCAAACGGUCGACUGGGCCACUGUUCCACCUCCAUUACCUCAGCUGCCAUUAGUAGCGCUUCGACGGUGUCGGUUUGCUGGGUAGGAACUGCUUCAACACCAGCCCCCGAGCCCAAGUCGAUAGAUGGCUCGUGUAAAUCUCUUGAGAACGUGUCAGGUGGGACUGUGCCUCGAGUCGACGCGAUCUUGGCAAGUUCGUCGGCCGCCUCGUUGUAGCAUCGGGCGACGUAGGCAAGCUCGAGGCCGUGGAACUUGUCCUCGAGUCGACGGACUUCCUUGCAGUACGCUUCCAUUUUUGGGUCGUGGCAGCUCGAGGCGGCUCGAUGGCGAUCUUUAGACCAUUGACAAGGGCCUCGUAUUCUGCGACGUUGUUGGACGCAGCAAAAUGUAUCCUGAUGACAUAUCUCACAUGGACACCUAAGUGUGAGAUGAAUAGCAGGCCCGCCCCAGCUCCCGUCUUCAUGAGAGACCCAUCGAAAUACAUCGUCCAUAGCUCUGACUGAACCUGAGCCGGGGGGAGCUAGGAGUCUGUCCAUUCCGCGACGAAAUCCACCAGGGCUUGUGACUUGAUAGCUUUACGGGGCGCAUAAGUGAGAGUCUCACUCAUGAGCUCGACCGACCAUUUGGCAAUUCUCCCCGUGGCUUCUCGACUUUGGAUGAUCUCGCCUAAGGGGAAAGACGAGACCACCGUGAUAGGGUGGCCGAGGAAGUAGUGCUGCAGCUUGCGUCGGGCGAGUAUUACGGCGUAGAUUAGCUUUUGGAUUUGUGGGUAACGCGCCUUGGUCUCUGAGAGUACCUCGCUUAUGAAAUAGACUGGCCUCUAGACUGGCAGUGCAUGCCCCUCCUCCUGCCUCUCGACCACUACUGCUGCACUGACGACCUGGGUUGUCGAUGCGACGUAUAGAAGCAGAGGUUCUGCGGGCUGAGGCGGGACUAGCACUGGUGCAGAGGUUAGUGUUUUCUUCAAGUUAUGGAGUGCUUCCUCAGCCUCUGGGGUCCAAGAGAAACGCUCGACUUUCUUCAGAAGUCGAUCAGUGGCAACGCAUUUUCUCCCAACCUCGAGAUAAAACGACUCAGCGCCGCUAGGCAUCCCGUGACUCUCUGCACGCCCUUGAUGUCUCGGAUCGGCCCCAUUCUUGUGAUGGCCGAGACUUUCUCGGGGUUGGCCUCGAUGGCGCGCUGGGAAACGAUGUAACCCAGGAGCAUGCCUCGAGGUACGCCGAAAACGCACUUCUCAGGGUUGAGCUUGAUCUGGUUGGCGCGUAAGUAGCUGAAAGUGAUCUCGAGGUCCUGGAUCAGGUCCCCCCGCCGCUUUGACUUGACGAUGAUGUCGUCGACAUAGGCCUCGACCGUCGACCCUAUGUGCUUGCCAAACACGUGGAGCAUGCAAUGCUGAUAUGUGCCUCCCACGUUUCGUAGCCCGAACGGCAUGGUUACAUAACAAUACAUCCCAAAAGGUGUAAUGAAAGAGGUCGCGAGCUGAUCGGACUCUUUCAUUUUUAUUUGGUGGUAACCAGAAUAUGCAUCAAGGAAAGAAAGAGUUUCACAUCCCGCAGUACAAUCAACAAUUUGAUCAAUACGUGGUAAUGGAAAAGGAACUUUCGGACAUGCUUUAUUUAAACUCGUGUAAUCGACACACAUCCUCAUUUUUCCCAUUCUUUUUCUUAACUAGUACAGGAUUUGCUAACUAGUCGGGAUGGUGAACCUCCUUGAUGAAUCCAGCCGUCAAAAGCUUUUGGAUCUCCUCGCCAAUGAUCUUGCACUUCUCCUCAUCGAAGCGGCGCAACCGUUGCUUCACUGGCUUGGAACCGGCUUGAAUUUCCAAGGAGUGCUCGGCGACCUCCCUCGGUAUGCCCGACAUGUCCGAGGGACUCCAUGCAAACAUGUCGGCGUUCGCACGGAGAAAGUCGACGAGCACAGCUUCCUAUUUGGGGUCGAAGUCGGCGCUGAUCGUCAGCGCCUUGCCGUCAGAGUCGUUGGGGUUGAGCGGGAUCUUCUUGGUUCCUUCCGCCGGCUCGGAGCUGCCCGCGUGGCGCUUGGGCUCAGGAGCCUCUACGGCUAGGGCCUCGAGCUUCAAGGUGAGCUCAGUGGAACUCUCGACUGCUUCCCCAUACUCGACGCAUUAGACGUCGCACUCGUAUGCGUGCUCGAAGGAGGAGCUGACGGUGAUGGUGCCUUUGGGACCGGGCAUCUUCAGCUUCAGGUAGGUGUAGUUGGGAAUAGCCAUGAAUUUGGCGUAGCCCGGGCGCCUGAUGAUGGCGUGGUACGUGCCUCGGAACCCCACCACCUCAAAGGUGAGGGUCUCCUUUCUAAAAUUGGCCGCUGUGCCAAAGCAGACCGGUAUGUCGAUUCGACCUACCGGCAACGCCUUCUUCCCUUGUACGACGCCGUGGAAUCCACCAGCGCUUGGCUAGAGCUGCACCCUGUUGAUGCCGAGGAGGUCGAGGGUCUCGAGGUAGAUGAUGUUGAGGCUGCUGCCGCCGUCCAUCAGCACUUUUGAGAGCCGGGUGUUGACGAUGAUGGGGUCAACGACGAGCGGGUAGACGCUAGGGGCAACUACCUUGUCGGGGUGGUCCUCUCGAUCGAAGGUGAUGGGGGUGCUCGACAAGCUGAGGUACUGGGGCACCGCCAUUCUCGCUGCGAAGACCUCACGGUGUUCCCUCUUGCGCUGUCUUGCGGUCAGCUGCGUUGAGGGACCUCCGUAGAUCAUGUAGCAGUCGUGGACGGCAGGGAAGCCGUCGUCGUCUUUAUUGUCCUCCUUGUCGACGCCCUUCUCCUUCUUUGGGUCGUCGCACGCGUCCUUCUUGAACCCCAGACCGUCGAAAUUCUUUUUCAGCAUCCGACAGUCCUCGAGCUUGUGGUUGGCUCCUCCCUUGUGGAAAGGGCAUGGCUCCUUUAGCAUCUUAUCGAAGAUGCCCCCGUCUGGAGGGCCUCGAGGCCUUUUGCGCUCUAUGGCGGCGACAAGAUCGUCGUCGUGGUCUUCCCGUAGGAACGGCCGUGUUUUCUUCUUCUUUUUGUUCUUCUUGGGCCCUCGACUGGGGGCCCUCAUCAUCAUCGGCGGGCGGCUUGCCUUUUCUUCAUUCACAGCUGAAGAAGGCGCCGACCGCUUCUUCCCCUGCAGCAUAGUUGGCCACCACGUCCAUCAGCUUGUCGACGGUCUGAGGGCGAUUUCGGCCUAAUUCCCGCACCAAGUCUCGACUGGUGGUACCAGAGACAAAGGCCAGGAUGACGUCGUGGUCGGGGAUGUGCGGUAGCUCGCUGCGUUGCUUUGAGAAGCGUCGAGCGUACUCUCGAAGAGUUUCUCCUGACUUCUGCUUGCACUUGCUGAGGUCCCACGAGUUUCCAGGCCGUAUGUAAGUCCCUUUGAAGUUACCCUCGAAUAGUCUAACCAAAUCGACCCAGUCGUGGAUCUGAUCAGCUGGAAGCUCCUCGAGCCACCUGCGGGCGGUGUCGGAGAGGAAGAGUGGCAGCUGUCUGAUGAUGGCUCGAUCGUCUCCUCGAGCGCCUCCCAGCUGACAGGCCAGCCUGAAGUCUGCCAGCCACAGCUCUGGUUUGGUUUCACCAUUGUACUUUGCGAUGCUAGUCGGGGGUCGAAACGGGCUGGGCAGUGGCGUGCUGCGGAUUGCCCUGCUGAACACCCGUGGACCUGGUGGCUCUGGGGCCAUCCGGUCCUCAUCGCUGUCGUACCUCCCACCGCGAUGGGCGCUGUAACCGCGCUCUUCCGCGUCCCCGUACCAACGGCGACGAUUCUCUUCAAUGUCGCGUCCUGUGUCGUGUCGACGUUGGUUGUCGACGGGGAGGACGAGCGUUGUCUUUUUCCCUCGAGGGGGGCGGCUGCUGAUGGACCGAUACCUCCAGUUCGUUUUGGGCUGGCUCAUCGCGCUUUUCAGUGGCUGCUCCUCGACGUCGAGAAGCCGAGCUUUCGGCUUGCUGAACUGCCGCUACCUGGAGCAGAGUCUGCACUCCAUCUCAGAUGCGUCGGGCUUGGGAGUUCGACGGCUCUGGCAUGUUUCGCAGUAGCAUUAUUGCUGCCACCACGUUCUGGCCUGCUCGAGGGAAACGGCUGACGAGCUGCUCAGGCUCUGCGUCUCCGACGAUCUGCCGGUGGACCUCUCGAGCUCGUCUGUGGACACUUCCGCCAGGCGGGUAAGGCAGGUCCUGCUCGAGGAUUUGUUCAAGCAGGACAAGGCACUCGCGAUCCUCGUCAAGCUUUGCCUUAAGCUCUCAUAGCUGCGCAAUUUGUGCGGCUCUGUCUUCUUGUGGAGGGGGGUCGACCUGACCGUCAUUCGCAGGCGUCCUGGGGUCUUCCCUUGUUGCAGGGGCUCGCCCGCCUGCAACGGCGUCUUGUGUCUCGUCGGUGGUUUCCACUGCUCUGUCGAUAUGGAAGCACUCCCUAGUAGGGUCGUGGCUGUCGGAUUCUGAGCCGGAGUCCGGCUCGGCGGCGUAGAAGCAUCCGCGUCCUUCCUCCAGCAGCCGCUGUUUGAGGGAGGUAAUCGUGUACCACCCAGGGCCUAGGCGGCGGAGGCCUCGUACCUGGGAGAAAUCCAGUAGCUCGGAUGUCGGUCGCUGUGCUCCAGGGUCGCGUGGGAGGACAAUUGGUCUCUCCACGUACGUCUCGGCGUUUGGGCAUAUCGCCCUGGCGAGCGACGCUGCGGCAUUGUCAAGGCUGAACGGCAAUGCUCUUCUUGAGGCGAACAGCCCGUGUGGAAGUAGCCUGGGGGAGAGAGCGUGGGGCGCGUCGCCUCCUGUCGUCGUGUGAUCUUCGCGGCGCUGAGCCUUCAUGCCCACGGCUCCGGCACACGGUGCUGUCGGCUCCUGUGUCGCCUCCUGCCUGGCACGAACCGCCGGUCGUGACGAGGCGGAAGGGUGAUGGUGGUGCUGUCCAUGCCUCUUCUUGGGCAGAGAGGCGUGGUGGCGAGGGCGUCUCGGGGCCCUCAACCGUGUUGGCGCAAUGCGGGCUCCUCCCGGUCCUUUGAUCGAGAGCAAGAUCAUAUCGUAGCCGGAGCCAGUAGACAUGAACUCGAGACUCCCAAACCAAAUCACCGUGGAGCGUGGAAUCGGUGAAGAAAGAGUGGCCAUCUGGAAAAAGAAUGUGAAAUUGAUGAAAAACACACAGGACCCCUACCUGGCGCGCCAACUGUCGGUGUUUUCCCCACGAGGGGUCACACCAACGAGUGAAUUUAUAUGCGUGUUUCCCUUUCCCAGAUGGUGAUGCAAAAAGACACAAAGAUUUAUCCUGGAUCGAGCAAGAGAAGGCCCUACGUCCAGUGGGGGGAGAGAGUUUGUAUUAUUUUGCACCUAAGUGCUUGUACAGGGGUGAAUACAAGCGUGGUAUGGAGUGAGAUGGAGUAUGGAAGUUCUACUGCGUAUGGGUGUAGUGUUGCGUGAUGGUGUGUUCGCUCCCGGGCCUCCCCUUUUAUAGUUCCAAGGAGUAGCCCAGGGUACAAGUAUAGGUGUCAGAGUAGGGGUCGAUAGAGGUAUGGCGCGCGGACCUACUCGAGGCCUCCGUACCGGCAUGGUCUCGAGCCGUCCCGUCCUGAUAGCUUGAUGAUGAUUACGCGUGCCCUGGUAUCCUGCUCUGCGCACCGUCUUGGACUGGUUCAUCGGUGGCACGCCUGUACGAUAUAGCGGCGGAUCCGUCGGAGUGGUUGUUGUGUUGCCAUUCGACGCCCAACCCUUCCCCUGGAAGGAAACUGGUCUGGUCGAGGGUCGGCCGCCGUGUAGCGCCUCGCUAUCCAGAGUGUUGACCUUAGGAGUCUCGAGGGGGUCUCGAUUAGACGUUCCAUCCCUGUUUCCCACAUCCUGACAUGCUCUGGGUUGUUUGGUGGGGAAGGCUGCAAAAAGAAUGACGGGACGGGUGCCUGUUCUCUAUCACGCUUCCCGUGACUGGCGUGUUAGGUGGGAACGCGACAGGCGCAUUAAAUGCCCUGAUCCCCGUGCCCGCGUCAGGCGGCGGGCGGCGUCCCUGCGCCCGACGCCUCCCGGUUCGCUCGGGCCUGUUUCCGUAUUCGACGGUAGCUGGCGCUCGAACCCUGAUCGAUUCGCUCGACGCCCUUUCCGUCUUCGAGGCUGCGGUCGUCGACGACUGUACGCGUGACUGGGUAAUACGUCGAAUAAGGGACCUCGACUUGCGUACGGGCGACCUCGUUAUGUACAUCAGUUAGGAUACCCCUUAUUGAUAUCCUCGACAACUUAUAAAAGUGCCAUCCUUCAUUUGCUUGAUUCGAACACCAAGGAAGUAACUAAGCUCUCCAAUCAUGGACAUCUCAAACUCAUUUGCCAUCAUUCUUCCAAACUCUUCACAAAAGUCUUGAUUGGUUGAUCCAAAAAAGAUAUCAUCAACAUAGAUUUGCAACACAAAUAAGUCCUUGCCUAGCUUUUUGGUGAAGAGGGUAGUGUCAACCUUUCCCAUCUUGAACCCUUUAGAGUGAAGGAAAUCUCUCAAUCUCUCAUACCAUGCUCUAGGUGCUUGCUUCAAACCAUACAAUGCCUUCUUAAGCUUGUAAACAUGGUUGGGUUUCUUGUCAUCUUCAAAACCGGGAGGUUGUUCAACAUAAACCAACUCAUUGAUGUAUCCAUUGAGAAAUGCACUCUUCACAUCCAUUUGAUAGAGCUUGAUGUUGUGGGCACAAGCAUUGGUUAAUAAUAUUCUAAUUGCCUCCAAUCUUGCAACCGGUGCAUAAGUUUCUCCAAAGUCAAGACCUUCAACUUGAGUGUAGCCUUGUGCUACUAAUCUUGCUUUGUUUCUCACAACUACACCAUCUUUAUCUUGCUUGUUUCUAAAGACCCACUUGGUACCAAUCACAUUGUAGUUCUUUGGCCUCUCAACAAGCUCCCACACUUGAUUUCUUGUGAAGUUGUUCAAUUCUUCAUGCAUGGCAUUUGCCCAAUCGGAAUCUUUCAAUGCAUCUUAUAUCUUCUUUGGUUCCUCAAAUGAGACAAAUGAGUAGUGCUCACAAAAGGAUGCUAGCCUUGAUCUUGUUUGCACACCACUUUGAAUUCCACCAAUGACUUGAUCCAAUGGAUGAUCUCUUGCUAUGCUUGUAGGUUGGAGUAUUGGGAGUUGAUUGCUUCCACUUGCUUGACUUUGAUUUUGAUCAUCAUCAUGAGAGCCACUAGUACUUGCUUGAUUUGUAUCAAUUUGCACUUCUUGAUUGAUCAUGUGUAUGUCAUUAUCAUCAUCAACUUGCCUCGGCCUUAUGUCACCUACAUCCAUGUUCUUCAUUGCAUUUGCCAAUUGAUCUCCUCUCACAUCAUCAAGAUUUUGAGCUUCAUUUUGAGAUCCCUCAGUUUCAUCAAACUCAACAUCAUGGACUUCUUCCAAUGUGCCACUUGCCAAGUUCCAAACUCUAUAUGCCUUGCUUGUGGUGGAAUAAACAAGUAAGAACCCUUCAUCACAUUUCUUCUCAAACUUGCUCAACCUAGUGCCUUUCUUGAGAAUAUAGCAUUUGCAUCCAAACACUCUAAAGUAUGCAAUGUUGGGCUUUCUUCCAUUCAAUAGCUCAUAUGGUGUCUUCCCAAGCUUCCCAUGGCAAUAGAGACGGUUGCUACAAUAGCAAGCCGUGUUGAUAGCCUCACUCCAAAAUGAAUGGCUAACAUUGUAUUCACUAAGCAUUGAUCUAGCCAUAUCAAUCAAGGUUCUAUUCUUCCUUUCAACUACACCAUUGGAUUGAGGAGUGUAUGUUGGAGAGAAUUGAUGUCCAAUGCCAAGAUCAUCACACAAUUCCUCAAUUCUUGUGUUCUUGAAUUCACUACCAUUGUCACUUCUAAUCUUCUUGAUAGUGGUUUCAAACUCAUUUUGCACCCUCUUGACAAAAGACUUGAAUAUAUCACAAACAUCACUCUUGUCAUAGAGGAAGAACACCCAAGUAUAUCUAGUGUAGUCAUCAACUAUCACAAAUCCAUACUUGUUGCCACCAAUGCUAGUGUAUGUUGUUGGACCAAAUAGAUCCAUGUGCAAUAGCUCAAAUGCCUUUGAUGUGCUCAUUUCAUUUUUCUUAGGAUGUGCAUUUCCAACUUGCUUUCUGGCUUGACAAGCACUACAAGGUUUAUCUUUCUCAAAGGUGACAUCCUUUAAGCCUCUAACUAAGGCAUGCCUCAAUAGUUUGUUCAAUUGUUUCAUUCCAACAUGACCAAGCCUUCUAUGCCACAACCAACCCAAACUUGAUUUGCUAAUUAGGCAUGAUGUCAAUUGAGUGUCACUAUCAUUAAAAUCAACCAAGUAUAAGCUACCAUGCCUAAAUCCUUUGAAUAUCAAGUUUGAUCCAUCAACACUAACCACCUCAACAUCAUCACUUCCAAAGAUGCACUUGAAACCAAGGUCACAAAGUUGUGCAAUUGACAAGAGAUUGAAAUCUAGGCUCUCAACUAGCAACACAUUUGAUAUGCUCAUGUCAUUUGAGAUAGCAAUUUUACCAAGCUCUUUGACCUUGCCUUUCUUGUUGUUGCUGAAAGUGAUAGAAUCAAAGCCACCAUUUUGAUUUGUAUCAAUUGAUUUGAACAUACAAGACUCUCCGGUCAUAUGUUGAGUGCACCCACUAUCAAGCACCCAAUGCCUUCCUCCGGCUUUGUAAUUGACCUACAAGACAAGAUCAAUUCUUUUUAGGUACCCAAACUUGAUUGGGUCCUCUAAGGUUAGCAACUAAGCUCUUUGGUACCCAAAUGGCUUUCUUCUUUGAUCCCAUCCAUGGUGCACCAAUGAACUUAGCAUGAACACCUUUUGUAUCCUUGGUAAGCACAUAGAAAGAAUUAAGCUUAAUUGAGGAUACAUUAGCUUUGAGUUUCUUGUUCAUGCAUUGUUGCUCUAGGUGACCAACUUGCUUGCAAGCUUUGCAAUACCGGCCAUUGUUCUUCACAAAACUAGUCUUGUGAGGAGCAAAGGCAGCCUUGCCUUUCUUGGGGUUAUAGCCCAAUCCCUCUUUAUAGAGAGAAGCUCUUUGGCUACCCAAGCACAUAAGCAAGCGGUCCUCACCACCAUAAGCCUUGGCUAAGGUGUGAUUGAGCUCUUUCACCUCCUUCUUGAGAAUUUCAUUCUCAACUUUUAGUGUGGUCUCACAUGUGAAACCAUCACCACUAGAUGAGGAUGAUGUAGACGUGCUACAUGAAGGGUUACUGGAAGCAAUAACAAUAGGCUUACUCAAGAUAUCACAUGUUAUGCCUAUGUUGCAAGUUUGAGCUUUUUCAAUUUUAGUUGGCUCAUUUUUACACUUGUUAACUAGAGAGGAGUGAGCUCCUUCAAGCUUAGUGUGAGCCUUUUGAAGCUUCUUAUGGUAUUCCUUUAGACUCUCAUAAGAUGCUCUAAGCUCAUCAAGUUCUUGCUCAAGGGUUUUCUUAUCCUUAAGCAAGGCCUUGCACUCCUUUCUAGUUUCUUUAUAGUGAUGAGUGCAAUCUUCUAGCAUAGUGAUUAGUUCAUCUUUAGUUGGUUCAUCAUCAUCACUAUCACUAUCACUAUCAUGGUCACUCUCAUCAUGGGAUGAUACCUUAGUGGCCUUAGCCAUGAAGCAUGAUGGAGUGUCGAAGAUGGAGCUUUUUCCUUGAAUUGCAUGCACCUUCUUCUUGGUGCUCUCAUCAUCACUUGAGGAGUCAUCACUAUCCCAAGAUGCAACAUGGGCAUCACCCUUCUUCUUGUUUGAGCCUUCCUUCUUUUCUUGCUUCUUCUUUUUCUUCUUUCUUUCCUUCUUGAUAGCAUCUUCAACAUCGCUAUCAUAAGUACACUUGGCGAUGAGAUGAUCCUUGCUAUGGCAUCUAAAGCACCUCAUGGAAUGGUCAUUCUUCUUUGAGGAACUCUUCUUCCUUCUUGCCCGAUAGCCUUUCUUCUUCAUAAACUUGCCAAAUCUCUUGACAAGAAGAGCCAUCUCCUCAUCUUCAUCACUAUCACAAGAGCUUGCUUCUUCUUCACUUGAUGAUUCUUGCUUGGCUUUGCCCUUGGAUGUGGAGGCCUUAAAUGCCGCACUUUUCUUCUUCUCAUCAUCUUUCUUCUCACCAUCCUUCUUCUUCUUCUUGAUCAACUCAUCCUUUUCAUCAUCUUCUCUAUAGGCAUCAUCGGUCAUCUGGAAGACUUGUUGGGGAGUUGAUUCACUAAGUGUUGUCUUGACUAGCACAGUGAUCAAUGUGUCAAAUCUCUUGGGCAAGCUUCUCAAGAACUUCAUAGAGAAUUGACUAUCCUUCACUUCUUCCCUAAGUGCCUUGAGCUCAUUCACAAUAACUUGCAACCGGUGAAACAUCUCCGACACACUUUCAUCUUCUUGCAUCUUGAAGCUUGAGAACUUCUAUUGGAGGAUGUAAGCUUUUGCGGUCUUAGUACCUUUGGUGCCUUCAAAUGAUUCUUCUAAUUUUGCCCAUGCAUCAUGAGCAACCUCAAUGUUCUUGAUUUGCUCAAAGGUCUUGUCAUCAAGAGCUUCAUGAAGAGCACUAAUUGCAAUGUCAUUGCAUUGAAGCUUCUUUUCUUCAACUGGUGUAGGUGCAUUCUCAUUUGCAACCUCAAACUUUGUUUCGGUCACCUUCCAAACUUCUCUAUUGAUUGACUUGAGAUGGGCAGUCAUCUUGACCUUCCAAUAAGCAUAAUUGGUGCCAUCAAAGUAAGGUGCCUUCUUAGUGUUGUUGAUAUGCAAACUAAGAGCCAUUUCUUCACCGUAAGUUGUUAAGCCUCAAAUAAACGGUGCCUCGGCUCCGAUACCACUUGAAAGGUCCAAAUGGCUAGAGGGGGGGUGAAUAGCCUAUUUAAAAUUUCUACAAACUUCACUAAGCAAGUGAGUUAGUAAAACAAAUGGCGAAGCAAUUCUAGCACUAGCUCAACUAAGCUAUGCAAACCACCUAUACAAACUAGUACAAGGCUAAACACUAAAGCACAACAACAAGAGAGCUAAGCUAAACAAGCUACACAACUAGCAAGGUAUGCACAAAAGUAAAGGAGAGGUGAGUGAUUGUUAUACCGACAUUGUAGAGUAGAAAUAUAGCCAAUCAAUCAAUCACAACUAUAAUAGAAUCCUCGGCAAGAGAUGACACAAGAUUUUUUACCGAGGUUCACUUGCUUCCCGGCAAGCUAGUCCUCGUUGUGGCGAUACACCCACUUGAUGGAUCACGAGCUAAUUGGCAAUCCAAAGCCAAACCCUCAGCGGGUGCCGCACAUCCACUCACAAGAUGGGGAUCCUCCAAGCCACGAGCAAUCCACUAGAGUAGCCAAUUGCGAUUUCCCACGGGGAAGGCUCAAGAACCCCUCACAAAUCACUUGGUGAGGCUCGAAACAAUCUCCAAUCACAAGCUCAACACCACCGCUGCUCCAAGCCGUCUAGGGCGUCGGGAAACACCCAAGAGUAACAAGAAAUCCGCAGCAAACUCAAGAAUCAAGUGCCACUAAAUGCAACUCUCAAAGCAAUGCACUUGAACCUCACUCAAUCUCACUAGGAUGAGCAAUCAAGCAAGGAGAUGAGUGGUGGGAAUGCUCUCUAGCUCAAUGUAUGUCUCAAGUAAUCAAAAUGUGCAUGAGUUAUCCUCCCAAAGCCGGCCACCCUCAAUUUAUAAGCCCCUCAAAGAAACUAGCUGUUGGCCAUUUUUAUUGGGCUGAAAUCGGGGGCACCGAACGCUACUAAGUGAGCACCGAACGCUCGACUCCCUGCGUCCGGUGCACUGGAGUUAGCCACGUGUCCGUCCUGAAACUCGCGUGUCAGAUCCUAACGGUCACCUACGGAUCACCGGACGCUCUGCAGGUCCACACCGGACGCGUCCGGUGCACACCGGACUCAUGCGCAGAGAGUUCCGCAAACCUGCGGGUCACCGGACGCUAAGCACCGGUAGCGUCCGGUGCUCACCGGACCCGCAAAACACCCGCACACCGGACGCUAACCACCGGACGCUCUCAGAGUGCGUCCGGUGCUCAACCCUAGCAGGGUCAAGCACACCGGACGCUGGCCUCAGAGUCCGAGCUCGGCGGGAGGGAGAGAGGAACCCACACCCCUCUCAACCAUAGGAACUCCACCUCCUCUGCAAAUGUGCUAACACCACCAAGUGUUCUCCACCAAAGUGCAUGUGUGUUAGCUUUUCACAAACAUUUUCACCAAAGGAGUUAAGUUAGCACUUUACUAGAUCCUAAUGCAUAUGCUCAAGAUAUGGAUCUAGUAGCACUUGAUUCGAGAGAUGACCGUGAUUUCCCCUCUUGAUAGUCGGCUAUCUAUCCUAAACCCGGUCAAUCACUUCUCUACUCAUCUUAGACCGGCAAAAGUAAAACCCUAUGUUUAUACCUUUGCCUUGAUAACUUUGCUCCUCGUCUAUCACCAUGAUCUUCACUUCAUGCUUCAUCUCUUUGUGAUCAUGUGGCCACCUCUCCAUACCACCAUGCACCUUCAUCACAUGUGUUGCUAUGCCUAACUCAAAUCACUUAAACACAAAGCAUUAUGUCGAGGGUAUCAACAAGGGGUACCCUCACCAACGCGUAUAACGAAACCAUCCGUACAUAAAACUAGCGCCUCGAUUCCACGCUCCGUCCGCACACACGCACGACCAUCGACGACCGUAGCCUCGAAGACGGAAAUAGCGUCGAGCGAAUCAAUCAGGCGUCGAGCUCUGGACAACGUCGAAUACGGAACAGGCUCCCGCGAAUCGGGAGGCGUCGAGCGCAAGGACGCAGCCGCCGCCUAACGCGCGCACGCGGGCUGGGGCAUUAAAUGCGCCUGGUGCCUCCCCACCUAACACAUGGGUCACGGGGGGCGUGAUAGGGAGCAGGCACCUGUCCCAUCGAUCUUUUUGCAGCCUUCCCCUCUAAACGGCCCAAGGCGUGUCAGGACGUGGGAAACAGAGAUGGAGUGUCUAAUCAAGACCCCUCGAGAUGGCCAAAGUCAGCGCUUCAACAUCAGGACGUCGUACGGUAUCCGACCCUCGACCAGAUAGGGACCCAUCUAGGAGACAAGUUGGGCGUCGACUGACUACAUCCCAACUACUCCGCCGGAUUUGCCGUCGGGUCGUACGAGCGUACAUCAGGCAAACCAAUCCAGGACGGCGUGCAGAGCGGAAUGCAAGGGCACGCGUAAUCAUCACCAGGCUAUUAAGACGGGACGACUCGAGGCCAUGCCGGUAUGGAAGCCUCGAGUAGGUCAGCGCUCCAUACUGCUAUCGACUCCUAUUCUGACGCCUAUACAUGUACCCUGGGUCUCUCCUUGGGACUAUAAAAGGAGGGACUCAGGAAUAGAACGGCGGAGGACAAGACCACGCUCAUACGUAGUAGAGCUCCACGUUUCAUACCACACUUGUAUUCACCCCUGUGCAAGCACUUAGGUGCAAGAUAAUACAAACUCUCCCCCCCCGCUGGACGUAGGGCCUUCUCUUGCCCGAACCAGGAUAAAUCUCUGUGUCUUCUUGCAUCACCAUCUGGGAAAGGGAGCACGCAUACAAAUUUACUCGUUGGUGUGACCCCCCGGGGGAAAAACACCGACAGUUGGCGCGCCAGAUAGGGGUCCUGCGUGUUUUUCAUCGAUUUCCCACUCCUUUCCGGAUGGCCACUCAUGCCUCGCCGUUUCCACGCUCCACGGUGAUUUGGUUUGGGAGUCUCGAGUUCAUGUCUACGGGCUCCGGCUACGACAUGAUCUUGCUCUCAGUCAAAGGACCAGGAGGAGCCCGCGUUACGCCAGCACGGUUGAAGGCCCCGAGACGCCCUCACCACCACGCCUCCCCGCCUAAGAAGAGGCGCGGACAGCACCACCGCGGCCCCUCUGCUUCAGCACGACCAACAACUCGUGCGAGGCAGGACGUAGGCCACAAGUCGGCAGCUCCGUGUGGCGGAGCAACAAGCGAGACGACUCAGCACCGCGCAACGACGGGAGGGGACGCGUCUCGCGCGCUCUCCCCCACCGCUGCUAGGCUACUUCCACACGGGUUGUUCACUCCAAGAGCGGCACUGCCGUUCGGAUUGGACAACGCCGCGGCGUCGCUCGCCAGGGCGAUAUGCCCAAACGCCCAGACGUACGUAGAAAGACCAAUGGUCCUCCCACGUGGCUCUGAAGCGCGGCGGCCGGCGUCCGAGCUGCCGGACCUUUCCCGGGUACGAGGCCUCCGUCGUCUAGGCCCCGGACGAUACACGAUCACCUCCCUCAGGCAGCGAUUGCUGGAGGAAGGACGUGGGUGCUUCUACGCCGCCAAACCGGACUCCGACUCCGAGACUGAUAGCUAUGACCCUACGAGGGAAUGCUAUCACAUCGACGGGGCGGUAGAAACUACCGACGAGACACGGGAUGCUGCUGCGGGCGGUCGAGCCCCCGCGGCACGAGAAGACCCCAGGACGCCUGGGAACGACGGACAGGUCGACCCCCUUCCACAGGAAGACAGAACCGCGCAGCUCGCGCAGCUGCGAGAACUCAAGGUGAAGCUCGACGAGGACCGCGAGCGCCUCGUCCUGCUCGAGCAAAUCCUCGAGCAAGACCUGCCCUACCCGCCGGGCGGAAGUGUCCGCAGACGCGCACAAGAGGUACAUCGUCAGAUCGUCGGCGACGCAGAGCCAGAGCAAUCGGUCAGCCGUUUCCCUCGAGCAGGCCAGAAUGUAGUGGCAGCGACGAUAUUGCUGCGUAACAUGCCAGAGCCGUCGAAUUCCCAGGCCCGACGCAUUCGAGAUGAGGUACAGACAUUGCUGUGGCGGCAGUUCAACAAGCCGAAAGCUCGGCAUCUCGACGACGAGGAGCUGCCACAGAGAAGCGCGACGAACAGCCUCAAAACGAAAAGGAGAUGUCAGUCCAUCAACAACCUCCCCCUCGAGGCAGAAAGACCGCUCUCAUCCUCCCCGUCGACAAUCAGCGUCGACACGAUGCGCGGCACGACAUCGAAGAAAAUCGACGCCGCCGGCACGGAGACGCGGAAGAGCGCGGUUACAGCGCGCAUCGCGGCGGAAGAUACGACAGCGACGAGGACCGGGUGGCCCCUGAGCCACCGGGCCCACGGGUGUUCAGCAGGGCGAUCCGCAGCACGCCCCUGCCCAAUCCAUUCCGACCCCCGACCAGCAUCGCGAAGUACAAUGGAGAGACCAAGACAGAGUUAUGGCUGGCCGAUUUCAGGCUGGCCUGUCAGCUAGGUGGCGCCCGAGGUGAUGAUCGAGCCAUCAUCAGACAGCUACCCCUUUUCCUCUCCGACACCGCCCGUCGAUGGCUCGAGGAACUCCCCACCGAUCAGAUCUACAACUGGGUUGAUCUGGUCAGAGUCUUCGAGGGUAACUUCAAAGGGACCUACAUACGGCCAGGGAACUCGUGGGACCUCAGCAAAUGCAAGCAGAAGUCAGGAGAAACCCUUCGGGAGUAUGCUCGACGCUUCUCGAAGCAGCGCACUGAGCUGCCGCACAUCCCUGACCACGACGUCAUCUUGGCGUUCGUCUCGGGCACCACCAGUCGAGACUUGGUGCGGGAAUUAGGUCGCAAUCGACCUCAGAACGUCGACGAGCUGAUGGACGUAGUAGCCAACUACGCGGCAGGGGAGGAGGCAGUCGGCGCCUUCUUCAGCUCUGAAGGAAGAAAAGGCAAGCAGCCCAUCGAUGAAGAUGGGACCCCCAGUCGAGGCCUCAAGAAGAAUAAAAAGAAGCAGAAAGCACGGCUGUUCCACCGGGAGGAUUCCGAUGACAACCUCGUCGCCGCCAUGGAUCGAAAGAAACCUCGAGGCCCUCCGGAUGGAGGCAUCUUUGACAAAAUGUUGGAGGAGCCGUGCCCUUACCAUAAGGGAGGCGCCAACCACAAGCUCAAAGACUGUCGUAUGCUGAGAAAGCAUUUCGACGGUCUGGGGUUCAAAAAAGAUGCGCGUGACGACUCCAAGAAAGAGAGGGGUGGCAGCAAGGAAGACAACAAAGAGGACGACGGCUUCCCCGCCGUCCACGACUGCUACAUGAUCUAUGGCGGGCCCUCGACUCAACUAACCACGAGGCAGCGCAAAAGGGAGCGUCGUGAGGUCUUUGCGGCAAGAAUGGCGGUGCCCCAGUACCUUAGCUAGUCGAGCACUCCUAUCACUUUCGACCGAGAGGACCACCCCGACAAAGUAAUCGCCCCAGGCGUCUACCCGCUCGUCGUCAACCCCAUCAUCGUCAACACCCGGCUCUCGAAAGUGCUGAUGGAUGGUGGCAGCAGCCUCAACAUCAUCUACCUCGAGACCCUCGACCUCCUCGGCAUCGAUAGAGGACGCCUCCAGCCAAACACCGGUGGUUUCCAUGGCGUUGUGCCAGGGAAAAAGGCACUGCCAGUAGGUCGAAUUGACCUACCGGUCUGCUUGAAGCUGAAGAUGCCCAGUUCUAAAGGCGUCAUCACUGUCAGUUCCUCCUUCGAGCACGCGUACGAGUGCGACGUCGAGUGCGUCGAGUACGGGGAGGCGGUCGAGAGCUCCACCGAGCUCGUCGCAAAGCUCAAAGCCCUGGCCGCUGAGGCUCCAGAGCCAAAGCGCCACGCGGGCAGCUUCGAGGCGGCAGAAGGAACCAAGAAGAUCCCGCUCGAACCCAGCAAUUCUGACGGCAAAGUGCUGACGAUCAGCACCGACCUCGACCCCAAAUAGGAAGCUGUGCUCGUCGACUUUCUCCGUGCAAAUGCCGACAUGUUUGCAUGGAGUCCCUCGGACAUGCCAGGCAUACCGAGGGAAGUCGCCGAGCACUCCUUGGAAAUUCGAGCCGGUUCCAAGCCAGUGAAGCAGCGGUUGCGCCGAUUCGACGAGGAGAAGCGCAAGAUCAUUGGCGAGGAAGUCCACAAGCUUUUGACGGCCGGAUUCAUCAAGGAGGUUCAUCAUCCCGACUGGUUAGCAAACCCUGUAUUAGUUAAGAAAAAGAAUGGGAAAAUGAGGAUGUGUGUCGAUUAUACUAGUCUAAAUAAAGCAUGUCCAAAAGUCCCUUUUCCGUUGCCACGUAUUGAUCAAAUUGUCGAUUCUACCGCGGGAUGUGAAACCCUUUCUUUCCUUGAUGCCUAUUCUGGUUACCACCAAAUAAAAAUGAAGGAGUCCGACCAGCUCGCGACCUCUUUCAUUACACCUUUUGGGAUGUAUUGCUACGUGACCAUGCCAUUUGGGCUUCGAAACGCGGGAGCCACGUACCAACGUUGCAUGCUCCACGUAUUUGGCGAACAUAUAGGGUCAACGGUCGAGGCCUACGUCGACGACAUUGUCGUCAAGUCAAAGCGACGAGGGGACCUGAUCCAGGACCUCGAGAUUGCCUUUAGUUGUCUACGCGCCAACUGGAUCAAGCUCAAUCCCGAGAAGUGCGUUUUCGGUGUGCCUCGAGGCAUGCUCCUAGGCUACAUCGUUUCGCAGCGCGGCAUCGAGGCCAACCCCGAGAAAGUCUUGGCCAUCACGAGAAUGGGGCCGAUCCGAGACAUCAAGGGUGUGCAGAGAGUCAUGGGAUGCCUGGCGGCUCUGAACCGUUUCAUCUCGAGACUAGGAGAAAAGGCAUUACCACUGUAUCGACUCCAGAAGAAGGUCGAGCGCUUUUCUUGGACCCCCGAGGCCGAGGAAGCACUCGAAAGGCUGAAGAAGACGCUGACCUCGGCACCAGUCCUGGUUCCACCUCAACCUGCAGAGCCGCUGCUCCUCUACGUCGCGUCGACGACCCAGGUCGUCAGCGCGGCGGUGGUGGUCGAGAGGCAGGAGGAGGGACAUGCGCUGCCAGUUCAGAGGCCAGUAUAUUUCGUCAGCGAGGUGCUUUCGGAGACCAAAGCACGUUAUCCCCAAAUCCAGAAGCUGAUUUAUGCCGUAAUCCUUGCCCGUCGUAAGCUGCAGCACUACUUCCUUGGCCACCCCAUCACGGUGGUCUCGUCUUUCCCUUUAGGCGAAAUAAUCCAGAGCAAAGAAGCCACGGGAAGGAUAGCAAAAUGGUCGGUCGAGCUCAUGAGUGAGACUCUCACUUAUGCGCCUCGCAAGGCCAUCAAAUCGCAGGCCCUGGUAGACUUCGUCGCAGAAUGGACAGACACUCAGCUCCCCCAGACCCAGGUCCAGGCGGAACUAUGGACGAUGUAUUUCGAUGGGUCACUCAUGAAAACUGGGGCCGGGGCCGGCCUGCUGUUCGUCUCACCCUUGGGCGUCCACAUGAGGUACGUAAUCAGGAUUCAUUUUGCCGCAUCUAACAAUGUCGCAGAAUAUGAGGCCCUCGUCAACGGUCUCAAGAUCGCUAUCGAGUUAGGAGUCCGACGCCUCGACGUCCGAGGUGACUCCCAACUCGUCAUCGACCAAGUAAUGAAAACCUCGAGCUGCCACGACCCGAAAAUGGAAGCGUACUGCAAAGAGGUCCGUCGACUCGAGGAUAGAUUCGACGGUCUCGAGCUUGUCCAUAUCGCCCGACGCUACAACGAGGCAGCCGACGAACUCGCCAAGAUCGCAUCGACCAGAGGCACGGUGCCGCCUGAUGCAUUCUCGAAAGAUCUUCACGAGCCAUCCGUCGACCUAGGCACAGGGGCCGGCGUCGACGCCACCACCGCCCAACCAACCAAUGCUGUCGAUACGCUCUUGAUGGUGGAAGAGGUGAUGGAGAUAGAACGACGACCAGGUCGACCGUUCGAUUGGCGCACGCCGUUCCUCGACUGCCUCAUCCGCGGCGAGUUGCCAGAAGACCGGUCGGAAGCUCGUCGUAUCGCUCGACGGGCCAAAUCAUAUGUGAUCUAUGGCGAAGACAAUGAGCUAUAUCGACGGAGCCCGACGGGGGUCUUACAACGUUGCAUCACCGUGGAAGAAGGCCGAAAACUCCUCGAUGACCUGCACUCGGGGGCUUGCGGUCACCACGCCGCUCCACGGACCCUUGUAGGGAAUGCUUUUCGACAAGGCUUCUACUGGCCAACGGCCGUGGCGGACGCCAUCGAGCUCGUACGCUCGUGUCAUGGGUGCCAGUUCUACGCCAAGCAGACGCAUCUGCCCGCCCACGCUCUUCAGAUGAUACCCAUCACCUGGCCGUUUGCGGUGUGGGGGCUCGAUUUAGUAGGACCUCUACAAAAGGCGAAAGGAGGAUACACCCAUUUGCUGGUGGCCAUUGACAAGUUCUCCAAAUGGAUCGAGGCUCGACCCAUCACCAACAUCCGCUCUGAGCAGACCGUCCUCUUCUUCACCGACAUCCUCCAUCGGUUUGGGAUCCCCAAUGUCAUCAUCACCGACAACGGCACCCAGUUCACCGGCAAAAAGUUCUUGGAUUUCUGCGAUCAGCAUCAUAUCCGUGUGAACUGGUCUGCAGUAGCCCACCCUCGAACUAACGGCCAGGUCGAGCGUGCCAACGGCAUGAUUUUGCAAGGACUCAAGCCGAGGAUCUACAAUCGACUGAAGAAAUUCGGCAAGGAAUGGGUCGAAGAGCUUUCCUCAGUCCUAUGGAGCCUUAGGACAACACCAAGCAGGGCCACUUCUCCGCCUCCUUCCGAUCGUCGAGGAAGAUGUCGGGCUCAGACGGAUCGUGGGAGGCCCGGAUACGGAUGCGAUCGGGGCACCAGUGCUCCAUCUCCCGGUCGGCCCGCGCCUUAACGCCACGGAUGAGAUCCUCGACGGUCUCGAGAGAUCCCCCAUGACGCAGGAACAGGUCGACGAGGCAUGGGAACCGCCCGUCGUCGUCCACCAUCUUCCAAGUUCCGUCCUUGGUCCCCGAUGUCCCGAUUUCAUCCUCCUCGGAAGUAAAGCGGUCCUCCCACGCCCGACGUUCCCGGAGGAACCCUGGGGCGAUCCCGUCCAUGCCGUAAAUUGUCCUCUUGAUCUCGGACUUGGGGUCGACGGGGGUGCGCUUCAGGCAGGCGAGCGCCACCACUCCGUCCGCUCGCCCCGGCUCCGCCCGGAUCGCGGCAGGUGCCCCCGGGAGGAGCCACGCCGGGGUUGGGGGGCCGUACACCGGCAGAUCCUCUCCUUGCUCACCAGGCUCUUGCGGCUCCGGCGGCGCCAGUUGGGCCGGACCUUGGGGCUGGGGCUCGAGCAGCCCCUCCUCUUGGCCCUCCUGCUGCUGCUGCUGCUGCUGCUCCUGUUGCUCUUGCUCCUGCAGCUGUUGCCGCUGCGUUUGUUGCUGCUGCUGCUGUUGCUGCUGCGGCUGUUGCUGUUGCCGCUGCCGCGCCGCCUCGCGCUCCCGCUGUUCAUCCUCCUCCCUCUUCUUUUUCUGCUCCUCGAGGGUGCGGAGGCCGGCGGGCCAGGGAGUUGAUCCCGCGACAUGGGGGGUCGACGUCUCCUCCUCCAUAGGGCGGGCACCCCCAGACGCUCUGUCACAAUCAGACGUGUCGCUGAUGGUGAUGGGUUCCCCCUCGACCCCCAAUAAAGGGGGCUCGGGGGCUCCCUCUGACGUUUGUGUCUGGGGCGCCACACCACCAGUCGACGGCGACGGGGUAGGCACGGGACGAGCCGGAGCCCUCUCGACGUCGGCAGAAGGUUGAGAGUCGGAAGAGCCUACAAAGCGAAGUGUAAGGGCCAGACGAUACAGCAACCAACACAAGGACAUCACAAGGCCCAGAAAUAAACUACGAACCUGGUCCCUUGGAGGCGGCUCCCGUUUUGAGCCUCUUUGCCAUAGAUGGCUGGGCCUGCUCGAGGGUCCGCUUUAGCCUGAGAAAAGAUCGGUAUAUGAGAAAAAAUCGGCAGAGGAACAGGAAGACGGAAGCCACAACAUCGAAAGGGCUUACCCCACAGGGAGAACAGCUCGCCUCCCGCCGCCCCGACUAGCGGGCCUCGAGCCACCCCGCGUCAGGGCUCCGGGUCCCUCGGGGGCAGACGCCGGCCUAGGCACGUCGGUUCCCGCCUGACAGGCACCGGGACUAGCACUCCUGCGGCCGGCCUCUCCUUUCUCGGAGGCCGCGGCGCAACCGCGAGUCAGCGGCCCCUUUGCCUGGGGCCUAGCCUGACCGCUCUCUCUGGGCGCCGGGGGAGGGCGCGGUGCGUCUUGACCCGUCUUGGGCGCAGGAGGUGUGUCGGCCCGAGGGCGAUGAGAUCCACUUGGACCCUCCCUAGACGUCUCCGUCCGGGGGGCACCGACGUCGCCUCGAGACGGUCCCUCGAGGAUCCGGUCGAGACGUGACGCCAUCCCCUCAGAAUCAUCACUGUCGUCGUCAUCGUCAUCAUCAUCGUUGGGGGAUUCUUCCUCAGGCUCCCCCCUCUGCCUGGAUUUGGCCCGACGCGCCUCUAAUGCUUGGCGGUCGAGGUUCUUCUUCUUCUCCCCUUUCUUGGCAAAGUCCUUGGCAGACUUUAGCUUUUCGGCGGAUUGGCGCCGUUUGUCACGAUCGACCUCAUCCUCCUUUACCGGAGGCCUCGAGGACCGGACGUCGAUCCGUCCCUGACAAAAUGAAGGCAGACUUAGGUAAGAAGAGGGGAGGGGAAGAAAGGGAACCCAGAUUUGAGGUUGUGCGCAAGAAGAAAACAUACCAGAUCGAUCGACCCGGCAUCUGGCCUCAUGGGGAAGCCGUUAACAUGCUUCAGUUGAAAAUCACCGGCGAUUGCAGCCCUGACUCGGGCCGCAACUUCGUCAUCCGCCGGAGCCUCGUUGGACAUCCGGCACGCCUCGAGGUCCCGAGACGAAACACCGGGGCCCAUCUCGUCCAUCCUCAAUGGCCGAGACAUCAAAGGGAGAACUCUCCGGUGAUGAACGGUCGAGAGAACGAGGGCGGCGAUCAAGCCCUCCGAACGCAGCUUCUUCAUGACGUCGAGGAGGGGGUCAAGCCGAGAUUGGUGAACCUGGACGACACCGUACGUCCAAUUCUCCGGUCGCUCCGUGAUCAAGCGCCCGGUGUAGGCGGGCAGCAGGCCGUCGUCGUUCCUCAAGUAGAACCAUUGGGAGUCCCAGCCGGCGUGGUUAGUCGACAGUCCCACCGGGAUGUACUCACGCGGCCUCUCCGACUUCCCCGUCUUCAGCACAAGAUUGAGGCAACCCGCCCGCACAGGUUUCCUCACGCCGGCGGUCCCAAUGAGGGCGUUGAAGAGCUCUCCCCUGUAGAGAUGGAGCCACAACUCCCAGUGCGGCAUCAUCCCCAAAUAGCCCUCACACACGGCGGCGAAGACCGCCGCGACGGUGAUGGCGUUCGGGGAGAAGUGCUGGAGCUCCACCCCGUAGUGGAAGCAGAGGGCCCGCAUGAAGCGACUCGGGGGAGCACCCAGGCCAUGUCGAUGGAACUUGGCGAACGACACCACGUAGCCCUCGGGCGGCUGGGGCUCCCUGUGGUCCGCCGGUGGCGCGAUCCACUCUGGCGACGAUAGCGAAGUGCGGUGGCGCAGCAGUCCCUCUCUCUCGAGCUCUAACAAUCGGCGCUCCGUCAUUGACGACGGGCGCCAGUCGUCGGCGGCCAUGAGUCUUACAGGCAUCUCGGACGGAAGGGCGGCGAAUCCGCUACUGCACGAGGAGGCCUGCGCGCGAAAGAUGGCGAGAGAGCUAGGACGGCAAGGAGGCUAGAGCAAGAGCAAAGAUGGGAGGCGGAAGAAAGAACGGCGGUGGUGCCGCGGAGUAUUUAUAAGCCAAAAAUCGCCAACGGACAGAUCCGAGAAAUGAGGUAACGUCCCCCCAUUUAAUGCGCCACCUAACAGUCUUUCCCCCUUCACAGGCCGGGCGUUCCGAAUUCCACGCCGACACAGCGUAGUAACGUCACCCGCCUAAAAAGACGCGCCCAACGGGCAGAAAGGCGAACCGUCAUGGCCACUUCCUUCCCUUGUAAGCCAAGGAGCGUACCCGCGAGAGUCUCGAGAGGUCGAUGGCUGGCCCGCCGAAAGGGUUCGAGAGCCGAUCUCGAGCACCAGAGUCAGGGAUCUCCAGCGAGCGGUCGAAGAUUGAGGCCUGCCUCGAAACUCGCUGGCGAUGUCCAAGGUAGGGUCGAGACAGUCGAGAGGAAUCCCCCCGACGGGAGGCAUCGAGCCACUGGACUCUAUCGAAUGAGACCGGUAUCCCCGACCACGUCGACCCAGCUUUAUGAGAAUGCCUCCGGGCUACAGCUGACCCCCUCGAAAGGGGCACAGGUUCUCACUUGGACUACCCGCUAGGAACUCGAUCUGGAGUGGAAGACGCUCGCUCUAUCGAGAGUACGUCGAAACCUCCACGCAAGGCAAAGCCGAUCAGAACCUUCCACCACUGGUGUCGACAGUGUCUCUGCAAAUUAGGCAAAAUAACCCUCGAAGGAGUUAAAUACUCCCUCGAGGGCUCGGGGGCUACCCCCGCGGGGUCGCUCGCGCGCCCCCGCGGAACCUCGACUGUAAAGACAAAAGUCUCCACUCGAGCGCCAGCGCUCAAAUGGAGACUCGGGGGCUACUGUCGAGGGUAUCAACAAGGGGUACCCUCACCAACGCGUAUAACGAAACCAUCCGUACAUAAAACUAGCGCCUCGAUUCGACGCUCCGUCCGCACACACGCACGACCAUCGACGACCGUAGCCUCGAAGACGGAAAUAGUGUCGAGCGAAUCAAUCAGGCGUCGAGCUCUGGUCAACGUCGAAUACGGAACAGGCUCCCGCGAAUCGGGAGGCGUCGAGCGCAAGGACGCCGCCGCCGCCUAACGCGCGCACGCGGGCUGGGGCAUUAAAUGCGCCUGGUGCCUCCCCACCUAACACAUGGGUCACGGGGGGUGCGAUAGGGAGCAGGCACCUGUCCCAUCGAUCUUUUUGCAGCCUUCCCCUCCAAACGGCCCAAGGCUUGUCAGGACGUGGGAAACAGAGAUGGAGUGUCUAAUCAAGACCCCCUCGAGAUGGCCAAAGUCAGCGCUUCAACAUCAGGACGUCGUACGGUAUCCGACCCUCGACCAGAUAGGGACCCAUCCAGGAGACAAGUUGGGCGUCGACUGACUACAUCCCAACUACUCCGCCGGAUUUGCCGUCGGGUCGUACGAGCGUACAUCAGGCAAACCAAUCCAGGACGGCGUGCAGAGCGGAAUGCAAGGGCACGCGUAAUCAUCACCAGGCUAUUAAGACGGGACGACUCGAGGCCAUGCCGGUACGGAAGCCUCGAGUAGGUCAGCGCUCCAUACUGCUAUCGACUCCUAUUCUGACGCCUAUACAUGUACCCUGGGUCUCUCCUUGGGACUAUAAAAGGAGGGACUCAGGAAUAGAACGGCGGAGGACAAGACCACGCUCAUACGUAGUAGAGCUCCACGUUUCAUACCACGCUUGUAUUCACCCCUGUGCAAGCACUUAGGUGCAAGAUAAUACAAACUCUCCCCCCUCCGCUGGACGUAGGGCCUUCUCUUGCCCGAACCAGGAUAAAUCUCUGUGUCUUCUUGCAUCACCAUCUGGGAAAGGGAGCACGCAUACAAAUUUACUCGUUGGUGUGACCCCCCGGGGGAAAAACACCGACACAUUAGCAACUUGGUGUCAUUAAUUAAUAAAACCAAACUUGGGCUUUCACUAUCACCAAAUAAGAAUGAGAGAAGGAGAUGAGUGGAAAACAGCGUUUAAACCAAGUUUGGGUUGUAUGAAUGGUUGGUAAUGCCCUUUGGAUUGACUAAUACACCAGGUACCUUUAUGAGAUUGAUCAAUCAUGUGCUCAGAUCUUUCAUUGACAAGUUUGUUGUGGUUUACUUUGAUGAAAUAUUAAUUACAGCAAGUCUCUUGAUGAACAUGUUGAGCAUAUCCAAAGUGUGCUUGCUGUCCUACGUGAGCAAAAAAUUGUAUGCUAACCUUGAUAAGUGCACAUUUUGCACCGACAAGGUAGUCUUUCUUGGCUUUGUUGUUUUAGGACAUGGUGUGGAGGUGGAUGAGGAUAAGAUCAAAGCUGUUCGUGAGUGGAUACCUCCACAAAAUGCAAGCCAAGUGCGUAGCUUCCUUGGACUUGUUGGUUUCUACUAGCGAUUUGUGAAAGAUUUUAGCACCAUUGCUGCUCCAAUCAAUGAGUUGACAAAGAAAGAAGUGCCUUUUAACUGGGAGAACCAGAAGAGAAGGCAUUUGAAGAACUGAAAAUGAAGUUGACAACAACCCCACUUCUUGCACUUCCAGAUUUCGGUAAGACAUUUGAAAUUGAAUGUGAUGCAAGUGGUGUAGGAAUUGGUGGCGUUCUCAUGCAAGAAAGGAGGCCGAUUGCAUACUUUAGUGAAAAGCUAAGUGGUCCAACUCUGAAUUACUCAGUUUAUGAUAAAGAAUUAUAUGCUCUUGUUAGGAGUUUGGAAACUUGGCAACACUACCUUUUGCCUAAAGAAUUUGUGAUACAUUCAGACCAUGAAUCUUUGAAACAUCUUAAAGGCCAACUAAAACUGAACCGAAGGCAUGCAAAAUGGAGUGAGUUCAUUGAGUCUUUUCCUUAUGUUGUCAAGUACAAGAAAGGGAAAGAUAACAUUAUAGCUGAGCUUUGUCUUGACGUCAUACUUUGCUUUCACGACUUGAUACUAAAAUUCUUAGAUUAGAAAGUAUAAAAGAAUUGUAUGUUAAUGAUUCAUAUUUUGCUGAACCAUAUUCCAAGUGUUGUGGCAGCAAGGGAUGGGAAAAAUUCCAUUUGCAUGAUGGUUUUUUAUUUCAAGCUAAUAAACUUUGCAUUCUAGAUUGCUCUGUUCUCAUUUUACUAGUGCAGGAAGCUCAUGCAGGAGGACUUAUGGGCCAUUUUGGUGCAAAGAAAACAGAACAAGUGCUGACUGACCAUUUCUUUUGGCCUAAGAUGAGAAGAUAUGUGGAGAGGCAUGUUCUUCGCUGUGAAACCUGCCAUAAAGCUAAGUCUCGUUUGAACCCUUAUGGUUUAUACACUCCUCUACCUAUUCCUAGUGCACCUUGGGAGGACAUUUCUAUGGACUUUGUCCUUGGUUUACCACAAACCAAAAGGGGAAAAGAUUCCAUAUUUGUUGUGGUCGAUAGAUUUAGCAAAAUGGCACACUUUAUUCCCUGUCAAAAGAGCGAUGAUGCUUCACACAUUGCUGAAUUAUUUUUCAGAGAAAUUGUGCGUCUACAUAGAGUGCCACACACCAUCGUGUCUGAUCAUGAUACCAAGUUUUUGAACUACUUUUGGAAAGCCUUGUGAGGAAAACUAGGGACAAGGCUGCUGUACUCCACAACGUGUCAUCCUCAAAUGGAUGGACAAACCGAAGUUGUGAACCGCACAUUGUCAACAUUGCUGCGAGCUAUCCUAAAGAAGAAUCUGAAAUUGUGGGAAGAAAGCUUGCCUCAUGUGGAGUUUGCAUACAACAGGGCAGUACAUUCAACCACAAAAUUUUGUCCAUUUGAGAUUGUCUAUGGGUUCAAACCUACUGCUCCCAUCGAUCUUUUGUCAUUGUCUAUGCAGGAACGUGUGAACUUUGAUGCAAGCAAGCGAGCAGAAUUUAUCAAGAUGCUUCAUGAACGAGCUAAAGCAGACAUUGAGAAGAUGACCCAGUUAUAUGAGAAGUGCGCCAACAAGGGUCGUAAGAAGAUGUUAUUUGAACCAGGAGACUUGGUUUGGGUGCACUUGCGCAAGGAUCGCUUUGAUAAACAACGCAAGAGUGCAACCCCGAACCAAUGGCCCAUUCAAAGUGCUUCGCAAGAUCAAUGACAAUGCAUAUGGAAUUGAUCUCCCAAGUACGUAUGGUGUGAGUACAAGCUUCAAUGUCGCCGAUUUAUCUCCUUUCUUUGGAUUGGAUGAGUCGAGGAUGACUCAUUUUCAAGAGGGGGAGGAUGAUAUGACCAUGCCAGCAAGCAAGAUGUCACAAGCUCCAAGUCAAGCUACAACCACUCAAGUUUUACCUACACCAACACCAGCCCAAGUCAUCGAUGGACCGGUUACACGUAGUCGUGCAAAGAAGCUACAACAAGAGGUCCACGCGCUACUUUGUGAUAUUCAUUUUAACAUUAAUGAGAAUUAUAUACUAUCUAAGUGUUGUGCCUUGAUUGUAUUCAGGUAUAUAGAAAAAGAGAAGGAUGAAUCAGACCCUAAAGAAUGGACCAGUGCAAGUCCCAGAAGAUAGACUAGCAAAACAGACCAGAAGAGGAAGAAAAUGGACGAGUGGAGUCAAGAACGGACCAGUGUAAAGAAAUAUUCAUAACUUUUUACUCACAAAGCUAUGAAGGCCCAUGAAGACUUGUUGGAAAGCUUGUCGAGUCUACUUUCCAAUGAUUGUGACCAGUUUGGAUACUCCAUAUUGCCUACAGACCAGAAUUAGUACAGACUGCUCAGAAGGUUAAUAGUCUGUUAUGACAGAAUGUUGGUACAACUUGCCGAGUAAAACUGUACCAAUAUACAAUGUUCCAUGCUGGAUGGCAUAAAUUGCUAGAAAGGCCUUUGAGUCUAGUUUCACACCCAAGAAAUAGUUCAUCAUUUGCACUUCCCAAUAAGUAGUUAUAGUCAGUUUAUUGGAAACUGCUCUGGAGGCCAAUAGUCACGCGAAGCCAGUUCGGGAAUCCAUUCCGAGGGGACCUUUCACAUUGCCUUCCCUCAGAAACUCUAUUUUGUUUUCAUACCUAUCUAGGAGGGUUGUUCCUAGUAUAAAUAUUCCCUACCUCUAAGCUGUUAGAGACCAUUGAUCAUUUUAAUAAACUACAUGAUAUUGCAGCCACGCUGCUGAGUGCCUUACUCAACCUUUGUUCUUCCUUGUUCUUCUUGGACUUGUGAAGUGAAUCGUCUGGGUUCCCCUACUUCGUGCUCUACGACUUCUGUUCGGCUAUGCCGUAUUGUGUGGAUUAGUUCUAGAUUGUGGUUCUGCGGUCGUUCAGAGAUCGAGUCGAAGUCUUUGCGGUUUUGGUGCCUCUCUCCCCAUCGCUUGGUCGCAUCUGUUGGCGGUUCUUAAUGACAUAUUUACCCCACCAACAUAGUCCAUGCAAAGGAAGAAAAGCAUGUAUUUUACUCACAUAUACUUAUUAAAUGCUUACCAAGUUCCACAUGUUGUGCAAGUUGUGUUUUGCAGAUCAUAUACAGGCAUACAGGUGGAAAGCAAAUAAAAAGGCGCAAUCCGACACGUCAAAAGAAUGCGCAAAUAAACAAGUACCCAAAAGCCCAAUAUAGAAGUGCAUUAAUUUGCAGGUGGAUCUGGACUCAGGGCCCCGAGAGGAAGGCAACGGGCUUCGUGCCGGGGCCAGCGGGGCCCACUAGGGGGCGGCCGCCCCCUACGGUCGGCCGACCCUGGCCCAGCCCAUCUCGGCACUGCCUUUCACAGAGGCGGUGCUGAGCCUAUCCUCCCGCAGUCCCCACGUGCAAAUUGCAGUUUACACCCUAGGGAACCGACCUUCCCCACCUAUUUAAGGAGGGGGAGAGGGAGGCUCCAUUCAUAUCAUCACAUUCACAAUCAACACUCCACCUUCAAGGCACUUGGGCACUACCUCUUCUUAGUUUUUUCCUUUUAGCUUUUAGAGAGAGAGUUGGGUGAGCUAUCAAGGAGGGCUUGGCUCCUUGGAGAGAAACUUGGGUAUGAAUAAAGAAUAUCUUUACUCUAAGUCCAUGCCUUAUCAUGUCCGAUAUAGUUCUUCAUAUGAACUAGAGUAUAGUUCUUAUGCUAUGGUAUAUGACACAGAUCAUAGGCCCUGUUUUAUGAUGCUAGCAUAUGAACUAGAAUAUAGUUCUAGUGAAAAUGAUAUGACAUACAUUUUAGUAUAUAGUUCUUAUAGUAUAAUGCUACCCUAGGGCUAGUAGUGUAUUAUAUGAACUAGUGCUAAGUCUAUGUUGUAUUAUUCUCACUUAGGACUUUAGUCUAAUUGCUUCAUUUUAAUUAAUUGCCUAGAAAUAGCUUUGUGUGAAGAUGGGGGUUUAUCAUGCUCUUUUGAGUAGGCUCGGGCAUCUUACCUGUUGAUCCGUAGGGUCGGGGACCCGUGGGAGUCCUAGUAGGUUCUUUGCAUGUAAGCAUGGUGCUUGGGUGUAAAGGCCGGGUAAAUGCAUUGUCCUAGUCCACGGUGGAGGGGAUUGUGCCAGGUGGUGACAGCCCUGUCCGUCCUUGGCAUUCCCCCACGUUUGGCUAGGGUGUAGGAGUCUAAAUAGUUGCGGAGGUUGCUGGCAGACCAGUACUCGCGUAACCUCCCAAACCAUCUAAACACAGGACUAGAUCUAAGUAGUAUAAUUACAUGAUUAACUUGUUCUAUGACAUGAUCUGUAUCUAGGACCACACCUGCUCCAAUAGGUUGUUUGUUUAUUCUUUGAUUCAAUUCAUUCUUUUAGUCUCUUUUUAUUCCUUAGCCCAUAUGCCAUGCCUAGAUUGUGAUGGAUCACUAUUCUACAUAUAAAUGUUUAUCAGCUGCUAUGACCUUUGAUUUCAUUAUUGCUAUCAUAAUUACUUUGAUCUAUGCUUAUCUUAAAAUCCUUAACAUAUUAAGCCUUCCUUAUAGCGAACCUAUAAAUACGACACUCGGUAAAUCCCCGGGUUGAAAUGCUACACGAUAAUUCCCGUCCGCUUGCGGUACUUAAACUCCAAACCUAAGGAACUAUCACCCCGGUAUAUACUUAACACUGUUGCUAGACAUGCGCCGAGCUAGUGACUUGUUAAGGAAUACCAACAUGGCAAUCCUAGUGCCACUACCUUGAUUAAGAACUGAAACCCUACCCUAACGGUAAUAAGGCGCCGUUAUCAGGAAGGUAGAUCUAGCUUCCUAUUCAAGGUGGUGAUGCUACGGAUCUGCCAAUAUAACACUGCCAAUGUCAUUAUCAUGAGUAGAGCAGAACCCUAUUCUAGGUAGCGACGCUAAGAAACGCUAACAAGCAUUUCUUGCACCGUUGCUUAGGAUAGAUUUAUACUCUAAUUUUGGUUAUUGCAUUAGUAAGUGUUAUCACGACAUCUCUGACAUCGUUGCUGAGGACGGAUUAAACCCUGUUCUUAGUGAUGAUGUUAAGAAAUGCCAACAAGCAUUUCUGGCGCCGUUGCCGGGGAAGGCUAAUAUGAAAAUGAUUCUAGAUAAAUAUAAUCAAGUAAUAUGAUGUGCGUAAUGAGUCAAUUGUUAUGCAGGCUAACUCUGCCUGUUUUCUCCCUGUUGUGGAUGAAACAGGAGGAAUAGUGUAUGCCUGGUUUCUCUUUGCCGAAAAACUACAUCUUCGAUCCUGAGGCACUCCUAAGGACUAGACGGUCUCGAAUCGUUUCGUCUUCUGCUACUCCACCGACAAGUGAACCAGCCGGUACCGCACCAACCCUGAACGAACUCAUGGCCGCCGAGAAGACACUCCGCGAGUUCUCCGUGCCCGCUGUCACCAACGUGGCCACUGGCCCCGCUGUUGACACGGCCGGCAAGAACUUCGAGCUACGCACCGGCCUGAUCACCAUGGUGCAGGUGAGCCCAUUCUGUGGCUUGCCAAGCGAGGAUGCGAAUGCACACCUUCAACACUUCCUGGAGCUAUGCGACACGAUUGUCAUCAAGGACAUCACUCCUGAUGUCAUUCGGCUCCGCCUCUUUCCUUUCUCCCUCAUGGGGAAGGCGAAGAGGUGGUUCUAUCAAGAUAAGGAAGCUGUCACCACGUGGGCAAAAUGCUCCGCGGCAUUCCUCGCCAAGUUCUUCCCCAUAAGCAAAACCAAUGCUUUGAGGGGAAGGAUUGCCAGUUUUCAACAAAAUGCCAGCGAAACAAUCCCUGAAGCAUGGGAGCGGCUACAAGAGUACAUCUAAGUUGCCCCCAUCACGGCAUGGAGAACUGGAUGGUGCUCCAAAACUUCUACAAUGGGCUCACGCCCAUGUCGAAGGGACACCUAGACGCCGCCGCUGGAGGCGUGUUCCUAUCACUUACCACCGCCGGGGCCAAGGCCCUGAUCGAGAAGAUGGUAGAACACCAGAGCUGGGGGGAGGACAGAACUCAACCACCAGCUGCCAAAAGACAAAAAGGCAUGCAUACCGUGAAGGAGACGAAUAUGCUUGCCGCAAAAAUAGAUUUAUUGAUGAAGCAACUCACCGAGAGGAACCAAGAGUUGGGCUCACGCCCAUGUCGAAGGGACACCUAGACGCCGCCGCUGGAGGCGUGUUCCUAUCACUUACCACCGCCGGGGCCAAGGCCCUGAUCGAGAAGAUGGUAGAACACCAGAGCUGGGGGGAGGACAGAACUCAACCACCAGCUGCCAAAACACAAAAAGGCAUGCAUACCGUGAAGGAGACGGAUAUGCUUGCCGCAAAAAUAGAUUUAUUGAUGAAGCAACUCACCGAGAGGAACCAAGAGAACCCCUCGAACUCGGUGAAGGCCAUAGACUCGCACAUGACGUGCGAGGUCUGUGGAGAAGUUGGCCAUUCGGGGAAUGAUUGCCCCGAAACCCGUGAAGACGCUGCCUACAUCAACAACGGGUUCCGCCAACAAGGAGGCGCCAACCAAGGUAAUGGUUGGAACAAUCAGUCACGCUCUUCAUUCCAAGGUAAUUCGAGUUUUAAUUCGAAUCAACCUUCAUUAAAAGACCUAGUUCUUGGACAAGCUAAAAUAAAUGGAAACUUAACUAAAAAGUUGCUGUCCAAUGAUAAGGUUUUAGAAAACAUAAAUACAAAAAUAGAAAACCUUGCCUCUUCCGUACAAAACCAACUGAGCUUUAAUAAAAUGAUAGAAACACAACUUGCUCAGAUCGCCGCUGCAAUUCCUACUGAGAAUGCGGGUAGACUCCCGGGGCAACCCGAGAACUCUCCCACUAACCAUGUAGGGUGAUAUUGAAACGACGGAAGAGAGUCCUUCUCAAAAAGACUAUAAACAUUUUUUUGAGCCUCCGCCGAAGGUAAUCGGUAGUUAUCUUAAAAUAUGUGUAUAUAUAAAAAAAUUGAAAAAUAUUCAAAAAUUCAUUUUCUGCUAGGAAAUAAAAUAAAAUAAUAGAAAAAUAUUUUUUCUAAAUUUUUCAAAAAUAAAAAUUUUACAAAUAAAUGUUGGAAAUUGCAAAAGUCACUUUUUCAGCUGGAAGUACAUCAAUAUGCCAACGGAAAACUUCAAAAACUAGCCGUUGGAAGAUGGAGACAAAAGCUGAGGAGCAGCGGGGCCCACCAGGGGGCGGCCGCCCCUAGGGUCGGCCGACCCCCCCCCCCCAACGGCUCUGGCCAACGGCCAGCUGGGGGAGGCUCCUAGCCGGUGCCCUCACCCCGAAUCCACCUGCAUUUUCAAACUUUAAAUACCAGGGGUUCGGGUGUGGCCCUCUCCACCCAUUCUCACUUCACUUCAUCACUUCCAUCUUCACUCUCCAAGCAACAAUUUCACAUCUUUGCUAUUUCCAACCAACCACCAGCAGAAACCUCACAAAAAAAUCACCUAUCCAAGCUAGCUAUCCACUGGUGCAAGCAUUGCACCAUGAAAAGGUUCAGCAAAACAGUUUCGGGGGCGUUUAAAAGAGUCACGAGGUCAUCCUCGAAGCGCCCCUAUCGGAGCACUUCCUCAUACUACACCGAUCCCCGAUGGAGUCCUUCCGCCGAGGAAGAAUCCCCGGAGAUCGAGGAGGUAGAGGAAGAAGAAGAGGAACAAGAGGAGGAACAACAUGAAGAAGGAGGAGCCCACCAAUUCGACUUGGUUGGUGAUCGAGAACAUCAAGCCUACAACAUGCUCAAGGACCGGAUCUUCCUCCAUACGCCGGUCUACGACGACUCGCUCCUCUCCGACAUCGGUAUGGACUCUGAAUUCCUCUCCAUAUGGAAAGCCGCCGGGUGGGACAACAUUCACCCCAUAACUGAGUAUGGAUCCUAUACCCUUACCAUUCAAUUCCUAUGCACUUUAAGAGAAACAUAUGAAGGUAUUUCUGUUUGUUUAUUUGGAAAUGAAUAUGGUAUCUUUUGGAAAGACUUAAGCAAAUACCUUGGUUUUCAUCAAAGAUGCUCUCUUGAUUUAGUGCAUGCCACAAAAGGGAUUAAUAAGGAUAAGUUUUGGGAAGAAAUUGUUGGGUAUUCUUAACAUCAUUACCAAAAGUAGACUAAGUUCUCUAAAUCUAGUAACGGUGCCAAAAAUGCCAAACCUAUCCCUUACACCACUUAAGCCAAGUUGUCAUCCCCAGCAUGAUAUAAGAGACGCGGUAUUGAAAUAUGCAAUUGCUCUUCUAAAUAAAUAAUGAAUGGGAUCUGCAAGCGCACAGAUUAAUACCGAUGUAGCAUUUUAACCGGGAAGUAUUCCAGGUAUCGUUAUUAAUAUUUUUACCAUUGGGAAGGGAUUAGAAAUCAUCACUAUUGAUUACAGAAUAGAAUAUGAGAUUGAGCAUCUAUCCUUGCAUGUAUAAUUGAGAACAUUAUAUCUAACUCUUCAUACAGGGAUAAGUGUCACAUAAAAGAUAUAUGAAAUAAUAAUAGUGACAAGGAUAACUAAUCUGAUCUAGCCACAUAAUAAAUAUGAUAAGCACCUCAAUUAGAUACUCUAGAAAGUCAUUAGCAUGGUAUUAGAACGAACUACAAGAAUAUUCCCUAAGUUAUUCUUAACUAUAUAGUCUAGCAUAUCAUAGUCAGUGCAAGCAUACUUAGCAAUCAUUGCGAGACAAGACUACGCCCAUGCAUAGUGAUAUUAGCAAGGAAUAUGAGAAACAUAGCAAUCACUCCCCUGUAAUAAUGUUGCUCUGCCAGCCCAAUACACGAGAGGGGGACUAUAUAAGAAUCAAUGAAGCUGUCACUAUCACGAACUACCCCACGAUCUGGCAUAUUGGGUACAAUCGCAGAUAAAUACGGUAUAAGCACCACGCCUACACAAUAUCUAUCAUUUACCCAUGGAUCCGAUGGAUAAACGCUAUACGAUCCUAAGCAUGUAUAUAGAUCGUAUCUAACUAAGCCAAGUACAUAACUAUGAUAAACUAAGAACAAUAUAAUCUUGAAUAUAAGCAAGUAGAGCAAAGUCAUAAGCAAUAUAUUGAAGUAGAACAAAGUCAUAUUCAUAAUAUUGAAGAACAAAGAUAAUUAGAAAGCAAUUAGAAGCACAAUUAGAGAAUUACCAAGAAUCCUCUUGACAGAUCCGGAAACCAAUCGAAGAUUGACUCCUUCUAGUUCUAAUCCUAUGUAGCUAUGCUAAUCUAGAUAUCUAAUUGAUGUGGUGGCUCUAAUCUUGAUCAGAGGCUUCUUCUCCCUUGAUGGAACAAUGAAUUAGGGUUGAGAGGCUCCCUCCUCCAGGGGCCAGGGGGUCUGGUUUUAUAGUCCCUUCAAGUGAAUAUGGGCCCUUGGAUCAAACCGACAUAGAUUGUAUGGUUUAGAUUCAUCCUUUAGGUCGGUGGAGAUCUCCCGCAAAGCAGAGUCCUGAUUGGACUCAGGAGGUGGUCGGGCGCCCUGACCAACUAGGCGGCCGCCCAGGGUCUGGCCCCGUUUCGCCUCCGCUUCGGUCUCGUGGCUUCUGGAGUCUUCUAGAUGUAAGAUAAUUGCGCAGCAUGUUAAUAUCUUUACGUAAUCCCGACAUGUGGGCCUUUCAUCCAUAUUUCCUGAUAACCCCCUGCAGAAAUAGACAAACACCAAAACUCGUGGAAUUCUGUCAGAUAAAACCCUAAGUCUAGAUCUUGAUUUCAUUUGGAUCCUUUUCUUUAUUUAUUUGAUAAUUAAAUUUGAUACUUAAGGACCGUCAACAAACUCCCCCAAGCUUACCUCUUGCUCGUCCCUGAGCAAGGAUAGACUCAGCUAUGGAUCAUAAGUUGUUGCAAUAUUUUUAAAAUUGACGGUACAUAUGCUUUUUAAAUAAGAUCUCAUCUCUGAGUUAGAGUAAACUGUCAAGACUUAAAACUUACUUACUUUACCUUCACCAUGGGACUUGUAACUGUCACUUCUGUCUUGAGUGGUUAAAAGAUAGAACAGCUUAGCCAAGUGCCAUGUCUCUUAUUCUUGAUCAGCUAUAGCUCUGGGGUUUUUGCAGAUUUUCAAAUAAAACUCAGAAAUUCCUUGUAUGAUUCUCUCAGGUCUCUCUUUUGUGGUAUUUUUGGAUCCUUACCAAGGCAGUGAUGGUAUAUGCCUUCUGUUGAUGCAAAACUGGUCUGCAAACACAAAGGGCUAAUACCCGAUUCAAACGUUAAGGCGUGCCAGCCGAUUUGACCUUGCUAUCGGCAAAGGUGAUAACUCGAAUACUUUAGUCCUGACAACAGCGAUGCGCCCGGAUGUCACGGCUAAGAGGUACUCACGCGGAACUUGAGAACACGCCGAGCUUAAGUCAACGAAUUCCUAAGAACUCGUAACAAAAGGAAAAAGUAUGAUGAAGUCGUCGAAAAGUAAAUGCUGGAAUAUGAGUAAAAACAUGUGUUUGAUUUCUUGAUUGAUUAUCUAUUACAAGGCCCUAGGGUCUAUAUUUAUACCCUACUCAAAGAGCUACAACCAGACACGAUUAGAAUUCGAAUUCCAAAUUACACGGAAUCUGCAUACAAAACGACGCAAAUAAUCAAGGUAAUAACAAAACUAUCCCUCGUGACAAACCGAAACUCCUCCACAUAACGACCGGCAGCUUCCGGACUCCCUCUUUGCAUCAUCGGCAGACCCUUUGCCAUAGUCAUCGGCAGACUUUCUUAUCUAGCCAUCGGCACCAUAUUACUGCUUGUGGACUUAGUCACAUCCAACUUCUCCCUCAUCGGCAACCAUCCUCAUCGGCAACCCACUUUGUAAACAUCGUACUGCCACCUUAUCCUGCCAUCCUAGACACGUGCCCAAAAACGGUGUCAACACAUGCCCCCCAGUUUUGGAGUAUAAAACUAUUAAUGCUCCGAAAUUCUCUGCAGUAAUGAUGCCUUUUCCCGCAAUUAAUGCUCCUAAUCUGGUAACCGACAACCUCAAUCUGAACAACUCUGAUCCUAUUCCUCCGCAGAUUCCUCGAAAUCCCCAACCUCCUAAACGGGCAUUUUUCUCAGUCGUACAUCGGCAACAAUACCGUUACAAAGAUCUGCCGAUGUUCUGACCAGGAUAUUCGCACAAUCGGUUACUUCCCCUCUAUCCGCCCAUCGGCAAUAUGACCGUUAUAGAAUAUUGCCGAUGGACCGACCAGGAGAUCUCGCACAGUAAAAUAUCUUCAGAUAAUGACCGCUUCCCGUCAAAUCACCUGCACAAUCCCUGGAUUACCGUGCGAACAGUUACCAUAUCCACCUGAGUACCCUCGGAUUUCUCGGAUGCGGCAAGGAGAUAAGUCGGAUUUGCCCUUGCCCAUUUUGUCCUAUAAAUAGUUCCUUCUUGGGUACUCCUUCCCCAUCACACCAUUCUACUACCCAACUUUACUUUUCCAGCGGCGGCGCCACCAAAAACUCCCAAGGUUUCCGACAAGUACCCCUCUCCACCAACUCCGGCGUCUUCAAACGCUUCCUUCGCAGCAAGAUGGCCGUCGGGUUCGUCGUCCCUGAGGUCAAAUCUCCACCCCGUCUUCUGUAUUUUUCUUCAUAUCCCUGUUCACUCGCAAUUCAUUUUACUGAACAUCUUCCUUUUCUUUCCUCUUUGUAUUUCUUUUUACGCCCAAAAUCAUUAGGAAUUGUCCAACAAAAUUGUCAUCCCCACCGAUCAACCACACCUUCAAUGCCUCGGCCCUCUAGGGGACCCAGAUCCAACUGAUCUUAUCAACGCAGAAACCAACAGGAUCCCCUUCAGAGUUGAAAAUUUUUCCUUAGAUCUGUGGAAGGACACCUUCCGCUCUUGGCCCAGCCCAACUGUAGGGUGGAAAGACUGGUUCUUGAGGGUCAGCAACUCUAAUGAAGUUCAGUGGGGUGAAAGGAAUCUAGCCCAAUGCAUUAGAUUAUCCAUUGCCGAUAUGCAUAGGAACGAGUCACUGCUGAUAGCUGCAUCCUACUUUUGGUCAGACACCCUCAAUGCUUUUGCCUUUGGCCACGGCCCUGCUUCUCCUACUCUUGCCGAUGUAGCCAUGCUUACUGGUCUUGAUAUAUCUUCUGCCGAUAGCACCCACUUUUUUGAUACUGCCCCUAGUGCCAAAGUGGAGACUCGCGCUAUCGGCAGUUGGUCGGGGUACAUUCAGAAGUACCGUGGGAAAGGAUCUGUCACCAUAAAGGAACAAACCACCUUUCUGAACAUGUGGCUGGACAAGUUUGUAUUCUGUGGUCGAUCGGCAGGACCGACUUCUGUCUACCUAUCGGCAGCAGAAAGACUGGCUAACGGUGGCCGAUUCCCUCUCGGCCGAUACUUGCUUGGCGCUGCUUACCACCUUCUCCAUCGAGUAGCCCAGAAACUUCUGCUCGGCCAAUCCAUUGGCAACUUGGGAGGCCCCUGGUGUUUUGUCAACAUGUGGCUCAAUCUGCAUCUGCACAAGCGUCUCAACUUCAACCUGUUCACACAGCGUUUCCCAAGAGAUAUAGCUGAAAACCAUGUAUUGGGUGAAGAGGAAUCGGCAACACGCGCCCCCUUGAACUUUGGCGAAGCUGUCAUAGUUCUGCCUGGUUCAGGGGGUAAUCCGGAUCAGAUCGGCCGAUUCUUCCAGACUCUGUAUGAGGGUUUGACCAGAGACGAACGACCAUGGUUGGCUUAUGAUGACCCAGAUAGCAUGCUCCCUCUGACCUUCAAUCCAUUUGAUGAAGCUCUCGACAGGGACAAUGAGGUGAUGAUGGCAAUUGUGACUCCCAGAAUCAUUCCAGUGAAUUUCUUUGGUAGCACAAAAACCUCCCCUCAAACUUACGAAUUUUACAAUCCAUCGGCAUUAGCUCGCCAGUUAGCUUUCGGCCAGUUGCCGAUUGCACUUCCUUAUGCCGAUGUGAUAAAACCCAGAGAAACUAUCAACAACCUUCUUGAGUGGACUCGAGCAGCCCAACUACCACCAAACGCCGAUAUAGAUGUAGAUCUGUCAGAAUGGGUUCCGGCUGCUUUUAUCACUGAGGCAUACAAGUCAUGGUGGGCAGAAUGGAAAGAGCAUCUAUUCUGCAGAUCGGCACUUUCAUACCGCGGCAUGAUUGACUCCGAAUACGAAGUUCCCGAUGACACUGUAAGUAACUUAAACCAACGUUUCAUUUUCUCAAUAUUACCUCCAUCGGCAGCUUACCCUUGUAUUCCUUUUGCAGGUUGACAAUAUUCCUCCAUUGGUUAGCAGGAGUGGCAGGCCGAUCGACUUGUUUCCAUCAGGCCCGAUUUCCUCAAUAGGCCACAAUGCUCCCACUCUAGCUUCCAUCGUGCAUCGGGGUGUACGCCUCAGGAAAGUCACCACCAGAAGAACCCAGACAUCACCAACGGUUGCUGCUCCCACUCUUGCGCGGGCUUUCAAGGCAAUUUGUCAAAUCUUUUCCUUUAUGCUGACUAUCUUUAUAUCGGCUAUAUUUAUGCUUAUAAACUCUUGUUCAUUAUUGCAGCAAACCGGCGCAUCGGCGAAAGCCAGGUGUGAGAGUACCGAUGCCCCCCAGUCUAGCCAACCCAAGAGAAAGGGCACCACGGGUGCUAAGACUGGAACAAAGCGCCAGAAGGUAGCAACUCCCCCUCCUCCUCCGGUAUCUCCAAUUCCGGUGGAGUCUUCUCCUUCUUCUCCAGAAGCCCAGCCACAGCAAGCACCAUCUCCCCCACCUAUGCAGGAAGCACCACAGAUAGAAGAACCCCAACAGGAAGGAUCUCAAACAGAAGAUACAUCAGCUGACAUGGGUGAACAAACAACUGGCCCGGCGGGUCCAGUUAUACCAUCGGCAGUUCUCCCGAUUCAGACAACCGUUGUCCCUCCUCCAGGUAACAUACUUUAACAUCUUCGCUACCGAUGAACUUAUUCUUAUUUAGUCUCACAACUCCUUUUGUCUUCUUUCAGUUGAUAUCGUUCCAUCGGCAAUCUCAGCCGACCAACCUGUAGCUCCAUCGGCACUUCUCAGUCAAAGGCAAGAGAUCGCCUUGAAGCAAGUAAGUCAUCGUUUACCGUUAGUACUAUUUGCCGAUUCUCUGAGUAUGAGCUAAUUUUGCUUUCCUUCCCAGGAACAAGAUUCUCCCGACAGCCUGUUCUCCUUCGCCAUCGAUCUCUCUGAAGAAGAAGGUGAAGAAGCAAGCUCUUCUCAGACGGUCGGCAUCACAUCGGCAGAGAUCAGGGUCAGGCUGGAAGAAUUGUCAGCUCUCCUUCACCAGGACACAGCGCAAUUGGUUGAUGAUUCCGACCCUACCAAGACCCUGUUCAGAACUCUCAGAGGCCAAAUCCCAGCCGAUGUUGAAGAAAUCCUGUUCCAAGCCGCUCAUCUGGAGAGUCGCCAGCUGCAGUACCAAAGAGCUUCUCGGCGGCUUGCCGAUAGAGCCGCUCAGACUCAACUCUCCGAUGAAAUGAGGAGAGAGAAGCUUUUGACCGAUGAGAAGCACAAGAACAUCGGUAUCCUGAGAUCUUCUGGAGACGCGCUGAAGCAGAAGAUAUCCGAUCUAUCGGCAAGAAAAGAAUCCCUGUUGGCGGAGCUCAAGGAAGUAGAGAACGCUCUGUCCCAAGCCCAACAGGAAGAGAGCCAAUUGCCAGAGACCAUCAGGCUUCUUGAGCACGAGCGAAAUGCUCAUGGUCGCAAAGCACUUCAACUGAAGAAGAAGCUGAAGCCGAUAGAAGGUUCUGCCGAUGAUGACAUCAAGGAGAUAGAAGCAGCCAACCAAAUUUGGCUACGCGCUAUAUCGGCAAUCCAGACGCUGCUUAACACAUAGAGUUUCCAUCGGCAUUGUAUCUGCGCUUUCCUGCUUCCUCAGCUUUUAGUCUAGCCGAUAGGACUGUUAUCGGCGCCUAAACUUUUGAAACACCAAGUCUUGUCCCCAAGCAUUUGGAUCCAGCCGAUAGGAGUGUUAUCAGCACCUAAACUUCUAUGCAUCGACCCAUAUACUGGGGUAGUACUUCUUUAAAUAUUUGCCGUUUAAUGCUCUGGGAAAUUCAAUUCCUUCGAGGGUUUCUAGAAUGUAGGCAUUACCAGGAGCCGAUCGACUUAUCCGAUAAGGACCCUCCCAAUUAGGAGACCACUUUCCAAACUUCGAACUUUUGGUCCCAAUUGGUAAAAUUAAUUUCCAUACCAAAUCCCCAUCGGCAAACUCUUUAGCCUUCACUUUCUUAUCAUACCAUCUAGCAACUCUCUUCUUAUUUUCUUCUAUAUUCAUUAAAGCUUUUAACCGAUGCCCUGCUAGAUCGUCCAAUUCAUCGGUCAUCAAAGUGGCAUAACCAUCGGAAGUUAAUUGAUCUUGAAAAGAUAAUCGCCUAGAUCCAGCCUUAAUUUCCCAAGGCAACACUGCAUCAUGUCCAUACACCAAUUGAUAGGGUGAUACCUUGGUCGAUCCAUGACAAGCCAUCCGAUAAGACCACAAUGCUUCAUUUAAUAAUGUAUGCCACCGCUUAGGAUUUUCUUCAAUCUUUCGUUUAAUAAGCUUGAUAAUUCCUUUGUUAGACGCUUCGGCCUGCCCAUUGGCUUGAGCAUAAUAAGGAGAAGAAUUCAACACUUUAAUUCCCAUACCGAUUGCGAAUUCAUCGAACUCCCCCGAUGUGAACAUGGUGCCCUGAUCGGUAGUAAUCGUUUGGGGAAUUCCAAAUCGGUAAAUAAUAUGCUCCUUCACAAAAUCAAUCAUAUUGGCCGAUGUGACUUUCUUCAAAGGAAUAGCUUCAACCCACUUAGUGAAAUAGUCAGUGGCAACUAGAAUGAACUUAUGCCCUUUGCUAGAUGGUGGAUAAAUCUGGCCGAUCAGAUCGAUGGCCCAUCCCCGGAACGGCCAAGGCUUUAUUAUAGGAUUCAUAGCCGAUGCGGGUGCUCUCUGGAUAUUACCAAACUUUUGACAACCUUGACAUCCCUUGAAAUAUUUAAAACAAUCUUCAAGUAUGGUUGGCCAAAAAUAUCCAUUCCUUCGAAUCAUCCACUUCAUCUUAAAAGCUGACUGAUGCGCUCCACACACUCCUUCAUGGAUUUCCCCCAUCAAACUUCUAGCUUCAUCAUCACUCAAGCAUCGGAGAAGAAUUCCAUCGAUAGUUCGAUAAUACAAUUCAUUUUCAAGGAGCACAUACUUGGUUGCUUGAAAUCGAACCCGUCUUUCAACCUUUUUGGAUGGAUCUUUUAGAUAAUCAAUAAUUUCUUUCCUCCAAUCACCGGCACCGACUGCCGAUGUCGCAUUAAUCAUUGGCUGAUAUCCCGAGGCAUGCUGAGCUAACCGAUUAGCGUCUUCAUUAUGCAAUCGGGGAACAUGCUCCAAUCGGAAAUCCUUGAAUUCCUUUAACAGCUGCAUACUUCUCUCGAAAUAAGUUAUGAGAACUUCACUUCGGCAUUCAUAGCUUCCGGCCAAUUGAUUUAUAACCAACAUAGAAUCCCCGAAUAUCUCAACAGCAUCAGCACGAACUUCUCUUAACAACUCUAAUCCCUUGAUCAGAGCCUGAUACUCAGCCUGAUUAUUUGUUGAUGUGGCAACAAUCGGCAAGGAAAACUCAUACUUCUUCCCCUUAGGGGAAACUAAUACAAUGCCGAUUCCUGCCCCCCGGUCACAGGUAGAUCCAUCAAAGAAGAGCGUCCAGGGUACAAUUUCCAAGGGUUCCACUAGACCGCAAUGCUGAGUCACAAAAUCGGCCAUAAUCUGCCCUUUGACUGCCUUAGCCGAUUCGUAACGCAAAUCGAACUCCGACAGCGCUAAAAUCCAUUUACCGAUCCUACCACUCAUAAUCGGCAUAGAUAGCAUGUAUCGGACCACGUCAUCUUUGCAAACAACAGUGCAUUCGGCCGAUAACAGGUAAUGUCUCAGCUUGAUACAUGAAAAAUAUAAGCAUAAGCAUAGUUUCUCAAUGGCCGAAUACCUGGUUUCAGCAUCAAUCAACCUCCUACUCAAAUAAUAAAUUACCCUUUCUUUCCCUUCAAAUUCUUGAAGUAAAGCUGAACCGAUAACCGAUCCAUCGGUAGACAAAUACAAUCUGAAGGGCUUCCCUUGUUGAGGUGGAACUAGAACUGGAGGAUUUACUAGAUACUUCUUGAUUUCAUCCAGAGCCAACUGCUGUUCUUCUCCCCAAAUAAACUCUUGAUCGGCUUUCAAUUUAAGAAGAGGACUGAAAGCACGAAUCCUACCAGACAAAUUCGAUAUAAAUCUCCUGAUAAAAUUUACCUUGCCGAUCAAGGAUUGGAGCUCGGUUUUGUUGGUAGGGGCCACUAUUUUAUUGAUGGCAUCAAUAGAUCUUCGACUAAUUUCAAUACCCCUCUGAUGUACCAUGAAACCAAGAAACUGCCCUGCCGAUACACCAAAUGCACACUUGUUGGGAUUUAUCUUCAAUCCAUGCUUCCUUGUGCACUCCAACACUUUUUGUAAAUCGGCAAGAUGCUUUGAGAAAUCCCCAGACUUAACCACCACAUCAUCAAUAUAAAUCUCUACGAGCUUGCCGAUGAACUCAUGAAAUAUAAAAUUCAUAGCCCUUUGAUAAGUAGCACCAGCAUUCUUCAACCCAAAAGUCAUGACUAUCCAUUCAAAUAGCCCAACAUGACCAGGACACCUGAAUGCGGUUUUUGGAAUAUCCUCCUCCGCCAUGAAUAUUUGAUUGUAACCUGCAUUACCAUCCAUGAAGCUGAUGACCCGAUGACCAGCCGCAGCAUCAACCAGUAGAUCGGCGACAGGCAUUGGGUACCCAUCCAUCGGCGUAGCUUUAUUGAGAUUCCUGAAAUCAAUGCACACCCGAAGCUUUCCGUUCUUCUUGUAAACCGGAACAACAUUGGAAAUCCACUCGGCAUACCGACACUGCCGAAUAAGCUUAGCUUCAAUAAGUUUGGUGAUUUCGGCCUUAAUAUCACGUAGAAUGUUAGGAUUACAUCGGCGGGCUAGUUGCUGAUGUGGCCGAAAUCCAGACUUGAUGGGUAACCGAUGUUCAAUAAUUGAUCGGUCUAAACCAGGCAUCUCGGUAUAAUCCCAAGCAAAGCAAUCUUUAUAUUCCUUUAACAAACUAGUCAAUUGUAGCUUACUCUCAGGAUCUAAUUUAGCACUAAUAAAAGUAGGCCUAGGCUUAUCACCACUACCUAUAUCUACUUCUACCAAAUCAUCGGCCGAUAUGAAUCCCUGGCCUAAUUUUCCAUCAUCGGCGAAUCUAUCCAUUAAAAACCGUCGUCAGAACCGACUGCUUGGAUCGGCGGAAUCUCAUAAUCGGCAACUUUGAGAAAAUCUUUCUCCCAAACUUCUCCUGAAAUGCACCUGGUCCUUUCGUAAGUAUCCGCUUCUGCCGAUGCGACAACAUAAGAAGAAUCUCCUAGGACAAUCUCAAUCUUGUCACCUACCCACUGAACCAAGCAUUGAUGCAUGGUAGAUGGGAUACAACAAUUGGCAUGAAUCCAAUCUCUUCCCAUUAAUAAGUUGUAAGCACCUUUUCCGCUGAUCACGAAAAAAGUUGUCGGCAAGGUUUUGCUGCCGAUGGUCAACUCUGCACAUAUUGCCCCAUUGACUGGAGACACGUUUCCUUCAAAGUCUUUGAGCAUCAUAUCGGUCUUGGUCAAAUCUUGAUCCCCUUUCCCAAGCUUCCGAUAUACUGCAUACGGUAUAAUAUUAAUAGCAGCUCCACCAUCAACUAGGAUCUUGGUCAUUGGCUGCCCAUCAACCCUUCCUUUGAGGAACAGAGCUUUAAGAUGCUGCCUCUCGUCAUCGGCAGGUUUCUCAAAGAUAGCCGUCAUCAGAUCCAGAGCCAACUGAGCUAUCUGAUCAGAAAAUUCCAACUCAUCAUCACUGGCUGGUGCAAGAAACUCCAUCGGCAACACGAAGACCAUGUUGACGCCUGCCGAUGGACCUUCCCUCUUAGUGUCUGACGGCUGCCGACUUCCAGAGUUCUCUCCCUUGUUUAGCUCUUCUUGCCUUUCACGUUGCAAUCUCCUUUUCUGUGUCUUGGUUAAUCCUCUAGGGCACCAUGGAGGAAGUGGCCUUUGCCUUGCCGUCGGGCGUCGGUUCUCCCUUGACUCCAUACGAUGCGUGUUAGCAUCCCUGCAAAAUAUGAAUUCAUCGGGAACCCGCGCAUCAGCCAUUUCCUCGAGCUCUUCUUGGUUCCUGGGAAAAUACUGGACACGGUCACUAAGUCUGUCGUGCCCACUACAUCUGCCCCCCAGCCGGUCAUGAACUGACACCCUUCCUCUGAUCGGCCCAUUAAAUCGCCGUUCAUCAUCAUGAUAAUGCCGAUCGAUCCUAUCGUACCGAUCAUAACCGUUGCACUCAGGGCAGUCUCUGACAGUAGGAAGCUUGAUAUUUUCCUCCCAACAAUGGAUGAAGAAUGGACAAUUCCAAUGAUCCCUGUGCCGAUUCCACUCCUGUCGGCGUCUUUCUUCUUCCCGUCGAUAAUCUUCCUGCUGGCGCCGAUACCGAUCUUCCCGUUGUUGCCAUUUUUCUCGAGGCCUUCUAUGAGUUAUGACGAUACCAGAUCGAGGAAGCCUUCCUGAGCUAGUUCCUUCCUGGACCAAGCCCUUACUUCUUGCAUCGGCAGUAGUAACUUGAUGCUGAGGAUCUACCGAUGCACUCUUCUCAGCUGUCUCCGAUGUUAAGACCUUAGCAUUCCCCUUAGCAUCCAACAUGUUUGUCGGGAAAGGAUGUUGGUCUAUCUUCAUCGGCUUCUGGGCUUUGGAACUGUCAAACUUGAUUCUCCCUGACUCUAUAGCCGAUUGCAGCUGCUGUCUGAAUACUUUGCACUCGUUGGUGUCAUGGGAAGUUGCAUUAUGCCACUUGCAAUAUCUCGUCCUCUUCAACUCUUCUGCCGAUGGGAUCACAUGGUUAGGUGACAGUUUGAUCUGACCUUCCUGAAGUAGAAAGUCAAAUAUCCUAUCAGCCUUAGCGGUGUCAAAAGCAAACUUCUCUGGUUCCUUCUGCCCAAAAGGACAAGACAUCGGCUUCUUGUUUUUUACCCACUCUGCCAAGCCGAUUACUGGUUCUUCAUCAGAAUCUGAGCUUGUUGCUUCAUCGACAAAUGACACUUUCUUAUUCCAUGCUCUCUUAGGUUCGAAAGGCUUGAUGUCUUGAUCAGAAAUCCUCUGCACCAAAUGACUUAAACUUUCGAACUCCUGAGAGGCAUACUUAUCCCUGAUAUGUGGCAACAAACCCUGGAAAGCCAAAUCGGCUAGCUGCCGAUCAUCCAGAACCAGGCUAUAGCAUUUAUUCUUGACCUCUCGUAUCCUCUGCACAAAUCCCUCAACCGACUCAUCAUUACGUUGCCUCAGCUUGACCAAGUCGGUGAUCUUCUUCUCAUGAACCCCCGAGAAGAAGUAUUUGUGGAAUUGCUUCUCUAGAUCGGCCCAAGUAAUUACUGAGUUGGGAGGUAAUGAUAUGAACCAAGUAAAGGCCGAUCCAGACAAUGAUGAUGAAAAUAGACGAACCCUCAAUUCGUCCCUGUUACUAGCCUCUCCACAUUGAAUGAUGAACCUGUUGACAUGCUCCAUGGUUGACGUGUCGUCCUGUCCGGAAAACUUUGUAAAAUCCGGUACCUUGUACCGAUGUGGAAGCGGGAUCAAAUCAUACGCAGGAGGAUACGGUGUCCGAUAAGAAUAAGUGUUGACUUUGGGUUUUAUCCCAAAUUGUUCCCUCAUUACUUCAGCAAUCUUAUCGGCCCAAUAUGCAUCGGCAUCUUGCCGAUGAGGCGGCUACGGAUCUGGCACUUGGUGGCGAACCUCCACGUGUCUGUUCGGGACGUGAUCUGCACGGAACAUUGUAUUGAUCACCUGUCCUCCAAUCUGCGGACCACCAAACUGCUGUCCACCGAUUGGCUGUCCUCCGAGUUGCUGUCCAAAAUUCAUUGGCUGGUUGGGAAUCCCCUGACCUUGGAACCCGGGAUAGACCUGCCCUUGCUGGAACCCUGUAGUCUGGUAACUCUGCUGGGGCGAUUGUGGAAAGGCUUGCUGUCCAAGCCAUCCAUUAUUAGCGUUCAUCGGCAUAGGUGCUGCCGAUGAUUGGUAAUUGGGUACCGUCGUUGAAUUGACAUACCCCGACUGGGCCAUAGGCCUCUGUUGCAUCAGCAUUGACUCUGCUGAUGCGUUGGGCAUCUGGAACAUUGAAUCUUGAGCAUUUCCAGUGUGAGGCCUUGCAGUAGUAGUUGUGGUAUACCGAGGACUCUGGUUCACCGGCGCAUUGGGAGGUGCCGAUGUCAUAGGAGUUUUGCCCCUCAUGUCAGUUAUUUGUGAUGUUCCCGGCGUCAACUCUGGAGGCAUACCGUAACCCCACCAGUUGGGAGGAAGAGUCAACCCUGACAUUGCCGAUGCCAACAUAUCUGUUGUCAGUUUAUGCUGCCCAACUGAAAUUUGUGGGUUGGUUGCCAUCGGCAUAGAUAGUGCACCAGUAGUCCCCGAUGUACUUGGAGGGACGGCAGAUUGUGCACUUGCAUUCGUCAAGGCAGCCGAUGGAGCCGUGACCUCUGGUGCCGUUGGCUGAUGAUGGGAGGGGCCCACAUAAUCUGGUGGGAUUUGUCCUUCUUGAAAGUUCUUGCCACGGCAUUGAAAACCGUAUUAGACAAUACACCAGCUUGGUUAAUCAACGCUCGAUUGAUGGCAUUGUCAACCAUAUCUUGAAGCUUGCCAGGAUUGGCGUCAAAGGUAACCUGCCGUGGUGCCGGCAGUGCAUCUUUCUGGACCACUUCGCCGCUCCUGUUUAUGCUGAAAGACCUCAGGCAUUGCUGCUUGAACUCUUCCAUGGCUUGGGCAAUAGCUUGCUUCUGCUCAUCCUUGAGGUUGGCCUCCGUCACGGGGAUGACGUUCUCUUGAUCGAGGUCAGAGAUCGACAUGUUGAUCUUGAUCUUGAAUCCUGUCCCACUGGGCGUGCCAAAAGAUGUGUUGAUGCAAAACUGGUCUGCAAACACAAAGGGCUAAUACCCGAUUCAAACGUUAAGGCGUGCCAGCCGAUUUGACCUUGCUAUCGGCAAAGGUGAUAACUCGAAUACUUUAGUCCUGACAACAGCGAUGCGCCCGGAUGUCACGGCUAAGAGGUACUCACGCGGAACUUGAGAACACGCCGAGCUUAAGUCGACGAAUUCCUAAGAACUUGUAACAAAAGGAAAAAGUAUGACGAAGUCGUCGAAAAGUAAAUGCUGGAAUAUGAGUAAAAACGUGUGUUUGAUUUCUUGAUUGAUUAUCUAUCACAAGGCCCUAGGGUCUAUAUUUAUACCCUACUCAAAGAGCUACAACCAGACACGAUUAGAAUUCGAAUUCCAAAUUACACGGAAUCCGCAUACAAAACGACGCAAAUAAUCAAGGUAAUAACAAAACUAUCCCUCGUGACAAACCGAAACUCCACAUAACGACCGGCAGCUUCCGGACUCCCUCUUUGCAUCAUCAGCAGACCCUUUGCCAUAGUCAUCGGCAGACUUUCUUAUCUAGCCAUCGGCACCAUAUUACUGCCUGUGGACUUAGUCACAUCCAACUUCUCCCUCAUCGGCAACCAUCCUCAUCGGCAACCCACUUUGUAAACAUCGUACUGCCACCUUAUCCUGCCAUCCUAGACACGUGCCCAAAAACGGUGUCAACACCUUCUCUCAAGAUAUGUGGUAUUUGUGGUAUGAGGCAUAGUGACAUUGCCUUCUCUCUCACCCUACUCUAAUAAGGCUUUAAUAUCUGGAGUUCAUAGGUGGGAGAUAAAGUAUACAUACUUACAAGACAUUUAUUGUAUAGUCAAACCAUGGAUCCAAAUAAACAAGCCAAUAAGUUUAAUCAAGAUGUGCAUGUGUGGCGAAUGAAUGGUGUAUGGUGAUGAUGGUGAUAACAUUGGUGGAAGUAAUGGUGGUGGAAGUCUAAUUCUACUUUGCUCUUUUGAGGGGAUAUAUACCUUCCUUGCUUUUGAAACUUUAUGAGGAGAAUGAGAUGCUCUUCUUUUUCUUUUCUCUUAGGUGGGUAUCUUGCACCCCUAAUUCUACUGUCGGACACUUGUCCAUUUUUACCUCUCAUCUCACUUUUUUUUCCUUUCGAGGUUCCGAGCACUUGCUCCUUUUUAUUUCUUCGUAUCUUUUUUUAGAGCAUUCAUCUCUUGAGGUAAUAUAGCAAGUGGUAGUAACAAGAUAACUUGAGCAUUUAUUUCACAAGGGGAAAACAGAAAUAUUUUUGGUUAUUCUCUCCUGGAUUAGGAGUAGAAUAUUUUUAGGUGGUUCUGGAGAUGGAAUGGAUGGAUAUAUGUGGAUGGUACUUCCAGAGUAGAAGUAGUAUAUAUGAGUGAACGUGCAAGUGAAAUCUUGAUUUAACCACAUGACAAGCUCCUAAGGGUCUUCACAGCUUGACCACACUCAAUGCUCAUAAGUAGUAAAUAGUAAAUGUGUGGCUCAAAGUCUAGCAAGCAUGUAUAUAUGGCUGUGGUAGGAAUUUAAGCUCUCAUCAUACAGGAACUCAUCAUGCAACAUUUUAAAGAUUUUUAAAGAUAAAAUUCUCCAGAAUUCUAGCAUCUCUAGGAACAGAUAAACAGCAGCUCAACCUUCCCAUAUCGUAUCCGUUAACAACUUAGACUUCAGAUCAAGUUUUCAUCCCACAAGUUUAGGUCUAGGGCAAGCUUAAAAUUAUAACAGUUAUGUCUAAACUUGAGAGAGAACUUAAAAUGUGCAAAUUAGGCAGAGCAACUAUUCAUCAUAUCCAUGCUUAAGUUUUAUUUAGAUACAGAUUAGCAUAGCCACUUUAUUUAUUUAUUAAACACACUAAGCAAAAAGCAUAUAUAAGCAUAAAAUCUUUAUUUGGUUUUCCCAUAGUUUAUGUGUAUUUAUAUUCUAAAAUAAUAUAAGUAUAAAGAUAGAUAGAUAGAAAUACUUAUCGGGAUAAAUGGGGGUGCUCUCCCCCAAGCUGAAUUUUGACGUAAUUUCUCUUGAUGUAGCUAGCAGGUGGCAGAGGUGUAUUUGAAAGUCAGCAGCAUUCUGACAGCGAUUAGAAUGUCCUCCGUCUGCUAGUCUUCUUGAUUCUUAAAUUCUGUGGAGUUCAAAUAGACAACAAAGCUUGUGGAACUGAUUAAGUGUUAGCAUUAAAUAUCUAGCCUUUAUUCAUCUUGAGACUCCUUAAUAAAUAUUACUCCCUGUUUAUAUAUUUUUGUUUAUUUUUAUAAAGUAGAAAAAUAUUUAUUUUAUUUUUAUGCCACCACAGUGAAUAUACUUAUGGGUUUUAUGCCACCCGUCUACUCACAUGGGGCUUACAGUUUUUCACAUUUUUAUUUUCUUUUUUGAGAUAGUAUGAACAUGAUUAACUAAGUAAACUAUUUGAAAUAAUUGAGAAGGAAAGGAUAACUACCAAGUUACCUCUUGGCAAGGUGUUCGGUGUUUUUAAGUCCUCCGAACGGGACUCUCCAUUUUCUUAAUCGUCCUGAGGUUCGUUGGGUGGCGUAGUCGGUUCUUCCGGCAGCACCUCCUCUUCAUGUAUAGUUAUCUUCAUUUUCCAUACCUGACUCGGUGCUUCAAUCUCCUCUGGAUAAUUCUGUUUAAACUUACAUCUUCUGAUCUUACAACUUCUCCUUCAUAGUCUGCCCAUCCGUCCUUGAUGAUCUGCCCCCUCUGGUUGUGGUUGCGUCUCUUUCUUACCUGCUUAGAUUCUUCAAUGAUAUAGUUAGGGUCAGUAAAAUAACGGCGUACCUUCUCUUAGGGGAAGUGCAUAUGGACUUCUCUGGUUCCAAUGUAGAUAAUUGCUUUAACGGUGCUGAGGAACGGUCUUCCAAGGAUGAUGGGUGGAUCAUACUCAUCUUCUCCCAUGUCAACAACUUGAAAGUCUGUGUAGACAAAGUGAUCGUCUAUAUUGACUGGGACAUCAGAUACUAUUCCUUGAACUUCUCGAAAUGUCUAAUCUGCCAUCUGGAGUUGAAUGUAUGUUGGUCUUAGUGGCAUGGUUCCGAACAAGAGCCGAUAGGUGACUGCAGCCAUUAUAUUGACGCCCGAUACGGUGUCGCAAAUUGUCUUGUAGAAGUUGUAUGCAUUUAUGGAGCAGUAAAUGUUUGGCAUUCCUGGGUCAUCCUUCUUGGUCAAAAACGGUGACUUAAGUUGAUAAUCUUGACCUCCAUGAACUACAGUGACCAUCUUAGCUGUCUCGGUCCACACUUGCUUGUUCCUGUUUCUUCUGUUGGUCCUCUUCCUUGAUUCACGUCUGGAUUGAUCUUGAAUUUGUGUAGUCUUGUUCUUGAAGAAAAAUGUCUCCUUCUUCCCUUUGACGUAGAAACUGAUCUUGGCAGCACUGGCGUAGAUGAUAGCUCCCAUGGUGUUCAAGAAUGGCCUUCCUAGGAUGAUAGGUGCUCUCUCAUCAUUUCCGGUCUCUACCACUACGAAGUCUGCUGGGGCAUACAAGGUACCAACUCGGACACAAAGGAUCCUCACUAUUCCUUUUGGAAAAGUUAUCGUCUGAUCUGUAAACUGCAAACACAUGGUUGUCUCUAAUAAAGGAUAUGUAAAGAAUUUCUCAUAGAGUACCCUGGGUAUAAUGUUUACGCUAGAGCCAAAGUCACAGAGUGCUUCUGGGAAGUCCACCAUGCCAAUGGAGAUCGGGAUGACGGGGCGUCCUGGAUCGCCUCUCUUGACCGGCAGACGCUCAGUAGAAAAUUCAGUGACGGGGUUACUCCAAUUACCUGCAUUAAACACGUCUACAAGAUUUGCAGAUUCUAAUCCUUCCGGUUGUGAUGGUAUACUGGGGUUAGUAGUAGGAACAUCAGUAGCUAUUUGAUUUAACUGAGAUUCAAUCAUUUUAUUAAAGCUAAUUUGAUUCUUGAUGGCAGUAGAAAAAUUAUCCAUACUAUUAUUUUAUUUUCUAGCAUUUUAUCAUUAGAUGCCAAUUUCUUAGAUAGGUUAUCCAUUAGCUUUCCUUGAUUAGACACUAACUCUCUCAAAGGUGGAAAAUUAUUAUUAUUGUUGUAUGAAUUGUUACCUUGAUAAUUACCUGAGUAGUUAGGCCUCUGUUGAUUCCAACCUUGAUUUUGUUGAGGACGGUUGUAGUAGUUGUUGUUGUUGUUGAUGUAGUUCACAUCCUCAAGUAUCUCAGGGCAGUGGUUGCCUGAGUGUCCAGUGUCUCCACACUCCUCACAAGUCAUGUGAGAGUCGUAGAUGUGCAUAACUUCUUUCUUGUCUCCAGCUCUAUCAUCGAGCUUCUUCAUGACCAGGUCUAGCUUUGCAGACAGCAUGUCUACCUCCUUCAGCUGAUGCAUACCUCCACCUCUCUUGCGUGUCUGGGUCCUCUCUUCAUUCCAACUUUGAUUGGACGCCAUCUUCUCCACAAGAGCUGUGGCUUGUGGUAUAGUAAGUGAUAAGAAUGCUCCUCCAGCUGCAGCAUCCAUGGUCUCUCGAGCACUGUUGCCGAGCCCAUGAUAAAAUGUCUGCAUUAGUAGCCAACUCUCCAUUCCAUGAUGGGGACAUUCUAGGAUAUAGUCUUGAAAGCGCUCCCAUGCUUCUGGAACAGAUUCAUCAUUUUGUUGCUGAAAACUCGUAAUCUUCCCACGGAGAGCAUUGGUCUUGCCCAUGGGAAAGAACUUUGCCAGGAAGUUUGUUGAGCAGAGUGCCCACGUAGUAUUCUUCUCCUUUGUAGUGUAAAACCACUGCUUCGCUCUUCCUAACAGUGAGAAUGGGAAGAGGCGAAGUAGUAUAGCGUCUUUGGAAACUCCUGCUAUGGUGAAUGUGUUGCAAAUCUCCAGGAAGUGUUGUAAAUGAGCACUAGCAUCUUCGUGUGCCUUCCCACAGAACUGGUUGGAUUGCACCAUGUUGAUAAGUCCAGGCUUGAGCUCAAAGUUGCCAUCGAUCUCUGCAGCAGGUCCAGUGCGGAUGUUGUCCGUAGUGGGAGCUGAGAACUCGCGGAUUGAUUUGUUCGCCAUGGCUUCGAACUCUGAAGACAAGUUCCGGUGAUCUUCUUGAUUGGAUGAAGCUUCUUGCUGAAGUGUUGAUGAUCUCUUCUUGAGCUUGGCUCUCGUCUUCUUGAAUAAUGCUUCAGGAUCGUCAACAAAAUUCCCUGGAAGAUGUCUUCUAUUCAUACAUUCCCCUGCAUAAGAUAAAAUAGGAAAAUAUCGGGGUAAAACUGUAUGAGAGAAUAGAUAAGCUCAAUCAUAUUAGUGAUGCGAAUGAUGACUCAAAAUCUUUUAUUCCAUUCCUGAUUAGUAAUCAACCUUCCCCGGCAACGGCGCCAAAAAUGCUUGUUGGGUAUUCUUAACAUCAUUACCAAAAGUAGACUAAGUUCUCUAAAUCUAGUAACGGUGCCAAAAAUGCCAAACCUAUCCCUUACACCACUUAAGCCAAGUUGUCAUCCCCAGCAUGAUAUAAGAGACGCGGUAUUGAAAUAUGCAAUUGCUCUUCUAAAUAAAUAAUGAAUGGGAUCUGCAAGCGCACAGAUUAAUACCGAUGUAGCAUUUUAACCGGGAAGUAUUCCAGGUAUCGUUAUUUAUAUUUUUACCACUGGGAAGGGAUUAGAAAUCAUCACUAUUGAUUACAGAAUAGAAUAUGAGAUUGAGCAUCUAUCAUUGCAUGUAUAAUUGAGAACAUUAUAUCUAACUCUUCAUACAGGGAUAAGUGUCACAUAAAAGAUAUAUGAAAUAAUAAUAGUGACAAGGAUAACUAAUCUGAUCUAGCCACAUAAUAAAUAUGAUAAGCACCUCAAUUAGAUACUCUAGAAAGUCAUUAGCAUGGUAUUAGAACGAACUACAAGAAUAUUCCCUAAGUUAUUCUUAACUAUAUAGUCUAGCAUAUCAUAGUUAGUGCAAGCAUACUUAGCAAUCAUUGCGAGACAAGACUACGCCCAUGCAUAGUGAUAUUAGCAAGGAAUAUGAGAAACAUAGCAAUCACUCCCCUGUAAUAAUGUUGCUCUGCCAGCCCAAUACACGAGAGGGGGACUAUAUAAGAAUCAAUGAAGCUGUCACUAUCACGAACUACCCCACAAUCUGGCAUAUUGGGUACAAUCGCAGAUAAAUACGGUAUAAGCACCACGCCUACACAAUAUCUAUCAUUUACCCAUGGAUCCGAUGGAUAAACGCUAUACGAUCCUAAGCAUGUAUAUAGAUCGUAUCUAACUAAGCCAAGUACAUAACUAUGAUAAACUAAGAACAAUAUAAUCUUGAAUAUAAGCAAGUAGAGCAAAGUCAUAAGCAAUAUAUUGAAGUAGAACAAAGUCAUAUUCAUAAUAUUGAAGAACAAAGAUAAUUAGAAAGCAAUUAGAAGCACAAUUAGAGAAUUACCAAGAAUCCUCUUGACAGAUCCAGAAACCAAUCGAAGAUUGACUCCUUCUAGUUCUAAUCCUAUGUAGCUAUGCUAAUCUAGAUAUCUAAUUGAUGUGGUGGCUCUAAUCUUGAUCAGAUGCUUCUUCUCCCUUGAUGGAACAAUGAAUUAGGGUUGAGAGGCUCCCUCCUCCAGGGGCCAGGGGGUCUGGUUUUAUAGUCCCUUCAAGUGAAUAUGGGCCCUUGGAUCAAACCUUCAUAGAUUGUAUGGUUUAGGUUCAUCCUUUAGGUCGGUGGAGAUCUCCCGCAAAGCAGAGUCCUGAUUGGACUCAGGAGGUGGGCGGGCGCCCUGACCAACUGGGCGGCCGCCCAGGGUCUGGCCCCGUUUCGCCUCUGCUUCGGUCUCGUGGCUUCUGGAGUCUUCUAGAUGUAAGAUAAUUGCACAGCACGUUAAUAUCUUUACGUAAUCCCGACAUGUGGGCCUUUCUUCCAUAUUUCCUGAUAACCCCCUGCAGAAAUAGACAAACACCAAAACUCGUGGAAUUCUAUCAGAUAAAACCCUAAGUCAAGAUGUUGAUUUCAUUUGGAUCCUUUUCUUUAUUUAUUUGAUAAUUAAUUUUGAUACUUAAGGACCGUCAACAGAAAUCAUGGGGCAAGUUCACAUUGGAAAAUACUAUCCUAGAAAUGCCCACAUCCAACACCCUACUCUAAGGUUUUACACCUUUGGCUAUCCAUAACACUGUUUCCUAGCCAGGAUACCCGCGUUGUGCGAGUAAAUGAAAUGAGGUUACUUUACGCGGCUAGAAUGAAAAUAAAAGUUGCGCCUGUGCAAGAAAUUGUAAGGCAUUGGUUAGAUAUAAUCAAGACAACCACCCCUAUCUCUUUGACUUCACUCAUAACACGUGUGGCCACGGCCAUUGGUCCGUUGGAAGGGCAAGAUCUUGAUUAUAUUCAAAUUCCACGCACCAUGAUUAAUGAAACCUAUCUUAUCCAAGGUCACCAUUUGAAAAGAGAUAAUGCGGGCGGUCUUGUGUUUUAUUUCCCAGGGUAUAGAAACGUAAUCUGGUUACCUAACCCGGGUCUACGCUUGUAUAACUCUGGGAGACUAACCUUUGAUCUGCAGACAGCUGAAACUGCAUGAAGGCGUAGUGUUUCUGGCAGGGGCAUCGGCGGAUCCACCUGCCAGCCACCACCCUCCUAUACACAGCCGAUCUACCAGUCGGUGUGGGACACACCCAUGCCGACACAAGGUGUUGAGGGGUGGGCUGAGGCGAAUUCCAGCGCUUGGGAACAGCAAACGCGCAGGAAGGCCAAAUCACCAGAAGAACAUCCUUCGGCCUCCACAGUAGGCCGAACCGACUUGUAGCGCCUCCAAGCUCAGCUUGGGGACUGGUGGUGCGCCCGGAUGAGAUCCAGGAUACUCUCCAACAACACAUCCAAACCACCGAUGCGCACCACCAGCAGGCCGUGGAGUGGCACCAGCAAGGGUUGCUAUGGCAACAGCAACAACAGGCCUGGCACCAGCAGCAGCAAGAAGAAAUGCAAGCUCGCCAAGAUCAGCUGCUGAAAUAGUCCUAAGACUUCUGGCGGUACAUGGGGUACAACCCCGAUCAGUAGGCCAGAAACUAGCUUGGGGGAGGACCCCUAAUCCCGAGGUUAUCUGCAUUGCAUAUUUAUUUUCAUGCAUCCUUAAUUUUAAAUUAGCAUGUUUACUUUAUGAAAUUUCCAUGUUUUAAUUAUUGCAUAUAAAAAAAUGAAAAAUGCUAAAAUGACAAAAAUAUAAUUCCACUCUUAUAUGUGAUGUAAGAUAUAUGCUUCUUGCUUGUUGAAAUGAUGAAUAGUUGCUCUAUCGUAAUUUCUUUCCAGUAUCUAGUUUCAACCUUGAAUUCUCCAAAUUAAUAAAAUGAUUAAAUGCGUGGGUUGCAAAAUGCUCUAUCUAAAGUCUAAAGUAAUUAAUGGAUAUAUUUGUGAUGAUCUGAGCUAUUAGUAUCCUGUUCUAAACAACGCUAGAGUUCUGGAGUUUUUACAAAAAUAAAAUAAUCACAUUGAGUUAGAUUAAGCUUUGUUGACCCUUUGAGAGGUUGUCAUACCAUUGAAAACAAAAAUAUUUCAUUAUGUUAUCAUCUCAAAAGUUUGUUAGGAGGCAUAUGGCUAUGAAAAAGAAAAAACAGCAUCCGAGGAAAUAAAAAGGGACAUGUGUCCGAAACCUCAAAAAGAAAGAUCAUGAGGAAAAAAAAGGGACAUGUGUCUGGAACCUCGAAAAAAAUAAAAAUAAAAAAAACAAAAAAAUGGGCAAGUGCCCAACAGUAGAAUUAGCCACAGCCAUUUGUCUCUAAUAGACAAAAAGAGAAUGAUGGAAAAGAAAAGGUUUUCAAAAAUUCAAUGGUAUGAUUAACUUUCUCUUUGGAUCCAUUGUUUAAUUUGAUAAAUAAAUGUGCUAUCUGUUGAAAAUCAAAAAAAACUCUGGAACAAAAGUGAAGUAAAGAACUAGGGAUAUAGCGCUCGAUCUGAUCAAAUCCAUCCUGCAAAUGCUUGAGGACACGAGGUAUGAGCAAUAAGCCCCAUGACACAUCUGUUCAAAAUUCAAAGGAGAAUUCUUGUUUGAAGGUAUGUACUGGAUAGAAGUGAAAAUAUUGUAGCAACUCCUGAUCAACAACCAAGAUCUUAGCUUCUUGCUCGAGGACGAGCAAGAGUAAGCUUGGGGGAGUUUGUUGGCGGUUCUUAAUGACAUAUUUACCCUGCCAACAUAGUCCAUGCAAAGGAAGAAAAGCAUGUAUUUUACUCACAUAUACUUAUUAAAUGCUUACCAAGUUCCACAUGUAGUACAAGUUGUGUUUUGCAGAUCAUAUACAGGCAUACAGGUGGAAAGAAAAUAAAAAGGCGCAAUCCGACACGUCAAAAGAAUGCGCAAAUAAACAAGUACCCAAAAGCCCAAUAUAGAAAUGCAUCAAUUUCCAGGUGGAUCUAGACUCAGGGGCCCGAGAGGAAGGAAACGGGCUUCGGGCCGGGGCCAGCGGGGCCCACCAGGGGGCGGCCGCCCCCUAGGGUCGGCCGACCCUGGCCCAGCCCAUCUCGGCACCGCCUUUCGCAGAGGCGGUGCUGAGCCUAUCCUCCCGCAGUCCCCACGUGGAAAUUGCAGUUUACACCCUGGGGAACCGACCUUCCCCACCUAUUUAAGGAGGGGGAGAGGGAGGCUCCAUUCAUCUCAUCACAUUCACAAUCAACACUCCACCUUCAAGGCACUUGGGCACUACCUCUUCUUAGUUUUUUCCUUUUAGCUUUUAGAGAGAGAGUUGGGUGAGCUAUCAAGGAGGGCUUGGCUCCUUGGAGAGAAACUUGGGUAUGAAUAAAGAAUAUCUUUACUCCAAGUCCAUGCCUUGUCAUGUCUGAUAUAGUUCUUCAUAUGAACUAGAGUAUAGUUCUUAUGCUAUGGUAUAUGACAUAGAUCAUAGGCCCUGUUUUAUGAUGCUAGCAUAUGAACUAGAAUAUAGUUCUAGUGAAAAUGAUAUGACAUACAUUUUAGUAUAUAGUUCUUAUAGUAUAAUGCUACCCUAUGGCUAGUAGUGUAUUAUAUGAACUAGUGCUAAGUGUAUGUUGUAUUAUUCUCACUUAGGACUUUAGUCUAAUUGCUUCAUGUUAAUUAAUUGCCUAGAAAUAGCUUUGUGUGAAGAUGGGGGUUUAUCAUGCUCUUUUGAGUAGGCUCGGGCUUCUUACCUGUCGAUCCGUAGGGUCGGGGACCCGGGGGAGUCCUAGUAGGUUCUUUGCAUGUAAGCAUGGUGCUUGGGUGUAAAGGCCGGGUAAAUGCAUUGUCCUAGUCCACGGUGGAGGGGAUUGCGGAAGGUGGUGACAGCCCUGUCCGUCCUUGGCAUUCCCCCACGUUCGGCUAGGGUGUAGGAGUCUAAAUAGUUGCGGAGGUUGCUGGCAGACCAGUACUCGCGUAACCUCCCAAACCAUCUAAACACAGGACUAGAUCUAAGUAGUAUAAUUAUAUGAUUAACUUGUUCUAUGACAUGAUCUGUAUCUAGGACCACACCUGCUCCAAUAGGUUGUUUGUUUAUUCUUUGAUUCAAUUCAUUCUUUUAGUCUCUUUUUAUUCCUUAGCCCAUAUGCCAUGCCUAGAUUGUGAUGGAUCACUAUUCUACAUAUAAAUGUUUAUCACCUGCUAUGACCUUUGAUUCCAUUAUUGAUAUCAUAAUUACUUUGAUCUAUGCUUAUCUUAGAAUCCUUAACAUAUUAAGCCUUCCUUAGAGCAAACCUAUAAAUACAACACUCGGUAAAUCCCCAGGUUGAAAUGCUACACGAUAAUUCCUGUCCGCUUGCGGUACUGAAACUCCAAACCUAAGGAACUAUCACCCCGGUAUAUACUUAACACUGUUGCUAGACGUGCGCCGAGCUAGUGACUUGUUAAGGAAUACCAACAUGGCAAUCCUAGUGCCACUACCAUGAUUAAGAACUGGAACCCUACCCUAACGGUAAUAAGGCGCCGUUAUCGGGAAGGUAGAUCUAGCUUCCUAUUCAAGGUGGUGAUGCUACGGAUCUGCCAAUAUAACACUGCCAAUGUCAUUAUCAUGAGUAGAGCAGAAUCCUAUUCUAGGUAGCGACGCUAAGAAAUGCUAACAAGCAUUUCUGGCACCGUUGCUUAGGUUAGAUUUAUACUCUAAUCUUGGUGAUUGCAUUAGUAAGUGUUAUCACGACAUUUCUGACAUCGUUGCUGAGGACGGAUUAAACCCUGUUCUUAGUGGUGACAUUAAGAAAUGCCAACAGCAUCCAACCUUUGUCACCUAUAAAGCUAGUUACCCAAUAUUCGCAUCAAGGAUCUCCUUGUUUUUUUCAUCUACUGUCGUGAAGAUCGGGCCACCCUCAUACUGAUUCUUAUCAGUACCUAUCAAGCUUAAGGACCUCUUUCUUAACAACCUCCCACAUAGCAUUGUUAAGCCUACGUUGAUGUUCUCUUAAUAGGGGGAUAUCAGGAUCCGUAGGAAUACAAUGUGUGCAUAUAGUAGCACUGAUCCCCUUGAGGUCGUGGAGUGCAUAGCCUAUGGCUGAUCUAUGUCUCUCUAGGAUAGUGACAAGCAUGUGUGUUUCAUCUUGCAAAAGCUUGACACUAAUGAUAAUAGGAGUUUCUGGAUUGUCAUUGAGAAAGACAUAUUUCACGCUAGGAGGAAGAGGUUUUAGCUCAAUUGGGGGUCAUGGAGGCAUCUCCAAGGUGUCUAGCUUAAUAGGUUCUGCUAGCUCUUCCUCUUCUUCAAUGAAUUGUUCGGUAUUGAACUGAGGUCGGGCCAUGUCUUCUAGAGAUGCCAUUAAGACAUCCUCAAUAGGCUCUUCUUUAGGCUUGUUUUCUACUAUCGCAUUAUGUGAGCGUGCAAGUGAAACAUUGAUAGUAGAAUUUCCCAACUUUUAAAUUCAAGAGACUCUAUUUUGGUCGAUCUCGAAAGAGUGUUCCUAAGGGUACGCCAAUUAAGAUGGACAUGUUUGGGAUGUCAUAGAUGUGAAAGUCUAGACGGUACUCAUAGCCUCUUAUGCGCAAGGGAAUAGACCUCAUGACCCCAUAACUUUCUAAAGUAACUCUAGGUGGAGUCAUUAAAAGCUUAUGAGAUGGGAUCAAGGACUCGUUGGGCAAAGUUCUUCAGCCAAAGCCCUAGAAAAAAUGUUCAUCCCAAUGGUAGGACUAUAUUUAGCCUCUAUGGUUGUCUUCAUAAGGGUGCAAGAAAGAGUCUCUGAGGGGGCAAUGAUUCUUGCUACCUUAGUGGAUAACUCCGUUUCUGCCAACCACUCAUGGGUCAUUAUGGCUGAAAGCCCUUUGAAGUGCCAUGUCAUCAAUCCACAUGAAGUGCCAUGUCAUCAAUCCACAUGAAGUGCCAUGUCAUCGAUCCAAGAGACUGACUCCCAUUGGCUAGAAGAGAGGGGGUGCCUGAGAGAGGUGGCCGGCUACCCAUCCUCUAUGACAAGUGGGCCUCUCCCGAUGGGGUCUGUCUUCUAUGCUUUCUCUCUAUGUAAACAUGACGUGUGGGCCCUCCUACUUUUGUCUCUAUGUAAACAUGACAUGUGGGCCCUCUUUGGCUCUUUUCUGAUAACCCCCUGUAAAAAUAGGUAUUCACCAAAACUCAUGGAAAUUUGUUAGUUAAACCCCUAUGUCUACUAGGUGUUUGGAUAUAGGUCCAUUUUCAUGUUUAGUUGAAGGUUAAAAUUAGGAGUUAUCUACCGUUAACAGUUGCAAGAUUGGAAGCAAUUAGGAUCUUGUUGGCCUAUGCUUGUGCUCAUAACAUCAAGCUAUACCAAAUGGAUAUGAAGUGUGCAUUUCUCAAUGGCUAUAUCAAUGAAGAAGUUUAUGUUGAGUAACCUCUCGGUUUUGAAGAUGACAAGAAACCCAACCAUGUUUAUAAGCUAAGAAAGGCAUUGUAUGGUUUGAAGUAAGCACCUAGAGCAUGGUAUAAGAGAUUGAGAGACUUCUUACUCUCUAAAGGUUUUAAGAUGGGGAAGGUUGACACCACUCUCUUCAUAAAGAAGAUUGGCAAGGACUUGUUUGUGUUGCAAAUAUAUGUUGAUGAUAUCGUAUUUGGAUCAACCAAUCAAGAAUUUUGUGAGGAGUUUGGAAACAUGAUGGCUAAUGAGUUUGAGAUGUCAAUGAUUGGAGAGCUUAGUUACUUCUUUGGUCUUCAAAUCAAGCAAUUGAAAAAUGGCACAUUUGUGAGUCAAGGCAAGUACAUAAAAGACAUGCUAAAGAAGUUUAGAAUGGAUGAUGCAAAGACAAUUAACACUCCAAUGGGAAUAAAUGGAAGCCUAGAUAGUGAUACAAGUGGAAAUAUGGUAGAUCAAAAGUUGUAGCGGUCUAUGAUUUGAAGCCUACUCUUUGUGAUCACAUCAAGACCGGAUGUCAUGUUUAGUGUAUGCAUGUGUGCAAGAUUCCAAGCCUCACCAAGAGAGGACAUUUGAAAGCAACAAAGAUAAUAUUGAGGUACUUAAAGUAUACACAAAAUAUUGGCUUAUGGUAUCCCAAAGGUGCAAAGUUUGAACUUAUUGGAUAUUUUGAUUCAGACUAUACGGGAUGCAAAGUUGAGAGAAGAAGCAUAUCAGGCACAUGACAAUUAUUAGGAAGAUCACUUGUCUCAUGGUCAUCCAAGAAACAAAAUAGUGUUGCACUAUCAACCGUUGAAGCGGAGUACAUUGCGGUUGGUAGUUGUUGUGCACAAAUCCUAUGGAUGAAGGCAACAUUGAAGGAUUUUGGAAUUAAUUUCAAAGAAGUGCCAUUGCUAUGUUACAAAAAGUGUCGUGAAGCUCACCAAUAAUCCAGUUCAACACUCAAGAACAAAGCACAUAGAUGUUGUUGGCAUUCCUUAGCAUCAUUACUAGAAAUAGACCAUAGAUCCACCCUUAGCAAUGACACCAGAAAUGUUGGGUGUUGGCAUACCGUAACUAUCGCUACAUCAGAGAGAUAACCCAAGGCAACUCGAGGGCGCCGGCCUUAGCAGUGCAGUCUGGUAACAAUAAUUAGGAAUGCCGGAUUGGCCAUCCUAACCAUCCUUACUUGCGAUAUGCAAAGUUGUGGCACUACGCUUGAAAGUGCACAAGGAUUACAAUCUUAAGUAAAUUUACUUAGGUAUGCCAAUCGAUAGUUCAUGAAUGAAGAAGUAAUAUAACUGCAUGCGGACAGAACUAUCAUUGUAGCAUUUCAACCUGUGAGUAUUCAAGGGUGUCGAAUUUAUAAUUCCUGUAGGAAGGCAAAGGUAUCAAACAUGGUGUAAACAUGAUUACUUAUUGAAUGCUUGGUAGACAUAGAGUAAACAAGAAUAAACAUGAUAUUCAAGAUAGUGGACACACAUUGGAUCAACCUCAAGGAUAAAAUAGAAGAGAAAUAAUAAAUAAAGAAUAAAGAAAUAAAUCUACUUGAGCAGGCAUGGGUCACAUAUAACUAUGCAUAGAACUGUUAGUGGAUCAUCUAAUUAGCAAUAAAUAGAGUUAGAACUAAGCCUAAGAUGAGGGGAGAUCCCCACAGCUGGGUACCCAGCCGAUAGAGACUUUACAGAACUCCUAUCAGAAUACCUGAUCGUGGGGGAAUGCAAAGGAUGACAGAGCUGUCACUACCCUGCCACGUACUCCUCUACUCGAAAGAUACCCGCACAUCCACUGAUUCCCGCAUACCUGAACACCAUGUUCGCGUAAUUGCAAACAACUCCUAACCCCCACGGGCCCCACCCCUUUGGAGUGACAGGCUAGGCUAAGAGCAACCAUCACAACACAGUGAACCAUCAUCCCAUUCCUAAUUCUAAUCCUAAUCAUACUAAUCUGAUGAACAAUGAAGAACAAUGAUGAACAUAUCAAGAACAUUGCACAAGAACUAAGAACUAGUUCGUAUACUACGAACAUGAUAAGAACACAACCAUACUCUAGUUCAUAUGCAUAAUCAUAUAAAGAUAAAUAGAACUUGCUCAUGGAAGAAGAUUGAAUAUUAUUCAUACCAAGAAGAUCCUUUAUUCCAAGGAGAGAAGCUCUCCUUGCUAGCUCUUGCCUUGCUCUACUACUAAUCUAGGCUAAAGAUACAAGUGAGAGGUGUGAGGUAAAUUGACUCCAAAUGAUGUGUGUGUUGAAAAGGGGGAGUGCCUCUAUUUUUAUAGUGGAACUAGGAUGGUUCGUCGCAUCUAAAUUUGGUAGUAGGUGAAACUGUCCUAUGCAUGGCGGCAUGCAACCACCUGAGAAAGAUGGGCCCGGUUUGCUGCCUCCAGGUGUGCGCCCGCACCAGGGUGCGGCCGCACCCUGGGUGGGUCCCCGUGGCCACCGCCUUCACGUGGUCGGUUUGGCUCUCGGCCUGGAUCUCUCCCGUGGUUACGAUCAGGCCUAGUUAUGCGUUGUUCGGGCCUUUCUCUAUUUUCUUGGUUUGCGCAUUUCUGAAUACGUCUUUUGGUACUUUGCGCUUUCUUCGUGGUAUGGCACAUUUCCACUUGUUGCACUAUAAUUCCUACAAAAUAUAAUCACUAUGGUACAAGUGAAACUUGUUAGUAAUAAAAUGCAUGUGUGUAUAUAAUAUGAUUGCUUCUUCUGCUUUUGGAUCAAGUUGGCAGUUUAUGAUUGGUCUAUAAUGACUGCCAACAGAUGUCCGCCAUCAUUUCAUAAGAGAUCACCAACAAAAAGGGGACAUUUGCACUGAGAGUAUAGACAACGAUGAUCAACUUGCCGAUAUAUUCACCAAGCCAUUUGAUGAGAAGAGAUUUUGCAAGCUAAGGAAUGAAUUGAACAUACUUGACUUCUCAAAUAUGUGUUGAUGCACCCCAUUAUAUGACAUGCUUCUCCUUCGAGCAAAGCAAGGUAAAAUUGAUUGACAUGUCAUCCAUUCUUUGCUAAGGACUUGUUUAGUGCAUCUAGUCAUUUCUUACAUGUCUUAGGCUCAUUCAUGAAAAUCAAAUGAAUUUGAUGCUUGUAUGGUACCAUUAUUGCUUCUAUGCUCGAAUUGAUCUAGUGGUAGCAUAUGACAUGUUUGUGGGCUUGCAAUCCUAGUGUUUGAUCUAGAAUAUGAGCUAUAAGUGUUUAACUCAACAUUGUACAAGAUAACCCUUACUUGGACAUGUGAAAAAGCUUGUCCUUGGAUUAAACUGAGUUAAAUAUCUUAGGCAAGUAAUCUAGAUUAGACCAAUUUGGUAAAAGGAUCUCACUUCACAUGGUUUCACACUAACCUAUCUAAAAUUUGAGCUCACCUUUUGUGGUCUUUGAUGACAAAGGGGGAGAGAAUUUCCCAAAGAUUUGCUAAAGGGGAGAGAAAUUACAAAGAAGUACGAAGAUAGGGGAGUAACAUGAUAAAAGAAGGGGAUCAAUUAAAAUUUUGAAGCGCACAAGUAGGGGGAGUAAGCUCAUAAACUUGUAUGUUGCAUUUGAAUAUGCAUCACAUAUGUUCGCUUGCAUUGGCUUUAGUUUUAGAAGCUUUCUCUCACAUACCUUGCUUGUGUGGUGUAUGCUAGUUGUAGGAUUGAUUGAUGAAAUGAAGAACUAGCAUGCAUAGGUAGUGUAAGUAGACUCUUAGUUGUUUCACAAGUGGUACUAGAACCUUGUUUAUAAUGUUGAUCUCAUGGGGUAUUCUAGUUUUGUGAAUAUCUAGUUACUAAUGGUGCUAAAGAUGGUGUAUGUUGGCAACUCCGAUUGGUAUCACGCUUCAAAGGUCCAUUAUCUACACCUUAGUAUCAUUUAGUAGAAAUUGACUCCUAUACUUCCUAUUCAAGCAUAUGUGCAAGCUUUCAAAUACAAACUCUUAGCACAUAUGUAGGGGGAGCAAUUGCUAGCAAUUUGGGUUUAUGAAACUUGUCCAUAACCUUUGCACAUGGUAAAAUGCUUGGGCAAGCAACAUGAAUCCAAGAAAUUUUUUAUUGAAAAUCUUUGUAAAAGGGUUGUCAUCAAUUACCAAAAAGGUGGAGAUUGAAAGCCCUAGUUUGGUUUUGGAUAAUUGAUGAAACCCUAGUGUUGACGGUUCUUAAGUAUCAAUUUUAAUUAUCAAAUAAACAAGAGAAAUGACCGAUAUGCAACCAACACCUAGAAUUAGGGUUUGAUCUGACAGAAUUCCACGAGUUUUGUUGUUUAUCUGUUUCUGCACGGGGUUACCAAGAAAUAAGGAAGAAAGGCCCACAUGUCGGGAUUACAUAGAGAUAUCAACGCACCGCGCGAUUUUCAACCAUCUAGAAGACUCCAGAAGCCACGGGAAGAAGACGGAGGCCGAAAGGGGCCAGGCCCAGCGCGCCCGCCCUGGUGACCUGGGCGCCCGCCCCCUGCUGGAUGUUAAUCAGGACUCUCUUCGCACGGGAUAUUCCACCGACCUAUUGGAUCAAGAAAAACAUAGUACCACCUUGCCUACCGACCAAAAAACGCAUAGAGGAGGAGGACUAUAUAAGGAGACCCCCUAGCCCCUGGAGAAGACAUGAAGAAAUUAUCAUAGAGACUGAGGGGUGCCCUCGAAGGAAAACCUCUUCUCUAAUUAAUAUUUCUUUUUAGGCUUAGCAAUCAAUGUAAGGUAGAAAUAGAUCUUCUAGUUUCUACUAGAUUGAGAGAGAUAGAGUGGAGGUGUAGAUUGGAGGAAGCCCGGCCUGUCGGUGUCUACUCCAAGCUUGUACCUGCGGGAUCAAGUUCUCCUAACCCGAAGCUUGCUCCUAGGAUUCUUCAGUAUUUUGACUUCUAAAUUCUAGUAAGUUCUUGUUUUAUUGUUCUUAUGGUUUAUGAGUUUACUUUAAUCUCUUCGCGUAGAGUUUAGAGUAAUCAUUACUGGCGUAAACGUGGUGUUUAGGCUGGGGUACUCAUAGAUAUUCCCUGACUAGCUGGACCGUGGUAGUAGUGAGGAACGUGACAAUUCCGAGUUACCUUUGUAGAUCACAUCUCGUUAGCAGGAAGGAUAGGGUUUAUAGGUGCGGGUUGAACAUCCUUUGUGGUGUCUAGAUUCCGUUAGCCUCCCCAUUAGAACAGUAGAUCAUCCUUACCAAGGUUAGAAGAAGACUACGGUUGCAGUCUUCUCUAUUUAUCACUCACAUCGAAAGACAUUCUUUGUGCCUAAAGGUUAGUAGUAAUAGACCGGUUAGUCAGAUGCACUCUUUCUCCUAGUGGUAAAAAAAUAAAUACGAUACUCUGGAUAAUUUCCCGGGUGAAGUGCUCACUGAUAUCCGUGCGCUUGCGGAUCAAUUCCUUAUUGCGUUCCCAAAUAUCAACAAGCAUUUCUGGCGCCGUUGCCGGAAAGAAAGACAGUUGCUGAGAUAACCUGAGUCUUACUACUAGCUUGUAUCUAUACUUUUAUCUUUUCUUAUCUUUUAUAUUCUUUAUUUUCUUUACUCUUACCUUAUGGAAAACCAACAUUCUAAAUCGAUCCAUGAAUCUGCAAUCCCUUUAGCAACUGACCUUUUACCAUGGGAAUCAUCACAGCCUAUCCAAACAUCCCAGUAUAAGUUAAGUUCUAGGUUGAUUGCCAUGAUUCAAAACCUAUCUUUUUCGGGAAAGGAAGACGAAAACCCUUACCUUCAUAUUAGAGAUUUUAAGCAAACAUGUGAUUGUCUUCGCAUUGAAGGCAUUUCUGAUAAAACUUUACGUUGGAAGCUUUUUCCUUUUUCUUUAAGGGGAAAAGCUAGACAAUGCUACAGUCAGAAGGUAAGUCAACAACAAGGUGAAUGGGGAGUUUUAGGAGCCAACUUUUGUCUAGAUUUCUAUUACCUUGACCGUAUAGCCGACCUUAGACUCGAAGUCCUAUCUUUUAAACAAAAAGAUAAUGAAACUUUGGGAAAAUCCUGGAAACAUUUUUCUGAUCUUUUAGAAUCUGGUCCAAACCUUAAUCUUGAAGAUCCUGUUCUUUUAUUCCACUUUUUUCAAGGUCUUCAGAAAAAUCACAAACAAAUGCUACACACAAUGUCUAGAGGUUCUUUCUUUCGAAUCCCUACUGAUGAAGCUAGAGUGAUCCUAGAUAGAAUCCUAGAAGCUGAGAUGGAUAAUACCCAUCAUGAUGAAACCUACGUAGACACUCUGCCAAAUUCUUCAUCUACUUUAGCUAUCCCAAGUUCUGAGCCACAAGAGGAAGAAAUUCCACCACCGGACUUCAUGCAGGAUAUAGAAUCCGAUCUUUUUGCCGAUUUUGGAAAUAUUUCAAACUACCAUUCUAUUGACAAACCCCAAAACGGCCAGUUUAGCAUUUAUUUGCCAAGUGAAUAUCAAUUGAGAGAGCUUAUCUCAGUAAUGAGUAGCGAAUGGUUGGAGGAUUCAGAGCUUUCCUCUGAUGUGAUCCGUUUGGACACACCCUCUAUAACUAUACGCUGUGCUUAUAAUUCUGAUCGAUUAAUGCUCUAUAUAAUCCUGUUGUGGGGAUCAAUAUCAUGUCUGAAUCUUUUGCACUUAAACUAUUUAAAAAUCUUGUCUUAACCCCCACAACAAAGGUCAUAAAGGAAUCUUCGGGACGAUUAGUCCCCAGUCUUGGAAUUAUUAAUGUCCUACCUCUUACGGUAGAAGGCUCCAUGGUUCAUUUGAACUUCUAUAUCUUUGAUACAUGGGACUUCGACCUGUUGAUAGGACAACCUUUUAGAAGACUCCUUUAUGAAGGUCAUACUGGAAAGCUACACAUUUCUUUUGGAAAAACCUUUAAAAUCCCAAUAACAAUUUCACACUCCUUAAACAAUAAGGCCGAAUCAUAUCUUUUGCCUGAUCCUAUGGAGGAGGUAAAGGCUGCAUCUCUUGAGCUUUUAGAAGAACCAGACUUAGAAGACGAAACUCCUUUCUUCACAAAAGAAGAAGACGAACCUUCUGAGCCUGAACCCUUAGAUGAGUUUACAGAAACACCUAGACCCCCCAUAGAGCUUAAAACUUUACCACCCGGUCUUACAUAUGCUUUCCUAAACAAUAAUCCAGAGUUCCCUGUAAUCAUUAGCGAUAAACUCACUCAGGAUCAAACUCUGCGAUUAAUGACCAUUCUUGAGAAACAUCACUCAGUGUUUGGCUACUCACUCCAAGAUCUUACAGGAAUCAGUCCUAUGAUUUGUACCCAUCGUAUUCCAACAGAUCCUUCUGUUCCACCAUCUCGAGAACCCCAACGUAGACUUAAUAACACUAUGAGAGAGGUAGUUAAAAAGGAAGUUAUAAAGUUGUUGCAUGCAGGGAUUAUAUAUCCUGUGCCGCACAGUGAGUGGGUAAGCCCAGUGCAAGUUGUGCCUAAAAAGGGAGGCAUGACUGUUAUUAUGAAUGAAAAGAAUGAGCUAAUUCCGCAACGCACUGUCACAGGAUGGCGGAUGUGCAUAGACUAUAGAAAACUAAACAAAGCCACGAGAAAAGAUCACUUUCCUUUACCUUUUAUAGAUGAGAUGCUAGAGCGGUUAGCAAACCAUUCGUUCUUCUAUUUCUUAGAUGGAUAUUCAGGGUAUCAUCAGAUCCCAAUCCAUCCCGAUGAUCAAAGCAAAACCACUUUUACAUGCCCAUAUGGAACCUAUGCUUACCGUAGAAUGUCUUUUGGGUUAUGUAAUGCACCAGCUUCUUUUCAAAGAUGCAUGAUGUCUAUAUUUUCUGAUAUGAUUGAAGAGAUUAUGGAAGUUUUCAUGGAUGAUUUCUCUGUUUAUGGAAAAACUUUUGAUAGUUGUCUUGAAAACUUAGACAAGGUUUUGCAAAGAUGUGAAGAAAAGCACUUAAUCCUUAAUUGGGAAAAAUGUCAUUUUAUGGUUAGAGAAGGAAUAGUGCUAGGACACUUAGUGUCUGAAAGAGGUAUUGAGGUAGACAAAGCUAAAAUUGAAGUAAUUGAACAACUACCUCCACCUGUGAAUAUAAAAGGAAUUCGAAGCUUUCUUGGCCAUGCUGGUUUUUAUCGUAGAUUCAUAAAAGAUUUUUCAUUUAUUGCUAGACCACUUACUCUUUUGCUAGCCAAGGAUGCUCCUUUCGAAUUUGAUGAUGCAUGUCUAACAUCUUUCAAUUUAUUAAAGAAAGCACUCAUCUCUGCACCAAUCAUUCAACCCCCUAAUUGGUCGCUGCCUUUUGAAAUUAUGUGUGAUGCUAGUGAUUAUGCUGUGGGGGCAGUAUUAGGACAAACUAAAAAUAAGAAGCAUCAUGCAAUUGCUUAUGCCAGUAGAACUUUGACAGGAGCUCAACUUAAUUAUGCAACCACUGAAAAAGAGAGCUGUUGUCUUUGCCAUUGAUAAAUUUAGAUCUUAUUUAGUUGGAGCUAAGAUAAUUGUUUACACUGAUCAUGCUGCACUAAAAUACUUGCUCACUAAAAAAGAUGCUAAACCUCGCCUGAUUAGAUGGAUCUUAUUACUCCAAGAAUUUGACUUAGAAAUAAAAGAUAAAAAGGGAGUAGAAAAUUCUGUUGCUGAUCACUUGUCUAGAAUGUAUUUUAAGAGUCCAUAGGAAACCACCAUCAAUGAUUCACUCCGGGACGACAUGCUCUACGGGAUUAACAGGUCUGACCCCUGGUAUGCAGAUAUUGUUAAUUUUAUGGUUUCAGGGUAUGUACCACCAGGAGCAAACAAGAAGAAGCUUAUUCAAGAAAGUCGUUCACAUAUAUGGGAUGAGCCAUACCUCUUCCGAGUAUGCUCUGAUGGCUUACUCAGGAGAUGUGUGACCACUGAGGAAGGAUGGAAGAUCAUCGACAGAUGUCAUUCAUCACCAUAUGGAGGUCACUAUGGAGCAUUCCGUACACAUUCAAAGAUCUGGCAGUGUGGAUUCUACUGGCCUACAAUGUAUGAAGACACGAAGCAAUAUAUCAGAAGAUGUGGGCCAUGUCAAAGACACGGAAACAUAAAUACAAGGGAUGCAAUGCCACUCACCAACAACCUUCAGAUUGAGCUCUUUGAUGUCUGGGGAAUAGACUACAUGGGUCCAUUUCCUCCAUCAAAGAAGUGCGAGUACAUCUUGGUGGCGGUUGACUAUGUCUCCAAGUGGGUAGAAGCAUUACCUUGCAAGCAUGCCGACAACGUCAGUUCAAAGAGGAUGUUCGAAGAAAUUAUAUUUCCAAGAUUUGGAGUCCCCAGAGUAGUGAUAAGUGAUGGAGGAGCACACUUCAUCGACAAACGCUUCAAGCAAUAUCUAUCAAGACAUGGAAUCUGUCACAACGUCGCUACCCCCUAUAAUCCUCAGACAAGUGGCCAAGCAGAGACUUCCAACAAACAAAUCAAGAAUAUUCUUCAGAAGACAGUAAAUGAAAUGGGAACGGCGUGGAAAGACAAGUUACCCGAUGCACUCUGGGCAUACCGGACAGCAUACAAGACCCCAAUCGGAAUGUCUACAUACCAAUUGGUGUACGGGAAGACUUGCCAUCUACCUGUUGAACUAGAGUUCAAAGCACACUAGGCCAUAAAGAGAUAGAAUAUGGACCUAGAUGUUGCUGGAGAUUAUAGAAGAAUGCAACUAUCAGAAUUGGAAGAAUGGCGAGAGAAAGCAUAUCACAACUCAAAGAUCUACAAAGAAAGAGUCAAAAGGUGGCAUGACAAGAGAAUCAAGAAGAUGGAGUUCACACCCGGAGAUAAGGUAUUACUUUUUAAUUCCAGGGUGAAGCUUUUCGGGCAUGGAAAACUCCGAAGCAAAUGGGAAGGACCAUUCAAGGUAAUUAAUUCAUCAUCCCACGGAGCUAUCACACUUCAAAAUAGCGAAGGUACCUUAUUCAAGGUAAAUGGUCAACGUCUUAAAUUAUUUUUAGAGCCAAAUGAAGAAUUUGAAGAAAUAGACGUAGUCCAUUUUUACCUUCCCAUGGAGAAUUAGAGCCCGACCUUUUUAGUCUGAUGAUUUUGGGUCAUAUAUAUAUUUUUCUAAAUAAUUUCGCAUCUAGAAACGCGCUCGAGAAAGUGGGCCUAUAGAGGGGUCAGAGAGAGGGCGGGCGCCCAGCUCAGGUGGGCGGGCGCCCAGUUCCUGUUCCCCCUCGGUUCCGACUUUCUCUGUUAUGGAAAAUGCACUUAUGGUAAUUCGAAUAAUCCCUCGGAUGGAAAGUUUCACACGCACGUCGACGGGAGCAACCCGAACAACCCAUAGAGGCACCUUUUGACCCCUAUAUAAACAGACCCCUGACCUCAGUUUUAAAACACCAAGCCACCAAAUCUUUUCUCCUUCAAUUAGAGCUUGAUUAGUUCCUUGCUGCUCAAAUGGCCGAGAAGUACCACGAUGAUCAGGAAGUCGUCCCCUUCAACCUCAACAUGGAGCCUGUGGAAGACCCCGAUGCCCGUGCUCUCGUCCCGGCCAACACAGAGCGACAGCUAGAAGCCAUGCCAUUACGCCAACGCAGCUCCACCCAAUCCUACCAUGCUCAACCAGUUCCCACCGCACCGCCACAACCCCUACUCCUCAAAGGAUCAUCAUCCAAGACGAAGACCACUAUCAAGGUGCCAACCGGCACGAGGAUCCUUCCACCUAGACCCAAUGAGAGGGUCGUUGGAGUCAAGACCAACCGGAGCGGCGAGAUCAGCAGUGUACGCUACACUACAGAGGAGGAAAGGCCUUACUUUGAAGGGAUUCGAGCAGCCAAAGUCCGUUUCAUCCCUCCAAAGGCAGCCCCGAAGCACGCUCUCAAUGCUUUUGAGACACCUCCCAAGCGUCGCAAGACUAUAGUCGAUAUUGAUGAGGACGUUCGCAGGCUAGACAGAGUUAUCAUAGAUCUCUAGUCCUCGAUUAAUUCCCUCACUAGGCAGCUCUCUAACCACAACACCAUUAUACUAGGCCUUAGGCAGGAUCUUGCCAGUGCCAACAAGAAGAUUAAGGAAUUAGAGCGCCGAUAAGUUAUCUAGAUUAGACCUUGAGGCAAUGCAUCUUAGUUAUCUAUCCUUAAAUUCGUGUUUAGGUUUACUAUUAUCAUCAGUUUGCUAUUAUCAGUUUGCUACUAGUCUAAAGUAAUAAAUGCCUCAAGAUUAAUAAAGAGUAUUAUUAUUAUUAUGUCUCGUGUGUCUCUACUUUAUUUUUUGUGCAAGAAAGUAGAAAACAAGUAUGGGGGAGAUCUCUCGACAUGCCAAACACACUCCGACUACACCACUCCACGAUUCAGGUACACACUCUGCACACUUUACUUUACACAUACAACUAUCUUGAUUAUACCGAUUACUAUUUCCGACAUGAUAAAUUAAAAAGAUUAAAAUAUUUCUAAUCAUGAUUAAUCUCAAUCUGUGAUAUUUCCUAAAAACUUGCAAUUAUUAUAAAAUCAUUUUUAAAACCCUGUGUUACUUAAGUCAUUAUGGAAUAUGUGAUGGUAGAGUAUGAGUUUCUUAUUCUUGAUAUCAUUGUUGCUUGGAGAAUUUAUUUCAAAAUAUUCAAAAUUCUAGCUACCAUCCUCAGUGUUUUAUACGCCUGAUAAAACUAAAAAUAUUAAUUAUGAUUAUAAAAAGCUAUCUACUCUGUAUUGAGUUUGUUCAAAAUGAGUUAGACCCUUGUUGAGAGAUUUAUCAUGCUCCUAAGAUCAAGACAUUUAUUCAGAAAGAUUCACUCUUCCGAAGUAUUAUUGCAUUAGAGGCAUGGGCUAUGCAAAAAUAGAGAUAUUUCGAGGAAAUAAAAAGGAGCAAGUGCUCGACAACCUCGCAGAAAAAAUGGACAAGUGUCCGGCAGUAGAAUUAGGGGUACCUCGUUAUCCACUUAAAAAAAAGAGAGAAAGGAAAAAAUGAUAGCCCAUGGUCCCUCUAAUAAGCAAUAUGCCAGCAAGAGUUGACAAAGAUUUUAAUUUUCAAAGUCUUUGAUCUAAGAGUAUGACAUUCCCCUCCUCGGAUCCCAUUUUGAUCAGGCAAUAAAUGCAAAGUAAGUAUGCUGGAGAAUUUUUGCAAAUUAAGACAACCUCAGUGAGAUAUAUGAAAGAUAAUGAGUGAUUUGAGAGAACCUAUGAGGAUCGAAAGGUAUGCUAACUUUCUUUCAAAAAUGUACAAAAACUCCAAGUGACAGGAUUGAGAAGAAAGGAAUCUUUACUCUUAACCAUAAACAUCCCUGACUAUGGUACACAGUGGAAUUUUAACACCCUGCAAAUAUAAAGAAUGUUUUAAAAUGUUUUACCCCAGAUAUUAUUCUUAACCAUCCUUUUCUCGAGGACGAGUAAAAGCCUAAGUAUGGGGGUAUUUGUUGACGGUUCUUAAGUAUCAAUUUUAAUUAUCAAAUAAACAAGAGAAAGGACCGAUAUGCAACCAACACCUAGAAUUAGGGUUUGAUCUGACAGAAUUCCACGAGUUUUGUUGUUUAUCUGUUUCUACAGGGGGUUACCAGAAAAUAAGGAAGAAAGGCCCACAUGUCGGGAUUACAUAGAGAUAUCAACGCACCGCGCGACUUUCUACCAUCUAGAAGACUCCAGAAGCCACGGGAAGAAGACGGAGGCCGAAAGGGGCCAGGCCCAGCGCGCCCGCCCUGGUGACCUGGGCGCCCGCCCCCUGCUGGAUGUCAAUCAGGACUCUCUUCGCACGGGAUAUUCCACCGACCUAUUGGAUCAAGAAAAACAUAGUACCACCUUGCCUACCGACCCAAAAACGCAUAGAGGAGGAGGACUAUAUAAGGAGACCCCCAAGCCCCUGGAGAAGACAUGAAGAAAUUAUCAUAGAGACUGAGGGGUGCCCUCGAAGGAAAACCUCUUCUCUAAUUAAUAUUUCUUUUUAGGCUUAGCAAUCAAUGCAAGGUAGAAAUAGAUCUUCUAGUUUCUACUAGAUUGAGAGAGAUAGAGUGGAGGUGUAGAUUGGAGGAAGCCCGGCCUGUCGGUGUCUACUCCAAGCUUGUACCUGCGGGAUCAAGUUCUCCUAACCCGAAGCUUGCUCCUAGGAUUCUUCAGUAUUUCGACUUCUAAAUUCUAGUAAGUUCUUGUUUUAUUGUUCUUAUGGUUUAUGAGUUUACUUUAAUCUCUUCGUGUAGAGUUUAGAGUAAUCAUUACUGGCGUAAACGUGGUGUUUAGGCUGGGGUACUCAUAGAUAUUCUCUGACUAGCUGGACCCUGGUAGUAGUGAGGAACGUGACAAUUCCGAGUUACCUUUGCAGAUCACAUCUCGUUAGCAGGAAGGAUAGGGUUUAUAGGUGUGGGUUGAACAUCCUUUGUGGUGUCUAGAUUCCGUUAGCCUCCCCAUUAGAACAGUAGAUCAUCCUUACCAAGGUUAGAAGAAGACUACGGUUGCAGUCUUCUCUAUUUAUCACUCACAUCAAAAGACAUUCUUUGUGCCUAAAGGUUAGUAGUAAUAGACCGGUUAGUCAGAUGCACUCUUUCUCCUAGUGGUAAAAAAAUAAAUACGAUACUCUGGAUAAUUUCCCGGGUGAAGUGCUCACCGAUAUCCGUGUGCUUGCCGAUCAAUUCCUUAUUGCGUUCCCAAAUAUCAACACCUAGUACUAAACUCUAUACUAAGUGUGUGUAGACUUAAUGAGGUUGGUACAUGCCAAGUGAUGGAGCAAGUGAUGAUCAUGGUGAUGACCACAAGAUGAUCAAGUGCUCAACUUGGAAAAGAAGAAAGAGAAAAACAAAACCCUAUGGAGAUCAAGGCAAAGAUAUUGCUUAGGGUUUUAGUUUUGGUGAUCAAGACACCAUAGAGGGUGUGAUCACAUUUAGGAUAGAUAGCCAUACUAUAAAGAGGGGAAUUCUUUGGCUAAGCGGUUAUCGAGUGCCACUAGGUGUCUUUGUUCUUGUGCACGCAUUUAGAACCUAGUGAGCUAACUUAUCUCCAGAAAGCAUCUAGGCCCCUAAUGAGUUUCGAUGAUUAAUGACAAUGUUGAUUACUAUGACUAACGUGUGUUUUGCAGAGGCAAAGUCAUUUGUGUUAGGUCAUGGUAAUAGUGAUCGAUGGACUAGGACGUUCAUGUCGACUUAAUGGUGGAAAUCGUUUCAGUUUGCAAGGGAUGGUUGGACAUCGUCAAGACUAGAGUAGGUCUAAGUGCCACAUGGUGUUGAAGGGCACUUAGAUUAGUUUAGGACUUUGUUUUUCCUUUGACCAUACUAUUAAGGGGGGCAUUGAGCACAUAGCUUGACCUAGACAAGGCAUUAGGUUUAGGUGUGGUGCACACUUGGUAAACCUACACCAGGCAGCUCUGAGACAGUCCUUAGAUCGAGAGAAUCAAACUUCAUUUUGGAAAGUUUGCGUUUCAACAAAGUUUUGUUGCUGAGACAGCACCGGAUGCAGGCCCCAAACACAGUAGAGCCACUGUUGGCGUGUCACGAGUGCUGACUUGGGUCAGCGCAUCAAGGUGCCUUGGGUUAGGCACCAGACGCACGCACUGGACCCGCUGGGGUGCGUCCGGUUCUAUACCCAGAGAGGUGUGCAACUCGCCCCCUCACCGGACGCGGUGUGGGUGUGGCACCGAACUCCGUUUGGCGCGUCCGAUGUGUGGCAGUUGCAAGUACAACUAGCCGUUAAUGGGGCACCGGAUGCUCUGUGGAGUGCAUCCAGUUCUACAGAAUUCGGGUUGCCGACCCUUGGACUUGAUGGGGAGUAUUUAUACUCCACCUCAUCCAUGGGAGGUCUCUUGCCCAUUUGUUCAGCUAAGAAACACCUUGUGGUGCAAGAGAGAAGCAAGAGCCUAGAGAGGAUUGAGAAUUGAGAGAUUUCUUGAGUGAAUCCUUCUCUAGUGAGUUCCGAGAGUUCAAGUGUACAUCCACCACUCUCUAGAGCCUUGUUUGGGUCAAGUGAGAGUUCUUUGCUUCUUACUCUUGGUGAUCGCCAUCACCUAGACGGUUCGGUGGUGAUUGGAGGCACGAAGACCGCCUGGAGUUCUUGUGGGUGGCUCGUGUCAAGCUUGUGAGAGGUUUUGGGUGAUUCACCGCGAUGGAGUGUCAAAGAAUCAGCAUAGAGAGAGCACUUGGUCCUUGCACGAACCAAGGGGGGAGCAAGGCCCUUGCAUGGGUGCUCCAACGUGGACUAGUGGAGAGUAGCGACUCUCCAAUACCUCGGCAAACAUCACUACGUUCUUCUUGCUCUCAUCCUUUUACAUUCUAGCAUUUACUUUGAGUACUUUACAUUCCUAGAAUUGUCAUGCUAGAAUAGGAUUAGAACUAGGUUGCAAAAUAUUUAUCCGAUAGCUCUCUAGAACACACUUAGGCACAAGGGGUUGAAUUGGAGCUUGUAGGUUGCUUAAAUUUUUAGAGAAGCCCAAUUCACCCCCCCUCUUGGGCAUCUUGAACCUUUCAAUUGGUAUCAGAGCCUAGUGCUCAUAAAUUAGGCUUCACCGCCUAGAUAAAUAUGUCUCACGGGGAUGGACCACCACCUAUGUUCGAGGGUGAUUACUUUCUAUAUUGGAAAAUACAGAUGGAGUCAUACCUCAAAGCUUGCGAUGUCAAGUGCCUAAAAGCCACAACCGAAGGGUUUACCCCUCCGGCCAAGAACGCCACUCUUACUCCACUAGAGCAAGAAAACAAGAAGUGGAAUGCAAAGGCGAAAAACCACAUAUUUAGAGGCCUUUGCAAAGAGGUGUUCAACCGUGUAUGGAACCACAAAACCGCCCAUGAACUUUGGACGGAACUUUGUGCACUCCAUGAGGGAUCCAAGAGUGAGCGUGAGGAGCGCUUUCAUCUUGUCAUGAGAAAGCUUAAUACAUUAAAAAUGCUUCCUAAAGAAAAUGCUAAUGAAAUGUAUUCUCGCUUGAAUGUGAUUGUAGAGGAGCUAAAUGGACUUGGGCUCAACCAAAUGAAUCCAUCGGAUGUGGCGAGGAAGAUACUAUGUGUCCUCCCCAUUGAGAAAUAUAGGCACAUAGUCACCAUGAUUCACUAAAGUGAUCUCUCAACCACCACACCGACAUCCAUCUUGGGGAAGAUCAAUGCUCAUGAGAUGUACAUGCACAUCAACCCCCAAGAUAGCUCCUCAUCAGUCAAGAAAGAGAAGAAGAACUUGGCCCUCAAGGAUUCUCACAAGGGCAAGUCAAAGAAGAUUGAAGUUGAGUCAUGAGUCAUCAACUUCAAGUGAUGAUGAUGCUUCCAUUGCCCUCUUGUUGAGAAGAAAAACGAAGAUGCUUGUUGACGGUCCUUAAUGCUAACAUUUAACCGUCAACUAAUCAUAGAAAAGGAUCCAAAUGCAACCAACACCUAGACUUACGGUUUUAUCUAACAGAAUUCCAUGAGUUUUGGUGUUUGUCUAUUUCUACAGGGGGUCAUCAGGAAAUACGGAAGAAAGGCCCAUACGUCGGGUUUACAUAGAGAUAUUAAUGUGCCGCGCAAUUUUCUAUCAUCUAGAAGACUCUAGAAGCCACAGGAAUGAACGGGAAGCCGAGAGGGCUCAGGGACAGGGCGCCCGCCCUACUCCUUAGGGCGGACCUAUAGUGCCCAAUCAGAGUCCUUUUCGCGGAUCGUGCUCCACCGACCUAAGGGAUCAAGGAAAACCGUGCGAUUAAUGUCGGUUUGAUCGGACGGCCCAGAUUCAUCUAAAAAGACUAUAUAAGCAAGGCCCCCUGGCCCCUGGAGAGCAUACCUCUUCUACAGAAUCAAAGCUAGGGUUUCAAUUAUUCAUCCAAGUAGAGAGGAUCCCUCUAGUUCAUCUAGUUCUAGUUCUAGUUCCUCUAGUUCUAGUUCUAGUUCUAGUUAGUUCUAGUUGUAAUCUAGAAAAUAGGGACAGAGAAGAGGAGAGCGGAGGAGGAGCCGGAUCUAUCGGAUCUUCCUCAACAUUGUACUUCUACAGCAACUGGUUCAUUCUUCAUCGUUCUCCAGGUUCUUCAAUUCAUAAUUCCAGAGUUCUUUAAUUACUUUUAUUUACAUUCAAGUUAUUUAUUUGACUCCCGCUUGCAUCAAGUGCUCUAUUCUUUAUAACGCUAGAGUAGUAAUUAAUAGAUUAGACGUGGUGUUUAGUCUUGCAAUUACCUAGAAUUGCACCCAAUCCUGCGGACUAUUGUGGUAGCCCUAGGGUAGUGACAGCCCUAACGGUCGACGUAUUCCACCUCGUUCGGAUCGGUGUUUGUAGGACCGUAGUCAAAGCUUCCUAGCCCCCUUCUCAUCUCUUUCUGUGGUUAGUGUUCUGAUGUCCCGAAAUAAAUAAUCUUUGAAGUAAUUCUUGAUUUUUAGAUCAACUAGAGAACUCUCAGGAAACUUCCUCUCUUCCCACCAAAAAUAAUUAUAUAGUUGUCCUUGGGUGAUCUUGAAUCUUAAUUAGUACAGUCACGUUCCCUGUGGAAAAUCGAUACUCUGGAAUACUCCUGGGUGAAAGCUACAUCGGUAUCCGUGCGCUUGCGGAUUUUUCUGUUUGCGUUUAAAAUACCCAACAAUGCUAAAGAAGCUCAACAAGAAUAGAGGCAACUUUGACUCCAAGAAGAAGAAGUUCUUCACAAGUAGCAAGAGAAAGCCCAUCUCCGAGAUGGAUUGCUACAAUUGUGGUGAACUUGGUCAUCUUGCUCAUCAAUGUCCUAAACCCAAGAAGGACAAAUACAAGAAGAAGAACAAGAAGCAAGAUGACUCAAGUGAUGAUGAGAAUAGUGACAAGAAGGCAUUUAAGAAGAGAGGCGGCAAGAAGAAGGAGUACCACAAGAAGAAGAAUGGCAAGGCCUACAUUGUUGGUGAUUGGCUCACUGACAUUGAAAGCUCAAGUGGUGACUCCUUCGGCAAUGAGAGUGAUGAUGAGAAGGUUGCCACCAUUGCCAUUGAUGCUUCAUCACCAUCGUCCUCUCUACCUUCUUCAUCCUCUACGCACCUAUGCCUCAUGGCCAAGGGUGACCGGAAGGUACAAAGUGAGGAUGAGAGUAGUGAGAGUGAAAGUGAAUUUGAAUCACCUUCUUAUGAUGAACUUGUACAUUUGCUUAAUAAAUACACUAAAAUCAUAAGAAAGACAAGAAAUGAAAAUGAUAAGCUAGAGAAUGAAAAUGAAUCUGUUCUUGCAAAGCUUAAAUAUAGUGAUGAGCUUAAAGACAAAAAUGAGAUCAUGACCACUAAGCUCAAGGAGCUCAAACUCUCUCUAAAAGAGCUCAAAGAUAAACAUAAUAAACUUGAGAGUGUGCAUGAUGAGCUCAUUACUAGACAUAGAGCAUUGAAGGAAGAGUUCACCACUCUAAAAGCAAACAAUGACAAUCUUGAGCUUGCUUAUGAUCUUGCUAUUAGUGAAACACAUGUUGCUACUAACCAUGUUGCUAAGCUUGAUGUAGCCACGUCUUGUGAUGACUUAUUUGUGGAGAGCAUUAGCAAAUGUGUUGGUUGCAAAGGCAAGAAUGUUGUAGUGGUCGAGAGCUAUGAGGACACUAUCAUGAUCAAAGAAGAAAAUGCCAAGAUCAAGUGUGAGAAUGAGAAACUCAAGAAAGAGUUGCAAGAGCAAGCCAAGCACAACACCAUGGUGAUUGAUUCACAUGAUCAUGACAAGAACCUUGCUUAUGAUAAAAAGAAGCUCAAAGAAGAAAAUCAAUAUCUUAAGCUUGGUUUGUUAUAUGACAAACAAGAAGAAGAUGAGUCCUUCAUCUAGGAAGAGCUAGAUAGCAAGAACGACCCAAUCAUCAAGAGGCUAACUCAAGAGAACAACAAGCUCAAGCUAGAAAGGGAGUAUCUCACCAAGAGGUUAGCCAAGUGCACUAGAGGGAAGGACCUACAAAGUGAGCUCUUCAUAACACCAUCAUGAAGAUGGACAAGAGUGGAAUUGGCUACAAGGCUCAACAAAGCAAGCUUAUCUAGUCACAAGCAAUUCAUGAUCAACCAAGCAAGCCCAAGCCAAAGAGAUGUUUUGAGUGUGGACAAGAGGGUCACUUUUCUCAUGAGUGUGAGGCACCACUACCACCACCUUUGCCCAAGCAUGCAAGACCAUUUGCUUUCAAUGCUCACUACAUUGUAAGGCAAGACAAGAGUGGCAAGGUCAAGGUUAGCUUCAUGGGGCCACCCAACAAGCAAAGGCCCAAGAAGAUUUGGGUUCCAAAGCAACUAGUUGAGAAGGUUAAGGGCCCUAAGCAAAUUUGGGUCCCCAAAACUCAAGCUUGAUCUCUGUUGGCAGUCAUUAUAGACCAAUCAUAAACUGCCAACUUGAUCCAAAAGGAGAAGAGGCAAUCAUAUUAUAUACACACAUGCAUUUUAUUACUAACAAGUUCCACUUGUACCAUAGUGAUUAUAUUUUGCAGGAAUUAUAGUGCAACAAGUGGAAAUGUGCCAUACCAUGAAGAAAGCGCAAAGUACCAAAAGACGUAUUCAGAAAUGUGCAAACCAAGAAAAUAGAGAAAGGCCCGAACAAUGCAGAACUGGGCCUGAUCGUAACCAUGGAGAGAUCUAGGCCCAGAGCCAAACCGACCACGUGAAGGCAGUGGCCAGGGGGACCCACCUAGGGUGCGGCCACUGGAGGCGGCAAACCGGGCCCAUCUUUCUCAUGCGGUUGCAUGCCGCCAUGCAUAGGACGGUUUCACCUACUACCAAAUUUAGAUGCGACAAACCGUCCUAGUUCCACUAUAAAAGAGAGGCACUCCCCCCUUUUCAACACACACAUCAUUUGGAGUCAAUUUACCUCACACCUCUCACUUGUAUCUUUAGUCUAGAUUAGUAGUAGAGCAAGGCAAGAGCUAGCAAGGAUAGCUUGUCUCCUUGGAAGAAAGGAUCUUCUUGGUAUGAAUAAUAUUCAAUAUUCUUCCAUGAGCAAGUUCUAUUUAUCUUUAUAUGAUUAUGCAUAUGAACUAGAGUAUGGUUGUGUUCUUAUCAUGUUCAUAGUAUAUGAACUAGUUCUUAGUUCUUGUGCUAUGUUCUUGAUAUGUUCAUCAUUGUUCUUCAUUGUUCAUUAGAUUAGUAUGAUUAGGAUUAGAAUUAGGAAUGGGAUGAUGGUUCACUGUGCUGUGAUGGUUGCUCUUAGCCUAGCCUAUCACUCCGAAGCGGUGGGGCCCGCGGGGGUUAGGAGUUGUUUCCGAUUACGUGAACUCGGUGUUUAGGUAUGCGGGAAUCAGUGGAUGUGCGGGUAUCUUUUGGGUAGAGAGGUAGGUGGCAGGGUAGUGACAGCUCUGUCAUCCUUUGCAUUCCCCCACGAUCCAGCAUUCAUGAACUAUCGAUUGGCGUACCUAAGUGGUGAUGAUAGUUCUGUCUGCUUGCAGUUAUAUUACAUCUUCAUUCAUGAACUAUCGAUUGGCGUACCUAAGUACCAUUACUUAAGAUUGUAAUCCUUGUGCACUUUCAAGCGUAGUGCCUCAGCUUUGCAUAUUGCAAGUAAGGAUGGUUAGGAAGGCCAAUCCAGCAUUCCUAAUUAUUGUUACCAGACUGCACUGCUAAGGCCGGCGCCAUCGAGUUGCCUUGGGUUAUCUCUGUGAUAUAGCAAUAGUUACGGUAUGCCAACUGUUGACGGUUCUUAAGUAUCAAUUUUAGUUAUCAAAUAAACAAGAGAAAGGACCAAUAUGCAAACAACACCUAGAAUUAGGGUUUGAUCUGACAGAAUUCCAUGAGUUUUGUUGUUUAUCAGUUUCUACAGGGGGUUAUCAUGAAAUAAGGAAGAAAGGCCCACAUGUCGGGAUUACAUAGAGAUAUUAGCGCACAAUGCAAUUUUCUACCAUCUAGAAGACUCCAGAAGCCACGGGAACGAACGGGAAGGCAAUUGGGCCCGGGGGUAGGGCGCCCGCCCUCCCCCCUAGGGCGCCCGCGCUGGAGUUGUAACCAAUCCUGUCCAACUUCGCGGAUCACGCUCCACCGACCUAAAGGAUCAAGGAUAACUGUUCAAUCAAUGUCGGUUUGAUCCAACGACCCACGUUUACCUGAGGGGACUAUAUAAGCAGACCCCCUGGCUCUAGAGGAGAACAAGUUCAUCAUAGAGUUGAGAGGAGCCCUCGAAUGAUAACCUCUCCUCUAAAUAGACUUAGGGCUUAGCAUCCAAUAUGAGUAGAAUUAGUUCUUCUAAGUUCUACUAGAUUGAGAGAGAUAGAGUGGAGGUGUAGAUUGGAGGAAGCCCGGCCUGUCGGUGUCUACUCCGAGGUUGUACCUACGGGAUGAAGUUCUCCUAACCCGAAGCUUGCUCCUAGGAUUCUUCAGUAUUUCGACUUGUAAAUACUAGUAAGUUCUUGUUUUAUUGUUCUUUGGUUUAUGAGUUUACUUUAAUCUCUUCGCGUAGAGUUUAGAGUAAUUAUCUCUAGCGUAGACGUGGUGGUUGGGCUAGGAUACUCAUAGAUAUUCCCUGACUAGCUGGACCGUGGUACUAGCGAGGAACGUGACAUUUCCAAGUUAACUUUGCAGACCAUAUCUCGUUAGUAGGACGGAUAGGGUUUAUAGGUGCGGGUUGAACAUCCUCUGUGGUGUCUAGAUUCCGUGAGCCUCCCCAAUAGAACAGUAGAUUAUCCUUACCAAGGUUAGAAAGAGAUUACGGUAGUAGUCUUCUCUGUAUAUCACUCACAUCGAGAAACAUUCUUUGUAGCCUAAAGGUUAGUAGUAAUAGACCAGGUUAGUCAGAUGCACUCUUUCUCCUAGUGGUAAAAAUAUAAAUACGAUACUCUGGAUAACAUCCCUGGUGAAGUGCUCACCGAUAUCCGUGCGCUUGCGGAUCAAUUCCUUAUUGCGUUCCCAAAUAUCAACAAGCAUUUCUGGCGCCGUUGCCGGGGAGAAAGACGGUUUGCUGAGAUAACCUUGAGUCUUACUACUAGCUUGUAUCUAUACUUUUAUCUUUUCUUAUCUUUUAUAUUCUUUAUCUAUUUUCUUUAGUCUUACCUUAUGGAAAACCAAGAUUCUAAAUCGAUCUAUCAAUUUGCAACACCUUCGGAAACUGACCUUUUACCAUGGGAGUCAUCACAGCCUAUCCAAACAUCCCAGUAUAGGUUAAGUUCUAGGUUAAUUUCCAUGAUUCAAAACCAAUCAUUUUCAGGAAAGGAAGAUGAAAACCGUUACCUUCAUAUUAGAGAUUUUGAGCAAACAAGUGAUUGUCUUCGCAUUGAAGGCAUUUCUGAUACAACUUUCUGUUGGAAGCUUUUUCCUUUUUCUUUAAGGGGAGAAGCUAGACAAUGGUAUAAUCAGAAGGUAAGUCAACAACGAGGUGAAUGGGGAGUUUUAUGAGCCAACUUCUGUCUAGAUUUUUUAUUCCCUCGACCGUAUCGGCGACCUUAGACUCGAAGUCCUAUCUUUUAAACAAAAAGAUAAUGAAACUUUGGGAAAAUCCUAGAAACGUUUUUCUGAUCUUUUAGAAUCUGGUCCAAACCUUAAUCUUGAAGACCAUGUUCUUUUAUUUCACUUUUUUCGAGGUCUUCAGAAAGAUCAUAAACAAAUGCUACAUACAAUGUCUAGAGGUUCUUUCUUUCGCAUCCCUACUGAUCACGCUAGAGUGAUCCUAGAUACCCUUCAUGAUGAAACCCACGAAGCCGAAGUAGACACUCUGCCAAAUUCUCCAUCUACUUUAGCUAUCCCAAGUUUGAGCCACAAAAGGAAGAAAUUCCACCACCUGAUUUCAUGUUGGAUAUAGAAUCUGAUCUUUUUACCGAUUUUGGAAACAUUUCAAACUACCAUUCUACUAACAGACCCCAAAACGGCCAUUUUAGCAUUUGUUUGCCAACUGAACAUCAAUUGAGAGAGCUUAUCUCGGUCAUGAGUAGCGAAUGGUUGGAAGAGUUAGAGCUUUCCUCUGAUGUGAUCCGUUUGGACACACCUCCUAUAACUAUACGCUGUGCUUAUGAUUCUGAUCAAUUUGAUGCUCUCUAUAAUCCUGUUGUGGGGAUCAACAUCAUGUCUGAAUCUUUUACACUAAAACUAUUUAAAAAUUUGGUCUUAACCCCCACAACGAAGGUCAUAACGGAAUCUUCGAGACGAUUAGUCCCUAGUCUUGGAAUUAUUAAUGUCCUACCCUUAUUGGUAGAAGGCUCCAUGGUUCAUUUGAACUUCUAUAUCUUUGAUACAUGGGACUUCGAUCUGUUGAUAGGACAACCUUUUAGAAGACUCCUUUAUGAUGGUCAUACUGGAAAGCUACACAUUUCUUUUGGAAAAACCUUUAAAUUUCCAAUAACAAUUUCACACUCCUUGAAUAAUAAGGCCGAGUCAUAUCUUUUGCCUGAUCCUAUGGAGGAGGUAAAGGCUGCAUCUCUAGAGCUUUUAGAAGAACCAGACUUAGAAGACGAAGCUCCUUUCUUCAUAGAAGAGGCCGAACCUUCUGAACCUGAACCCUUAGAUGAGUUUGCAGACACGCCUAGACCCCCCAUAGAGCUUAAAACUUUACCACCCGGUCUUAUCUAUGCUUUCCUAAAUAAUAAUCCAGAGUUUCCUGUGAUCAUUAGUGAUAAACUCACUCAGGAGCAAACUCUGCGAUUAAUGGCCAAUCUAGAGAAACAUCACUUAGUUUUCGACUACUCACUCCAGGAUCUUACAAGAAUUAGUCCAAUGAUUUGUACCCAUCGUAUUCCGACAGAUCCUUCUGUUUCACCUUCUCGAGAGCCCCAACAUAGACUUAACAACGCGAUGAGAGAGGUAGUUAAAAAGGAAGUUAUAAAGUUGCUGCAUGCAGAGAUUAUAUAUCCUAUGCCGCACAGUGAGUGGGUGAUCCCAGUUCAAGUUGUGCCUAAAAAGGGAGGCAUGACUGUUGUUAUGAAUGAAAAGAACGAGCUAAUUUCGCAACGCACCGUCAUAGGGUGGCGGAUGUGCAUAGACUAUAGAAAACUAAACAAAGCCACGAGAAAGGAUCAUUUUCCUUUACCUUUCAUAGAAGAGAUGCUAGAGCGAUUAGCGAACCAUUCCUUCUUCUAUUUCUUAGAUGGAUAUUCAGGGUAUCACCAGAUCUCGAUCCACCCGAUGAUCAAAGCAAAACCACUUUUGCAUGCCCAUACGGUACUUAUGCUUACCGUAGAAUGUCUUUUGGGUUAUGUAAUGCACCAGCUUCUUUUCAAAGAUGCAUGAUAUCUACAUUUUCUGAUAUGAUUGAAGAGAUUAUGGAAGUUUUCAUGGAUGAUUUUUCUGUUUAUGGAAAAACUUUUGAUAGUUGUCUUGAAAACUUAGACAAGGUUUUGCAAAGAUGUGAAGAAAAGCACUUAAUCCUUAAUUGGGAAAAAUGUCAUUUUAUGGUUAGGGAAGGAAUAGUGCUGGGACACCUAGUGUGUGAAAGAGGUAUUGGGGUAGACAAAGCUAAAAUUGAAGUAAUUGAACAACUACCUCCACCUGUGAAUAUAAAAGGAAUUCGAAGCUUUCUUGGCCAUGCUGGUUUUUAUCGCAGAUUCAUAAAAGAUUUUUCAUUUAUUGCUAGACCACUUACUCUUUUGCUAGCCAAGGAUGCUCCUUUCGAAUUUGAUGAUGCAUGCCUAACAUCUUUCAAUUUAUUAAAGAAUGCACUCAUCUCUGCACCAAUCAUUCAACCCCCUGAUUCACUACAGGAAUUCUAGGCUUCUGUGACAAUCAGAUUAUGAUGAUAACAACCAGUUUCAUGUCACUGCCUACCUACACUGAUGAAGUGGCUGUCGUCACAGAAGGUGGGUCGCUAAAGAGCUUCUGUGACCACCAGAGCACAUCGUCAUUGAUACAGUAACGAUAGUUCUUCUGUCAUUGAUGCAAUGACGAGACUAAACUCGUCAUAACAAAAUAAACAAAAUAACACCAUGUGUAUGAUGACAUGGCACAUGUGACGUGGCAGAUGACAUGUGACCCAUAUAUCAUGGACUUUCUUAUUAAUUAAUUAGAAUGAGCCCAACUAGCCCACAUGUUGUGGAAAGCCUUUUUGGCCCAGCUAGAAAUUAGCAUAUGCCUUUUUUGUCCUUGAGGCCCAACAUUUAUACAGUCCAAGCUUAUAUUAUUGGCUGGCACAUUUGAAAAUCAUCAUAAAUAAUAAACCAUAUAAUUAAUUACAUAAUAAAGUCAAUAACUAGACAUUCUGACAGAAUAGGUUCUCCAAGCAUCAAGGUUUAUAAAUGUAGUAUGCUUCUUACAUCAACAACCAUAUAUAAUAUGGCUCACAUCCCAUUGUCAUUCCAUAAACCAAAACAAUUCACCCGACACAUCAAGCAGGUUACAAAAAGUUGUGUUAAACACAUCAGGAGGGGGUAGAUUCUAGAAUUAGCUGAUCUAACAUUUGCGCGCUAUGCUUGCUGUCCAGGAAUGGCCACCUAUAGCAAUCAAAACUGUCAUCAGAUAUACCUAACAUUGAACAAGGAAUCAAGACAGAACACCAUACAAAUCUCAUGGUUCGUACAUGUUCAUGAUGAAAUUAAGAAACAAAUAUAGUACUCGCACUGAUAAUUAAUCUAAUGUCACUAGUUGUCAUUAACUUGUCAUACUGCAGAUCUAGUAUUCCAAAAUUGACAUUGCAAGUUUUUUGUAGCCUAUAUAGCAUUGACACUGUUAAAUUUCAGUAGAGUAUAUAUAAUGCUAGCUCACAGAAGCAUUUAACAUGCUGCUUUACUACAGCCAAUACACGCACUAAGAAAGAAAGAUUAGUAGUUAUUUGAUUAAUUUGGAUAAACUUGAAUAUUGAACAACUAAGCAAGCACAUGCAUCCAGAACAUGGUACAUUCACUGUAGUAACUACAAUUACCAAAGGCAGCUUCCCGGUUCUCUUGCUGCUACCGAAGUGACCAAAAAUGAAAUCUGAAAGCGUCUAUUGCAACUACCAAGCUAUGCACGGAAUCACCUAGAUCUGCAGCUACUAAGUCCUAAACUGCACUGACUAAUUAAAAAGUAUACUACAAGAAAUUGUUCAGUCUUGAGGUAAUAUAAGCAGGGACAUGAAUGCAGGAGCUUACAAAUUAGUAAUUUAACCAUUCAAGAUGCUUGAACAAACAUAAAUCAUACUUGCACAGAGUCAUUUGCUUCCUUACCCAAGGGAGAUGUACAGGCAUCAGUAGGCAGCACCCACCAACAGAACCAAACUGAAAACUGCACUUGUGGUAACAGGCAGACAGAGUGAGCCCUCAACAGCGUGGCCAUCACCCAGCUAGCUUCCUCAUCCUUGAAACAAAAAAUAGAUGUACGGUAUUCAGAUUACACUAGAGACAAAAAAAUAUAUGUACAGAAUCUAAAAUAAGUUGGCCUCUAGCUCCACCUUUUUUGGGGAGCUGAGUUUUUGGAGUUGGACGUGUUUGGCACUGCAGAGCUGGAGGGGAGCUGAAAAAAUGGAAGCAGAGCAGUCUCAAACACCCCCUUAGUUUGCUUUACUGCAAUAGCUAGCUCAUAGUAUAGCAUAUGGUUUGGUUAUCUGAAAAAAGGACAUGGUAAAGCAGCAGCUAGUUUCAUCUCAUCACAGUUCUACUCAAUGUAACCAGAGCAGAUUCUAUUUGUUGAGUAAGACAAGAAGUUUUAGUUAAUGUUCUAGUUGGUCUUAGCAUGACAGUUUUCAUACAUAUAGAGUAGAAUUGCAAAAAAUGGAAGCUAACUUAUUCAUUAGUAUGGUAACAGCCUACAAGUAAUCAGGAAGUACGCAGAACUGAGCACUGUAAAAUCUGAAUAUUGACAAACAGCUCCUUUGUAGUUUUUUUGGUAGCAAAUGAAUUCAAUCUAAAAGGUAGUGAAGCUCGAUUUCAGCGAAACACAACCCCAUAUGGCAAAGUUCAAUUUCCCAGAAUUAUCAAUUAGUCGACCUCAAGCACAACUAAUGUAUGGAAUGAAAAAAAUGUAAUUGCUUCAUUAGCAUCAAAUUUAACUAGGCCAUAAUAGCUUUGUCAUUAGCAAAUGGGGGUGAUUUAAAAUUAUCCAUGCUGAAUAAUGGAACUUCAGCCUACUAUUUUGAGCUUUCUAGGACGCAUAACUUCCAGGCAGGUUGUACAAAAGAGAAAAUAAUUUUGGAAUAAAAAAGAACACUCCAAGCUUGGUUAUCCUGAUAUUUCUGUACCAACCUUUCAGAGGAUAUAAAAAUUCUAGAAUAUGCACAAACAAUACAUCCUAAGCUGCUCAAGUCAUUGUAUCAAAUAUACCUGUAACCCACUAAAACUCAAUAUUGCAUUUACCAAAUGCUCAAAUGUGGUAACAGAGAGCAUUAUAAUUGAGGUGCUAAGCCAAUUAGCUUUUUUCACAAAAAACAUCCAGACUUGAGCAUUUAUUAUUUCACCCGAACACAUAAUGAAUCAAUGGGACAAAACAAACACUCUUACGUAUGCCAAGGGAGAAAGAAAGAGUAUUAAUCUUUAGUAAGGGAGAUGGAGAAUGGAUCUAGGUACAUAGCUACUACAGCCUGAUUGAAAGCAUCACGUGUCCUGCCCUCUUAUCAUAGGCAUCUGAUGGAUCAAGAACAAAAAUAAAAGCAAGAAACAAAAUCAGAGCAGACCAUCACAUGCUGCAUUUCACGUCAUACGCAUCCAUAUCUUAGACUCACAAACAAGAGAAACCGGAUCUUACUAAGCUGCACCAAGUCUCAUCCCGGUAGUUAGCACCAUGGUCCUGGCUGCUAGCGCCAUGGUCGGCGGCCAUGCUCGCAGGCCCUGCCCAUGGCAACUUGCGCCUGGCGGCGGCCGCGCUCGCAGGCCUCGCCCGCGGCAACUCGCGCCCAGUCGUCCGCAGCUGUGCUCGGCGGCCGCGGCAGCGCUCCAACGAGCGAAGACACCUCCAUGAGAUCUGAGGGGCGGGGAACAAGGGCAGCGGGUUCUGGAAGAACCAAAUGACAGAGGGAAGGGGUGCUCUUGCCCGGCGGCUGUGGAGACGAGGGAGUGGGGAACGAUUCCUAGGGUUAGCUACGCUUAUGUAUCUGUGGCGCUCUGUUGAGUUAAAGUUCAAAAUUGACCUCACAUGGAAUCAAUCAAUUGUAUACUUGUAUGGGUAGAAAUGACUUUUUGCAUCAAAACAGUGGCGCGGCAGCCAUUUUGAUUUCGCGGUUUGCACGAGAGAUCGAAAAUUUGAUGCAGGCGGGAAGGAAUUUUUGGACUGUGGCUUUUUCUUUAUAGCAUUAUUUAGAAAAUAUUUAUACUAUUAUUUGAGACCCUAAAUAAAUUUAGAUUUAAAAUUUAUCAACUACAAAGUUUCAUAACUUUUUGAAUUCUACAACUUUCAUUUUUAUUAUUUGUUCAUCCAAGGUCGUUUAAAAAAUUAAAAUUUCAAAAUUUUGGAAAUUCAAAGGUAGUUUUCCUUGACAAGAUGAUUUCAAAGGUAGUUCAUGCAAGUGCUAAAAAGAAGGAAGGAACACCAACCAUACCGCUAAAGGAAACCAAGGCAAGGUGAAUACAGAGUUUGUCCAGAUCAUCAAGAUACACAUUUGGUGUAAUGGUCAACUUUUCAUCUUAGAGAAUUUGGACCACUCAAAUUUUGAAAUUUCAAAUUUUCACAGCUACACGCAUGUUUUCGUGACCCUAGAUGUCCUAUGUAUAGAAUGUGUAUCUUGAUGAGCUCUAACUACCUUGUAUUCAAAAGAUUUUUAUUUGAGGUCAUUUAGUGUCUUGUUUGACCAGGUUUGACCAAGACACACCUUGGGUAUUCAAAAAAUGUGACAAGAGUUUACUGGAACUUUUCCAAAUGCAAAAAUAUACUAUGUAUCAAAGGUAGCUUGGUGAGGUCUAACUCCUUUGUAUUCAAAAGUUUUUUAUUUGAGGUCUUUUAUUGGCUAGUUUGACCUAGUUUGACCAAGUCAAACAUUGGAUUUUUCAGAAAAAACACUUUGACCGGACCCUAGAUGGUCCCAGCUACAAAAGUCAUGAAUACAAAGUUUGUUUAGAUCAUCAAGACACACAUUUGGUGUAAUGGUCAACUUUUCAUCUGAGAGGGUUUGGAUCACUCAAAAUUUGAAAUUUCAAAUUUUUACGGCUACACGCACGUUUUCAGGACCCUAGACGACCCCAACUCGAAAAGUCAUGAAUAGGAAGUUUGUUCCACUCAUCAAGAUCUACAUUUGAUACAUUGGAAAUUUUUGCAUUUGACAAAGCGUUACGAAAGUGCAGUUCUAAAUCCACAGUUCCCGCAUAUAGUUUUAUAAAGUCUAUCUGUGAUUCAAGAUUGUGGCUAGAGUUUACAAACACUUUCUCAAAUGUAAAAAUUUCCUAUGUAUGGAAUGUGUAUCUUGAUGAGCUAUAACUACCUUGUAUUCAAAAGAUUUUCAUUUGAGGUCAUUUAGUGCCUUGUUUGACCAGGUUUGACCAAGUCACGCCUUGGGUUUUCGAAAAAUGUGACUAGAGUUUACUAGAACUUUCCCAAUGCAAAAAUGUACUAUGUAUUAAAGGUAGACCUUGGUGAGGUCUAACUCCUUUGUAUUCAAAAGUUUUUUAUUUGAGGUCUUUUAUUGACUAGUUUGACCUAGUUUGACCAAGUCAAACAUUGAAUUUUUGAAAAAACACUUUGACCGGAUCCUAGAUGGUCCCAGCUACAAAAAUCAUGAAUAAACAAAGAAUACAUAUUUGAAAACCUAUUAAAUGAAUAAACAAAACUAAAAAUAAAACUGAAAAGAAAACUUGGGGUGUGGAUCUCGAGCUAGCGGCGUCCACCGUGGGAGAAAGGGAUGCGAUUUUGGCCGGCAGCAGAGUCCUGCAGAAGGGCGUCGAUCUGCAGCCAGCGGCGGACCUGCGGCCUAAUGCUUGCCAAUGUGGUCAGCAGACUGAGAUGCCAAAUUUCGGGUCUGAUUUUGCCAGCAUCCAAACUCGAGAGUACAAACUAUGUCGAACACUCACCCCUAGUAACAAAAGUUACUGGUCUUCAGUGGUUAGCGGUCCAACUGGUCGCAGGUCUCGGGUUCAAACCCUGUGGUGUGCGACAUUUUGGUGUUUUUUUGAAUUUUUUAAUCCAAUCCAACAUGGGGCUAUAACUAGAGUGUUUUUUUUUGAAUUUUUUUCAUCCAAUCCUACAUGGGGCUAUAACUAGGGCAUAUGGUAGUGUGCACUAACGACUAAAUAGGAUAAGAUAAUAUUUUAAAAAUAAUUAUAAUAGAUAUAUAUUUAUAAUGAUCAAUUAUUGUUCCAUUCUAUCAUCACAAAUACCAACAUUUUGGUGUUUUCUUUUGAAAUUUUCUUCCUCCAAUCCUACGUGGGACUAGGAGUUAACUAGGACGAAAAUAAUUUACCUAGGACAUAUGAUAGUGUGCACCAAUGGCCAUGUGGGAUAACAAGAUAUUUUAAAAAUAAUUAUAAUAUAUUUAUAUUUUAUGACAGUUAACUAUUGUCACAAUCUAUCAUCAUAAAUCUCAUGCAGCUAGAUGCUAUGACGUUGUUUAUGACGAAGACACAGUUUGAUCAUAAACAGUUGUCAUCCACUAAACAGUCGUCAUAAACAGGAUGUGUUUAUGACACAUAGGUGUUCUGUUAUUUGGUAAUCGUCACAGAAGCCUAGAUUUCUUGUAGUGAUUGGUCGUUGCCUUUUGAAAUUAUGUGUGAUGCUAGUGAUUAUGUUGUGGGGGCAGUUUUGGGACAAACUAAAAAUAAGAAGCAUCAUGCAAUUGCUUAUGUCAGUAAAACUUUGACAGGAGCUCAACUUAAUUAUGCAACCACUGAAAAAGAGCUUCUCGCUGUUGUCUUUGCCAUUGAUAAAUUUAGAUCUUAUUUAGUUGGAGCUAAAAUAAUUGUUUACACUGAUCAUGCUGCACUAAAAUAUCUGCUCACUAAAAAAGAUGCUAAACCUCGCCUGAUUAGAUGGAUCUUAUUACUUCAAAAAUUUGAUUUGGAAAUAAAAGAUAAAAAGGGAAUAGAAAAUUAUGUUGCUGAUCACUUGUCUAGAAUGUAUUUUAAGAAUCGACAGGAAACCCCCAUCAAUGAUUCACUCCGGGACGACAUGCUCUACGGGAUUAACAGGUCUGACCCCUGGUAUGCAGAUAUUGUUAAUUUUAUGGUUUCAGGGUAUGUACCACCAGGAGCAAACAAGAAGAAGCUUAUUCAAGAAAGUCGUUCACAUAUAUGGGAUGAGCCAUACCUCUUCCGAGUAUGCUCUGAUGGCUUACUUAGGAGAUGUGUGACCACUGAGGAAGGAUGGAAGAUCAUCGACAAAUGUCAUUCAUCACCAUAUGGAGGUCAUUAUGGAGCAUUCUGAACACAUUCAAAAAUCUGGCAGUGUGGAUUCUACUGGCCUACAAUGUAUGAAGACACGAAGCAAUAUAUCAGAAGAUGUGGGCCAUGUCAAAGACACGGAAACAUAAAUACAAGGGAUGCAAUGCCACUCACCAACAACCUUCAGAUUGAGCUCUUUGAUGUCUGGGGAAUUGACUACAUGGGUCCAUUUCCUCCAUCAAAGAAGUGCGAGUACAUCUUGGUGGCGGUUGACUAUGUCUCCAAGUGGGUAGAAGCAUUACCUUGCAAGCAUGCCGACAACGUCAGUUCAAAGAGGAUGUUCGAAGAAAUUAUAUUUCCAAGAUUUGGAGUCCCCAGAGUAGUGAUAAGUGAUGGAGGAGCACACUUCUCGGUCCUGAUUUCCUCCGUCGCGGAAAACACAUUUAUGGUAAACCAAAUAAUCCUACAAAUGGAAAGUUUCGCACGCACGGCGGUGGGAGUAACCCGAACAAACCCUAGAGGCACUUUUUGACCCCUAUAUAAACAGACCCCUGACGUCAGUUUUCAAACACCAAUCUAUUCAAGCCUUCUCUCCUUCAAUUAGAGCUUGCUUAGUUCCUCGCUGCUCUAAUGGCCGAAGAGUUCCACGACGAUUGGGAAGUCGUCCCCUUCAACCUCAACAUGAAGCCUAAGGAAGACCUCGACGCCCACGCUCUCGUCCCGGCCAACAUAGAGCGACAGCUAGAAGCCAUGCCAUUACGCCAGCGCAGCUCCGCCUAAUCCUACCAUGCUCAACCAGUUCUCACAGCACCACCGCAGCCCCUACUUCUCAAGGGACCAUCAGCCAAAAAGGAGGCCACCAUCAAGGUGCUAGCCGGCACAAGGAUCCUGCCACCUAGACCCAAUGAGAGGGUCGUUGGAGUCAAGACCAACCGGAGCGGCGAGAUCAGCAGCAUCCGCUACACUACGGAGGAAGAGAGGCCUUACUUUGAGGGGAUUAGAGCAGCCAAAGUCCAUUUCAUCCCUCCAAAGGCAACCCCGAAGCAUGCUCUCAAUGCUCUUGAGACACCUCCUAAGCGUCGCAAGACUAUAGUAGAUAUUGAUGAGGACGUUCACAGGCUAGACAAGGUCAUCAUAGAGCUCUAGUCCUCGGUUAAUUCUAUCACUAGGCAGCUCUCUAACCAGAACACCAUUAUACUAGGUCUUAGGCAUGAUCUUGCUAGUGCCAAUAAGAAGAUCAGGGAGUUAGAGCGCUGCUAAGUUAUCUAGAUUAGAUCUUGAGGCAAUGCAUCUUAGUUACUUAUCAUUAAAUUCAGUUUAGAUCUAUUAUUAGCUUCAGUUCAUUACUAGUCAUUUGUAAUAAAUGCCUCAAGAUUAAUGAAGAGUAUUAUUAUUAUUAUGUCUUGUGUGUCUCUACUUUAUUUUUAUGCAAGAAAGCAGAAAACAAGUAUGGGGAGAUCCCUCGACAUGCCAAACACACUUCGACUACACCACUCCACGAUUCAGGUACAAACUCUGCACACUCUACACAUACAUAUAUAUCUUGGAUUAUGCAGAAUAUUGUCUCCGACAUGAUAAAUUAAAAAGAUUAAAAUGUUUCUAAUCAUGAUUAAUCUCGCUCUGUGAUAUUUCCUAAAAACCUGCAAUUAUUAAAAAAUCAUUUUAAAACCCUGUGUCACUUAAGUCAUUGUGGAAUGUGAGAUGGUAGAGUAUGAGUAUCUUAUUCUUGAUAUCAUUAUUGCUUGGAGAAUUUAUUCAAAAUUUCUAGCUACCAUCCUUAGUGUUUUAUAUGCCUACUAAACCUGAAAAUAUUAAUAAUUAUAAAAGCUAUCUACUCUGUAUUGAGUUUGUUCAAAAUGAGUUAGACCCUUGUUGAGAGAUUUAUCAUACUCGUAAGAUCAAGACAUCUCUCCAGAAAGAUUCACUCUUCGGAAGUAUUAUUGCGUUAGAGGCAUGGGCUAUGCAAAAAUAAGGAUAUUUCGAGGAAAUAAAAAGGAGCAAGUGCUCGAUAACCUCGCAGAAAAAAUGGACAAGUGUCCGGCAGUAGAAUUAGGGGUACCUCAGUAUCCACCUAAAAAAAAGAGAGAAGAGAGAAAAUGAUAGCCCAUGGUCCCUCUAAUAAGCAAUAUGCCAGUAAGAGUUGACAAGUUUUUAAUUUCCAAAGUCUUUGAUGUAAGAGUAUGGCAUUCUUCUCCUCGGAUCCCGUUUUGAUCAAGCAAUAAAUGCAAGGUAAGUAUGCUUGAGAAUUUUUGCAAAUUAAAACAGCCUCAGUGAGAAAAAUAAAAGAUAAUGAGUGAUCUGAGAGAACCUAUGAGGAUAAAGGUAAGCUAAAUUUCUUUUUAAAAAUACACAAAAAACUCUAAGUAACAGGAUUGAGAAGAAAGGACCUCUACUCUUGACCAUAUAUUUCCUUGACUACGGUACACAGAGAAUUAUUACACCCUGCAGGUAUGAAGAAAAUGUUUUACAAAGUUUUAACCUCAGAUAUUUUUCUUAACCAUCCUUUUCUCAAGGACGAGUAAAAGCCUAAGUAUGGGGGUGUUUGUUGACGGUUCUUAAGUAUCAAUUUUAGUUAUCAAAUAAACAAGAGAAAGGACCAAUAUGCAAACAACACCUAGAAUUAGGGUUUGAUCUGAUAGAAUUCCAUGAGUUUUGUUGUUUAUCUGUUUCUGCAGGGGGUUAUUAGGAAAUAAGGAAGAAAGGCCCACAUGUCGGGAUUACAUAGAGAUAUUAAAGCACCGCGCAUAUCAAUUCCUUAUUGUGUUCCCAAAUAUCAACAAGCAUUUCUGGCGCCGUUGCCGGGGAGAAAGACGGUUUGCUGAGAUAACCUUGAGUCUUACUACUAGCUUGUAUCUAUACUUUUAUCUUUUCUUAUCUUUUAUAUUCUUUAUUAAUUUUCUUUAUUCUUACCUUAUGGAAAACCAAAAUUCUAAAUCGAUCCAUGAAUCUGCAAUCCCUUCAGUAACUGACCUUUUUACCAUGGGAAUCAUCACAGCCUAUCCAAACAUCCCAGUAUAAGUUAAGUUCUAGGUUGAUUGCCAUGAUUCAAAACCUAUCUUUUUCGAGAAAGGAAGACGAAAACCCUUACCUUCAUAUUAGAGAUUUUGAGCAAACAUGUGAUUGUCUUCGCAUUGAAGGCAUUUCUCAUAAAACUUUACGUUGGAAGCUUUUUCCUUUUUCCUUAAGGGGAAAUGGGGAGUUUUACGAGCCAACUUUUGUCUAGAUUUCUAUUCCCUCGACCGUAUAGCCGACCUUAGACUCGAAGUCCUAUCUUUUAAACAAAAAGAUAAUGAAACUUUGGGAAAAUCCUGGAAACGUUUUUCUGAUCUUUUAGAAUCUGUUCCAAACCUUAGUCUUGAAGACCCUGUUCUUUUAUUUCACUUUUUUUGAGGUCUUCAUAAAAAUCACAAACAAAUGCUACACACAAUGUCUAGAGGUUCUUUCUUUCACAUCCCUACUGAUGAUAAAAAGGGAGUAGAAAAUUCUGUUGCUGAUCACUUGUCUAGAAUGUAUUUUAAGAGUCCACAGGAAACCCCCAUCAAUGAUUCACUCCGGGACGACAUGCUCUACGGGAUUAACAGGUCUGACCCCUGGUAUGCAGAUAUUGUUAAUUUUAUGGUUUCAGGGUAUGUACCACCAGGAGCAAACAAGAAGAAGCUUAUUAAAGAAAGUCGUUCACAUAUAUGGGAUGAGCCAUACCUCUUCCGAGUAUGCUCUGAUGGCUUACUUAGGAGAUGUGUGACCACUGAGGAAGGAUGGAAGAUCAUCGACAGAUGUCAUUCAUCACCAUAUGGAGGUCACUAUGGAGCAUUCCGUACACAUUCAAAGAUCUGGCAGUGUGGAUUCUACUGGCCUACAAUGUAUGAAGAUACGAAGCAAUAUAUCAGAAGAUGUGGGCCAUGUCAAAGGCACGGAAACAUAAAUACAAGGGAUGCAAUGCCACUCACCAACAACCUUUAGAUUGAGCUCUUUGAUGUCUGGGGAAUAGACUACAUGGGUCCAUUUCCUCCAUCAAAGAAGUGUGAGUACAUCUUGGUGGCGGUUAACUACGUCUCCAAGUGGGUAGAGGCAUUACCUUGCAAGCAUGCCGACAACAUCAGUUCAAAGAGGAUGUUUGAAUAAAUUAUAUUUCCAAGAUUUGGAGUCCCCAGAGUAGUGAUAAGUGAUGGAGGAGCACACUUCAUCGACAAACGCUUCAAGCAAUAUCUAUCAAAACAUGGAAUCCGUCACAACGUCGCUACCCCCUAUCAUCCUCAGACAAGUAGCCAAGCAGAGACUUCCAACAAGCAAAUCAGGAAUAUUCUUCAGAAGACAGUAAAUGAAAUGGGAACGGCAUGGAAAGACAAGUUACCCAAUGCACUCUGGGCAUACCGAACAGCAUACAAGACUCCAAUUGGAAUGUCUCCAUACCAAUUGGUGUAUGGGAAGACUUGCCAUCUACCCGUUGAACUAGAGUUCAAAGCACACUGGGCCAUAAAGAGAUGGAAUAUGGACCUAGAUGUUGCUGGAGAUUAUAGAAGAAUGCAACUAUCAGAAUUGGAAGAAUGGUGAGAGAAAGCAUAUCACAAUUCAAAGAUCUACAAAGAAAGAGUCAAAAGGUGGCAUGACAAGAGAAUCAAGAAGAAGGAGUUCACACCCGGAGAUAAGGUAUUACUUUUUAAUUUCAGGGUAAAGCUUUUCGGGCAUGGGAAACUCCGGAGCAAAUGGGAAGGACCAUUCAAGGUAAUUAAUUCAUCAUCCCACAGAGCUAUCACACUUCAAAAUGACGAAGGUACGUUAUUCAAGGUAAAUGGUCAACGUCUUAAAUUAUUUUUAGAGCCCAAUAAAGAAUUAGAAGAAAUAGACGUAGUCCAUUUUUACCUUCCCAUGGAGAAUUAGAGCCCGACCUUUUUAGUCUGAUGUUUUCGGGUCAUACAUAUAUUUUUCUAAAUAGUUUUGCAUCUAAAAACGCGCUCGAGAAAGUGGGCCCACAGAGGGGCUAGAGAGAGGGCGGGCGCCCAAAUCAGGUGGGCGGGCGCCCAGCUCCUGUUCCCCCUCGGUCCCGACUUUCUCUGUUAUGGAAAAUGCACUUAUGGUAAUCCGAAUAACCCCUCAGAUGGAAAGUUUCGCACGAACAUCGACGGGGGCAACCCGAACAACCCAUAGAGGCACUCUUUGACCCCUAUAUAAACAGACCCCUGACCUCAGUUUUCAAACACCAAGCCAUCAAAGCCUUCUCUUCUUCUUCAAUUAGAGCUUGAUUAGUUCCUUGCUGCUCCAAUGGCCGAGAAGUACCACGAUGAUUGGGAAGUCGUCCCCUUCAACCUCAACAUGGUGCCUGUGGAAGACCCCGAUGCCCGUGCUCUCGUCCCAGCCAACACAGAGCGACAGCUACAUGCCAUUACGCCAGCGCAGCUCCACCCAAUCCUAUCAUGCUCAACCAGUUCUCACCGCACCGCCACAACCCCUACUCCUCACAGGAUCAUCAUCCAAGAUGAAGGCCACCAUCAAGGUGCCAACCGGCACGAGGAUCCUUCCACCAGGACCCAAUGAGAGGGUCGUUGGAGUCAAGACCAACCGGAGCGGCGAGAUCAGCAGCGUUCGCUACACUACGGAGCAGGAAAGACCAUACUUUGAAGGGAUUAGAGCAGCCAAAGUCCGUUUCAUCCCUCCAAAGGCAGCCCCGAAGCACGCUCUCAAUGCUUUUGAGACACCUCCCAAGCGUUGCAAGACUAUAAUGGAUAUUGAUGAGGACGUUCGCAGACUAGACAGAAUUAUCAUAGACCUCAGUCCUCGAUUAACUCUCUCACUAGGCAGCUCUCUAACCACAACAGCAUCAUACUAGGCCUCAGGCAGGAUCUUGCUAGUGCCAACAAGAAGAUUAAGGAAUUAGAGCGCCGCUAAGUUAUCUAGAUUAGACCUUGAGGCAAUGCAUCUUAGUUAUCUAUCUUUAAAUUCGGUUUAGGUUUACUAUUAUCAUCAGUUUGCUAUUGUCAUCAGUUUGCUACUAGUCUUUUGUAAUAAAUGCCUCAAGAUUAAUAAAGAAUAUUAUUAUUAUUAUGUCUUGUGUGUCUCUACUUUAUUUUUUGCGCAAGAAAGCAGAAAACAAGUAUGGGGGAGAUCCCUCAACAUGCCAAACACACUCCGACUACACCACUCCACGAUUCAGGUACACACUCUACACACUUUACUUUACACAUACAUAUUUUGGAUUAUAUAGAAUAUUGUUUCCGACAUGAUAAAUUAAAAAGAUUAAAAUAUUUCUAAUCAUGAUUAAUCUCACUCUGUUAUAUUUCCUGAAACUUGCAAUUAUUAUAAAAUCAUUUCAAAACCCUGUGUUACUUAAGACAGUAUGGAAUGUGAGAUGGUAGAGUAUGAGUUUCUUAUUCUUGAUAUCAUUGUUGCUUGGAGAAUUUAUUUCAAAAUCUUUAAAAUUCUAGCUACCAUCCUCAGUGUUUUAUAUGCCUGAUAAAACUGAAAAUAUUAAUUAUGAUUAUAAAAGCUAUCUACUCUGUAUUGAGUUUGUUCAAAAUGAGUUAGACCCUUGUUGAGAGAUUUAUCAUGCUCCUGAGAUCAAGACAUUUAUUCAGAAAGAUUCACUCUUCCGAAGUAUUAUUGCAUUAGAGGCAUGGGCUAUGCAAAAAUAAAGAUAUUUCGAGGAAAUAAAAAGGAGCAAGUGUUCGACAACCUCGCAGAAAAAAUGGACAAGUGUCCGGCAGUAGAAUUAGGGAUACCUUGGUAUCCACUUAAAAAAAAGAGAGAGAAAAAUUAUAGCCCAUGGUCCCUCUAAUAAGCAAUAUGCCAGCAAGAGUUGACAAAGAUUUUAAUUUCCAAAGUCUUUGAUCUAAGAGUAUGACAUUCCCCUCCUCGGAUCCCGUUUUGAUCAGGCAAUAAAUGCAAAGUAAGUAUGCUUGAGAAUUUUUGAAAAUUAAAACAGCCUCAGUGAGAUAUAUAGAAGAUAAUGAGUGACCUGAGAGAACCUAUGAGGAUAAAAGGUAUGCUAACUUUCUUUCAAAAAUAUACAAAAACUUCAAGUGACAAGGAUUGAGAAGAAAGGAUCUUUACUUUUAACCAUAUACUUCCCUGACUACAGUACAUAGUGGAAUUUUAACACCCUGCAAAUAUAAAAUGCUUUAAAAUGUUUUACCCCAAAUAUUGUUCUUAACCAUCCUUUUCUCGAGGACGAGUAAAAGCCUAAGUAUGGGGGUAUUUGUUGACGGUUCUUAAGUACCAAUUUUAAUUAUCAAAUAAACAAGAGAAAGGACCAAUAUGCAAACAAUACCUAGAAUUAGGGUUUGAUCUGACAGAAUUCCACGAGUUUUGUUGUUUAUCUGUUUCUGCAGGGGGUUAUCAGGAAAUAAGGAAGAAAGGCCCACAUGUCGGGAUUACAUAGAGAUAUCAACGUACCGCGCGAUUUUCUACCAUCUAGAAGGCUCCAGAAGCCACGGGAAGAAAGCAGAGGCCGAAAGGGGCUAGGCCCAGGGCGCCCGCCCUGGUGACCUGGGCGCCCGCCCCCUGCUGGAAGCCAUUCAGGACUCUCUUCGCACACGAUGUUCCACCGACCUAUUGGAUCCAGAAUAACGUAGUUCCACCUCGCCUACCGACCCAAAAACGCAUAGAGGAGGAGGACUAUAUAAGGAGACCCCUCGAAGGAAAACCUCUUCUCGAAUUAAUAUUUCUUUUUAGGCUUAGCAACCAAUGUAAAGUAGAAAUAGAUCUUCUAGUUUCUACUAGAUUGAGAGAGAUAGAGUGGAGGUGUAGAUUGGAGGAAGCCCGGCCUGUCGGUGUCUACUCCAACCUUGUACCUGCGGGAUCAAGUCUCCUAACCCGAAGCUUGCUCCUAGGAUUCUUCAGUAUUUCGACUUCUAAAUUCUAGUAAGUUCUUGUUUUAUUGUUCUUCUGGUUUAUGAGUUUACUUUAAUCUCUUCGCGUAGAUUUUAGAGUAAUCAUUGCUGGCGUAAACGUGGUGUUUAGGCUGGGGUACUCAUAGAUAUUCCCUGACUAGCUGGACCGUGGUAGUAGUGAGGAACGUGACAAUUCUAAGUUACCUUUGCAGACCAUAUCUCGUUAGCAGGAAGGAUAGGGUUUAUAGGUGCGGGUUGAACAUCCUUUGUGGUGUCUAGAUUCCGUUAGCCUCCCCAAUAGAACAGUGGAUCAUCCUUACCAAGGUUAGAAGGAGACUACGGUUGCAGUCUUCUCUAUUUAUCACUCACAUUGAAAGACAUUCUUUGUUGCCUAAAGGGUUAGUAGUAAUAGACCGGUUAGUCAGAUGCACUCAUUCUCCUAGUGGUAAAAAAAUAAAUACGAUACUCUGGAUAACCUCCUGGGUGAAGUGCUCACCGAUAUCCGUGCGCUUGCGGAUUAAUUCCUUAUUGCGUUCCCAAAUAUCAACAGGCGUCCUGGAUCGCCUCUCUUGACCGGAAGAAGGUCAGUAGUAACUUCAGUGACGGGGUUACUCCAGUUACCUGCAUCAAACAUGUCUACAAGAUUUGUAGAUUCUAAUCUUUCCAGUUGUGAUGGUAUACUGGGGUUAGUAGCAGGAACAACAGCAUCUAUUUGAUUUAACUGAGAUUCAAUCAUUUUAUUAAAGCUAAUUUGAUUCUUGAUGGCACUAGAGAAAUUAUUCAUUCUAUUAUUUAUAUUUUCUAGCAUUUUAUCAUUAGAUGCCAAUUUCUUAGAUAGGUUAUCCAUUAGCUUCCCUUGAUUAGACACUAACUCUCUCAGAGGUGGAAAAUUAUUAUUAUUGUUGUAAGAAUUAUUACCUUGAUAAUUACCUGAGUAGUUAGGCCUCUGUUGAUUCCAACCUUGAUUUUGUUGAGGACGGUUGUAGUUGUUGUUGUUGUUGUUGUUGAUGAUGAUGUAGUUCACAUCCUCAAGCAUCUCAGGGCAGUGAUUGCCUGAGUGUCCAGUAUCUCCACACUCCUCACAAGUCAUGUGAGAGUCGUAGAUGUGCUUAACUUCUUUCUUAUCUCUAGCUCUAUCGUCGAGCUUCUUCAUGAGCAGGUCUAGCUUUGCAGACAGCAUGUCUACCACCUUGAGCUGAUGCAUACCUCCACCUCUCUUGCAUGUCUGGGUCCUCUCUUCAUUCCAGCUUUGAUUGGACGCCAUCUUCUCCACAAGAGCUGUGGCUUGUGAUAUAGUGAGUGAUAAGAAUGCUCCUCCAGCUGGAGCAUCCAUGGUCUCUCGGGCACUGUUGCCGAGCCCAUGAUAAAACGUCUGCAUUAGUAGCCAACUCUCCAUCCCAUGAUGGGGACAUUCUAGGAUGUAGUCUUGGAAGCGCUCCCAUGCUUCUAGAACGGAUUCAUCAUGUUGUUGCUGAAAACUUGUAAUUUUCCCACGGAGAGCAUUGGUCUUGCCCAUGGGAAAGAACUUAACCAGAAAGUUCGUGGAGCAUAGUGCCCACGUAGUAUUCUUCUCCUUUGUAGCGUAGAACCACUGCUUCGCUCUCCCCAACAGUGAGAAUGGGAAGAGGCGAAGUAGUAUAGCAUCUCUGGGGACUCCUGAUAUGGUAAAUGUGUUGCAAAUCUCUAGGAAGUGUUGGAGAUGAGCACUAGCAUCUUCGUGUGCCUUCCCACAGAACUGGUUGGAUUGCACCAUGUUGAUAAGUCCAGGCUUGAGCUCAAAGUUGCCGUCGAUCUCUGCAGCAGGUCCAGUACGGAUGUUGUCCAUAGUGGGAGCUGAGAACUCAUAGAUCGAUUUGUUCGCCAUGGCUUCGAACUCUGAAGACAAGUUCCAGUGAUCUUCUUGAUUGGAUGAAGCUUCUUGCUGAAGUGUUGAUGAUCUAUUCUUGAGCUUGGCUCUUGUUUUUCUGAAUAACGCUGCGGGAUUGUCAACAAAAUUUCGUGGAAGAUGUCUUCUAUUCAUACAUUACCCUGCAUAAGAUAAAAUAGAAAAAUCUCGGGAUAAAACUGUAUGAGAGAAUUGAUAAGCUCAAUCAUAUUAGUAAUGCGAAUGAUAACUCAAAAUCCUAUAUUCAUUUCUGAUUAGUAAUCAACCUUGUAACGGAACCGCCCAAAUUAUAAGAGAUUAAGCCUAAUAGCGACCAUUUGCAUAGUCAAACCAUCGAGCUUAAGCCCAUAUAAUUCCGAUAGUCCAUGAAAUCUCGAAGGGUUUCAAGCCACAAAUCGUACAUACAGCCAAGAUCGUAAUAAGUUCAGCAGUCACCGUUCACAGUUAUAUCCAGCUCGAAACCAUUCAUCGAAAACAUCAGAGUGCUUAAGUUAUUACAAGCCAUGUUCACAGAUAGCGGAAGCUUCUUAGUUCGAAAAUAACACACACAUACUUAGUCUGAUACAGUGCCAUAGUUUUGGUCAUUCCUCCAACAGCAAAAGAAAAGACAGAGUGACCAUCGCCCUUGGUCUAGUCUUCACCCAUUGCUGGGUACAGGCAGAGGAUGCAAUAACCAUAGUACAUUUGACCAUCUGCAAAACAACAUGGGAGUAGAACCCUGAGUACGAGAAUGUACUCAGCUAGACUUACCCGUCAUAAACUCAAAAGUAAAGACUCAUCAAGGAUCAUGAAGGCUAUAUAGUGGGGUAGCUGAUGACUUUUGCAUAAAAGCACUCUUCUGUUAACCAAAUUCUAAAGAGGUCCUCCUUCUUUUAAUUAGCUCAAGUUGAAGUAUCAUUACCUAUUCUCUAGGUUUGCACCUGUACUAUUACAAGCAAGUAUAGUAAUAUGAUGGUACCUCAUCAUAGCAUUCAUGCAACCAUUUAUCAUUAUAACCCAAGUGUUCCAUAGUCCUUACUACGAGGACGAAGCUCAUGUCAAGUGCUCACUAUCCAGGAGCGAUAGCGAUUCAAAUCGAUUUCUAACCAGCUGGCGAGGUAUUCCCCACACAAACCACACUCACUGAUCAAGUGAGCUACAGAUCACCGUAUUACACUAUCCAGGACCAAAUCGCGGGUUCGGCAGGCACCGCCAGUACCCGAGGACCGUUCCGGCGACCGAGGUAUCCAAGGUAUACCAAGGUUGCGCGCCGCGCCCUCAUCGUUCUCCUCAACCAUCACCUAUACAGCGCAUGGCGGCUCGACUCCCGGCCCGGAUAGUGUUCAGGCUUCGCGGUCGGAACGACUUAUCCUUCCAGCUAAGUGUGGGGCAUGCGUUCAACAUGACAAGAUGGCCGUCAACGAUCGGUCCUUAAUCGACACAGGCAGGGGCACUAUAGUCAACCCACCAUAAGACCCUGCCUGGUCUCAAAUUUCAUUCCACACUUGGUUAUUCUUUCCCAAAGCAAUCACUACUUAAUCAAGCAGGUAUCCACCUAUAUCUCGCCGGUGACAGGAAAUCACCCGACUUCUACCGGACUAAGCAAGCUAAGCAUAGACUCCGUGCCUAUCUACAUAGGACAAGGUAGAUAAACGAGUAGGGAUAACAAGGAGUACAUAUGCAUCAACGGUAUCAAGCAAUUCCUAUCACGUACAUGCAACAUAGUAGAACAAGCAUAGUAUAUCAUGUAAGUUAGCGAGAAUAGGGAGACUUAGAAUGCUCCGAGGCUUGCCUUUCUCGAACGUGCUCGGCUUAUGAUCCGGGCACUCUUGCAGCUCCUCUCCGAGCUCUGACACCCCAGAGGUUCCUACUCCUGUGCUUCCUCCUGCUCCUCGGGCCCCACCUCGUUCUCCUGCGAGCCUUAUGAUGCAUGUGUGCUCAUGAGUGGAGUGCGAGAUGCCCGAGUGGAUGCUUGUAUGUGAAGGUACCAAAUGACCAUGACAUGAUGCAUAGGUGAUUUAAUUGGUCAUGCUCUUUACAAGGUAGUCAACAUCAUCCAAGAACAUGUAAUUACACUAAGCAUCCAUUUCCUUCUUUCCUACAAAAUUAUUUUCAAGUGUAACCAGCAACUCACAAGAUGCUUCAAAGAUACACCAAACCUCUUUUAUUCUACUUAAUCUACAUAAAACAAUUCAUAAUUUCUUUAUUCAUUUCUAGGCCCAUCAAAAUAGCAUGCAGUUCUGUUUAUCAAUAAAUUCCACAAAAAUUACAGGAGACUACCAGUCAAGCAUAAAGUCCACUAUAAAUUUUUCAUAAUUUUUGGAUACUUAUUUUGAGCUACAAAAAUCACAAGAUUAAAUAAUAAAGGCAAGUACAAUUACUCUACUAUGGUAUAAGUGUCUAACAGCAGAUUUCAUAUUUUUAUAAUUUGCUUAAUAUCAUAAGAAACACCCACAAAAAUUUCCAGAUUAAUUGCAUGAUCCAAAUAUUUAUUAAAAAUCAUAAACCACUGCCAUGCAAGCAUUUAAAUCAUCAUAAAUUCAUUCAUACACCAAAUAAUGUGUUGCAGAAUUUUCCCAGUGACUAAACAUACAUGCAGAGCUAGAAAAACAAGUUUCACAUUUUUCUGAGUCAUAUUUUAAUUACUAUGCAUUUUCCCAAUUCAGCAAAAACAUGGAUUAAUUAUUUCUGUUUAGAAAAAGUGUUCAAUCAUGACAUGCAAUUACAUCAAACUGUAGAUCUGAGAACAGAGAGCACACCAAAAUUUAUUUCACUAAUUUUGGAGCUAUAAUUCUCAAGAGAUAUGGAUUUUAGAACAUUUCAACCAUUUUCUGGAAAUCAUUUUUCUGAAAAACAAUUCAAAUCCACCCCGGAACCAGCUAGGUGCACCCGGUGCAGUGCACCCGCGGUCGCUGACGAGCGGACCCGCCUGCCAGCCGAGCCCGCUGGUCAGGACGCAGAGAGGGGAGAGCUCCGGUGAGCCGGAGCUCGCCGUCGGCGACCUCUUUCGGUGAAUCAAGUUGCCCUACACGCUCUACGGCUCAAGGCGAACCUAGCGCACUCUUUUGCGCGGCCUGAAAUGGACCGGAGCAGGCUCGCCACCGGCCAUGGCGGAGCGGUGGCACGGCUCGCCGCGGUCCGGCCACCACCCGGCGGUAGAGCGCGCGCUUACGGCCGAAAUUGGUGCGCGAGGCCAAGACGAAGCUAACGGAUCAAAAAGCGCGAGGAAUGGCAGGGUAGAGGGGGAGAACCACGGAGGCCGUAAGGUCGUCGGAGUCUCGACUCACUCCGGUGAGCUCUCCCGAGCGCACGGGACUCACCGAGCGCGGUAGGGCGCGAGCACGCGAUGCGGAAGGGCGAGGCGGAGCUGGUGGUGGUCGCGGAGAGGAAGAAGAAGGCCGGAGCUGGCCGGGAGAGAAGCUCCACGUCGUCGGCGACGAUGGCGUGCGGCGGAGUGGCGGCUGCUGCGCGCGAGCGAGCGGAGGGCGAGAGCGCGAGUGGAGGAGCGCAAAUGGCAGCGGGGGCAGCGGCGGAGGCGGCCGGGCGCUCCUGGUGGCCGACCAGGGCGCGUCGAGGCUGCCGCAUGCUCGCCACGCGGCGGCCAGGCUCUGCCGGCGCGCCACGGCGGCACGGCGCGGCCGUCCGCGCGCGCGGGCACGGCGCGGGCGCUGGCGCGGGGAAGGGGGUGAGCGGGGGCGGGCUGGGCCGGCUUCGGCCAGUGGGCCAGAAGUGAGGUCGCGGCCUGCUAGCGCCCCCCUUUUCCCUGUUCUAUUUUUUUUGAAUUUCUUUUCUUAAACUCUUUCUAAAUUCAUUUGGACCAUUUUAAAAUCAUUUUCACCUCUUUCUCCCAAAAUGAAAGUUGUUCCAAAACAAAAACCCUACAACUUUGUUUUAAUAAGCAAGACCAAAUUCCAAUUAGAAUUUGAAUUACAAAUUAAAACUAGUUCUAGGUUUUCAAAUAAAUUCAUUUUGGGGAUUUUUGUAUAAAUUCCAUUUCUCAAAUUCUAUGGCUCCAAAAAUUGCACAAAAAUAUUCUCAAUUCUUUUUGCACACAAUCCAACCUAGUUUGAAUAUUUCACAAUUUUAGAAACAAGCAUCACAUUUUUAACAUAUUUAAAUCACAUAGAAUAAAGCACAUAAAAUCACAUUUUGGAUGGAUGACAUGCUCAAAUGAUGCUAUGCUUGAUGAGAAUGCUUAUGCAUGCUUUGGUAAGAUUAAGUGCAUGCUUAACACCUAGGGUGUUACAGCCCUUCCCCCCUUAGGGAAAUCUCGUCUCGAGAUUUGAGUUACUAACCAUUUCUUAUGAAACUUUGGAUAAACUGUUUUUAGGUAAUCCUCGGUUUCCCUGGUGGCAUCCCUAUCGUCAUGAUGACUCCACACCACCUUGUAUGUUUUGACAACUCUAUUUCGGGUUACUCGUUCCUUGGUAUCUAUGACACCUACUGGCUGCUCUUUAUACUCUAAGUCUGCUUUUAUUUUGAUCCCUCGAGGUUCAAUCCUCUGCUCAGGUACUUUCAAACAUUUUCGUAGCUGGGACACAUGGAAAACUGGAAAGAUCGAACUCAACUCUUCAGGUAACUGAAUCUUAUAGGCCACAGGGCCUUUCCUCUCUAGUAUCUGAUAUGGUCCCACAUAUCUGGGUGCAAGUUUACUUCGAACUCGGAAAUGUUGGACUUUCUUCAUUGGCGUAACCUUGAGAUACACAUAGUCACCUAUAUUGAAUUCAAGUGGCCUUCUUCUCUUGUCAGCAUAAUUCUUUUGUCGUGAUUGUGCCGCUUGCAUAUGCUGUUGUAUGAUUUGCACCUUUUUCUCCGCUUCGUUCAUGAAGUCGAUACCAUAGUAUCUUCUUUCACCAGGUUCAACCCAAUUUAACGGAGUUCUACAUCUCCGACCAUACAACGCUUCGAACGGAGCCAUAUUGAUACUCUCUUGAUAGCUGUUAUUGUAUGAGAAUUCUGCCAGAGGUAACCAUGAUUCCCAUGAUCCCUUGGACGAUAGUACACAGGUUCUCAGCAUAUCCUCUAACACUUGAUUUAACCUUUUAGUUUGACCCGAGGUCUGGCGAUGAUACGCCGUGCUUCUUAUCAGACUGGUCCCCAAACCCUUAUGCAUUCGCUCCCAGAAGUGAGCGGUGAACUGUGGUCCUCUAUCUGAUAUGAUGGUCUUGGGAAUGCCAUGCAACUUGACAAUCUCAGCCAUAUAUAUAUCAGCAUACUCGGGAGGUCUGUAUGUGUUCUUAACUGGAAUGAAAUGAGCCGACUUGGUCAAUCGAUCUAUGAUUACCCAAAUCGAGUCAUUCCCCUUCCUCGUCGUUGGUAAACCUGUGAUAAAGUCCAUACUGACCUCUUCCCGUUUCCACUCUGGAACUGAUAACGGUUGCAACAGACCUGCAGGUUUCAUAUGGAUGGCCUUAACUCUGCAACACGUGUCACAACGGGCCACAUAUGCGGCUAUUUCUUUCUUCAUUUUGGUCCACCAAAAGUGGGGUCUUAGGUCUUGAUACAUUUUACUACUGGCAGGGUGAAUAGAAAGCUUGGAGAGAUGGGCCUCAUCCAUGAUGCGAUCCUUCAAUUCUCGAUACUUCGGAACUACUAACCGAUGUUGAAACCACAGUACCCCUUGCUCAUCAACUCGAAAUUGAGUUUUUGGGUCAUCCUUGAUCUUCUCUUUGAUGUGGAAAAUACCCUUGUCUGUUUUUUGACCUUCAAUGACUUGACUCUCAAGUGAACAACUGAGCUGUAUGUGACAUAAGACUUCAGGAUACAUGAGAUUGAAACCAUCUUCAAACAACGGUUGAACCACUUGAUAGUGCGGUUUACGACUCAAAGCGUCUGCUACUACAUUAGCUUUGCCUGGAUGAUAGUGAACCUCAAGGUCAUAGUCUUUGAUCAACUCUAACCAUCGUCGUUGCCUCAUAUUCAGCUCGGACUGAGUGAAGAUAUACUUCAAACUCUUAUGAUCGGUAUAGAUAUGACACUUAUUUCCCAGCAAAUAGUGUCUUCAGAUCUUCAAAGCGUGCACUACUGCUGCUAACUCAAGGUCGUGAGUUGGGUAGUUGACUUUGUGCUUUCUCAACUGUCGUGAAGCAUAAGCUAUCACUCUGCCAUCUUGCAUCAACACACACCCCAAGCCACUUUUCAAUGCGUCGCAAAACACAUCAAAAGGCUUCUCGAUAUUGGGUUGCGCCAGAACUGGAGCGGUGGUUAGCAACUUUCGCAAGGUGCGGAAGGCUAGCUCACACCCCUCCGUCCAGACAAACUUAUGAUCUUUUUGUAGCAAACUAGUCAUAGGCUUAGCAAUCUUGGAGAAGUCGGGUAUAAAACGAUGAUAAUACCCGGCCAGACCAAGAAAACUUCUAACUUCCGAAACAGAAGUUGGUGCCUUCCAGUCCAUGACUUCCUGCACUUUCGACGGAUCAACGGCGAUCCCUUCUUCAGAUAAAAUGUGCCCUAGAAAAGGAACCUUCUUCAACCAGAACUCACACUUGCUGAACUUUGCAUACAACUGAUGCUCUCGUAAUCGUGUUAGCACAAUUCUCAGAUGCUCGGCGUGAUCUUGUUCAUUUUCUGAACAAAUCAGGAUAUCAUCGAUAAACACUACAACAAACUUAUCUAACUCUGGCAUAAAGACUGAAUUCAUCAGAUACAUGAAGUAUGCAAGAGCAUUCGUCAACCCAAAGGACAUGACUAGAUACUCAUACAACCCAUAUCUGGUGGAAAAAGCAGUCUUCAGGAUAUCUUGCAGACGAAUCUUGAUUUGGUGAUACCCGGACCUCAGAUCUAUCUUGGAAAACACUUUUGCCUUGGACAACUGAUCAAAUAAGAUAUCAAUUCUUGGCAAAGGAUACUUAUUCUUGAUUGUCACUGCAUUGAGUGGACGAUAGUCCACGCACAUGCGCAAUGACUGAUCCUUCUUCUUCACAAACAACGCCGGACAACCCCAUUCUGAUGAGCUUGGCCAGAUGAACCCUUUAUCCAGUAACUCCUUUAGUAGAUUCUUCAACUCCGUGAGUUCAUUUGGCGGCAUUCGGUACGGCCUUCUGGAUAUCGGUGUUGUACCUGGUAUCAACUCGAUUGCAAACUCUACCUCCCUGUCUGGGGGAAGUCCUGGUAAUUCCUCGGGAAAAACAUCAGGGAACUCACAGACUACUGGGAUCUGUGGUAAUGGAACCACAUGCGUAGCACAAGAGAUGCUAGCAAAGUCAAGGCGAUGGGGCAGAGGUACUUGAAAAGAGCUACUGCCUUGGGGUUCUCUGAGAGAUAACAUCCUCUUCCCAGUAUCUAUGACAGCAUCCCAUUCUCUCAUCCAAUUCAUGCCCAUGAUAACAUCCAAAACUAACCUCGGCAUGACUACUAAAUUCACUCGAAACACCCGGCCACUUAUAUCCAGGGUUGCCCCUCGAUCCACUCUAUUUGUUAACACAUCUGCCCCUGCUGAGCUGAUGCGAUAGCCAUAACCUAGAUCUGUAACUGGUUGAUCAUGCUUUUGUGCAAAUGCUUGGCUCAUCAAUGAAUGCGAUGAUCCAGAAUCAAACAAAACAACUGCAAGAUGUUGGUUGACAGGAAACAUAACAGCUGUUACCGGUUCUCCCUCCGGAAUCUCCUCGAUCGAUGUAUGGUGCACACGAGCUGGAUAGGUUGGCUGUUGCCUCUUGGGGUAGGGACAUUCCUUAGCAAAGUGCCCCAUCUUGUGGCAGUUGUAGCACAGACCCUUGGUCGUAUUGUUGGCGGCAGGUGCCGCAGCUUGAAUUGCGUUUGGCUUGGCAGGAGCUAUCGCCACCUUGUACGGCUUCUGCUGCGUUGGAUGCCCGGUGUUCCUUCUCUGCGGUGGUCGAAACCUAGCACCCGGGGCAGGAGGACGAUAGUGCUGUCGCCCUGCCACUAGUGCCCUGAACUAUAGCUGGAUGCACUAUAGCUGUUGUUGAUGCAAAACUAAUCUGCAAACACAAAGGGCUAAUACCCGAUUCAAACGUUAAGGCGUGCCAGCCAAUUUGACCUUACUAUCGGCAAAGGUGAUAACUCGAAUACUUUAGUCCUGACAACAGCGAUGCGCCCGGAUGUCACGGCUAAGAGGUACUCACGCGGAACUCGAGAACGCGCCGAGCUUAAGUCGACGAAUUCCUAAGAACUCGUAGUAAAAGAGAAAAAGUAUGACGAAGUCGUCGAAAAGUAGAUGCUGAAAUAUAUGAGUAAAACGUGUGUUUGAUUGAUUGAUAGAUGUCUCAUUACAAGGCCCUAGGGUUCAUAUUUAUACCCUGCUCAAAGAGCUACAACUAAACACGACUAGAAUUCGAAUUCCAAAUUACACGGAAUCAAAGAGCUACAACUAAACACGACUAGAAUUCGAAUUCCAAAUUACACGGAAUCCGUAUACAAAACGACUUAAACAAAUAAGGAAAUAACAAAGCUAUCUCCCGUGACGAACUAAAAUUCUUCCAUAAACCGAUCAGCAGUUUCCGGACCCCUCCUCCGUAUCAUCGGCAGACUCCUUGCCAUAGUUAUCGGCAGACUCCCCUAUCGGCAUAAACACAUCACUGCCUGCAGACUUAGUCACAUCCGACCUCUCCUUCAUCAGCAACCAUCCUCAUCGGCAAUUCAUCUUGUAAAUAGCAUACUGCCACUUUAUCCUGCCAUCCUGGACACGUGCCCAAAAAACGGUGUCAACACAUGCCCCCCCAAUUUCGGAGUAUAAAACUAUUAAUGCUCCGAAAUUCUCUGCAGUAAUGAUGCCUUCUUCCCACAAUUAAUGCUCCUAAUCUGGUAACCGACAACCUCAAUCUAAACAACUCUUAUUCUAUUCUCCCGCAGAUUCCUCGAAAUCUCCAACUUCCUAAACAGGCACUUCUCUCUCAACCGUACAUCGGCAAUAAUACCGUUACAAAGAUCUGCCGAUAUACUGACCAGGACGUUCGUACAAACGGCUACUUCCCCUUUAUUCGCCCAUCGGCAAUAUGACCGUUAUAGAACUCUGCCGAUGGACCGACCAGGAGAUCUUGCACAGUAAAAUAUCUUCAGAUAAUGACCGCUUCCCGUCAAAUCAUCUGCGCAAUCCCUUGAUUACCGUGCGAACAGUUACCAUAUCCACCUGAGUACCCUCGGAUUUCUCGGAGGCGGCAAAGAGAUAAGUCAGAUUUGCCCUUGCCCAUUUUGUCCUAUAAAUAGUUCCUUCUCGGGUACUCCUUCCCCAUCACAUCAUUCCACCACCCAACUUUACUUUUCCAGCGGCGGCGCCAUCCGAAACUCCCAAGACCUCCGCCAAGCACUCCUCUUCAUCAACUCCGGUGCCUUCAAACACUCUCUUCGCAGCAAGAUGGCCAUUGGCUUCGUCGUUCCUGAGGUCAGAUCUCCAUCUCGUUUCCUAUAUAUUUUUUCUCGUAUCCCUGUUCAUCCGUAAUUCAUUUUACUGAGUAUCUUCCUUUUCCUCUUUCUUUUGUGUUUCCUUUACAUCCAAAACCACUAGGAAUUGUCCAACAAAAUUGUCAUCCCCACCGAUCAACCACACCUUCAAUGCCUCGGCCCUCUAGGGGACCCAGAUCCAACCGACCUUAUCAACGCAGAAACCAAUAGGAUCCCCUUUAGAGCUGAAAAUUUUUCUUUAGAUCUGUGGAAAGACACCUUCCGCUCUUGGCCCAGCCAUACCAUAGGGUGGAAAGACUGGUUCUUAAGGGUCAGCAAUUCUUAUGAAGUCCAGUGGGGUGAAAGGAAGCUAGCUCAAUGCAUCAGGCUAUCUAUCGCCGAUAUGCACAGGAACGAAUCGCUGUUGAUAGCUGCGUCUCAUUUUUGGUCAGAUACCCUUAAUGCCUUUGUCUUUGGCCAUGGUCCUGUUUCUCCCACUCUUGCCGAUGUAGCUAUGCUCACUGGUCUGGACGUGUCUUCUGCCGAUAGCACCCACUUCUUUGAUGUCGCUCCUAGUGCCAAAGUGGAGACUCGCGCUAUCGGGGGUUGGUCAGGGUACAUUCAGAAGUACCGUGGGAAGGGGCCUGUCACCAUAAAGGAACAAACCAACUUUCUGAACAUGUGGCUGGACAAGUUUGUAUUCUGUGGUCGAUCGGCAGGACCGACUUCUGUCUAUCUAUCAGCAGCAGAGAGACUGGCUAACGGUGGCCAAUUUCCUCUCGGCCGAUACUUGCUUGGUGCUGCUUACCAUCUUCUCCAUCAGGUAGCACAGAAACUCCUGCUUGGUCAGUCUAUCGGCAAUUUGGGAGGCCCCUGGUGGUUUAUUAACAUGUGGCUCAAUCUACAUUUGCAUAGACGCCUUGACUUCAACUUGUUCACACAGCAUUUCCCAAGAGAUAUAGCCGAAAAUCAUGUGUUGGGCGAAGAGGAAUCGGCAACACGUGCCCCCCUGAACUUUGGCGAAGCUGCCAUAGUUCUACAUGGUUCAGGGAGUAAUCUGGAUCAGAUCGGCCGAUUCUUCCAGACUCUGUAUGAGGGUUUGGCCAGAGAUGAACGACCAUGGUUGGCUUAUGAUGACCCAGACAGUAUGCUCCCUCUAACCUUCAAUCCAUUUGAUGAAGCUCUUGACAGGGAUAAUGAGGUGAUGAUGGCAAUUGUGACUCCCAGAGCCAUACCAGUGAAAUUCUUUGGCAACACAAAAACCUCUCCCCAAACCUAUGAAUUUUACAAUCCAUCGGCAUUAGCUCGUCAGCUAGCUUUCGGCCAGUUGCCGAUUGCACUCCCUUAUGCCGAUGUGAUAAAACCGAGAGAACCCAUCACCAACUUUCUUGAGUGGAUUCGGGUAGCCCAACUACCACCAAAUGCCGAUACAGAUGUAGAUCUGUCAGAAUGGGUUCCAGCUGCCUUUAUUACUCAGCCAUACAAGUUAUGGUGGGCAGAAUGGAAAGAGCAUCUAUUCUGCAGAUCGGCCCUCUCAUACCGCGGCAUGAUCGACCCCGAAUACGAAGUCCCCGAUGACACCGUAAGUAUUUCAAACCGAUGCUUCAUUUUUUCAAUACUAUUUCCAUCGGUAGCUUACCCUUGUAUUCCUUUUGCAGGUUGACAACAUCCCCCCAUCGGUCAGCAAGAGUGGCAAGCCGAUCGACUUGUUUCCAUCAGGCCCGAUCUCCUCAAUCGGCCACAAUGCUCCCACUCUGGCUUCCGUCGUGCAUCGGGGUGUGCGCCUCAGGAAAGUCACCACCAAGAGAACUCAGACAUCCCCCACGGUAGCUGCUUCCGCUCUGGCGCAGGCUUUCAAGGCAAUUUGUCAAAUCUUUCUCUUUUAUACUGACCAUUUUUAUAUCGGCUAUAUCUGUGCUUAUAAACCCCUUUUCGUUGUUGCAGCAAACCGGUGCAUCGGCAAAAGCCAAGCGUCAAAGUGCCGAUGCCCCCCAGUCUAGCCAGUCAAAGAGAAAGGGCACCAAAGGUGCUAAGGCUGGAACAAAGUGCCAGAAAGUGGCAACUCCCCCUCCUCCUCCGGUAUCUCCAAUUCCGGUAGAGUCUUCUCCUUCUUCUCCAGAAAUCCAGACACAGCAAGCACCGUCUCCCCAACCAAUACAGGAAGCACCACAGACGGAAGAACUUCAGCAAGAAGAACCUCAAUUAGAAGCACCCCAAUCAGAAGAUGUGUCGGCCGACGUAGGCGAUCAAACUACCGAUCCAACAGGCUCAAUCAUACUAUUGGUAGUUUCCUCACUUCAGACAGGUAUUAUCCCUCCUCAAGGUAACGUACUCUCCUCAAAAUUACUGUCGAUGAGCUUUUUUCUUUUCGAUCUUGUAACCUUUUCUGUUAACUUUCAGCUGACAUUGUUCCAUCGGCAACACUUGCCGAUCAACCUGUAGCUCCAUCGGUAUCCUUGGCCGAUCAACCUGCAGUUUCAUCAGCACUUCCCAGUCAAAGGCAAGAGAUCGCCUUGAAGCAAGUAAGUCAUCCAAUUUUCCACUAAUAUCGUCUGCCGAAGCUUUGACCAUAAAAAUGACUUAUUUCAUUCUCACUUUUAGGAACAAGAUUCUCCUGACAGCUUAUUCUCCUUCGCCAUCGAUAUCUCCGAAGAAGAAGGUGAGGAAGCAAGUUCCUCUCGGGCAGUUGGGACUGUAUCGACAGAAACCAGGGCUAAGCUGGAAGAGCUAUCAGCCAUACUUCAUCAAGACACAGCUCAACUGGUCAACGAUUCUGACCCAGCCAAGGCCCUGUUCAAGACCCUUAGAGGCCAAAUUCCUGCCGAUGCUGAAGAAACCCUCUUCCAGGCUGCACACCUAGAAAGCCGCCAGCUACAGUACCAGAGAGCCACUCGACGCCUUGCCGAUAGAGCUGCUCAAGUCCAGCUUUCUGAGGAGAUGAUGAAAGAAAAACUCUUAGCCGAUGAGAAGCACAAGAAUAUCGACACUUUAAAGUCCUCGGGUGACGCACUGAAGAUCGGCAAAAAGGGAAGCCCUGCUGGCUGAACUCAAGCAAGUAGAGGAUGCUCUGUCUCAGGCCCAGCAAGAAGAGAGCCAACUGCCGGAGACCAUCAAGCACCUCGAGCAAGAACAGAAUGCCCACGGUCGCAAAGCGCUGCAGUUGAAGAAGAAGCUGAAGCCGAUAGAAGGUUCUGCCGAUGAUGAUACCAAAGAGAUAGAAACAGCCAAUCAGAUCCGGCUGCGCGCCAUAUCGGCAAUCCAAGCGCUGCUGAACAUCUGAAGCUCUCAUCGGCAACACACCUUUGCUCUUCUGCAUUAAUGUCUUAGUCUAGCCGAUAGGACUGUUAUCGGCAUCUUUUGAAACAUUAAGUCCAUCCCCAGAUACACUUUAAUCCAGCCGAUAGGAGUGUUAUCGGCAUUUAAACUUUUAUGCAUCGACCCAUAUGCUGGGGUAGUACUUCUUUAAAUAUUUGCCAUUUAAUGCUCUGGGAAAUUCAACUCCUUCGAGAGUUUCUAGAAUAUAGGCAUUACCAGGAGCCGAUCGACUUAUCCGAUAAGGACCUUCCCAACUAGGAGACCACUUUCCAAACUUCGCACUUUUAGUCCCAACUGGCAAAAUUAAUUUCCAUACCAAAUCCCCAUCGGCAAACUCCUUAGCCUUCACUUUCUUAUCAUACCAUCUAGCAACUCUCUUCUUAUUUUCUUCUAUACUCAUUAAAGCUUUUAACCGAUGCCCUGCUAGAUCAUCCAACUCAUCGGUCAUCAAAGUAGCAUAAUCAUCGGCGGUUAACUGAUCUUGAAAAGAUAAUCGCCUGGAUCCGGCCUUAAUCUCCCAAGGCAAUACCGCAUCAUGUCCAUACACCAAUUGAUAGGGUGACACCUUGGUUGAUCCAUGACAAGCCAUCCGAUAAGACCACAGUGCUUCAUUUAACAAUGUAUGCCACCGCUUAGGAUUUUCUUCAACCUUUCGUUUAAUAAGCUUGAUAAUUCCUUUGUUAGAUGCCUCGGCCUGCCCAUUGGCUUGAGCAUAAUAAGGAGAAGAAUUCAACACUUUAAUUCUCAUACCGAUUGCGAAUUCAUCAAACUCCCCCGAUGUGAACAUAGUACCCUGAUCGGUAGUAAUCGUUUGAGGAAUCCCAAAUCGGUAAAUAAUGUGUUCCUUCACAAAAUCAAUCAUAUUGGCCGAGGUGACCUUCUUUAAAUGAAUAGCUUCAACCCAUUUAGUGAAAUAAUCAGUGGCAACCAAAAUAAACUUAUGCCCCUUACUAGAUGGUGGAUAAAUCUGCCGAUCAGAUCGAUAGCCCAUCCCCGGAACAGCCAAGGCUUUAUGAUAGGAUUCAUAGCCGACGUGGGUGCUCUUUGAAUGUUACCAAACUUUUGACAACCUUGACACCCCUUGAAAUAUUUAAAGCAAUCCUCAAGUAUGGUCGGCCAAAAAUAUCCGUUCCUUCGAAUCAUCCACUUCAUCUUAAAAGCUAACUGAUGUGCCCCACACACUCCUUCGUGGAUUUCUCCCAUCAAACUUCUAGCUUCAUCAUCACCUAAGCAUUGGAGAAGAAUUCCAUCAAUAGUUCGAUAAUACAAUUCAUCUUUGAGGAGCACAUAUUUGGUUGCUUGAAACCGAACUCGUCUUUCAACUUUCUUAGAUGGAUCUUUUAGAUAAUCAAUAAUUUCCUUCCUCCAAUCAUCAGCACCAAUUGCCGAUAUUGCAUUAAUCAUAGGCUGAUAUCCUGAGGCAUGCUGAGCUAACCGAUUGGCGUCUUCAUUAUGCAAUCGGGGAACAUGCUCUAAUAGGAAAUCCUUGAAUUCCUUUAACUGUUGCAUGCUUUUCUCGAAAUAAGUUAUGAGAACUUCACUUCGGCAUUCAUAGCUUCCGGCCAAUUGAUUUUUAACUAACAUAGAAUCCCCGAAGAUUUCAACAGCAUCAGCACAAACUUCUCUUAACAACUCCAAUCCCUUGAUCAGAGCCUGAUACUCAGCCUGAUUAUUUGUUGAUGUAGCAACAAUCGGCAAGGAAAACUCAUACUUCCUCCCCUUAGGGGAAACUAAUACAAUGCUGAUUCCUGCCCCCCGGUCACAGGUAGAUCCAUCAAAGAAAAGCGUCCAGGGUACAAUUUCCAAGGCUUCCACUACACCGCAAUGCUGAGUCACGAGAUUGGCCAUAAUCUGCCCUUUGACUGCCUUGGCCGAUUCGUAACGCAGAUCGAACUUCGACAGCGCUAAAAUCCAUUUACCGAUCCUGCCACUCAUAAUCGGCAUGGAUAGCAUGUACCGGACCACGUCGUCCUUGCAAACAAUAGUGCAUUCGGCCGAUAGCAGGUAAUGCCUCAGUUUGAUACACGAAAAAUACAAGCAUAGGCAUAAUUUCUCGAUGGCCGAAUACCUGGUUUCAGCAUCAAUCAGCCUCCUACUCAAGUAGUAAAUUACCCUCUCUUUCCCUUCAAAUUCUUGAACCAAAGCUGAACCGAUAACCGUCCCAUCGGUAGACAAAUACAAUCUGAAGGGCUUUCCUUGUUGAGGUGGAACUAGAACUUGAGGAUUCACUAGAUAUUUCUUGAUUUCAUCCAAAGCCAACUGCUGCUCUUUUCCCCAAAUAAAUUCUUGAUCGGCUUUCAAUUUAAGAAGAGGACUGAAAGCAUGAAUCUUACCGGACAGAUUGGAUAUAAAUCUCCUGAUAAAAUUUACCUUGCCGAUCAAAGACUGGAGCUUAGUCUUGUUGGUAGGGGCCACUAUCUUAUUGAUAGCAUCAAUAGAUCUUCGACUAAUUUCAAUCCCCCUUUGAUGUACCAUGAAACCAAGAAACUGCCCUGCCGAUACACCAAAUGCACACUUAUUGGGAUUCAUUUUCAAUCCAUGCUUCCUUGUGCACUCUAACACUUUUUGUAAAUCGGCAAGAUGCUUUGGGAAAUCCCCAGACUUAAUCACCACAUCAUCAAUAUAGAUCUCCACCAACUUGCCGAUGAACUCAUGAAAUAUAAAAUUCAUGGCCCUUUGAUAAGUAGCACCAGCAUUCUUCAGCCCAAAGGUCAUGACUAUCCAUUCAAAUAACCCAACAUGACCAGGACACCUGAAUGCGGUUUUUUGAAUAUCUUCCUCUGCCAUGAAUAUUUGAUUGUAUCCCGCAUUACCAUCCAUAAAGCUAAUGAUCCGGUGACCAGCCGCAGCGUCAACCAGUAGAUCGGCAAUAGGCAUUGGGUAUCCAUCCAUCGGCGUAGCUUUAUUGAGAUUCCUGAAAUCAAUGCAUACCCGAAGCUUCCCGUUUUUCUUGUAAACCGGAACGACAUUGGAAAUCCACUCGGCAUACCGACACUGCCGAAUAAACUUAGCUUCAAUGAGUUUGGUGAUUUCGGCCUUAAUAUCAGGUAGAAUGUUAGGAUUACAUCGGCGAGCUGGUUGCUGAUGUGGCCGAAAUCCAAGCUUGAUGGGUAACCGAUGUUCAACAAUUGAUCGGUCCAAACCAGGCAUCUCGGUAUAAUCCCAAGCAAAGAAAUCUUUAUAUUCCUUUAACAAAUCAGUUAAUUGUUGCUUACACUCAGGAUCUAAUUUAGCACUAAUAAAAGUAGGUCUAGGCUUAUCACCACUACCUAUAUCUACUUCUACCAAAUCAUCGGCCGAUGUGAAUCCCUGGCCUAAUUUUCCAUCAUCGGCGAAUCUAUCCAUUAAAAACCGUCGUCAGAACCGACUGCUUGGAUCGGUGGAAUCUCGUAAUCGGCAACUUUGAGAAAAUCCUUCUCCCAAACUUCCCCUGAAAUGCACCUAGUCCUCUCAUAGGUAUCCGCCUCUGCCGAUGCAACAACAUAAGAAGAAUCUCCUGGGACAAUCUCAAUCUUGUCGCCUACCCACUGAACCAAGCAUUGGUGCAUUGUAGACGGGAUGCAACAAUUGGCAUGAAUCCAAUCUCUUCCCAACAAUAAGUUGUAAGCACCCUUUCCACUGAUCACGAAGAAAGUUGUCGGCAAGGUUUUGCUGUCGAUGGUCAACUCCACACAUAUUGCUCCCUUGACUAGAGACACGUUUCCUUCAAAGUCCUUGAGCAUCAUAUAGGUCUUGGUCAAAUCUUGAUCCCCUUUCCCAAGCUUCCGAUAUAUUGUAUAUGGCAUAAUAUUAAUAGCAGCUCCACCAUCAACUAGGAUCUUGGUCAUUGGCUGCCCAUCAACCCUUCCUCUGACGAACAGAGCUUUUAGAUGCUGCCUUUCAUCAUCAGCAGGUUUCUCAAAGAUAGCUGUCAUAGGAUCCAGAGCCAGCUGAGCUAUCUGAUCGGAAAACUCUAACUCAUCAUCACCGGAUGGUGCAAGAAACUCCAUCGGCAACAUAAAGACCAUGUUGACUCCUGCCGAUGGACCUUCCCUCUUAGUGUCUGAUGGCUGCUGACUUCCAGAGUUCUCGCCUUUGCUUAGCCCCUCUUGCCUCUCACGUUGCAAUCUCCUUUUCUGUGUCUUGGUUAACCCUUCAGGACACCAUGGAGGGAGUGGUUUUUGCCUUGCUGUCGGGUAUCGGUUCUCCCUUGACUCCAUACGAUGCGUGUUAGCAUCUCUGCAAAAUAUAAACUCAUCGGGAGCUCGCGCAUUAGCCAUCUCCUCGAGCUCUUCCUGGUUCCUGGGAAAAUAUUGGACACGAUCACCAAGCCUAUCAUGCACGCUAAGCCUGCCCCCCAGCCGAUCAUGAACUGACGCCCUUCCUCUAAUUGGCCCAUUAAAUCGCCGAUCAUCAUCAUGAUAACGCCGAUCGGUCCUGUCAUACCGAUCAUAGCCAUUGCACUCAGGGCAGUCUCUGACGGUGGGAAGCUUAAUAUUUUCCUCCCAACAAUGGAUGAAGAACGGACAGUUCCAGUGAUCUCUAUGCCGAUUCCACUCCUGUCGGCGUCUGUCUUCUUCCCGACGAUAAUCUUCUUGCUGGCGCCGAUACCGAUCUUCCCGUUGUUGCUAGUUCUCUCGAGGCCUCCUAUGAGUUAUAACGAUGCCAGACCGAGGAGGCCUACCCGAAUUAGUCCCUUCCUGGACCAAGCCUUUACCCUUUGCAUCGGCAGUAGUAAUCUGAUGUUGAGGAUCUACCGAUGCACUUUUCCCAGCUGCUUCCGACGUUAAGACCCUAGCCUUCCCCUUUGCAUCCAACAUGUUUGUCGGGAAAGGAUGUUGGUCUAUCUUCAUCGGCUUCUGAACCUUGGAACUAUCAAAUUAAAUUCUCCCAGACUCUAUUGCCGAUUGUAGCUGCUGUCUGAAUACUUUGCACUCGUUGGUGUCAUGGGAAGUUGCAUUAUGCCACUUGCAAUAUUUCAUCCUCUUUAACUCCUCAGCCGAUGGGAUAACGUGAUUAGGAGACAGCUCGAUCUGACCUUCCUGAAGUAGAAAGUCAAAUAUCCUAUCGGCCUUAGCGGUGUCAAAAGCGAACUUCUCUGGUUCCUUUUGCCCAAAAGGGCAAGACAUCGGCUUCUUGUUUUUCACCCAUUCUGCCAAGCCAAUGACUGGUUCUUCAUCAGAAUCUGAGCUUGUCGCUUCAUCGACAAAUGACACUUUCUUAUUCCAUGCUCUUUUGGGCUCGAAAGGUUUGAUGUCUUGAUCAGAAAUCCUCUGCACCAAAUGACUUAAACUUUCGAACUCCUGAGAAGCAUACUUAUCCCUGAUAUGUGGCAAUAAACCUUGGAAAGCCAAAUCGGCUAGCUGCCGAUCAUCCAGAACCAGACUGUAACAUUUAUUUUUGACCUCCCGUAUCCUCUGCACAAAACCCUCGACCGAUUCAUCAUUGCGUUGUCUCAAUUUGACCAAAUCGGUGAUCUUCUUCUCAUGAACUCCAGAAAAGAAGUACUUGUGGAAUUCUUUCUCCAGAUCGGCCCAAGUGAUCACUGAAUUAGGAGGUAAUGAUAUGAACCAGGUAAAGGCCGAUCCAGACAAUGACGAUGAAAAUAGACGAACCCUCAAUUCGUCCCUGUUACCAGCUUCUCCGCAUUGAAUGAUGAACCUGUUGACAUGCUCCAUAGUGGACGUGUCGUCUUGCCCGAAAAACUUAGUAAAGUCUGGCACCUUAUACCGAUGUGGAAGCGGGAUCAAAUCAUAUGCGAGAGGAUACGGUGUCCGAUAAGAGUAAGUAUUGACCUUGGGUUUUAUUCUAAAUUGAUCCCUCAUUACUUCAGCGAUCUUAUCGGCCCAAUAUGCAUCGGCAUCCUGCCGAUUAGGCGGCUGUGGGUCCGGCACCUGGUGGCGAGCCUCCACGUGUCUGUUUGGGGCAUGAUCUGCACGGAACAUUGGGUUGAUCAUCUGGCCUCCAAUCUGUGGACCACCGAACUGCUGUCCACCGAUUUGCUGCUCCCCGAGUUGCUGUCCGAGAUUCAUUGGCUGGUUGGGGAUCCCCUGAUUCUAAAACCCAGGAUAGAUCUAUCCUUGCUGGAACCCUGUAGCCUGAUAACUCUGCUGGGGCGAUUGUGGAAAGACUUGCUGUCCAAGCCACCCAUUAUUAGCGUUCAUCGGCAUAGGCGCUGCCGAUGAUUGGUAAUUAGGUACCAUCAUUGAAUUGACAUACCCCGACUGGGCCAUAGACCUCUGUUGCGUCAGCAUUGAAUCUGCCGGUGCAUUAGGCAUCUGAAACAUCGAAGCUUGAGGAUUCCCAGUGUGAGGCCUUGCAGUAGUAGUUGUGGUAUACCGAGGACUUUGAUUCCACGGCGCAUUGGGAGGCGCCGAUGCCAUAGUAGCCUUGCCCCUCGUGUCAGUUAUCUGUGAUGUACCCGGUGUUAAUUCUGGAGGCAUACCGUAACCCCACCAGUUGGGAGGAAGAGUCAACCCUGACAUUGCCGAUGCCAACAUAUCUGUUGUCAGUUUAUUCUGCCCACUUGAAGUCUGUGGGUUGGUUGUCAUCGGCACAGAUAGUGCACCAGUAGUUCCCGAUGUACUUGGAGGGACGGCAGAUUGUGCACUUGCAGCCGUCAAAGCAGCCGAUGGAGCCGUAACCUCUGGUGCCGUUGGCUGAUGAUGAGAGGGGCCCACAUAAUCUGGUGGGAUUUGUCCUUCCUUGAAAGUUCUUGCCACGGCAUUGAAAACCGUAUUGGACAGUACACCAGCUUGGUUGAUCAAAGCUCGGUUGAUAGCACUUUCAACCAUAUCUUGAAGCUUGCCAGGAUUGGCUUCGAAGGUAACCUGCCGUGGUGCCGGCAGCGCAUCUUUCUGGAUCACCUCGCCGCUCCUGUUCAUGCUGAAAGACCUCAGGCAUUGCAGCUUGAAUUCUUCCAUGGCUUGGGCAAUAGCUUGCUUCUGCUCAUCCUUGAGAUUGGCCUCCGUCACGGGGAUGACGUUCUCUUGAUCAAAGUCAGAGAUCGACAUGUUGAUCUUAAUCUUGAAUCUGGUCCCACUGGGCGUGCCAAAAGAUGUGUUGAUGCAAAACUAAUCUGCAAACACAAAGGGCUAAUACCCGAUUCAAACGUUAAGGCGUGCCAGCCGAUUUGACCUUACUAUAGGCAAAGGUGAUAACUCGAAUACUUUAGUCCUGACAACAGCGAUGCGCCCGGAUGUAACGGCUAAGAGGUACUCACGCGGAACUCGAGAACGCGCCGAGCUUAAGUCGACGAAUUCCUAAGAACUCGUAGUAAAAGAGAAAAAGUAUGACGAAGUCGUCGAAAAGUAGAUGCUGAAAUAUAUGAGUAAAAUGUGUGUUUGAUUGAUUGAUAGAUGUCUCAUUACAAGGCCCUAGGGUUCAUAUUUAUACCCUGCUCAAAGAGCUACAACUAAACACGACUAGAAUUCGAAUUCCAAAUUACACGGAAUCAAAGAGCUACAACUAAACACGACUAGAAUUCGAAUUCCAAAUUACACGGAAUCCGUAUACAAAACGACUUAAACAAAUAAGGAAAUAACAAAGCUAUCUCCCGUGACGAACUAAAAUUCUUCCAUAAACCGAUCAGCAGUUUCCGGACCCCUCCUCCGUAUCAUCGGCAGACUCCUUGCCAUAGUUAUCGGCAGACUCCCCUAUCGGCAUAAACACAUCACUGCCUGCAGACUUAGUCACAUCUGACCUCUCCUUCAUCGGCAACCAUCCUCAUCGGCAAUUCAUCUUGUAAAUAGCAUACUGCCACUUUAUCCUGCCAUCCUGGACACGUGCCCAAAAAACGGUGUCAACAGCUGUUGUUAUUGUUCUCCUGGGUCAGACAGUCACUGAUAUAAGCAUUGAAGGUAGCCUUGGCUCCUGUAGCCAUGGUCUUCAACAUCUUUGGGUUCAAGCCUCUCUAGAAACUAGCAAUCUUCUUGGCCUCCGUGUUCACAAACUCAGGGGCGUAGCGAGCGAGAUUGUUAAAAGCGUGUAGAUACUCCUUUACAGACUUUGUCCCCUGAGACAGCCACAUGAAUUCCCCAACCUUCAUUUCAACCACACCCGGAGGAAUGUAAUUUCCCCAAAAAGCGGUGGUGAAGCGGUUCUAGGUGAUUGGGGUCCCCUCAGGGUAGGUAAUGGGACCACCAAAUCCCAGCGGGUCCCUGCAACUGGUGUGCCGCAUGCUCAGCCUUAAGUUCUUCUAUCAUCCGAAGAAGACGAAACUUCUGCCUCAUGGUGUUGAUCCACUCAUCCGCCUCGAGCGGUUCCAAUGCCUCCUUGAAGACAGGUGGCUUGGUAUCCAUGAAGUCUUUGAAAGAGCUAUACUGGUUGACUUCAUGACCGCCUUGGUUAUCCCCACGACGGGUGUUGUCCGCUAUGUUGCGCAGGGCUUCUUCCAUAUUGCGCUGCAUCUGCUCCAUGUUGUGUUGGCUCCCCAGAAACUGUGCUAAAAACACGUCUGCAGUGUACGGAGGAGGCAGUGGUGGUGGCGGUGAUGGUGCUCUUUCCUCGUUCCGUUGAGCCCCACCUCCGGAGGCACCUGCUCCAAGACUGGGGUUACUGUUACCCCUACCACGUGUUUGCACCAUCUGCAUACGUCAAUGAUAAGCAAUCGUUAGGAGUUGCCAUCAACGGUAGACAUGUGUAGAAUCAUGCCGUACUGAAUUUACUGAGGAAAUAAAUUCGCACAAUAAACAGAGGCACAACAAUUCAUCAUCCACAUACAACAUCACUAACAGAUUACUUAACAUUCAAGCAACAAGGUGCGCAUACAUCCAAACUUGCCAGCAUACAUACACUGGACUUUCAGCAUCAUCUCACAAAGUUUUACAUGGCCCAGAUCCAAAAGUACAAGACAUGCCAUGCAACAACAACAACAAAAGAAGAAGGACUAGCUCUAGAGCCCUAGCAUCUACUCGUUAUGGUCACUGUCCAUGCCGGAGCCCUCCUCGUCCUCAUCUCCACUAGCAGCUGCCCCUAUCUCGGGAUCCUCAUCCAUUUCGUCCUUAGAGUCUAACUCAGCUGCUCCAGGCAGGUGGUGAGGGUGGAGCUGGUUAUGCAGCUGGUGGAUCUCCUCAUGCAAGUUCUCAUUGUACUCCUCAGCAUUAGCUAGCUGCUGCUCAAGCUCUAGCUGUCGGGCACUCAAAGUGUCCUCCUCGUGCCAGGCUUCAUUCCUCUGACCAAGCACAUGGACUAGCAUGCGCUCGCAGUUCCUGUGAGCAGUAGUCACCCUGUCUCUCUGCUCUCGCAUUGCAAGCAAGUCCUGGCUCAGCUCACUGUUCUUCUGGACCGCCUGGUCCCUCUCUUGGGUCACGCGGGCCAACUCUGCCUGCAGCCUCUCAACCUCAGUGUCGAACUCACGCUGCAGCUGGUGCUUCUCAUCCUGGACAGUGAGAAGAAACCCAGAUAAGCGCCCCAAACAGCGUUCCAGGCCUCCAUAGGUCUUCAUCAAAGCGUACAUAGCACUCAUAGCUGUGCUGUCACUGUGCUGAUCCUCAUCCGCACUCCUCUCUAGAGCAUUCACCUCAGACUGAUCCCACACCGAAGUGUAGGGGUCACCCCGGGGAAACACCCCAGCGAAGGCGUGGGCCAGCUCCUGUGGAAACCUCUCCAUGAGGUCCCUCAGAACUGCGAAAGCUGCCCUACUGGCACCGUGGAAAGGUGUGGUACCUCGGGACUCGUACACCCAACCGCCCCAGGCGGGGUCACCUCCACUGGUAGGGACCACUGCCUCGAUCCCCACCAGGGUCCAGUCACCAAGCUGCUCCUUAUCCCAAUAGUAGCGAGGCUCCCUUCCUUUGGGAUACCCCAUCAAACUGAGCACCCUCCAAAGCAAAGUAGGCAUCCCAAACUCCACCAGGAACUUGCUCUUAUGACGCGAGCUCCUGGCUGCCAACGGAUGGCGAGGGGCCCGCCCACCAGUGGACUUGCGAGCGGUGAGCCUAGUGCGUGUCAUUUGCUGCAAUUGGAAUACCUUAGGUAAGAUUGAGGAUUACCUUUAAUCAUUUUAUUUAGAAUUGGGACAGAUUACAUUAAGGGGGAAAGUAAGCAAUGAUAUGAGAUGAACAUGAUGCAUGCACGGACUUACGAUCUCACAAACUUAGAGACAAAAUUUAACACUAAGCGGUAUAUGCGGACAGCGUUCGCUCAUAACGUAACUAACGCUCUAACGUGGUUAGUGUACCUGCAGAAAACUCAUUUCAGCCCAACCACAGUAUGCUCAUGCAGAACAAGAAUUUAAAGCUAUACACCCCACAUACACAGACACCCGUCCAUGCAUAUGACGUGUCACUACCCACAUCAUCGCCCUAAUGACGGCAUCGCCUCACAGGACGGAAUUCCCAACAUGCAGUACUGUUCCCAAACACACCAAACAUGUGUGCAUGACACAGCACCUAACAAUACUCCCCUAGACCGGCAGUGUAUCCGAUCAUGCUCUCACAGCUCCCACUUACCGGGGCGUAGAGGAAAAAUUGAUCCAUACAUUACCACUCAAAUGAAUGGUACUCAUACUAUUGCACGCCAUAUGAGCGACGAAAUAAAAAUAUGAUGCAUUAACCCCCAAGUCAGUACUUAACUAGCCACCUUAGAGUCCUUAACUAGGCAUAAAAGGAUAUGACCAUGGCACACUAGAUAGUUUUUCCAAAAACUUAGUUGACACCUUGAUUAUCAUUAAUAAAAAUCUCUUACUAAACCGGUUUAGAUUUAGUUCAGAACGUACUUAUGAACAGUAACUCGCUAAACCUUGCUUCGAUGCUAGCUGUAACGGAACUGCCCAAAUUAUAAGAGAUUAAGCCUAAUAGCGACCAUUUGCAUAGUCAAACCAUCGAGCUUAAGCCCAUAUAAUUCAGGUAGUCCAUGAAAUCUCGAAGGGUUUCAAGCCACAUAUCGUACAUACAGCCAAGAUCGUAAUAAGUUCAGCGGUCACCGUUCACAGUUACAUCCAGCUCGAAACCAUUCAUCGAAAACAUCGGAGUCCUUAAGUUAUUACAAGCCAUGUUCACAGAUAGCGGAAGCUUCUUAGUUCGAAAAUAACACACACAUACUUAGUCUGAUACAGUGCCAUAGUUUUGGUCAUUCCCCCAACAGCAAAAGAAAAGACGGAGUGACCAUCGCCCUUGGUCUAGUCUUCACCCAUAGCUGGGUACAGGCAGAGGAUGUAAUAACCAUAGUACAUUUGACCAUCUGCAAAACAACAUGGGAGUAGCACCCUGAGUACGAGAAUGUACUCAGCUAGACUUACCCGUCAUAAACUCAAAAUUAAAGACUCAUCAAGGAUCAUGAAGGCUAUAUAGUGGGGUAGCUGAUGACUUUUGCAUAAAAGCACUCUUCUGUUAACCAAAUUCUAAAGAGGUCCUCCUUCUUUUAAUUAGCUCAAGUUGAAGUAUCAUUACCUAUUCUCUAGGUUUGCACCUGUACUAUUACAAGCAAGUAUAGUAAUAUGAUGGUACCUCAUCAUAGCAUUCAUGCAACCAUUUAUCGUUAUAACCCAAGUGUUCCAUAGUCCUUACUACGAGGACGAAGCUCAUGUCAAGUGCUCACUAUCCAGGAGCGAUGGCGAUUCGAAUCGAUUUCUAACCAGCUGGUGAGGUAUUCCCCACACAAACCACACUCACUGAUCAAGUGAGCUACAGAUCACCGUAUUACACUAUCCAGGACAAAAUCGCAGGUUCGGCAGGCACCGCCAGUACCCGAGGACCGUUCCGGCGACCGAGGUAUCCAAGGUAUACCAAGGUUGCGCGUCGCGCCCUCGUCGUUCUCCUCAACCAUCACCAAUACAGCACAUGGCGUCUUGACUCCCGGCCCGGAUAGUGUUCAAGCUUCGCGGUCAGAACGACUUAUCCUUCCAGCUAAGUGUGGGGCAUGCGUUCAACAUGACAAGAGGGCCAUCAACGAUCGGUCCUUAAUCGACACAGGCAGGGGCACUACACUUGGUUAUUCUUUCCCAAAGCAAUCACUACUUAAUCAAGCAGGUAUCCACCUAUAUCUCGCAGGUGACAAGAAAUCACCCGACUUCUACUGGACUAAGCAAGCAAAGCAUAUACUCUGUGCCUAUCUACAUAGGACAAGGUAGAUAAACGAGUAGGGAUAACAAGGAGUACAUAUGCAUCAACGGUAUCAAGCAAUUCCUAUCACGUACAUGCAACAUAGUAGAACAAGCAUAGUAUAUCAUGUAAGUUAGCGAGAAUAGGGAGACUUAGAAUGCUCCGGGGCUUGCCUUUCUCGAACGUGCUCGGCUUAUGAUCCGAGCACUCUUGCAGCUCCUCUCCGAGCUCUGACACUGAAAGGUCCUUGUUUGGUUUUGGUAAUUGAGUGACAACUUAGGUGGACUAAUAGUGUUUAUAUGAGAUACACAGGAGAUUAGUCCACAGGUGAUGAUGUGAUGAUGAAGGAGCUCAUUGCAUAUGAGACAUGACAUGGAGUCAUGUGACCAAGGUGGAGAAGAUCAAGAUGAGGCUUGGCUUGAUGGACCGGUUGCAAGAGUGAAGGGCAUGUCGGAGGCUUUGAAGCGAGGGACCGCGUGUGACGGUGAAGCCUGAGCAAGACUUGGCGCCGAUGGACCGAGGCAACGGUGAAGAGCAAGUGAGGUCAAGAUCGAUGAACCAAUACGGUCACGUGAUGAUAUGAAGUGGAUCAUAUCAUUUGGUGAUUGGUUGGUGCAUGUGUUACAUCAACAUUGGAGGAGAUGGAAUGGAAAGCGCAAGGCAAAGGUAUAACCUAGGGCUUUUCCAUUUCACCGGUCAUUGGUGUGUAGAGAAGUUUAUGACCGGAUUUAGGAUAGAUGGCCGUACUAUCAAGAGGAGCAAACUUGUUUGCAUAUCAGUCAUCUAGUGCCACUUGAGCGAUCUAACUUUGCAUACGUGUUAGGAUCGAGUGGCGUGGCAAGUUUGAGAGGCUAACUCCUUUGGGAAAAAUGAUUGUGAAAAUGCUAACACACAUGCACAUGGUGGUGUACACUUGUUGGUGUUGGCACACUUUACAAAGGAGGUGGAGUUCCUAGGGUUGAGAGAGGUGUGGGAUUCGGCGCUUUUGAGAAAAUUAAGUGCAUAUUUUCUAUUGCACCGGUGGGAAAUUUGGAGAAGUCACGGGAGUGUUUCUCAGUUGGAAACACUCACGGACGCUCUGCGCGGAGGCACCGGACGCUGUCCUUUAGCGUCCGGUGUGCUGUCGGGUGCAGCAGAGUGCACCGGACGCACUGAAGUGAGUCCGGUGCUCAGCGUCCGGUGUGCGGGUGGUUUGGCGACCCUCUCUGCGCAUGAGUCCGGUGAGCACCGGACGCUCAGGGUGCGUCCGGUGACCGUGUGAGUUUGCGGAGCUCUCUGCGCACGAGUCUGGUGUGCAACGGACGCGUCCGGUGUGAACUUCUUGAGCGUCCGGUGGUGCUGUGCAGGCGCGCGUGCGCAGUAGCCGUUGGCAGCAACGGUCGAGUUCAAACGGCUAGUGACAUGUGGCGGUCAGCUGAGCACCGGACGCUAGGUGUGGAGCGUCCGGUGGCUCCCUGUGAGCGUCCGGUGCCCACGUGUUUUGCCCAGUGAAGAGGCAACGGCUAGUUUAGCCCUUGGGGCUAUAAAUAGAAGUGGUGGCCAGCCUUGGCCGGUGCUGAGCACCCUUGGGACUUAGUGUCCAUGCUUGGGGAGUGCUAGGAAAGCCUCUAACUCACUUAUGCUUGCAAGAGUGCGAAUCAAUAGCGAGUGAGUGAUUCUAGUGCGUUGCAUUGAGAGAUUGCAUCGAGUGGCACUAGGUGUUCGUGCUGCAAGCCGGUGGUGCUUGUUACUCUUGGAGGUUGCCACCUCCUAGACGGCUAGGUGGCUUGUGACUCCGUCGAAGCACGCAAGGAGAUUGUGCGGUGCUCCGGAGAAGAGAUUGUGAGGGGUACGGUGCUCACCCCGCGGGGAUCACGAAGAGCAACUCUAUUGGAUCGUGCGUGUCAUUGAGCUACCUCACUUGUGGGUAGGUUCUUGCGCUGUCCUAGUGGGGACGAGGUUCAUAUAACACCUCUUAGCCGCCGAACCACCAAGUGUUGGUCGACACAACGGGGACGUAGCUUGGUGGCAACCAAGUGAACCUCGGGAGAAAAUCAUCGUGUCAACAUUUGUUCUUCCCGUUGGUUUGCAAGUCCCUAACACAAGCUUGUUCUUACAUUCAUAUAAUUGUGCUUGUGUAGUUGCUCUUGUAAUUAGUUAGCUUGUGUAGCUUGCUAGUUACCUUCUUGCUUGUGUAGCUAGAAGUAGUUCCCUUGCGUGACUAAUUUGGUUUGUGUAACCUUGUUAGUCACAUUGCUUAGUUUGUGUAGCUAAGUAAGUUGCGCUCUCUAAUUUGGCAUUAGUUGCCUUGUUAUUGAGCUUGCUAGUGAGCUUAGGAGCUUUGUGCUUUUGCUUACUAGUUGUGUAGGAGCUCCCCAGUUUGCAAAGUACUAGUUGCAUAGGUUUGUGUGACCUUGCUUCUAGAAUUGAUUAGGUGAGAUCUUGCUAAGGUAGCACCUUGUUUACUUGUUUAGGAUCUUUUACAAGGUGCUAGAGAACUUAGAUAGAGAGGUGUAGUCUUGGCUAGACCGAUAGUUUUAAUUCCGUAUUUGUUUCGGUUAGCCGGCGUAAUAUUUUUUAGAAAGGACUAUUCACCCCCCCCUCUAGUCCGCCAUCUCAACCCUUCAGACACCCCCAGAGGUUCCUGCUCCUGUGCUUCCUCCUGCUCCUCGGGCCCCACCUCGUUCUCCUGCGAGCCUGUAUGAUGCAUGUGUGCUCAUGAGUGGAGUGCGAGAUGACCGAGUGGAUGUUUGUAUGAGAAGGUACCAAAUGACCAUGACAUGAUGCAUAGGUGAUUUAAUUGGUUAUGCUCUUUACAAGGUAGUCAACAUCAUCCAAGAACAUGUAAUUACACUAAGCAUCCAUUUCCUUCUUUCCUACAAAAUUAUUUUCAAGUGUAACCAGCAACUCACAAGAUGCUUCAAAGAUACACCAAACCUCUUUUAUUCUACUUAAUCUACAUAAAACAAUUCAUAAUUUCUUUAUUUAUUUCUAGGCCCAUCAAAAUAGCAUGCAGUUCUGUUUAUCAAUAAAUUCCACAAAAAUUACAGGAGACUACCAGUCAAGCAUAAAGUCCACUAUAAAUUUUUCAUAAUUUUUGGAUACUUAUUUUGAGCUACAAAAAUCACAAGAUUAAUUAAUAAAGGCAAGUACAAUUACUCUACUAUGGUAUAAGUGUCAAACAGCAGAUUUCAUAUUUUUAUAAUUUGCUUAAUAUCAUAAGAAACACCCACAAAAAUUUCUAGAUUAAUUGCAUGAUCCAAAUAUUUAUUAAAAAACAUAAACCACUGCCAUGCAAGCAUUUAAAUCAUCAUAAAUUCAUUCAUACACCAAAUAAUGUGUUGCAGAAUUUUCCCAGUCACUAAACAUACAUGCAGAGCUAGAAAAAACAAGUUUCAUAUUUUUCCGAGUCAUAUUUUAAUUACUAUGCAUUUUCCCAAUUCAGCAAAAACAUGGAUUAAUUAUUUCUGUUCAGAAAAAGUGUUCAAUCAUGACAUGCAAUUACAUCAAACUGUAGAUCUGAGAACAGAGAGCACACCAAAAUUUAUUUCACUAAUUUUGGAGCUAUAAUUCUCAAGAUAUGGAUUUUAGAACAUUUAAACCAUUUUCUGGAAAUCAUUUUUCUGAAAAACAAUUCAAAUCCACCCCGGAACCAGCUAGGUGCACCCGGUGCAGUGCAUCUGCGGUCGCUGACGAGCGGACCCGCCUGCCAGCCGGGCCCGCUGGCCAGGACACAGAGAGCUGAGAGCUCGCGGUCGGCGACCUCUUUCAGCGAAUCAAGUUGCCCUACACGCUCUACGGCUCAAGGCGAACCUAGUGCACUCUUUUGCGCGGCCUGAAAUAGACCGGAGCAGGCUCGCCAUCGGCCAUGGCGGAGCGGCGGCACGGCUCGCCGCGGUCCGGCCACCACCCGGCGGUAGAGAGCGCGCUUACGGCCGGAAUAGGUGCGCGAGGCCAAGACGAAGCUAACGCAUCAAAAAGCGCAAGAAAUGGCGGGGUAGAGGGGGAGAACCACGGAGACCGUGAGGCCGCCGGAGUCUCGACUCACUCCGGUGAGCUCUCCCGAGCGCACGGGACUCACCGAGCGCGGUAGGGCGCGAGCACGCGAAGCGGAAGGGCGAGGCGGAGCUGGUGGUGGUCGCGGAGAGGAAGAAGAAGGCCGGAGCUGGCCGGGAGAGAAGCUCCACGUCGUCGGCGACGAUGGCGUGCGGCGGAGCGACGGCUGCUACGCGCGAGCGAGCGGAGGGCGAGAGCGCGAGUGGAGGAGCGCAAAUGGCAGCGGGGGCAGCGGCGGACGCGGCCGGGCGCUCCUGGUGGCCGACCAGGGCGCGUCCAGGCUGCCGCAUGCUCGCCACGCGGCGGCCAGGCUCUGCCGGCGCGCCACGGCGGCACGGCGCGGCCGUCCGCGCGCGCGGCCACGGCGCGGGCGCUGGCGCGGGGAAGGGGGUGAGCGCGGGUGGGCUGGGCCGGCUUCGGCCAGUGGGCCAGAAGUGAGGCCGCGGCCUGCUAGCGCCCCCCUUUUCCCUUUUCGUUUUUUUUUGAAUUUCUUUUCUCAAACUCUUUCUAAAUUCAUUUGGACCAUUUUAAAAUCAUUUUCACCUAUUUCUCCCAAAAUGAAAGUUGUUCCAAAAUAAAAACCCUACAACUUUGUUUUAAUAAGCAAGACCAAAUUCCAAUUAGAAUUUGAAUCACAAAUUAAAACUAGUCCUAGAUUUUCAAAUAAAUUCAUUUUGGGGAUUUUUGUAUAAAUUCCAUUUCUCAAAUUCUAUGGCUCCAAAAAUUGCACAAAAAUAUUCUCAAUUCUUUUUGCACACAAUCCAACCUAGUUUGAAUAUUUCACAAUUUUAGAAACAAGCAUCACAUUUUUAACAUAUUUAAAUCACAUAGAAUAAAGCACAUAAAAUCACAUUUUGGAUGGAUGACAUGCUCAAAUGAUGCUAUGCUUGAUGAGAAUGCUUAUGCAUGCUUUGGUAAGAUUAAGUGCAUGCUUAACACCUAGGGUGUUACAAACCUUCUCCGGCAACGGCGCCAAAAAUGCUUGUUGGGUAUUCUUAACAUCAUUACCAAAAGUAAACUUAGUUUUCUAAUUUUGAUAACGGUGCCAAAAAUGCCAAACCUAUCCCUCAUACCACUUAAGCCAAGUUGUCAUCCCCAGCAUGGCAUGAGAGUCGCGGUAUUGAAAUAUGCAAUUGCUCAUCUAAAUAAAUAAUAAAUGGAAUCUGCAAGCGCACAGAUUAAUACCGAUGUAGCAUUUUAAUCGAGAAGUAUUCUAGGUAUCGUUAUUUAUAUUUUUACCACUAGGAAUGGAUUAGUAACCAUCAAUGUUGAUUAUAGAAUGGAAUAUAAGAUUGAGUAUCUAUCAUUGCAUGUAUAAUUGAGAACAUUCAUCUAACUCUUUCAUACAGGGAUAAGUGUCACAUAGAAGAUAUAUAAAGUAAUGAAUAGUGACAAAGAUAAUUAAUCUGAUCAGCAUAACUAGCCACAUAUAAAUAUGAUAAGCACCUCAAUUAGAUAUUCUAGCAAGUUAUUGGCAUGGAAUUAGAACGAACUACAAGAAUAUUUCCUAAGUUAUUCUCAACUAUAUAGUCUAGCAUAUCAUAGUUAGUGCAAGCAUACUUAGCAAUCAUUGCGAGACAAGACUACGCCCAUGCAUAGUGAUAUUAGCAAGGAAUAUGAGAAACAUCGUAAUCACUCCCCUAUAAUAAUGUUGUUCUGCCAGCCCAAUACACUAGAGGGGGACUAUAUAAGAAUCAAUGCAGCUGUCACUAUAACGAACUACCCCACAAUCUGGCAUAUUGGGUACAAUCGCACAUAAAUACGGUAUAAGCACCACGCCUACACAAUAUCUAUCAUUUACCCAUGGAUCCAAUGGAUAAAGGCUAUACGAUCCUAAACAUGUAUAUAGACCCAAUCUAACUAAGCCAAGUAUAUAACUAUGAUAGACUAAGAACAAUAUAAUCUUGAAUAUAAACAAGUAGAGCAAAGUCAUAAGCAAUAUAUUGAAGUAGAACAAAAUCAUAUUCAUAAUAUUGAAGAACAAGAUAAACAAUUAGAAGAACAAUUAGAGAAUUAUAAAGAAUCCUCUUGACAGAUCCGGAAACUAAUUGAAGAUUGACUCCUUCUAGUUCUAAUCCUAUGUAGCUAUGCUAAUCUAGAUGUCUAAUUGAUGUGGUGGCUCUAGGCUUGAUCAGAGGCUUCUUCUCCCUUGAGGAAUAAUGAACUAGGGUUGAGAGGCUCUCUCCUCCAGGGGCUAGGGGGUCUGGUUUUAUAGUCCCUCCAAGUGAAUAUGGGCCAUUGGAUCAAACCGACAUUGAUUGAAUGGUUAUCCUUGAUCCUUUAGGUCGGUGGAGAUUGAUCCCGAAAGAGAGUUCUUAUUGGACUCAGAAGGGGGGCGGGCGCCCUGGUCACCUGGGCGGGCGCCCAGGACCAGGCUCUGUUCGGCCUCUGCUUCCUUCCCGUGGCUUCUGGAGUCUUUUAGAUGUAAGAUAAUUGCGCGGCAUGUUGAUAUCUCUAUGUAAUCCCGACGUGUGAGCCUUUCUUCCGUAUUUCCUGAAAACCCCCUGCAGAAAUAGACAAACACCAAAACUCAUGGAAUUCUGUCAGAUAAAACUCUAAGUCUGGAUGUUGAUUUCAUUUGGAUCCUUUUCUUUGUUUAUUUGAUAAUUAAAUUUGAUACUUAAGGACCGUCAACACGGAUCAAUUCCUUAUUGCGUUCCCAAAUAUCAACACCAACACCCGACAUUUCUGGUGCCAUAGCUAAGGAUGCAUCUAUGGUAUAUUUUUAGUAGUGACGCUAAGAAAUGCCAACAAGCAUUUCUUGCGCCGUUGUCGGGGAAGGCAAAUAUCAUACUGGCAUAAACAUUGAUUGCAUAAUAAGCAUUGGUAGCCAUAGAUUAAGCAGGAUAACUUUACUGUUUUCUUCCUCUUUUUAUUGGAAUGAAAACAGGAUAGUGUAUGAGUGGUUUCAACUUGCCGGCAAACUUCCACAGUGAUCCAGAAACACUCCUAAGGAAGAGAAGGGUUCGUACCGUCUCUUCUUCUGCUACACAACCGACAAGCGAAUCAACCGUUCCAGCACCAACCGCACCAAUCGCUAUGGCCAAGACACUCUGUGACUACUCCACUCCCGCUGUUGCCAAUGUGCCGACUGGGCCCACUGUCAAUAUGGGGAAUGGAAGCUUUGAAAUCUGCACUAGCCUCAUCUCUAUGGUGCAGGCAAGCCAAUUCUGUGGCCUGCCAAGCGAGGAUGCCAACGCCCACCUUCAGAACUUCAUUGAGCUGUGCGACACCAUCGUCAUCAAGGACGUCGCGCAGAACAGCAUCAGGCUCUGUCUGUUUCCCUUUUCCCUCGCCGGAAAGGCAAAACAAUGGUUUUAUCAGAACAACGAAGCUGUUGACAUAUGGCAAAAGUGCUUCACGGCAUUCCUCACCAAGUUCUUCCCCAUGAGCAGGACCAGCACUCCGAGGGGGAAGAUCUCUAACUUCCAGCAGUCUUCACUUGAGUCCAUACUCGAAGCAUGGGAGAGGCUCCAGGAGUACAUCUGGGCCUGUCCUCAUCAUGGAAUGGAAGACUGGCUUGUGCUCUAGAACUUCUACGAAGGCCUCACGGCCACGUCAAAGGGGCACGUAGAUGCCACAACUGGAGGUCCAUUCCUUUCGCUCACCAUUAAUGAAGCUACUGCCAUCACCGAGAAGAUGGUCGCAAAUCAAAGCUAGGGAGAAGGAAGGAAAAUACAAAAAGGCUCGCAAUCUACGAAGGAGGCAGAUGUGCUUGCCGCAAAAAUAGACUUGCUGCUGCAAAGGAUGGACAGACAAGUUGCAAAUCCCAAUAUGGGCACCUUCCAAGCAGUGAACUCAGACACAUCGUGUGAAGUUUGUGGUGAUGAUGGCCAUUCAGGGAACAAUUGCCCCGAAACCCAAGAAGAAGCAGCAUAUGUCAACAAUGGGUUUCGGCCACCACAACAAGGUAAUAACGGGUGGAACAAUCAGCACCGCCCGCAGGGUAAUUUCUUCAAUCAGCCUUCCUUGAAAGAUCUGGUCAUAGGGCAAGCUAAAAUCAACGAGAAUCUGACCAAGAAGUUGUCCUACAAUGACAAGAUCAUUGAGAACAUCAACGCCAAGCUUGAAACUCUUUGUUCAUCUGUCAAAUGUCAGACGAGUUUCAACAAGAUGAUAGAAACAAAGAUAGCACAUAUAGCUGCAUCAAUUCUAGUCACUAACACAGAGAGGAUCCCAGGGCAACCGGAAACCUCUAUUGAGUUCGUCCAUGCAACCACAGAACAAUGAAGGAAGGAGAGUCUUGCCAACGGACUAUAAAUGUUGAGCCCUUACCGAAGGCAUUCGGUAGAUAUCUAAAAAAAGAAAAACUAUAUAUAAUAAAAAUAAAUUUUGUGCUAUUUGUGUCCCAAUACAGAUAUCUGAAGGGGGCCCAUGACAUCAAGCAAGCUUGGGGGAGGUGUCCCUGCUCAGGUAUUAUGUAUUUUUUAAAUUCUUUAAAUUCCAUUUUAAUUUCCCUUUUUAUAGAAAGUUUUUAUUUUUAGUUUCCAAAAGUUUCCCUUUCUAUAGUUUUAUUUUAGACAAAAAUAAAGUUUCUCUGAAAAUCUUAUAAAAAUUAUUUUCUAGUAGUAUAGAUUUUCCCAUUUCCAAAUCUUAUUUUUAUAUAAUUUUUGAAAACCAAAAAUAUUUUGAACAAAUAUGUGGAAAAUCAAAAUCUGGAGCAAGAUUUCGAACCAAGUCUGAUCGUAACCAAAGAGACGUUUGGGGUGACUGUUGGAGCCAGCAGCCAAAAGGCCGGGCACAGGCGGGCUCACCACUAGUGCGGGCGCACCAGGGUGCGGCCGCACCCUGCCCAAGGCCUACUAGCCUCGGCCUUUGGGCAACGGCUAGUAGCCGUUGAGGGUGGCGCUCACCCGCCUGCGAUCAACUCUGUAAAUAGAGAGGAUCCCGGGUGGAGCACCUCACCCCUCUCACACACAUUUUGUUACUCUUCCCUUCUUCACUCUCUUGCUCCACUUUGCUUCAUAGCCUACUCCACAAGCUUAGUGCAAGAAAAUUCUGUCAAAAACCUCUUGCACACUUACCUCUCCAAGCAAAAACACCAUACACUUGUGCUAGCUCGUCCACCAUGAAUAGAAUUUUUGGGCUUAGAAGGAGCCGCCGCCAACGCGGGGAAGAUCCACGAACCCCUGCAAGGAACGAGCAGCCGGCACAUGGAGGAGAGGAGGAGCCACACGGCCACGCCAUUGACGAGGUCGACGCCCCCUUCAUCGACUUGGAGAGCGAGCGGGAGAUGCAGGCAUACAACCUCAUUAAGGAACGCGAGUUCCUCCAUUCGCCGGCAUUCGACUCCGCAUUCUUGCACCAAAUAGGUAUCGAUGUUGAGUUUGAUACUAUUUUCAAGCAUCUUGGUUGGACUAGAGUUGCCCCCAUUCAUGAGCUUCGGUCACGUCUUUUGACGAUCCAAAUUUUGGGCACUCUAGAAAUUGUCGAUUAUGGUAUUACCUUUCGUUUCUUUGGAAGAGAUUUCAGUAUUUAUUGGAAGGAUCUUGCCAACCGUUUGGGUUUCCACGACCUGUGCUCCAUUGACUUAGGUUUCUCCCUCAGGGGUUACCAACGUCAUGCCACCCCCUGUUCGUCCUCAGGUCACACUGGACGUCCUCAACACUCGCAUGGGAGGAUUGGAGCCCCAGAACAGGCAGAUCCAAGGUAUGCUGAAUGCCCACAUCCAGACUGCUACCCAAUGGCAUCAGCAGACCCAGCAGAGCUUCAUCGACCUUGAGGAUGCAAGCCGUCACCGGCACGAGGCACAGAUGGCCUACCUGCGAUCCAUGGGACAUUUCCCUGGACCGCAGUAGUGAGCUAGCUUGGGGGAGGACCCCCACAAGAGGUAACAUGUAUCUUACAUUCUUGCACUUAAUUUUAGUUCUUAAUUUUAGUAUUUAAAUUUCAGCAAUUUUUCAUCAUCUUUCAAAAAAAAUUCCACUCUCAUGUGCACUAUGAUAUGUUAGUUUCUCUUCUGUUGAAAUGAUGAAUAGUUGCUAUGUCUAUAAUUCUCUAGUAUCUAAGUUAUAAUUUAGUGUUCAUCGAGAUUUAAGUUUGUUGGCUAAAAAUGUCACAUUUUGAGAACAUGAAAUCUUGUGGGUUGCAAAUGCAUGAUCCUUUUCUAAGUUGUUGCGAGAUAUGAUAUGGUAUAAAUAGAUUUUGCUAUGACUUUGUUCUAAGAGAAACUUGACAUCCAGAGUUUUCUUUUCAAAAAUUCAAAACAAAGAGUUCCUCAAUGAUUAUGAAAUACCUACCAAGGCCAUAUGACUUGCUUAGUACUUUGUACACCUUUAGUCAUAUGCGGCUUGCGGCGCUUUGAGUUGAGUCAAAUCCUAGGUAUCCUAGAGUGAGAUUAUGGUCAUGCACCCAUGAUAUGAGAUUCACGCACCCACCAAAUAAAGCCGACUCUCACACUGAGAAGUUGCGCACAACAUGCACCCUUCCAUCCACCAAAAAAAUAUGCCAACUCUUACCCUGAGAGUUGCACCUUAGCAUCCACCAAAUAAGUAUGCCAAACUCUCACCCUGAGGUUUGCGCAUCCCCAUACACAAUUUUACUCCUUACAUCACCAUCAUGACAUCUCUCCAUUUUCCUCAUUGAGAUCCCUUUGAAACAUGUGGGUAUCAGUUAUCCAUGAAAAAAAAAUAAAGGAAAAGCCAAAGGGCAUGGACGGGAAAAUCAAAAUCCCCGUUAGAAAAAAUAUAUAUAUAUAUGAUCCAUUUUUUUAGGGCCCAUAUGUUUACAUUCUCUCAUUCUCUUCCUCAAAUAAGGAGAGUCAUGAUACAAGGAGUAACCAAAAAUAUUUAGAUAGGACUACCACCAAAAAUUCCACACACUUGCACAUCUGAAUCAAGGUGUAUGACUUGUAUCUCCUCAUGGUCCAGGCUUUGACUUGGCAACACAAGUGUCGUAAGUACGCCCACCUUUAUACCUUCCAAAAGCUCGAUUCUCAGCCUUAGUGGUAGGUCUUAAAGGCAAACACAAAUGCCUUUGGUGAGGAUUUCAUACACAUUGAGCGAUCGAGAGAAUCAUUCGAGGAACUUAUUUAUUUUGCAAAAAAUCUCCGGAUUGAUGGUCUAUCAAAGGAUGAAUGAAUGGUGAGUCUGUUACAACCAUUCUAUCUUGCAACCACCCAAGAACUUGGAAAAGCUAUAAGCCCCAUGAGAAGUCAAGGUAAAGAGUGGAUAGCAUGCCAACUUAUUUAAAUUGUGAAUGAAUGCUUUGUUAUAGGUAUGGUACCCUUGAAUUAUAUCGGCAUAGUAGCAACUCCUGAUCAACAACCAUACUUAAUUAUUUGCUCGAGACGAGCAAAGGUUAAGCUUUGGGGACUUGUUGGUAGUCAUUAUAGACCAAUCAUAAACUGCCAACUUGAUCAAAAAGGAGAAGAAGCAAUCAUAUUAUAUACACACAUGCAUUUUAUUACUAACAAGUUCCACUUGUACCAUAGUGAUUAUAUUUUGCAGGAAUUAUAGUGCAACAAGUGGAAAUAUGCCAUACCACAAAGAAAGCGCAAAGUACCAAAAGACGUAUUUAGAAAUGCGCAAACCAAGAAAAUAGAGAAAGGCCCGAACAACGUAGAACUGGGCCUAAUCGUAACCACAGGAGAGAUCCAGGCCCAGAGCUAAACCAACCACGCGAAGGCGGUGGCCAGGGGGACCCACCAAGGGUGCGGCCGCACCCUGGUGCAGGCGCACCCCUAGAGGCGGCAAACCGGGCCCAUCUUUCUCAGGCGGUUGCAUGCAGCCAUGCAUAGGAAGGUUUCACCUACUACCAAAUUUAGAUGCGACGAACCGCCCUAGUUCCACUAUAAAAAGAGAGGCACUCCCCCCUUUUCAACACACACAUCAUUUGGAGUCAAUUUACCUCACACCUCUCACUUGUAUCUUUAGUCUAGAUUAGUAGUAGAGCAAGGCAAGAGCUAGCAAGGAUAGCUUGUCUCCUUGGAAGAAAGGAUCUUCUUGGUAUGAAUAAUAUUCAAUCUUCUUCUAUGAGCAAGUUCUAUUUAUCUUUAUAUGAUUAUGCAUAUGAACUAGAGUAUGGUUGUGAUCUUAUCAUGUUCAUAGUAUAUGAACUAGUUCUCAGUUCCUGUGCUAUGUUCUUGAUAUGUUCAUCAUUGUUCUUUAUUGUUCAUCAGAUUAGUAUGAUUAGGAUUAGAAUUAGGAAUAGGAUGAUGGUUCACUGUGCUGUGAUGGUUGCUCUUAGCCUAGCCUGUCACUCCGAUGGGGUGGGGCCCAUGGGGGUUAGGAGUUGUUUCCAAUUACGUGAACUUAGUGUUCAGGUAUGCGGGAAUCAGUGGAUGUGCGGGUAUCUUUUGGGUAGAGGGGUAGGUGGCAGGGUAGUGACAGCUCUGUCAUCCUUUGCAUUCCCCCAUGAUCUGGUAUUUUGAUAGGAGUUCUGUAAAGUCUCUAUCGGCUAGGUACCUGUCACAGAACCGACCAAAUUAUAAGAGUUCAAGUGUAGAAACGAUCAACUAGCAAUCAAGUUUCCAGACUUAAGCCCAUAUAAUCCCGGUAGUCAACUGAAAUCAUGAAGGACUUCAAACCAACUUGCAACAAACCAAGAUCGUAAUAGUUCAACAUAAUACAGCGAAUGUUACAUAGUCAUUCAUUGCCGUCAAAGCGGCACCACAUCGGAGUUACUUAGUUAUUACAACACAAGUUCACAGUAGCGGAAGCAAAAUAGUUUACAAACACAUAUCCAAAGUUCUUGUUAUUGCCAGAGUCUCAUCACAUCCAUCAAAAGCAACGGGGUACGAAGUCUAUUAUAGAACCGCGCCCAACGGUUUAGUCCUCAUCCCCAGCGGGAUGGAGACAGGUCUUGCAGAAGCCAUCAUAAAAGACAUCAUCUACAUCAGGUGGGAAUAAACCCUGAGUAUGAGGAUGUACUCAGCUAGACUUACUCGUCUAGUAAAACAUAAAGACACCAAGGAUUAUGCAAGGCUAAGUAUAAAGUGUAGCUGGCUUGACUCAACAUUUGCCAAAAGCUUAAGUGGUUACUACACCAUUGUAUAAGCAUUGUAUUAAUCAUCAUUAGCCUACCACUAGAUUAGCACCUAGACUGAGCACUUCACUUGAUUAUUACAAGCAAUAAUAACCAUAUCAAGUUUCAUCAUAUGUUCUUCCUUGCUAUCCUCAACAUCAUUAUCAAGAACCAUUGUACUUAGUGAAUGCUACGUUUGUCGCUGCUCUGUCAAGUUCUCACUAUCUGGGAGAGAUGGCGAUUCGAAUCGAUUCCUAUCCAGCUGGAGGGUUAUUCCUAGCACUCACCCAAGCAUCCCCCGUUGGAGAGCAAGCGGGUCACCUUUGGUACGACUCAGGAAUCGCGGCUCCGAUCAGCGCCACACUCCCAAGGCUACAACUCUGCCAGGGAGGUCAGGGCUUUUAACUCACCUACCUUUGGUCUUACGCCAAUGGUCCCCCGCACACCGCACUUCCUCCGGUAGUGCGCACUUUAUACUUGUCGGUCUUUCGGCCUGAGUCAUACUACUAGGCUUCGCGGUCGAAACGAGUUAUCCGGCCAACUAAGUGUCAGGCAUGCGUUCAACAUGACAAGAGGACGUACAACGAUCGGUCCUUAGCUGCCACAGACGGAGUUACUACAACAUUGCAAAACUCCACCCGGCUUAAGUCAUUUUAAUCAGGUUCUUUCCACGAUAGCACAUAUAGUCAAUCGUGAUCCGACACAACCCUAUUUCGCGCAGGUGACAGGAUAUCACCCGACUUCUACCGGUUAAAGCAUGGCUAAGCUGCUACUCGAUCCUAACUCUACAACCAGGUAGUGGUAAGAUAUCUGGACAAGGAAAAGGGUAUAAUGCAGCAAGAGUUUCAUCACAACUCCUAUACGUAAUGCAUCAAUAGAUAUAACAUAAUCAAGUAAGCUUUCGAAAUUAAAGUGGGAGACUUAAGAUGCUCCAGGGCUUGCCUUUCGCGAACGAGGCUGGCUCGUGAUUAGGGCACUCGACCUCCUCUUUGGGCUCCUCGUGUCCGGUUGGCUGGACCUCCGCUUCCGGAUUGAUCUCCUAGCCUUCGGGGUUCACCUGGUUGAGCUCGAAUGAGGUCACCGCUUCCGGUGCACCUAUUGCAUGCACGAUGAGUAAGAAAUGUGUGCAUACUAGAUGAGAAUGAAUGUUUGGUAACAUGAUUAGAUCUUCACUGGACACUCAUUUACGGAGUAACUCCCAUUACAGGCUCACAAAAGAUGAUUAACUAACUUAGCAAGAUUCAACAAGUUAAACCAUAAGUAGCACAACCAAAUAACAGAGCAGAUCAUGGAAUAAAUCAUAACUAAUGCUUUACAGAUCCAACACACAUGAAUAAGGACAUUCUGGAAAGCUUAUGAAAUUGUUUACAUUUCAUCUUUAGACAUCAUAGCAAGAUUCACAAGUUAAACAAAGUUGCAGCUAGUUCGUAAAGUUCACAAGUUAAACAAAGUUGCACCCUGUGGUCAAUUAAACAAAGUUCCAGGUUCUGUCCCAGAAAAACAGAGAACACCUACUUCUAGAACCCAACUUGGAAGAGCUAUAACUUUUAAACUAUUGGAGCAAUUGAUCCAAAAAUUAAGCUGCAGCUAGUUCAUAAAGUUUACAACACCUUUGAUUUAGACAAGUCUUUUCAGAAAACCAAGUUAUCAUCAAGCAAAGGUUAGAUUACUCCCUUGCUGUUCAGAACAGCUAAAACCUUUAAUUAAUUAUUUGAACACAUAGCCAAAACAUAUUUAGUGCCAACCAAAUGGCUUACAAGCACAAGCAUAACCUAAGAUUACCAAAACAUCACAUGUUGACCACUAAACAUUCAAUAACAUGGCACUUAUUAAUUUAAUUCCAUAAAAGGACAUAAUUACAAGAUACUAGCAAAAGUGCUCAGCAAAAUCUACAAACAUUAUAGAAGCACAAGCAUAGCCUCUUGACAUUACCAUAAAAUUUUCAGAGCAAAUGCACAUGCCAAACUUAAGAUAAAUAAUUAACAUGUAACAAGGUGCUUAUUUCAUAAAUUAAGAAACAUGGCUUAGAUAGUGUCAAACAACAGAUUUCAGAUUAUUUACAUGUUACCAUUACCAUAGACAAGCUUGACACCAAAAAAAAACACCAGCAUAAGCAUCAAACAUUUAUUAUGAUUUAAUUAUGAAAACAAGCCAUAGCACCAACAUAAAUUACAUAUAAGAGACACAGCACUCCAAAAAUCAUGAAAUAUUUAUCAUAGCAUUCUAAUAUCACUCAGAGCAUAGCAUAAAAAUUUCAUAGCAAUUGGAGCAGUAUAACAAAAGAUAUGAAUUUACACAUAAAUAACAAGAUUAAUUCAUAACAAUUAUUUUUCCGAGAAAACAUGGUGCAUGUUAUAUUUUUAUUAAAAACUAGCCAUCCCAUGGAUCAUCACAAAAUUUGUUUCACAAAUUUUGGAGGUCAGAAACUACAGAUAUGAUUUUUGCAAAAACAGCACAAACCCUAAUUUCAAACAAAAGGAGAGAGAGACUGACAGGAGACCCCGCAGGUCAACGGACCCCACCCGUCAGUGACCCGAGAGCAGAGGCGCGACUUGACCGUCGGAGAUCUCAUCGAAGGCGAGGUCUCGGCGACGGCAAAGAGCACCAGCGUGCUCCACACUCUACUCCGCGACGAUUGGUACUAGAAACCCUAACUCUAUCGCACCCUAGGGACCUUGCCCUCGCGAAUGGCGGCACGAGGUGGUUUGCGGCCGACCGCCGGCGUCUUUGGUCGGAGACCGGGCGAAAGAAGAUUCCGAUGAGCACCAGCACGACACAGCGAAGCUUUUGGGACAAGAACGAGAAGGAAUGGUGGACUACAAAGCCCUGGCCACGACACCUGUGACCACGACGGAGCUCUGGCGAGGUAAGCUCAUGACGGAGAGGACAAUGCGGGCUUACCGAAUCUCAGCAGCCGCAGCCAACACGACGAUGGUGAAGCGGGAAAGCUGGCGGAGCACUGGGUGGAGUGGCUCGGCCGGAGAUGCCGAGACGCGAGCGCGCGACCUCGCCGAAGCAGCGACGGCGACGCGGAGAAGACGAUGAGCGAGAGAGAGAGAGACAGAGGGGAAAUGGCGCUGUCCACAUGACCGGGGGCGUCGUGGUGACCUAGAGGACGCGCUGGGAGCUGACAAGCGGGACCAACGGCAAUGCAUCAAACCGGCUCUUUCCUCACAAGUUCCUAGAGAAGACACCAUAUGAGUUGCUCAAUGGGAAGAAGCCCGAUGUCUCAUUCUUUAUAGUGUUUGGGUGCAAGUGCUACAUCUACAAGAAGUGCCUACACUUGGGCAAGUUCCAAAGAAGAUGUGACAUUGGCUACUUGGUUGGCUAUUCAUCAAAGUCCAAGGCAUAUAGGGUCUUUAACCAUGCCACAAACAUGGUUGAAGAAACAUUUGAUGUUGAAUAUGAUGAAACUAAUUGCUCCCAAGGCGCAAGUGAUAAUCUUGAUGAUGUAGGUGGUGAACCAUUGAGGGAUGCCAUGAAGAAAAUGCCGGUGGGAGACAUCAAGCCAAAAGAAGAUGAUGAUGUGCAAGUCAUUGAGCCACCAUCCACCUCACAUGUACCACAAGAUGAAGACAAGGAUGUGAGAGAUGCUCAUGAAGACACCCAAGUCUCUCAUGAGCAAGCGGUGGCACAUGCACAAGAUGUUGAUGCUCCCCAACCAACCCCUCAAGUGGCACCAAGAAGAUCAUCACAUCUCCUUCAAGAUCACUCUCAAGAUCUCAUCAUCGGGAGUCCAUCAUGUGGUGUAACUACACGCUCUAGACAUGCUUUAUUUAUUGAACAUCACGCUUUUGUGUCUCUUCAAGAUGAACCAAAGACUAUAGAGGAAGCUCUUCGUGAUGCGGAUUGGAUCAUUGCCAUGCAAGAGGAGUUGAACAACUUCUCUCGCAACCAAGUGUGGACACUUGAAGAGUGACCCAAAGAUGCAAGAGUGAUUGGAACAAAAUGGGUCUUCCGGAACAAGAAGGAUGAUCAAGGCAAAGUGGUGCGCAACAAGGCAAGGCUCGUGGCAAAAGGCUUUUCACAAGUGGAAGGUCUUGACUUCGGUGAAACCUUUGCACCGGUGGCAAGACUUGAAGCAAUCCGUAUCCUAUUUGCAUAUGCAUCUAGUCAAGAUAUCAAGUUAUUUCAAAUGGAUGUGAAAAGUGCUUUUUUGAAUGGCUAUAUUAAUGAGCUUGUCUAUGUUGAGCAACCCCCCGGUUUUGAAGACCCUAGGUACCCCAAGCAUGUCUACCGGUUGUCCAAGGCUCUCUAUGGUCUCAAGCAAGCUCCUAGAGCUUGGUAUGAGAGGCUUAGGGACUUCCUCAUUGAGAAGGGCUUCAAGAUUGGGAAAGUUGACACAACACUCUUCACCAAGAAAAUGAACAGGGAAAUCUUCAUUUGCCAAGUUUAUAUUGAUGAUAUUAUUUUUGGCUCUACUAAUGAAGAUUUUUGCAAGGAAUUUGGUGAUUUGAUGUCCAAGGAGUUUGAGAUGUCCAUGAUUGGCGAGCUAUCCUUCUUCCUAGGAUUUCAAGUCAAGCAAAUGAAGGAAGGGGUCUUCAUCUCUCAAGAGAAGUACACACAAGAUCUUCUCAAGAGAUUCAAGAUGAUGGAUUGCAAGCCAAUCAAGACUCCCAUGGCAUCAAAUGGGCAUCUCGACUUGGAUGAGGGAGGUAACCCAAUUGACAAGACUCUCUAUCGUUCCAUGACAGGAAGUCUACUCUACCUCACCGCAUCUAGGCCCGAUAUCAUGUUUAGUGUGUGUAUGUGUGCUAGAUAUCAAGCAAUGCCUAUGGAAUCUCACUUGAUUGCCGUGAAGAGAAUUCUUAGGUAUCUAAAAUACACACCUUGCCUAGGCUUGUGGUAUCCCAAAGGUGCAAGAUUCCAACUUGUAGGCUAUUUCGAUUCGGAUUAUGUCGGGUGCCGCAUUGAUAGAAAAAGCACAUCCCGAGGGUGCCACUUCCUAGGUAGAUCUCUUGUCUCUUGGUUGUCUAAGAAACAAAAUAGUGUUGCCUUGUCAACGGCCGAGGUGGAAUACAUUGCCGCCGGUGCUUGUUGUGCACAAAUACUUUACAUGAAACAAACUUUGCUAGACUAUGAAGUAGUACUAGACAAAGCACAUUUAUUGUGUGACAACGAAAGUGUCGUAAAACUUGCUAAUAACUCGGUUCAACACACCCGCACAAAACACAUUGACAUCUGCCACCACUUCCUUAGGGAUCAUGUUGCUAAAGGUGACAUAUCUCUAGAGAAUGUGGGAACAGAAAAUCAAUUGGCGGAUAUCUUCACAAAACCUCUAGAUGAAGCUAGGUUUUGUAUGUUGAGAAAUGAACUUAAUGUGCUUGAUCUCUCUAACUUCACUAAAAAAUGAAGUUGUGUGUUGAAACUUGUAAAUAGCUUUUGUUUUGCAUAUUAUGCAUACCAAAACUAAAAUUCAAAAAGAUUGUGUGUAGGGCUUGUCUAACAUGGUUAAGAUAACCCUCUUGUGUGUGUGAAAAAGCUUAACCUUGGAUCAAACUUGACAAGCUUUAGUUUACUUUCAAGUAUUGCAUUUCAUCACAUAUCAUAUGCAUGCUUGUUAGUUGACCAUUUCUUUUUGGUUAUUCUUUGAGAAUCCGCUAUGUUCAUCCAUAGAUUGGGGGAGCAUUCAAAGCUCAUUAUGUUUUAAACCCCUAGCUUUAUGGCCAUACGAUGCUCCUUGGUGAUUUCUCGUGACUAGUUUCAUAAAAUCUACUAAGCCUGAGGCUAAAUAUUUGUGAAAAUUUGAGGGUUUGAGAGAGGUCACUCAUACCAGUUCCACUUGGUGUUUAUUUGUGUCUUUUUGAAGUUGGAACUUGGUUGGCUGAAAGUCGAGCGAAGUGUUAAGUUGAAAAAGGACCCAGAGGUGCACCGGAUGCUGUCUCGGUGCGUCCGGUGCGGUGAGUCUGCUGGACUGUGCUCAUCGGACGCAGGAACAGUGUCCCUGCAGCGUUCGGUGAUGUGCGUCCGGUGCUCAGCCAGGCGUGCCCUAGGGCAGCGGACGCUAAAGCCAGCAUCUAGUGGCCAUCGUCCGGUGGUUGCGUGUUUUGCAAUCUUCUCUGAGUUUUAGUCCGGUGGUCACCGGACGAGUCCGGUGCCACAUAUAGAGCGUCCGGUGACCCCGAAUCGGGCGCAUAUAACCCGCGCCCCGGGGAUUUAGCUCAGCCAGUCUCUUUUCUCCCGUGACUUCGCCCAGCAAACCCCGUGCCCUAGCCGCCGUUCCGCUGCCGCUGUCCGUGGUUUCAAGAUUUUCCCGGCGAGAUCUCUCUCUCCUCGCGUAAGUUCUUCCCCAAGGGCUCCUCCAUUCUCUCCUCGCGCCGUGGACUAUUUCUCACGCGAAGUUUUAGGGUUUGGGGUGAGCUCCUUUCUCUACGCACUUAAGGUGUUUGGUUUAAUGCCUAAACGGAUUUGAAUAUUGUUUUUGACAAUGUUCCCCUUCGUUUACCCAUCAUAGCAUCUUGAGGAGUUGGUUUGCAUUCUCUGGUGGUUCUCGAUCGCGAUCUGUCAUCCGGAACGCAUCUUUUCGCCCGAUCAUAAGCCGUUCGCGCCCGUACCUUAUCUACUCUUGUGAUCUAUAGGGUUUUCUCACCCCUAGCUAUUACGUUUGCUUAUAUAUAUACCCUAUCUAUUCUAUCUCUUGCAGCGCAUUGAUCUCUCGUGACAGUUGGUCAGUUGUCGGCAGUUGUUCACAGGCAGUUUUCUUGCAAUGGCACGUUGCAAGAACGUCAGUGGUCCGGUAGCCAGCUUAGGAGGUUCUCCAGGUGGUGAUGGUGGAGGUGAUCCUCCUCGUCGCCUGUCAGCGGCAGAGAAGGGCAAAGGAAAGAAGCUAGCCACCAAGAAGGGGAAGGCCAGCGACAGAGAGGCAGAGGUGGCAAAGGCAGUUGCAGCAGCAGCUGAGGCAGCAGAGCGAGGUGGACGCUCAAGUGCCCUGAGGAUAGGGGCCGAUCUCACUCCAUGUCACAGGCGUGUAGUUCUUGAGGCAGAGGCACUCCAUGGAUCUCCUCCUGGAACCAUCAUGCUAGGAGGUCAGCGUGUCAGGACUGCAGUCCGCGAGCCAGCUCAGGAGGACCCGGACACAGAGACUGAGGCAGAGGCCCAGGCAGAGGGUCCGAUAGAGACACAGCAGCAGGAGCAGCACCUCACGAGGUCGACUCGCACUCGUACUCAGGCCAUCCCUAGGACUGGUACGCAGGGUCAGUCUACCUCCGCUGCUCGCUCCACUCCAGCUCGAGGCACUCCAGCUCCACGUCAGGCACCGGUGAGGAUACACAAGGAUUACACUCAGGUUUCAGCUCGGGAGAUCCAGGAGCUACGUUUCGUCCCCUUUCCUACUUGGUUUCCAGCUGCCAGGGAUCCGAGAGCUAGUGCCAGGUUCUAUACAGUGGUUCAAGAGGAUUUGUACGAGGCUCUGGUUCGCUCACAGGCUUAGUUCAGAGAGCACAGGGUGCUCGACCUAGAGAUACUCGGGAACAUGGUCGGUGCGGACAUCAGACAGUACUUCACCUACCUGACCGGUCUCCCAGAGUUGCUCGCCUUGCCUGGUACUUACUGUGAGGAGUGGGUCAGAGAGUUCUAUGGCUCAGUGUGGGUUUCACUAGAUCAUAGCUAUAUCCACUAUGCACUGGCAGGCACUGACUACAGGGUGAUAGCUCAGAGUGCCAGAGAGGUCCUUGGUUUGAGAGCCUACUCCACCAGGAUCCACCAGCUGUGCUAUGGGAACUUCGAGCCCCCUCGACGUCCUCACGGUGGUGAACUACCACCAGUUGACUUUGUGGCUCCCUGUUUUCGUCAGCCUUUUGGAGAGGGCUCUAGUAGGACAGUGGUAGACUUAACUCGCCCAACUAGGAUCCUUGACUUUGUGUUGAGGAAGACGCUCUUUCCCAGGACAGGCUACAGAGAUGGCUUCACCAGGAUCCAGCAGUGGUUGGUAGCCCACCUCAUCUCGAAGACUCUUUUGACUUGUGGGAUUUGAUAGUCUCAGAGAACGAGGAUACUCUUUUAGAGAGCUUUAGGGGUCGGCGUCAGUUGUCGUACGCACACUGGAUCACCAUGCUCAUCCUUCGCGCUAGGCCAGUACCUCUUCCAGCUCACUUGCAGAGAGAGCUUUCAGACUCAGACACUGUGUUUCCUCCAGGCAGAUGCUGAGAGCACACCACGACCUCAGAGCUCCACCACCUCCUCGUGCACCACGUGGCCAGGUGCCACCACCCUCUCCUAGGGGUACUCGCAGUUUGGGAGCAGUUCCAGAGACUGAGGAGGAGAAGGAUAUCGCCAUUGGGGCGUUUGCAGAUGCGGAGGCCGAGAAGGAGUUUGAUUUUGCUUUAGAGAGCUCAGACAAUGAUUAUCAUCUUCCAGUGCCAGACCUUCCUCUGAGGCCGCAUGACCACGAGGCAGGAGGUUCCUCGACAGCUACGGACCCCGCACUACUAGCUAUUCUAGAGGGGAUGAGGGCAGAUCAGCGUAGAGCCGCUGAGGAGUAGGCCAGGAGGGACAGGAAUCAGGCUGCCAUCAAUGUAGCUAUACAUGCUAGACAGGACGAGCUUCAUAGACAGUUCUUGGGUUUCUAGGCACAGCAGACUGCGAUGAUGGCCGCUCUUAUGGCCGCCUCAAGGAUUCAGCUCCUAGCCACGUCGUCAGUUAGGCCUCCUACUCCACUGCCGUAGAGUCGGUCCCCGCCUCCGCUCUAGCUCCCUGCUUAGAGUCAGCCUUUCUUGACGCCUCAGCACCAGGUUUCACAGGGUGCUAUGUCAUCUGGCUUUGAGCAGGUGCCUAAGUUCAUGCCUCUUCGCUCUGGAUUCACACCGCAGUCAACGACGGCGUCACAGCUCGUGUUGGACUCAUUGGCAGGCCAGCUGAAAGUGCAUUUGCCCCCUAUGUGGGUUUUGGUGUAUUGAGGACAUCCAAUUUAGGGACUAAUGCGUUGUAUUUGAGAUUUGCUACAGCUACUAUUCUCAUGAAAGAUGCAAAGGUUCGAUUUAAGAUGAAAUGGUAUCCCCCAAUCGUCGUUCGUGUGAAAGGCGUUGGAUUCAAUUUAUAGCUUAAUUGUUUAUCUUUUAACUUGGGGUUAGGUAUGCCGUACUAUCAAGAGGGAUUCAAAAGUUGUUGGUUUGAGGAAGAUAGAGUGCUCAAGUCUUUCUUCUAAAACCUUUUAGAGACACUCUAGCACCUCGCUUGCACUUAGGUUUACCCUCUGUGACUUCUGGUGUCGGAAGUCCCAACGCGGGUCGGAACUCCCGACGUGCUGCACGAAAACUUUGAACGUCGGAAGUCCCGACGUGAGUCGGAAGUCCCGACGUUGAGUUCUGCGCGCGCACGUGUCAAAAGUCCCGACAAGCGUCGGAAGUCCCGACGCCAGGACUCCGGCUGUCUGCUCUCUCGCGCGAGCGCCAGCAGUUCCGGCUUGUGUCAGCAGUGCUGACGCGUCGGAAGUCCCGACGCAUGUCGGGAGUUCCGACAUUGUCAUCCUGCGCUGACCUAGACUGCCUGCUAAACAGUGCUUCCCAGUGAGUGUCGGAACUUUCGACGUAGAUCUGAGCAGUUUUUUCUCCCAGUAGUAUAAAUAGCUCUCUCUGUGUUUCUAACCGUUACCCACUCAUUCAUUGCGACCAACUCUCAGACAAAACAGCUCCCAAGCAUUCAAGACUCCUCUCUCCUUUUCCUCUUUGCUCCUAACUUCGUUUCACCUAAGAUUUGGAGUGAUUGGAGAGUGGAUAAGUGAGAGCAACGCUUUGAGAAGCUUGAGCACUUGAUCUCUUCGUCAAGCCGGCAGGUUUUGAGUUUAUUACUCUUGGGUUCUUGGAAUCCUAGUCGGCUAGGCAUCGUCCAAGAGCUUCCAUCUUGUGGAAGAGCCUUGGAAAGUUUGUAUUACCCGGUUUGAGGUGACCUUUGUGGUUACUUUGAGGGAGGCAAGGAGGUGAAAGAGACUCCGACCUUGGUGGUCACCUCAACAACGAGGACGUAGGAACUCCUAAGUGGGGUUGCCGAACCUCGAGUUAAAUCCUUGUGUCUCUUGUGGUUGUUUUUCUUAAGAUCUACUUGUAUUUGCUUGUGCUUCAACCUCCAUUUAGGGUUUGGUCUCGAUCUACGGCUUGGGGGACUCUUGGUGUCAAGGAAGGCUCUCAACAUCCUCAUCUAACCACUAGACAGUGGUGUUGUAAGUUGUGGAUCUCACAAAGUUCAUUUAAGCACUUGUUGUUCAUUUCCCGUAGGUGUCGGAACUGCUGACAGUUUGCGUUGGAACUUCUGACAACGUCGGAAGUUCUGACCCAAACUGUCGGGACUUCCGACAGUUUCUGACAAGUGACUUUGAGUUUUGUGUAGAAUUUUUUAGAUACGCCUAUUCACCCCCCUCUAGGCAUUGUUUAGAUCCUUUCAAUUGGUAUCAAAGCAAGGUCUUCUUAUAGCACUUUACCAUGUGAGAAGAAACAAUGUCAGAAACCGAAAAGACACAAGAAUUGGCUAAGGAAAUAGCCAAAGAACUGUUGGCAGCUCAAUCAAAGCUUUUUCAAGAUGAAAUGAAGAAAAUGCAAGAUGAGAUGACUAAGUUAAAAGAAGAGCUGAGCAAGAAAGUUGAAGAUGCAAUAGGUAGUAGGAAAUCUGAUGAGGGACCUAGUGGACACAAAGACAAUGAUAAUGAAAGUGAAGUUGGAGGUAAAGAAGAAGGUCACCCAAAAGGAGUCUACUCCAACAUGAACUUUGAUUAUUCACAGCUUAUCAAGGCUUCACAUCAUGCUCCAUCUAUCAACCUAGGGAAACCUCCUCACUUUGAUGAAACUAGAUAUCCCGAUUGGGCCUACAAAAUGAAGAUGCACCUCAUUGCUGCAAAUCUUUGGGAAGUGGUAGAUGUUGGUGUAACAUUUCCCACUGAAGAUAGAGAGAUCACUCCGGAGGAAGCUCACACCUUUCGUCAAAAUGCAUAAGCAGUAGCUAUUCUAGUUUCAAGUUUGGCUCCAGAUGAAUUCAACAAAUUGAAUGGAAGAGAAGUUGCCAAGGAUAUUUGGGAAGUGUUGAAAACAACAUUUGAAGGUGACAAGAGUGUGAGAAAGGGUAACAUUGAGUUACUUCAUGGUGAGUUGGAAAGAUUUGUUUUCCUAGAAGGUGAAUCCACUCAAGCUAUGUUUGAUAGGAUGAUGUCUUUGGUCAACCGGAUAAGAUCUAUUGGAAGCACUGAAUGGGAUGAAAACAAGGUUGCAAGGAAGAUCUUAAGAACCUAUAGAGCAAAGAACAACAUCCUAGCAUCAGUGAUUAUGGAAAGGCCCGACUAUGAUUGCAUGACACCUGAAGAAGUUCUAGCCAAGCUCAAGCAUCAUGAGUGCCUUGAUCAAGAUGCAAUCAAUGCACAUAGUCAAAAUCCUAGUGCAAUGGGAUACAACAAGAAUGUAGCUCUAAAGGUAGAGCAAGGCCAUGAACACCACAAGUCAUGUCAAGAAAAGAAGAAAGUGAAGGAUGAUUCAUCAAGUGGUGACGAUGAUUCCGAUCAAGAAGUUGCUUUUAUCAUUAGAAAUCUCAGAAAAUUUAUGAAGAAGAAGGGUCAUCAAAAGAAGAAGAGGUUUUGCUAUGGAUGUGGACAGACCGAUCACUUCAUAGCUGAGUGCGCAAAUAUGAAAGACAAGAACAAGUACAACAAGAAUAAUGACAAGAAGUACAAAGGAAAGAAAAAGGGUGAAGCUCAUCUUGGUGAAGAAUGGAUAUCCAAUGAUAGUGACUCAAGUGAUGAAGAGAAGAAGAAGAAGAAGAAGAAGAAGAAGAAGAAGAAGAAGAAGAAGAAGAAAGGAGCUGCAAACAUUGCCAUUCACAAAUCCUCAUCAUCACUCAUGAACCUCCCAAACAAGGCUUCACCACCAAAGCUCUUCCCAAACUUGGACUCUACACUAAGCCUCUUCGCCAACCUCAUCGACGAUGACUACUACACUCCAACUUGCCUUAUGGCUAAGGGGGAGAAGGUAACUACCUCUUCCGAAACCUCUAGCGAUGAAUAUGAUAGUCAUGAUGAAAACGUAGAACAACUUGAGGCAUCCUUGAUAAAGAAAUUUGGUCAUAAGGCCUUCACUAAAAUAAAAAGUCUAAUGAAGAAAUUAGAGAAGAGGGAUAGAUGCUUAGAGAUGCAAGGUGAUAUAAUUGUACAAGAGAAGGAAAAGAACCUAGCACUUGAAGCAUCUAUCACCGAGGAAAAGACGAAGGUUGAAAAGUUAACCGUUGAAUUGUCUUUAGCCAAUGACUCAAUUGGGAAAUUGGCUAAGGAACAUUCCUCGAUUGAUGAUCAAGUAGCUAGCCUUAAAAAUGAGAAUAGUAUAGCUCAAGAAAGCCUCACAAGCUUUAAGGAAAAAUGCCGAAUUCUUGAGUUAAACUAUAACUCUCUUUGGGCUAGCACUUCGACUUCUCCUAAGGCAACCAAAGACUCUAAUGUCUCCACUAGCAACGGUUGUAAAAGAUGCUAUAAAGUUGAUGUAAAUGCAUAUGCUACUAACCUUGUUGAUCUAGAGAAAAAGGACAAGGAAAUCAAUAGGUUGAAGAUGGAAAUUAAGAAGGGGUGUAAAUGCCAAGAGCAAUCUAAAAGGACUAUAUACAAGGCAUUUAGGCACCCAUCCGUCAAGGAAGGACUUGGCUUUAAUAGGUAUGAUGGAAAGGCCAAUGGAAGAAACAUUGUGAACGGAGUGCCUUGUGUAAAGUUCAACAGGGUUGUUGCCCUUGAUGAGCUUAUAUGCAAGGCAAACAACAAAGUUUAUCUUCUGUUGAUUCAACCUACAAGCAACAAGGAAAGCAAGAUAAAGCCAUCCGAAGCUCCCAAGCCACAAGCACCACUUCCACGGUGCUAUGCUAGUGACUAUAUGUGUUGUUGGGGCAAAGAUGGCAAGAUCGUGGUAAAGUAUGUUGGUGCCCACAAGAGGAAGGAAAUAUUGAGGAGUGUUUGGGUGCCAAAACUUUAUGUGACUAACCCCCUAGGACCCAAAUCUAUUUGGGUACCUAAAACACAAGUUUGAAUCGUCUUUGUAGGAAUACUCCUCCGGUGGAACAAGUUGGGUGUUGGAUAGUGGAUGCACCAAUCAUAUGACCGGAGAGAAGGUCAUGUUCACAUCUUUCCAACCUAGUGGUGAAUAAAGUGGAAAAAUUGUAUUUGGUGACAAUGGAAAAGGAGAUGUACUUGGUUUGGGUAAAAUUGCUAUCUCAAAUGAUAAUUCCAUUUCCAAUGUUUUACUUGUAAAUUUGUUGAGUUACAAUUUGUUGUCCGUCUCGCAACUCUGUGAAAUGGGUUACAAUUGUCUCUUUACGGAUAAGGGUGUGGAAGUCUAUAGAAGGGAGGAUUCCUCUUUUGCAUUUACGGGUCACCUAAACGGGAAACUCUAUCUAGUUGAUUUCACAUCAAAUAGAGUAAAGCCCGAGACUUGUCUAAUGGCAAAAUCUAGCAUGGGGUGGUUAUGGCAUCGCCGACUUGCCCAUGUUGGGAUGAGGAACUUGGCCAAACUUCAAAAGGGUGAACACAUCCUUGGACUAACAAAUGUUUCUUUUGAGAAAGAUAGGAUUUGCAGUGCAUGCCAAGUGGGAAAGCAAGUAGGAGCUAAGCAUCCAGCAAAGAACAUCAUGACAACCGAAAGGCCCUUGGAGCUGCUACACAUGGACAUAUUUGGACCCGUGGCUUACAUAAGCAUUGGUGGUAACAAAUAUGGUUUUGUGAUUGUUGAUGAUUAUUCACGUUACACUUGGGUUUUCUUUUUGCGUGAUAAAAGUGAGGUCCAAGGGAUUUUCAAGAAGUUUGCAAGAAGAGCCCAAAAUGAGUUUGAUGUCAAGAUCAAGAAAGUUAGAAGUGACAAUGGGACGGAGUUCAAGAACACAAACAUCGAAGAGUACCUUGAUGAAGAAGGAAUCAAGCAUGAGUUUUCGGUUCCGUAUACUCCUCAACAAAAUGGUGUUGUGGAGAGAAAGAACCGGACACUCAUAGAAGCCGCAAGAGCAACGUUGGAUGAAUACAAGACUCCGGUGAACUUUUGGGCGGAAGCGGUCCACACGGCGUGUCAUGCUAUCAACCGCUUGUAUCUUCACAAGAAAAGAGAAAAGACCGCCUAUGAACUUCUAACCGGUAAAAAGCCCAAGGUGCACUACUUUAGAGUUUUUGGAUCCAAGUGUUUCAUACUUAAUAAAAAAUCCAAAAGCUCAAAGUUUGCACCAAAUGUUGAUGAAGGUUUAAUGCUUGGUUAUGGUACUAACGAACAUGGAUAUCGUGUUUUCAAUAAAACCUCCGGUUUGAUUGAAAUCGCGGUAGACGUGACCUUUGAUGAAACCGACGGCUCUCAAAAGGAGCAAGUCAAUGUUGAGAUUGUAGGUAAUGAAGCAGCUGCACAAGAAGCUAUCAAGAAGCUAGCAAUUGGUGAGAUAAAGCCCAUUGAAGAUGACGAUGAAGAAAGUGCAGUGCAUAUUGAUCAUGAUUCUACCAUUCAUCAUGGCUCAUCCAAUGAGCAUGGUGAGGCUUCCGCAUUAAGAAUCAAUGAAGAUUGUGGCAACAAUGUGCAAGCUCAACAUCAUCUUAACCUUGACCACACAAGUGAAGACAAUCAUCCACAAGAUCAUAGUCUUGGUCUUCCAAUAGAUCAUGGCUAUGAUGAUGAAGAAGAUGAUGGCCCCAUUCAAAGAUCAACUCAAGUGCAACAUCCUAGAUUACAUCAAUCAAUUCAGCGGGAUCAUCCCGUUGAUAACAUUUUGGGAAGCAUUCGAUGAGGGGUAACGACACGUUCUCGUUUAGCAAGUUUUUGUGAAUAUUACUCGUUUGUUUCUCCUUUGGAACCUCGUAGGGUGGAAGAAGCACUUGAUGAUGAAGAUUGGAUGAUGGCCAUGCAAGAAGAGUUGAACAACUUCACACGGAAUGAAGUCUGGUCCUUAGUGGAAAGGCCCAACCAAAAUGUGAUUGGAACCAAAUGGGUCUUUCAGAACAAGCAAGAUGAGCAUGGCGUAGUGACAAGGAACAAGGCAAGAUUGGUGGCUCAAGGUUUCACUCAAAUAGAAGGCCUAGAUUUUGGGGAGACCUACGCACCGGUGGCAAGGCUAGAAUCCAUUCGUAUUCUACUAGCCUAUGCUGCCCAUCAUGAUUUCAAGCUAUAUCAAAUGGACAUGAAGAGUGCAUUCCUCAAUGGCCCCCUAUCCGAGUUGGUGUAUGUUGAGCAACCACCGGGAUUUGAAGAUCCCAAGUUUCCAAACCACGUCUACAAGCUCGACAAAGCACUCUAUGGGCUUAAACAAGCCCCUAGAGCUUGGUAUGAUUGCUUAAAGGACUUCUUACUCAAAUAAGGGUUUGAGAUAGGAAAGGCCGAUGCUACCUUGUUCACUCGCAAAGUCAAUAAUGAUAUUUUCAUGUGCCAAAUAUAUGUCGAUGACAUAAUAUUUGGUAGUACUAAUGAAGAUUUUUGUGAGGAAUUUAGCAGGAUUAUGACGAACAGGUUUGAGAUGUCUAUGAUGGGUGAGUUGAAGUUCUUUCUUGGAUUUCAAAUCAAGCAACUCAACGAUGGUACGUUCAUAAGUCAAACAAAGUACACCUACGAUAUGCUAAAGAAGUUCGACAUGGACAAAGCCAAACCCAUCAAAACACCGAUGCCAACAAGUGGGCAUCUUGACCAAGAUCAAGGAGGAAAGGACGUCGAUCAAAAGGUAUAUCGCUCCAUGAUUGGAUCCCUCCUUUACCUUUGUGCAUCUAGGCUUGAUAUUAUGCUUAGUGUGUGCAUGUGUGCAAGAUUUCAAGCUAGUCCAAAAGAAUGUCAUCUAAUGGCUGUUAAGAGAAUCUUUCGAUAUUUAGUGCACACUCCUAAUCUUGGCUUGUGGUAUCCCAAGGGCUCCACUUUCGAGUUACUUGGCUAUUCCGAUUCGGAUUAUGCCGGUUGCAAAGUAAGUCGAAAGAGUACCACCGGGACUUGCCAAUUUAUUGGUAGGUCUUUGGUGUCUUGGAGCUCUAAGAAGCAGAACUCUGUUGCUUUGUCUACCGCUGAGGCCGAGUAUGUGGCGGUCGGUGCAUGUUGUGCCCAACUACUUUGGAUGAAGCAAACCCUCAAAGACUUUGGUUGUGAGCUAACCAAGAUUCCCCUUUUGUGUGACAACGAGAGUGCCAUUAAGUUGGCAAACAACCCUAUAAACCACUCUCGAACAAAGCACAUAGACAUCCGGCAUCACUUUUUGAGAGACCACGAAGCCAAAGGAGAUAUCGCACUUCAUCAUGUGAGCACCGAUAAACAACUAGCUGAUAUCUUCACAAAGCCCCUAGAUGAGUCAAGAUUUUGUGCUUUGAGGAGUGAGCUAAAAUCAUUGAUUCUUGUAACCUAACUUGAUGUUUUGCACAUAAUUUGAUUGAUCUAGGAAGGAGAAAACCUUUGGCAAAAGUUUGUGUGCUGAUUUUCAAAACCUAAUUGGGUAUAGGUUUCAUGGAUGACUAUAGUUAUGUGAUGCUUGUUUGUUAGCUAGUCAUCCUUGAAAUCAUGUGUGUCUAUCAUCUUUAUGCCCCACAUUGCACAGAAUGUUCAAAUUCUCAGGUUUUUGGGUUUUCCUGCAUCGGAAGUCCCGACGUGCGUCGGGAGUUCCGACGUCCGUGCGGUGCGCGCUCUUCCUCAGGGAUUCUCGCUUGCGUCGGGAGUCCCGGCCAGCGUCGGAAGUUCCGACGUGAGCCGGAAGUCCCGACGUAGAUCUGUCCCGAGGCGUUUUGACUGCGGCUUGACCUUUCUUUCCUUCUUUUACCCUCCUUGACCGCAGCCAGUUACUCCACAGCCAGUUACUUUUCUUCCCCACUCGCGCUCCCUUCCUCCCCGCGUUCCCUCCCUCCCUCCCCAGAUCCACCGCGUGCCAGCGCUUCUCACCGGCGCUCCGUCGCGGUCCGCCCCUCCUCUUCGUCGCAGUUCCUCCGCCGGCGUGUGCUUCCCCCCCCCCCCCCGUGCGCGGCGUGUGCUGCUCCUCGUGCGCGGCGUGUGUGACGGCCGUCUCUUCAGCCGGUGGUCUUCCUCAUCACGCAUCUCUCUCUUCUCUCUUAGGUGCUUUCUAAUCUCUUCUCUCUCAGGUGCUAUCUUCUCUCUUCUCUCUCCCUCCCGUGACUUGGCUUUGGAGUUUUUCCACCUCGUGCAUCGGGGGUUCCGACGGCUGUUGGGAGUUCCGACUGUCGGGACUUUCGGCCUCUGCCGGGACUUCCGACCUUGCGGUUCUUUGCUCCCUCGCAUGUCUUCCUCCAUCUUGUCUUUUUGUCUUUCCUUGUGUUUGCCUAGCGUCUUAGUUGUUCGUUGCUUCUCUCGCAGCGAUGACUUGUGGAAGCCCUUCUCGCCAUGUUGAGAAGAGGUCCAAGACCAACCAAGACCGUUCCGCUGCCCCCCGCACCAAGGCUGUUCUCCCUCGGGCUGGUGCUGGUGGCUCUCGUUGUGCCGCUGCCCAUGCCUCUGGGCAAGGCCCGUCGGCUCCGGUGGCAGCGCCCCCUCCGUCCUCGCAUCGGGCUCCUGAUCCCACCGGGCGUGACACCGAGGUUGACCCUGCAGAAGAGGAGCUUGAGCGUGCUGGGCGGACUAUUUCCUCUCCAGUUCGCUCCCCGUAUGAUGGGCUGGAGUGUCCCGUCUCUGUGCUUGUCCCCUUCGACUCUAUGGCCCCCAUCGUGCGGUGCCCCGAGAUCGCUCCCAACGUUGGUGGCUGGGCUCCUCCUCGUCCAAUUUAUUUUCGCCACAACGUCCGCGACAUCAGGUCCUUCCGGAGCCGCAACCUUUAUGCUGAAGAUGAAAAGGAUCUCCGUCUUGAGUAUCGCUUUUGGCACUACUUUCAUUUCUACUAUUAUGAUUCCAUUCUUUACCGCAAGUCUCUUAAGAAAGGGAAGCCUCCAGUUAUUCAAAUGAAGUACAUCAUCGAGUAUUCCCUUACAUCCACCUUCAAAGAUCAAGAGAUUGGGCAGAUGGUGGAAGACUUGCGCAACAUGGGUCUCUCUAGGCUGAUGGAGCUUCACAGGCAUUGGAAUAAUGAGGUGAUUAUGCAGUUUUAUGCUUCCUACUUUCAUGAGACUGAUAGCGAGAGUGACACUGAUGUUAUUCACUGGACCACUGAGGGUCGUCACUACAAGGUUGAUUUUGUCACCUUUGCUCGUUUGCUUGGUUUCAAUGGGCAUGAUCGCCGUGCAGUGGAGAUCACUAAUUAUGAGGAUGUGGCUAAGUCUGAGUACCAGUUUAUGUAUUUGGAGGGUUUUCCUACUGAUGGACAGACCGUUUAUCUAAAGCCCUAUUACUAUGUGCUCAACAACAUUCUCAGGUAGAUUUUGUACCCCAAGGAAGGAGACUCCACUUUUCUUCGAGAUGAUUCUCAGAAGGUCUUAGCUCGUUUUGGGGAUGAUUUCCAGAAGUUCUCGGUCAGCCGGUACAUCUAGAACAGGAUACAUGAUGCUUCUGAGGAUCCAGUCAAGAACCUUCCAUAUGCUCCAUACAUCAUGCAUGUCAUUCAGCAGGUCUCAGGCAUUCGCUUUCCUUCUGAUGGCUCUAAUCACAAGGUCCUGCGUUUGGCAAAUCGGGUGUCAGUCCAAGCUGCUAGGGCUUUGAAGGCACGUGGUGUAGCUCCCCCUCCUCAUCGUGGUGGUAUAUCUUCUGCUCGUUCCCGACGUGCUGCCCCUUCGCCUCCUGCUGUCUCCCGCUCCACCAGCUCUCAGCCUCUCACCUCCUCUAGCAAAGGCAAGAAGCCCAGCAAGUUCAAGUUUCUCAUGACCUAUAUGUUUGGACAGUGUUGUGCUAGUGCUCAGCGGCAGCAUGAUAUUCAGGAGAGGCUCUAUCGUCUUGAGCAGUAGGCUAGUGUUGUCUCUUCGCCCCCUCCUCCGUUUGUGCCUCCCCGUGAUCCUCUUGCUCUUUAUGAUGAGGCUUGCCAAGCUUAUCAGGAUGAGGCCACUUCUCGCCCUCAUGGCAAAGGUGUGGCUGCCCCUGAGGAUGAGGAGUACAAUGAAGAAGACCAAGAUGAUGAUGAUGAUGAUGAUGAUGACGACGAUGAUGAUGACGGUGACGAUGAGGACUUUGACUUUGAGUAGUUGUUUCUUCUCUAGCGCGGCCUACCCCUUUUGGCACUUGAUGACAAAGGGGGAGUGUUAGGCUUUGAUCUUUCAUGUAAUCAGCUAGAUGUCGUGGUAGGCUUAAAAACCUCUUAGUUUGGAUUAUCUAUGUCUCGUGGUGGCACUAUGUGAUGGACAUCUUUAUAUAUGUUGUGUGAGUUGGAUGCUUGUAGGACAAGUUGUUAAUCUUUUAUCUAUCUACUUUGUUUACUUGUCCUUGUCUCUUUUGUUUGUUUGUUGAUUGAGUUUUUGUGAUGGCCAUGUACUUAAGGUCUAUCUUGGUUUAUUGGCCAUCCUUUUCUCUCCACCUUGUUGUGUGAAUAUAAACUGUCAUAUUGCAUACUCUUUCACGGUUAUACUCUUGUUCACACUUGUAGCACCCCACGAAGUGCAAAAUUUAGCGGGAGCUUGUUCUUUGAUGUAUGUUUCUUAAGUGAUGACAAUCACCAUUGAAAUUCAAAUUCAUGCAUACAUCAAGGGGGAGCUCGCUGUAAAUUUUGGACUUCAAAAGCUUUUUGACUUUCAUUUGUAAGCCUAAACUUGGUUGUCAUCAAGCACCAAAAAGGGGGAGAUUGAAAGUGCAUUUGCCCCCUAUGUGGGUUUUGGUGUAUUGAGGACAUCCAAUUUAGGGACUAAUGCGUUGUAUUUGAGAUUUGCUACACCUACUAUUCUCAUGAAAGAUGCAAAGGUUCGAUUUAAGAUGAAAUAGUAUCCCCCAAUCUUCGUUCGUGAGAAAGGUGUUGGAUUCAAUCUAUAGCUUAAUUGUUUAUCUUUUAACUUGGGGUUAGGUAUGCCGUACUAUCAAGAGGGAUUCAAAAGUUGUUAGUUUGAGGAAGAUAGAGUGCUCAAGUCUUUCUUCUAAAACCUUUUAGAGACACUCUAGCACCUCUCUUGCACUUAGGUUUACCCUCUGUGACUUCUGGUGUUGGAAGUCCCGACACGGGUCGGAACUCCCGACGUGCUACGCGAAAACUGUGAACGUCGGAACUCCUGACGUGAGUCGGAACUCCCGACGUUGAGUUCUGCGCGCGCACGUGUCGGAAGUCCCGACAAGCGUCGGAAGUCCCGACGCCAGGACUCCAGCUGUCUGCUCUCUCGCGCGAGCGCCAGUAGUUCCGGCUUGUGUCAGCAGUGCUGACGCGUCGGGAGUUCCGACAUUGUCUUCCUGCGCUGACCUAGACUGCCUGCUAAACAGUGCUUCCCAGUGAGUGUCGGAGCAUCCGACGUAGAUCUGAGCAGUUUUUUCUCCCAGUAGUAUAAAUAGCUCUCUCUGUGUUUCUAACCGUUACCCACUCAUUCAUUGCGACCAACUCUCAGACAAAACAACUCCCAAGCAUUCAAGACUCCUCUCUCCUCUUCCUCUUUGCUCCUAACUUCGUUUCACCUAAGAUUUGGAGUGAUUGGAGAGUGGAUAAGUGAGAGCAACGCUUGAGAAGCUUGAGCACUUGAUCUCUUCGUCAAGCCGGCAGGUUUUGAGUUUAUUACUCUUGGGUUCUUGGAACCCUAGCCGGCUAGGCGUCGUCCAAGAGCUUCCAUCUUGUGGAAGAGCCUUGGAAAGUUUGUAUUACCCGGUUUUUCUUAGUGGAAAGCACAAGUGACCAUUGUGGUUACUUUGAGGGAGGCAAGGAGGUGAAAGAGACUCCGACCUUGGUGGUCACCUCAACAACGAGGACAUAGGAACUCCUAAGUGGGAUUGCCGAACCUCGGGUUAAAUCCUUGUGUCUCUUGUGGUUGUUUUUCUUAAGAUCUACUUGUAUUUGCUUGUGCUUCAACCUCCUUUUAGGGUUUGGUCUCGAUCUACGGUUUGGGGGACUCUUGGUAUCAAGGAAGUCUCUCAACAUCCUCAUCUAACCACUAGACAGUGGUGUUGUAAGUUGUGGAUCUCACAAAGUUCAUUUAAGCACUUGUAGUUCAUUUCCCGUAGGUGUCGGAACUGCUGACAGUUUGCGUUGGAACUUCUGACAAUGUUGGAAGUUCUGACCCAAACUGUCAGGACUUCCGACAGUUUCUGACAAGUGACUUUGAGUUUUGUGUAGAAUUUUUUAGAUACGCCUAUUCACCCCCCCUCUAGGCAUUGUUUAGAUCCUUUCACCAGCGCAUCAGUUUCUCAUACAGUGCUCUGACUGGUGACCCUACACCUCCACCCCUGCAGGCUCCUACAGCUUUUACGGUCCCAGUCACCACCAUCGAGCGCCUGUCGUCGUUAGUAGCUUCGUCUGAGCAGCUUGCACCUUCCUCUACUGUGCUAGAGACGUCAGCUAUAGCGACCGAGUCCGUGCCAGCCUCGUCAGCAAGACUUGAGCAGCCACCUCAGCCCAUGAUAGAUUUAGAUCCCGCAGAGCCGACACAGACCGCUUCGCCAGCACAUGCAGCUUCAGAGGGUCACUCUAUCUCCUCCAACUCGACGACCGAUGGAUCAGACGAUGUAGCACGCUUUCAGGUCGUGCCGAGGGACUCCACUGCUCUGCCUCCACCUCUGUCUUCUUAGGUUCUUGGCACUUGAUGCCAAAGGGGGAGAGGGUUGUGAGUAUGAGAGUUAGGGGGAGCUAGAGCUAGAGAGGGCUUUGUUCUUUUGAUAUACUUUUGUGUGCUACUCCAUGCAUCAUAUUUACUUUCAUGCAUUGCAUCUGUGUGAGAUACUCUUGUGAGAUACUUUUAUGGUUGUGAGACAUGGCUUAUGCUCUUCUGUGUUAUCUCUAUGUCAUGUGUUUGGCUCAUAUUACCUUUGCUUCUGUGUUUUUACUCCGAUGGUCUAUGAGCCAUUUGUGUUUAUAUCCUGUUGUACACAUCUCACAUAUUUGGAUGCAGGAUGUUAGACUUGGUUGAUAUAAGCAUGCCUAAUCCCUUUGCUCUUAUUGUAUCAUGCUUAUAGAAACCAAGUCAUUUGAAAACCUCAUUUCCUUUCAUACUCGAGGUUAUUGUCAUCAAUCACCAAAAAGGGGGAGAUUGAAAGAGCAUCUAGGCCCCUAAUGAUUUCGGUGAUUAAUGACAAUGUUGAUUACUAUGACUAACAUGUGUUUUGCAGAGGCAAAGUCAUUAGUGAGGUCAUGGUAAUAGGUACUCGAUGAAUAGGGACAUACAUGCCUACUUAAUAGUGGAAAUCGUUUUGGUUUUCAGAGGAUGGAUGGACAUCAUCAAGACUAGACUAGGUCUAAGUGCCAUAUGGUGAAGAAGGGCACUUAGAGUAGUUUAGGACUUUGUUUUCCUUUGACCGUACUAUUAAGAGGGGCUUUGAUCUAGUAGCUUGACUUAGGCAAGGCUUUAGGUUUAGGUGUGGUGUACACUUGGUAAACCUAGCACUAGGCAGCUCAGAGAUAGUCCUUAGAUCGAGAGGAACCAACUUCGUUUUGGAACGAUCGCAUUUCGACGAAGUUAGGGUGCCUAAGUAGGCACCAAACGCUGCACCGGACGCUUUGUGUGUGCGUCCGGUGAGGUCCUUAGCCGUUGGAGAGCUUUGGUGCUUAGGGUUAGGCACCGGACGCUGGCACCGGACUCACCGGGCAGCGUCCGGUCCCAUACCCAGGGAGGUUGUAAACCUGCCCUGAGCACCGGACGCACCGGGUAGCGUCCGGUCUUAAACUCAGGGAGUUUGUAAAACUCCCUGGAGCACCAGACGGUGCCACCGGACGCUGGGAAGUAGCAUUCGGUGACCUGUCAGAUGUAGGUACAGUUAGCCGUUGAAGUGUCACCGGACGCUCGGUGCAGAGCGUCCGAUGCAACAUCAACAGCGUCCGGUGACCCCGUUUUCAGUGGAAAAUGGUUGGCUGACCUUUGGACUUCGUGGGGUGUAUUUAUACUCCUCCACCUCGUCCAUGAGAGCUCUCUUGCCCAUUUGAACAUCUGAGAAACUUGUUGUGGAGCAAGAGAGUAGCAAGAGCCUAGAGAGGUUUGAGAUUUGAGUGAUUUCCUGUGAGAAUCCCUCUCUAGUUGAAUUCCAAGAGUCAAGUGUGCAUCCACCACUCUCUCGUUCCUUGUUUGGGUCAAGUGAGAGUUCUUUGCUUGUUAUUCUUGGUGAUCGCCAUCACCUAGACGGUUUGGUGGUGAUUGGAGGCACGAAGACCGCCCGAAGUUCUUGUGGGUGGCUCGUGUCAAGCUUGUGAGCAGUUUUGGGCGAUUCGACGCGACGGAGUGUCAAAGAAUCAGCCCAUAGAGAGCACUUGGUCCUUGCGCGGACCAAGGGGUAGCAAGACCCUUGCGCGGGUGCUCCAACGAGGACUAGUGGAGAGUGGCGACUCUCCGAUGCCUCGGCAAAACAUUGCCGAGCACUUUCUUCCACUACUCCUUUACUUUCUAGCAUUUACUUUCUGUUCUUACUUUCUUAGAAUUACCAUUCCAGAAUAGGAUUGGAACUAGGUUGCAAAACUUUUAUCCGGUAGCUCUCUAGUCACACUAGGCACAAGGGGUUGAAUUCGAGCUUAUAGGUUGCUUAAAUUUUUAGAGAAGCCCAAUUCACCCCCCUCUUGGGCAACUUGAUCCUUUCAUAUAACAAGCACAACGUUGAUGCACAAGCAAAUAUUUAACUUUCUGAGGAUCGUCACGUGUAGGUGCAGGGGCAAAUAUUUAACUUUAUGAGGAUCAUCAUGUGUAGGUGCAGGAUAAGAACCCAUGUAACCAAAGAAGUAAGGUUGUUUCGAAAGCCCUAGUAUUAGCAGAAGUAUUAUCUAGAGUUAUAGCAAAGAUCUUAUCAAUUAAAUUAAACUCCUCAACCACAAAAGCAAUUUUAGCAGCUAUGUUUUCACCAGAAUGUGACACUUCAAUCAACCUAAAACCAACAACCUUCUUCUGCAACUCCCAAUUAGCAGUAACAUAAUGAGCAACAACAUAUAUGUAAUCUUCUUUAGCAUUACUAGACCAAAUGUCAUAUGUCAAAGACACAAAUGAACAAGCAGGCAACACAGACUUCAUAAGCAUAGAACGUUCAUCAGCAAACAAUCUACCAAGAUCUCUAGUAGUGGUCUGCCUAGAAACCUUACCAAACAAAGGGUUAUGAGCACGUUUAAUGUAAUCUUCCCAAGCCUAUGUAUCACCAAUGCCUAGGGGAAGGUCUAGUUUAGCUAUCAGCCUGCAUAACUCACUGCAAGCAACAGCAAGAUCAUACACCUAAUUUUUCAAGCCAUUAGGAUUAAGAGCAAGUUUAUACUGAACCAUAGUUGCAUGUUUUUGUUUUUUCAUACAACUUUUCCUGUGCCACCUGUUGGGUAUUCUUAACAUCAUUACCAAAAGUAGACUAAGUUCUAAAUCUAGCAACGGUGCCAAAAAUGCCAAACCUAUCCCUCACACCACUUAAGCCAAGUUGUCAUCCCUAGCAUGACAUGAGAGACGCGGUAUUGAAAUAUGCAAUUGCUCUUCUAAAUAAAUAAUGAAUGGGAUCUGCAAGCGCACAGAUUAAUACCGAUGCAGCAUUUUAACCGGGAAGUAUUCCAGGUAUCGUUAUUUAUAUUUUUACCACUGGGAAGGGAUUAGCAAUCAUCAAUAUUGAUUACAGAAUAGAAUAUGAGAUUGAGCAUCUAUCAUUGCAUGUAUAAUUGAGAACAUUUAUCUAACUCUUCACACAGAGAUAAGUGUCACAUAAAAGAUAUAUGAAAUAAUAAUAGUGACAAGGAUAACUAAUCUGAUCUAGCCACAUAAUAAAUAUGAUAAGCACCUCAAUUAGAUACUCUAGAAAGUCAUUAGCAUGGUAUUAGAACGAACUACAAGAAUAUUCCCUAGGUUAUUCUCAACUAUAUAGUCUAGCAUUAUCAUAGUUAGUGCAAGCAUACUUAGCAAUCAUUGUGAGAUAAGACUACGCCCAUGCAUAGUGAUAUUAGCAAGGAAUAUGAGAAACAUAGCAAUCACUCCCCUGUAAUAAUGUUGCUCUGCCAGCCCAAUACACGAGAGGGGGACUAUAUAAGAAUCAAUGAAGCUGUCACUAUCACGAACCACCCCACGAUCUGGCAUAUUGGGUACAAUCGCAGAUAAAUACGGUAUAAGCACCACGCCUACACAAUAUCUAUCAUUUACCCAUGGAUCCGAUGGAUAAACGCUAUACGAUCCUAAGCAUGUAUAUAGAUCGAAUCUAACUAAGCCAAGUACAUAACUAUGAUAAACUAAGAACAAUAUAAUCUUGAAUAUAAGCAAGUAGAGCAAAGUCAUAAGCAAUAUAUUGAAGUAGAACAAAGUCAUAUUCAUAAUAUUGAAGAACAAAGAUAAUUAGAAAGCAAUUAGAAGCACAAUUAGAGAAUUACCAAGAAUCCUCCUGACAGAUCCGGAAACCAAUCGAAGAUUGACUCCUUCUAGUUCUAAUCCUAUGUAGCUAUGCUAAUCUAGAUGUCUAAUUGAUGUGGUGGCUCUAAUCUUGAUCAGAGGCUUCUUCUCCCUUGAUGGAACAAUGAAUUAGGGUUGAGAGGCUCCCUCCUCCAGGGGCCAGGGGGUCUGGUUUUAUAGUCCCUCCAAGUGAAUAUGGGCCCUUGGAUCAAACCGACAUAGAUUGUAUGGUUUAGAUUCAUCCUUUAGGUCGGUGGAGAUCUCCCGCAAAGCAGAGUCCUGAUUGGACCUGGGGGCAGGGCCGGCGCCCAGUAGGACAGGGCGGGCGCCCUGUCUCUGGCCCCGUUUCGCCUCCGCUUCGGUCUCGUGGCUUCUAGAGUCUUCUAGAUGUAAGAUAAUUGCGCAGCACGUUAAUAUCUUUACGUAAUCCCGACAUAUGGGCCUUUCUUCCAUAUUUCCUCAUAACCCCCUGCAGAAAUAGACAAACACCAAAACUCGUGGAAUUCUGUCAGAUAAAACCCUAAGUCUAGAUCUUGAUUUCAUUUGGAUCCUUUUCUUUAUUUAUUUGAUAAUUAAAUUUGAUACUUAAGGACCGUCAACAAACUCCCCCAAGCUUACCUCUUGCUCGUCCCUGAGCAAGGAUAGACUUAGCUAUGGAUCAUAAGUUGUUGCAAUAUCUUUAAAAUUUUGACGGUACACAUGCUUUUUAAAUAAGAUCUCAUCUCUGAGUUAGAGUAAACUGUCAAGACUUAAAACUUACUUACUUUACCUUUACCAUGGGACUUGUAACCGUCACUUCUAUCUUGAGUAGUUAAAAGAUAGAACAGUCUAGUCAAGUGCCAUGUCUCUUAUUCUUGAUCAGCUAUAGCUCUAGGGUUUUUGCAGAUUUUCAAAUAAAACUCAGAAAUUCCUUGUAUGAUUCUCUCGGGUCUCUCUUUUGUGGUAUUUUUGGAUCCUUACCAAGGCAGUGAUGGUAUAUGCCUUCUCUCAAAAUAUGUAGUAUUUGUGGUUUGAGGCAUAGUGACAUUGCCUUCUCUCUCACCCUACUCUAAUAAGGCUUUAAUAUCUAGAGCUCAUAGGUGGGAGAUAAAGUAUACAUACUUAUAAGACAUUUAUUGCAUAGUCAAACCAUGGAUCCAAAGUAACAAGUCAAUAAGCCAAAUCAAGAUGUGCAUGUGUGGCGAAUGAAUGGUGUAUGGUGAUGAUGGUGAUAACAAUGGUGAAAACAAUGGUGGUGGAAGUCUAAUUCUACUUUGCUCUUUGAGGGGAUACAUACCUUCCUUGCUUUUUGAAACUUUAUGAGGAGAAUGAGAUGCUCUUCUUUUUCUUUUCUCUCAGGUGGGUAUCUUGCACCCCUAAUUCUACUGUCGGACACUUGUCCAUUUUUACCUCUCGUCUCACUUUUCUUUUCUUUUGAGGUUCCGAGCACUUGCUCCUUUUUAUUUCCUCGUAUCUUUUUUUUAGAGCAUUCAUCUCUUGAGAUAAUAUAGCAACUGGUAGUAACAAGAUAACUUGAGCAUUUAUUUCACAAGGGAAAACAGAAAUAUUUUUGGUUAUUCUCUCCCGGAUUAAGAGUAGAAUAUUUUUGGUUGGUUCUAGAGAUGGAAUGGGUGGAUAUACGUGGAUGGUACUUCCGGAGUAGAAGUAGCAUAUGUGAGUGAACGUGAAAGUGAAAUCAUGAUUUAACCACAUGACAAGCUCCUAAGGGUCUACACAGCUUGACCACACUCAAUGCUCAUAAGCAGUAAAUAGUAAAUGUGUGGCUCAAAGUCUAGCAAGCAUGUAUAUAUGGCUGUGGUAGGAAUUUAAACUCUCAUCAUACAGGAACUCAUCAUGCAACAUUUUAAAGAUUUUCAAAGAUAAAAUUCUCCAGAAUUCUAGCAUCUCUAGGAACAGAUAAACAGCAGCUCAACCUUCCCAUAUCGUAUCCGUUAACAACUUAGACUUCAGAUUAAGUUUUCAUCCCACAAGUUUAGGUCUAGAGCAAGCUUUAAAUUAUAACAGUUAUAUCUAAACUUGAGAGAGAACUUAAAAUGUGCAAAUUAGGCAGAGCAACUAUUUAUCAUAUCCAUGCUUAAGUUUUAUUAAAAUACAGAUUAGCAUAGCCACUUUAUUUAUCUAUUAAACACACUAAGCAAAAGAUAUAUAUAUAUAAGCAUAAAAUCUUUAUUUGGUUUUCCAUAGUUUAAUAAUAUAAGUAUAAAGAUAGAUAGAAAUACUUAUCGAGAUAAAUGGGGGUCCUCUCCCCCAAGCUGAAUUUUGACGUAAUUUCUCUUGAUGUAGUUAGCAGGUGGCAGAGGUGUAUUUGAAAGUCAGCAGCAUUCUGACAGCGAUUAGAAUGUCCUCCGUCUGCUAGUCUUCUUGAUUCUUAAAUUUUGUGGAGCUCAAAUAGACAACAAAGCUUGUGGAACUGAUUAAGUGUUAGCAUAAAUAUCUAGCCUUUAUCAUGUUGAGACUCCUUAAUAAUUGUUACUCCCUGUUUUUAUAUUUUUAUUUUAUAAAGCAAAAAAAUAAUUAUUUUAUUUUUAUGCCACCACAGUGAAUGUACUUAUGGGUUUUAUGCCACUCGUCUACUCACAUGGGGCUUACUGUUUUUCACAUUUUUAUUUUCUUUUUAGGAUAGCACGAACAUAAUUAACUAAGUAAACUAUUUGAAAUAAUUGAAAUGAUUAAAAGGGAAAGGAUAACUUCCAAGUUUACCUCUUGGCAAGGCGUUCGGUGUUUUUAAGUCCUCCGAACGGGACUCUCCAAUUUCUUAAUCGUCCUGAGGUUCGUUGGGUGGCGUAGUCGGUACUUCCGGCAGCGCCUCCUCUUCAUGUAUAGUUAUCUUCAUUUUCCACACCUGACUCGGUGCUUCAAUCUCCUCUGGAUAAUUCUGUUUAAACUCUAUGUCUUCUGACCUUACAACUUCUCCUUCAUAGUCUGCCCAUCCAUCCUUGAUGAUCUGCCUCCUCGGGUUGCGGUUGCGUCUCUUUCUGACCUGCUUAGAUUCUUCAACAAUAUAGUUAGGGUCAGUAAAAUAACGGCGUACCUUCUCUGAGGGGAAGUGCAUAUGGACUUCUCCGGUUCCAAUGUAGAUAAUUGCUUUAACGGUGCUGAGGAACGGUCUUCCAAGGAUGAUGGGUGGAUCGUACUCGUCUUCUCCCAUGUCAACAACUUGAAAGUCUGUGUAGACAAAGUGAUCGUCUAUUUUGACUGGGACAUCAGAUACUAUUCAUUGAACUUCUUGAAAUGUCUGAUCUGCCAUCUGGAGCUGAAUGUAUGUUGGUCUUAGUGGCAUGGUUCCGAACAAGAGCCGAUAGGUGACUGCGGCCAUUAUGUUGACGCCUGAUCCGGUGUCGCAAAUCGUCUUGUAGAAGUUGUAUCCAUUUAUGGAGCAGUAGAUGCUUGGCAUUCCUGGGUCGUCCUUCUUAGUCAAAAACGGUGACUUAAGUUGGUGAUCUUGGCCUCCAUGAACUACAGUGACCAUCUUAGCUGACUCGGUCCACACUUGCUUGUUCCUGUUUCUCCUGUUGGUCCUCUUCCUUGAUUCACAUCUGGAUUGAUCUGGAAUUUGUGUAGUCUUGUUCUUGAAGAAAAAUGUCUCCUUCUUUCCUUUGACGUAGAAACUGAUCUUGGCAGCACUGGUGUAGAUGAUAGCUCCCGUGGUAUUCAAGAAUGGCCUCCCUAAGAUGAUAGGUGCUCUCUCAUCAUUUCCGGUCUCUACCACUACGAAGUCUGCUGGGGCAUAUAAGGUACCAACUCGGACAUAAAGGUUCCUCAAUAUUCCUUUUGGAAAAGUUAUUGUCUGAUCUGCAAACUGCAAACACAUGGUUGUUUCUAAUAAAGGAUAUGUAAAGAAUUUUUCAUAGAGUACCCUGGGUAUAAUGUUGACACUGGAGCCAAAGUCGCAGAGUGCUUCUGGGAAGUCCACCAUGCCGAUGGAGAUCGGGAUGACGGGGCGUCCUGGAUCGCCUCUCUUGACCGGCAGACGGUCAGUAGAAAAUUCAGUGACGGGGUUACUCCAAUUACCUGCAUCAAACAUGUCUACAAGAUUUGCAGAUUCUAAUCCUUCCGGUUGUGAUGGUAUACCGGGGUUAGUAGUAGGAACAGCAGCAGCUAUUUGAUUUAACUGGGAUUCAAUCAUUUUAUUAAAGCUAAUUUGAUUCUUGAUGGCAGUAGAAAAAUUAUCCAUUCUAUUACUUAUAUUUUCUAGCAUUUUAUCAUUAGAUGUCAAUUUCUUAGAUAGAUUAUCCAUUAGCUUUCCUUGAUUAGACACUAACUCUCUCAAAGGUGGAAAAUUAUUAUUAUUGUUGUAAGAAUUGUUACCUUGAUAAUUACCUGAGUAGUUAGGCCUCUAUUGAUUCCAACCUUGAGUUUGUUGAGGACGGUUGUAGUAGUUGUUGUUGUUGUUGAUGUAGUUCACAUCCUCAAGCAUCUUAGGACAGUGGUUGCCUGAGUGUCCAGUGUCUCCACACUCCUCACAAGUCAUGUGAGAGUCGUAGAUGUGCAUAACUUCUUUCUUGUCUCCAGCUCUAUCAUCGAGCUUCUUCAUGAGCAGGUCUAGCUUUGCAGACAGCAUGUCUACCUCCUUCAGCUGAUGCAUACCUCCACCUCUCUUGCGUGUCUGGGUCCUCUCUUCAUUCCAGCUUUGAUUGCACGCCAUCUUCUCCACAAGAGCUGUGGCUUGUGGUAUAGUAAGUGAUAAGAAUGCUCCUCCAGCUGCAGCAUCCAUGGUCUCUCGGGCACUGUUACUGAGCCCAUGAUAGAACGUCUGCAUCAAUAGCCAACUCUCCAUUCCAUGAUGGGGACAUUCUAGGAUGUAGUCUUGAAAGCGCUCCCAUGCUUCUGGAACAGAUUCAUCAUUUUGUUGUUGAAAACUCGUAAUCUUCCCACGGAGAGCAUUGGUCUUGCCCAUGGGAAAGAACUUUGCCAGGAAGUUUGUUGAGCAGAGUGCCCACGUAGUAUUCUUCUCCUUUGUAGCGUAGAACCACUGCUUCGCUCUUCCUAACAGUGAGAAUGGGAAGAGGCGAAAUAGUAUAGCGUCUUUGGAAACUCCUGAUAUGGUGAAUGUGUUGCAAAUCUCCAGGAAGUGUUGUAAAUGAGCACUAGCAUCUUCAUGUGCCUUCCCACAGAACUGGUUGGAUUGCACCAUGUUGAUAAGUCCAGGCUUGAGCUCAAAGUUGCCAUCGAUCUCUGCAGCAGGUCCAGUGCGGAUGUUGUCCGUAGUGGGAGCUGAGAACUCGCGGAUUGAUUUGUUCGCCAUGGCUUCAAACUCUGAAGACAAGUUUCGGUGAUCUUCUUGAUUGGAUGAAGCUUCUUGCUGAAGUGUUGAUGAUUUCUUUAGCUUGGCUCUCGUCUUCUUGAAUAAUGCUUCGGGAUUGUCAACAAAAUUUCUUGGAAGAUGUCUUCUAUUCAUACAUUCCCCUGCAUAAGAUAAAAUAGAAAAAUAUCGGGGUAAAACUGUAUGAGAGAAUAGAUAAGCUCAAUCAUAUUAGUGAUGCGAAUGAUAACUCAAAAUCUUUUAUUCCAUUCCUGAUUGGUAAUCAACCUUCCCCGGCAACGGUGCCAAAAAUGCUUGUUGGGUAUUCUUAACAUCAUUACCAAAAGUAGACUAAGUUCUAAAUCUAGCAACGGUGCCAAAAAUGCCAAACCUAUCCCUCACACCACUUAAGCCAAGUUGUCAUCCCCAGCAUGACAUGAGAGACGCGGUAUUGAAAUAUGCAAUUGCUCUUCUAAAUAAAUAAUGAAUGGGAUCUGCAAGCGCACAGAUUAAUACCGAUGCAGCAUUUUAACCGGGAAGUAUUCCAGGUAUCGUUAUUUAUAUUUUUACCACUGGGAAGGGAUUAGCAAUCAUCAAUAUUGAUUACAGAAUAGAAUAUGAGAUUGAGCAUCUAUCAUUGCAUGUAUAAUUGAGAACAUUUAUCUAACUCUUCACACAAAGAUAAGUGUCACAUAAAAGAUAUAUGAAAUAAUAAUAGUGACAAGGAUAACUAAUCUGAUCUAGCCACAUAAUAAAUAUGAUAAGCACCUCAAUUAGAUACUCUAGAAAGUCAUUAGCAUGGUAUUAGAACGAACUACAAGAAUAUUCCCUAGGUUAUUCUCAACUAUAUAGUCUAGCAUUAUCAUAGUUAGUGCAAGCAUACUUAGCAAUCAUUGUGAGAUAAGACUACGCCCAUGCAUAGUGAUAUUAGCAAGGAAUAUGAGAAACAUAGCAAUCACUCCCCUGUAAUAAUGUUGCUCUGCCAGCCCAAUACACGAGAGGGGGACUAUAUAAGAAUCAAUGAAGCUGUCACUAUCACGAACCACCCCACGAUCUGGCAUAUUGGGUACAAUCGUAGAUAAAUAAGGUAUAAGCACCACGCCUACACAAUAUCUAUCAUUUACCCAUGGAUCCGAUGGAUAAACGCUAUACGAUCCUAAGCAUGUAUAUAGAUCGAAUCUAACUAAGCCAAGUACAUAACUAUGAUAAACUAAGAACAAUAUAAUCUUGAAUAUAAGCAAGUAGAGCAAAGUCAUAAGCAAUAUAUUGAAGUAGAACAAAGUCAUAUUCAUAAUAUUUAAGAACAAAGAUAAUUAGAAAGCAAUUAGAAGCACAAUUAGAGAAUUACCAAGAAUCCUCCUGACAGAUCCGGAAACCAAUCGAAGAUUGACUCCUUCUAGUUCUAAUCCUAUGUAGCUAUGCUAAUCUAGAUGUCUAAUUGAUGUGGUGGCUCUAAUCUUGAUCAGAGGCUUCUUCUCCCUUGAUGGAACAAUGAAUUAGGGUUGAGAGGCUCCCUCCUCCAGGGCCCAGGGGGUCUGGUUUUAUAGUCCCUCCAAGUGAAUAUGGGCCCUUGGAUCAAACCGACAUAGAUUGUAUGGUUUAGAUUCAUCCUUUAGGUCGGUGGAGAUCUCCCGCAAAGCAGAGUCCUGAUUGGACUUGGGGGCAGGGCCGGCGCCCAGUAGGACAGGGCGGGCGCCCUGUCUCUGGCCCCGUUUCGCCUCCGCUUCGGUCUCGUGGCUUCUAGAGUCUUCUAGAUGUAAGAUAAUUGCGCAGCACGUUAAUAUCUUUACGUAAUCCCGACAUGUGGGCCUUUCUUCCAUAUUUCCUCAUAACACCCUACAGAAAUAGACAAACACCAAAACUCGUGGAAUUCUGUCAGAUAAAACCCUAAGUCUAGAUCUUGAUUUCAUUUGGAUCCUUUUCUUUAUUUAUUUGAUAAUUAAAUUUGAUACUUAAGGACCGUCAACACCACCUCAAAUGCCAAGUGCCACCAGAUGAUCUAGCAGUAUACCAUGAACGACAAUGUUUGCAUAUGGCACCAGUUCUCAACACAGUCUCAUCAUUGAUCUCAUCAAAGUACUACCAAACAACAAAAACUCGCUUACCAGUGCCGAUGGUUGAGGUACCAUAAGUGUUAGUAGAGGCAGCCACUCCCUCAUCCUCGCCAUCAAGGUCGAUGGGCUGCUGCUACUCGGUGCCAACAGGUUCGUCACCGAGGUCGAUGCCGAAGAAAGCUCUCAUGUCAUCACGCAAGUCAUCAUAAUCCUCGCGUUCCAAAUCCUCGAGCUCAUUUGGGUGCGGCGCAAGGUCCUCGCCAUCACCGAGGAGGGGAUGCAGAUCUGCCCCCCGUGUUGCGAGCCCAGCACCAGCACCACUGGACGUGACCGGCUGAGGACGACCCAAGCCACCAAACCUCUUGCACCGCCCCUCGAUAGGCGCUUUUUUGGCUUGGCCAUGUCCACUCCAAAGGAGGAGGAAGCGGCGUCAGGCACGAACCUACAAUCAUUGAAAGAUGAAAGGAAAAGAUGAGAACAGAGACUGAGAGAGUGAGAGACAGAGUAGAUCUAGUGAUCUAGGGUUACGUAUGUUGACGGUCCUUAAGUACCAAAAAUAAUCAUCAAAUAAAUAAAGAAAAGGAUCCAAAUGCAACCAACACCCAGAAUUAGGGUUUUAUCUGACAGAAUACCACGAGUUUUGGUGUUUGCCUAUUUCUGUAGGGGGUUAUCAGGAAAUACGGAAGAAAGGCCCACAUGUCGGGUUUACAUAGAGAUAUUAAUGUGCCACAAAACUUUCUGUCAUCUAGAAGACUCUAGAAGCCACGGGAACGAACGGGAAGGUGAUCGGGCUCGGGGGCAGGGCGCCCGCCCUCCCCCUUGGGUGCCCGCCCUGUCCCAGAGUCCAAUUAGGACUCUCUUCAGGGAUUACGCUCCACCGACCUAAAGGAUCAAGGAUAACCGUUCAAUCAAUGUCGGUUUGAUCCGACGGCCCAGAUUCACUUGAGGGGACUAUAUAAGCAGAACCCCUGGGCCCUGGAGGAGAACAAGUUCAUCAUAGAGUUGAGAGGAGCCCUCGAAGGAAUACCUCUCCUCUAAAUAGACUUAGGGCUUAGCAUCCAAUAUGAGAGUAGAAUUAGUUCUUCUAAGUUCUACUAGAUUGAGAGAGAUAGAGUGGAGGUGUAGAUCGGAGGAAGCCCGGACUGUCGGUGUCUACUCCGAAGUUGUACCUGCGGGAUCAAGUUCUCCUAACCCGAGGCUUACUCUUAGGAUUAUUCAGUAAUUCGACUUCUAAUGCUAGUAAGUUCUUGUUUUAUUGUUCUUUGGUUUAUGAGUUUACUUUAAUCUCUUCCGGUUGAGUUUAGAGUAAUCAUUGCUAGCGUAAACAUGGUGUUUGGGCUAGGGUACUCAUAGAUAUCCCCUGACUAGCUGGACCGUGGUAGUAGCGAGGAACGUGACAUUUUCGAGUUACCUUUGCAGACCAUAUCUCGUUAGCAGGAAGGGUAGGGUUUAUAGGUGCGGGUCAAACAUCCUCUGUGGUGUCUAGAUUCCAUAAGCUUCCCCAAUAGAACAGUAGAUCAUCCUUACCAAGGUUAGAACGAGACUAUGGUUGUAGUCUUCUCUAUACAUCGCUCACAUCGAGAAACAUUCUUUGUAGCCUAAAGGGUAGUAGUACUAGAUUUGGUUAGUCAGAUGCACCCUUUCUCCCAGUGGUAAAAAUAUAAAUACGAUACUCUGGAUAACCUCCCGGGUGAAAUGCUCACCGAUAUCCGUGCGCUUGCGGAUCAAUUCCUUAUUGCGUUACCAAAUAUCAACAAGCAUUUCUGGCGCCGUUGCCGGGGAGAAAGACGGUUGGCUGAGAUAACUUUAAGUCUUGCUAUUAUCUUGUAUUAUACUUUUAUACUUUUAUCUUAUUAUUUUUUCCAUCUUUAUGGAUAAUUCAAAUUCCACACAUAUUAUUGAAUUUUUUGCACCUUCGGAGACCAGCCAUAGACCAUGGGAGUCAACAAGUCCUUUCUUUGCCCCUAAUUAUGAUCUAUGUCCGGAGUUGAUUGCCGAGGUCCUAUCUUUUAAUCAAGAAGAUAAUGAACUUUUAGCUACACCUAGGGAAUCUUUUAAUCUUUCUAUAAAUUGUGGUUUAGACCUAGCCCUACAAGACCAUGUUUUUUCUCAAUAUUUUCACAUUGGUCUUAAUCAUAUAACCUUUGGUAGAGUCUUUCUUUCUUUAUCUAUUAGUAAAGGAAGGUAUGUCUUCAUUUGUGGACAUCCUUCUUGUACUAGUCUUCAUAGAAAAAUCUUAGAGAUAGAGAAGGAAUCAUCUUCUAGACAAGGAAAGGAAGUUUCAAUAGCCGAUUUCCAAACAUUCCAAUCCCAUGAUUCGGCUAUCCAACCCAUCCUUGAGCUUAAUAAUUUCUACUACGCUCUUUCUCUUGAACCUCCCGAUAAUCCUAUGAAUCUCUCUAGACAUCCCAUGCAUAAGAGUCACCAAGACCACAAGGAGGAUCGAGAAGAGCAGCAUCAAUGGCUAGAGGGCAUUAAAAAUCCAUGUGCCAUGACCAUUGAAUGGAUAGAUAAAACAAACUUGAGAGACAAUCCUAGAGAAAUUUUUAGCAUUCAUGAAGAAUCAUCCUUGGAGUUUGAGAAUGAGAGAAACAACAGUGAGCAUGGAAGUUAUUUCAUAAAUACCUCACCAAGUCCUUGCUCAUAUAAAACAUCUCCCCAAUCAAUUGAUCUCUCCAACAUCACCGCAUUUGAGAUCUCCAACCCCCUCUUCCUUUCUAUUUAUAAAAACUUUAAAAGGGCGGUUGUCGAUGCAUAUGUCUAUAAUAAAUAUUGCAGAUCUCGUUGAGUUGAUCUUGAUAUAGGUCAGUGUCGGAGGAGAAACCACUUCGCCGACAUAAAUUGAUGGUUUCUCCAGGACAAGCUUAGUGUCCUAAAACAAGCACUGAUCAGAUCAUAAUAUGAGCUUUUAAUUAUUUGCAACAUUAUCUUAUGUAUUGAGCAUAUAAAGAUAAUUGUAGAAAUAUUCCUUCGGGUAUUCUUGUCACUAACCUUUCUGGGAUUAGAGCAAGAAGAUCUGAGGAAUGACAAGCAUAAGAUAUGCCCAACCAAUCAUCAUGCAACAUUGAAUUAAAAUUCAUCCAAUCUUGAGUUUUGCAAAAUUCAAGCUUGGCGGAGUACUUCACAUGAAAACAUCCUUUGCCAAGUUGCUGUGUUGGUUGUCCCUACCUUUGAGACAUGCUUGAUUUGUUAAAUACUAAUCACACUACUUCAUCUCCACUUGAGUAGAUCUCUAUAAAUGCUCUCAUGCUACCUUUAUGUGCUUUAGUAUAUGUCUAGGUUUGGAGUAGUUUCAUUUAUCUCUUAAUUAAGCAUGGUGCUUAGUUUAGGAAUGAUGAUCUUACUUCCAAAGUAUUUUUUUAAAAUUAAGCAUGGUGCUUAGGUUAAAAUGCCCUCCUAAAUCAAAUUAGACAUGGUGUCUAGGUUGAUUUUUGAGCCGAUAGUAUGCUAUAGUAGAUAUUGGAUAUUUUUGUUGGACUAACCCCUGCAGGAAAACUUUCAAUAUCAACCUGGGAAGUUCUGAGAUACAAACUCACAUUGGAGACAAAGGGGACACAUGAAGUUUAACGAUUUGCACAAGGAAGACAUAGCUCAUUCAUCAUAAAGAGAUGAUCCAUGGAGGGUGCCACAAACACGAUGCACAACCGCUAAGAAAGGAAGGCUUCCACAAGGUGAUACUAUACCAUCACUCUUCAAGUAAGGUAACACCUUAAGGUACUUGACUAUCACUUUUAUAAGCUUCUCCUUGGUUCUGGCAUACACAUGAAUAAAAGAGACAAACAUGUAUGAUUUGUAGUUCCAAAUUAACCAACCCAAUUAAUUCAACAUGUUUAGUCCUUUAAUUUUUGUUCUGAAGUACUACCUUCGUGAUCCCACACUCCUAAUCAUAUAAGCUAAAAUAUUGCACAUUCAAUCUUUGGAAGAUAUAAGCAGAACAUAAAUAUAGAUAGAUUAUCUUUCCAUUAGGUCGAUCGAUCUGAUCUGACAAAUGUUUUAAUGCUACACUCAUGAUCUCAUGAUCCAUCAACUUUGUCUUGCUCACUAUGCUCAAGGUUAGAGAAGAACAAAUACACUUUUGGUUCUGUUGGUGUUUUCCACCAACAGGGCUCAUGCACUUGAUCUCUGCCUUGUCUCUAUGAACAGGUACACUUCAAGCAAAACAUGGAGGAGUUUUACAACUCCCAGACUCCACCAAGUGAAGGACCUGGAUCUACAAGCACAAACACACUGAGCAGGAUAUUGCCAUCACUGCACUUCAAACUGCUGGGCAAACGAAGAACAUGGAUGACUCCGUAUCAAGAGGUGCAGACGUCAAGGUCCACAUCUAAUCAAAUGAUGCACCUAAAGGAUGAAGACGGUGAGAAGUCUUGUCCAGAAGACUUAAAAUAUUGGAUCCUUGUCGGAGGAGGUCAAGAUCGUCGACUCAAGUCGCCUUUCCUGAUCAAGAAGGACGACCCUGGUGUUCCAAGCAUCGAGUGCACAAUCAAUGGAUACUCUUUUCAGAAGACACUCUACAACACCGGAUCUGAUGUCAAUAUAAUGGCCGCAAUCACUUAUCAGCUCCUGCAUGGAACCAUGCCCCUACAACCAAUAUACAUUCAGCUCCAGAUGAUUUUCAGGUUAUUAAUAUGGGAGAAGACAAGUACGAUCCACCCACCAUCCUUGGAAGACCGUUCCUCAACACUAUCAAAGCCAUCAUCUAUAUUGGAACCGGAGAAGUCCACAUGCACUUCCCUCUGAAGAAGACAACGCAACUGCAACCAAAGGAGGCAAAUCAUCAAGGACGGAUGGGCAGACUAUGAAGGAUAAGUAAUAAGGUCCAAAGAUAUAUAUCUUGAACAGGAUUGUCCAGAGGAGACCGUUGCACCGAGUCAGGCAUGGAGAGAGAAGAUAGUUAUACACGAAGAGGAGACACCACCAGAAUCACCGACUACGCCAUCCAGCGAAUCCCAAGACGACUGAGAAAACAGAGAGUCCCGUUCGGAGGACUUAAAAACACCAAACGCCUUGCCAAGAGGUAAACUCAACUAUUUAAAAUAGUUUGCUUAGUUAAUCAGGUUCAUAUCAUCUCGAAAAGCAAAUAAAAAUGUUAGAAAUAGUAAGCGCCAUGUGAGUAUGCUCAUGGCAUAAAACCCAUAAGUACAUUCACUGUGGUGGCAUAAAAUAAAUAUGUUUUCAUCACUGAAAAAAAUAGCGGGCUAUUUUUCCGCUAUAGCAGGAUAUUUAAAACGCCGCGACGAUAUCAGUCAUUUUCCCGCUAUCAGCGCUAUCUCCGCUAUUUUCUGCUAUAGCGCCGCUAAACCGCUAUAUCGGCAUAGCGCCGCUAUUUUUCCGCUAAGCCUGAAGUGUGCCUAGUGCUUGUCAUUUCAUUUAUGUUUCAGACUUUCAGUUGCUUAUCGAACUAUGGCACUUGUGGCUUUAUGCCUUUUGCUUUUGAAUUUGGAUUGUAAUAAAUAGACUAUUAGAUCAUGGGUUGUGACUUAUGAGUUACUUGUCACUUGUGAAAUUUUAGUUUUAAACUUUUCAUCUGGUGUGUGCUGUAUUUAAAUAGCGGGCUAUAGCGGAGCUAUAGCGGCGCCAUAGCGCGACCGCUACGUCGUAUAGCGGCGCUAUAGCGGAAAAUAGCGGCCAGAAUCAGCUAGCGCUAUUUUUGAUAGCCCGCAAUUUUUUCGUGGGUUUUCAUCUUACAAUAAAAAUAUAAAAAUAAUAAGUGCAUGAUCUUGCUAAAUAAAUAACAUUUCUUGAGGAAGCUCAACAUGAUAAAGGCUAGAUAUUUAUGCUAAUACUUAACUAGUUCCACAAAGCUUUGUUGUCUAUUUGAGCUCCACAGAAUUUAAGGAUCAAAGAAGACUAGCAGACGAAGGACAUCCUAAUCGCUGUCAGGGUGCUGCCGACAUUCAAAUACACCUGCGCCACCUGCUAGCUACAUCAGAAGAAAUUACGUCAAAAUCCAGCUUGAAGGAGAGCACCCCCAUUUAUCCAGCUAAGUGUUUCUACUCGCGUUUAUACUUUACUCAAAUAAUAAAAAGAUGCAUAAUCAUAAAAACCCAAAUAAAGAUUUUGUGCUUUUAUAUAUAUCUUUGCUUAGUUUGCUAAAUAAAUAAAUAAAUAAAGUUUGCUAUGAACCCUCA